CCUGUACCCCAAAACCACACGGGGUGAGAACUAUAUAAAUAUAGUUCCCAGUGGGUUCGGCCGCCGACUCCGCCGAUCUUCCCACUAGGUCCAAGCUGGCACAGAUAGAUAGAUAGAAAGAUAUAUGGAAAUACUACUACUAUAUCUACUAUGCCAUCAAAUGCAAAGUAUGCAUGGAACAUCAUCUAGCAACAAUCUACUAUCAUGCUAAUAUGCCUCAACAGUGAAAUAAAUACAACAACAACAUAGUUAUGCAAUGCACUAUGUCUAAUCAAGGUAUGAAUGCAAUACUCUUAUGCUAUUCAUGUUAUUACCCAAUCCGCUAGGCUAACUUGCCUAAGAUCUCAAAUCUAGUAGGUGAAGAGCUACCUCACUCUUGUCUCACUCGACUCAUAUCUCAAAGGUCUGACCCAAUCUCGUGAGUCCCAGGCAAAGAGCUACCCCGCCCCUCGCCCGACUCACAUCUCAAGGUCCUAGGCAAAGGCUACCCCGCACUUUGCCCGACUCACAUCUCGACCUACUAGGUACAGGGCUACUCCACUCAAAUCUCAUAGGUGAACAACAACAACAACUAUGGAAGCAAGCUAUCAUGAACAACAAUAAUGAGUAUGACUCAAUAGGUACUCAAAUCUCAUAGGUGAACAACAACAACAACUAUGGAAGCAAGCUAUCAUGAACAACAAUAAUGAGUAUGACUCAAUAGGUACUCAAAUCUCAUAGGUGAAGGAAUAGUAUAUCAUGAAGGCAUGAGCAAUAAGUAAGCUACUAUGAACACUAGUAAGCUACUAUGAACAACAACAACAACUAUGGAAGCAAGCUAUCAUGAACAACAAUAAUGAGUAUGACUCAAUAGGUACUCAAAUCUCAUAGGUGAAGGAAUAGUAUAUCAUGAAGGCAUGAGCAAUAAGUAAGCUACUAUGAACACUAGUAAGCUACUAUGAACAACAACAACAACUAUGGAAGCAAGCUAUCAUGAACAACAAUAAUGAGUAUGACUCAAUAGGUAACCAAAUCUCGUGGUGAACACAAGGUUCACAAGCAAGGCUCACAUAUCAAUCUCCGAGGGAUGCCUAGCUGGUCGAUCCCCGAGUACGCCUGCGGAUAACAAGCGGCUAUCCGAGCAGCAAGCAGGGCUGCCUCUCUAGUGACCAAACUCCGGAGCGCACAACUUGAGGGGAGCGACCCCACCAAGCGCAGACAGGCAAUGUGAGCGUGAUCAUCUCACGAGCAACAGCAACCUACCCUCUAAGGGUAAUCUCAUCAUGGAAUCAAGGUGUUCUUGUACCCAAUCUCAUAGUGUUUCAACUACACUAAGGUUCUCAUGUCAAGGUUAUCAACAAUCAUAUGCCACUCAUCAUAGUUUUCUAAACUAGAUGCCACUCGACAUUUAGACUCAUUUCAACACUAGUUACAUCAUACUAGUUCUUUAGCAACAUAAGCAUUAAUCACCUCACAUAGGGUCUAGGUCUUUAUCAUAAAGUUUUCAUCAUAUAAUCAUCAUGCAUACUAGAUCAUGGAUCAAUCAUCAAGAUGUAUAGCUACUAGCAUGCAAAUAUGAGCAAUGACCACAAUCAUUUAGCAUCUAAAUGCAAUAAAUACAAUAUGCAACUUAAUCGAUUAAUGCACUCAACAAAGUUUAAUCCACAUUAAUCAUGCCCUUAUAGGGUUUCACCACACUAAGUCCCAAUCUCAUGCAUACUAGGUACAAGUAUUAAUCAAGUAACACUACACUCCCACUAGCAUGCCAUGACAUGUAACAAUUGCCAACUAGUACCCUAUAAUGCAAUAUCCCAAUAUGCAACUUGAUCAACGUUAACUAGAGUUUCUAGUACAACAACCAAUCCAUUACUAGUUCAAGUCAUAUGUGUUUUUAGCACAAUAAGUUCAAUGCCACUUGUAAACUAUGUCUUUAAACACAACACUAGGUUCUUCUCUCAUUUAGCAUCAUAGGUUUACCAAUGUCAUCUCAUAAUCCUUAUGUUCAUUACAUCAUAUAUCCAUAUCAUAGUACUAUAUUGAUCAUAAACAUCAUAUAAGGAUUAGGAAUGUAUGUAUUGUCAUCCUAUAAUGCGAGGUAUCGAUAUACAAUAUGCUACAUGUGAAUGGAUAAGCACUAAGACAUAGGAAGAAGCCCGAUUGCUUCGGGAUGGCACUCCCCCACCUUUUAUCGCGUUCCGAUUGCUCGUCGUCACUCGCAAUCGGCCUCCCGCGGCGCACGCCGCUCGGCUCGACCCAAUCCGCGCGCAACCACCAAACGACCUCCGAUCCGCAAUCCGAAAAUUAAAGGUCUUCGGUUUCUUGGUACGAUGCUUCAAAUCCGUUUUCUGGAUUUUACGACGUCGCCUCAGCCCUCCAGGCGGAAACGAAGCCUAACGUCCGUUUGAGCUCAAACUUGACAGUCAUGUUCAGUUUUACUUAACUUAACAAGCUGACGAUCACUGGUUCAGUUUCGACCCCGUUUGGUCACUGAAAACUGUACCGAACUGCAAUCUUUAUCAGAUAGCUUUCGGAUUUUAUUUCUCACUCUACGGGUGUCAGAAAAAUAUGAAACCUUAAAUCUAGCCUUAUAAAUAUAUUUCUGACUUAUCCUCCAAUUUUUAUAAUUUUCUGAGACUGUGCAUUUUCUGCUAAUUUAUCUGCCCCGUUUCCAACAGAAAAUUCUAAAUCUUCUGUUUUAAUUCCGAUUUCAGCACAGGUCAUUCCCAACUUAUAUUUCACUUCUCUAAAUUCAAUAAAAAUAGUAUCUCAUACUAUUUUUAUUUAUUUCUAUUUUUUUAUAUUUAAAUCCGGUAUAUUACAUUACACCGCAACCUUACCGGAACCAUUCAAAUGGCUCUCCAACCAAAUGGACACCGUAACUCAUAAUUUUAGAAGUCCGGUACCUUACAUGAAAGCUCAACAAGAAAGGUGACAGAAAGCCUGUUAAUCCCACAUAUUUUAAACAGUUAGUGGGAAGCUUGCGCUACUUAACCGCAACUAGACCCAACAUAGCCUAUGGUGUUGAGUUGAUCAGCAGAUAUAUAGAAAAGCCGACUCAGGUGCAUCUACGAGCAACAAAGCGUAUUUUACGCUAUAUAAAAGGAACGGUCAACUAUGGUAUUUUUUACGCUUAUGGUGGCAAGUUUGAACUCAUCGGAUUCACCGAUAGCGAUUGAGCCGGCGACGUAGAAGAACGAAAAAGCACACUAGGCAAUGUAUUUUUUCUUGGAAGUGGCACGUUCACAUAGUCAUCGAAGAAAUGGAUAGCGUAACUCUCUCAACAACAAAAGCCGAAUACGUGGCGGCGUCAGCAAGCGCUACACCAGUAAUUUGGCUCAGAAGAGUUCUUGAAGAAUUUGGUGAAAAUCAAAAGGCACCUACAAAAAUAUUUUGUGAUAAUAGCUCGGCUAUAGCAAUCGCAAAAAAUCAAUUUCUCACGGAAGGUGUAAACAUAUUGAAGUCCGUUAUCAUUAUAUUUGAGAACUUGUAAAGAAGAACGAUAUCGAGCUACACUUUUGUAGAAUCAAAAUCAAGUCGCCGAUAUAUUUGCGAAGCCGCUGACAUUGGCAAAUUUCGUGAAACUACAAAAGCUCCUCAGAAUGUGAAAAAUUGGGUUAAGGGAGGAUGUUGAUAAGUAACCCAAUAUUUUUAGUUAGUUUAGAUUUAUUUAUGUCAAGUUUAUUUCUUAAUUUUUUGUUGAUUAGAUAUAAGAGACAAGUUUAAAUCUUGUUCAAUUAUUGCUAUUAGAAUUUUUGGUUUAUGACUAUAUAUAGACUGUUGUAAAUGUGUGAAAAAUAAUCUACCACCAAAAUUUAGUCCAAAAAUAUUUAAUAAAAUUUUUAGUUUAAUUCGCUGUAAUACUCGUCUCCUUCCAACAGUGCCUAUGAAGUAAACAUCAUAGAAACAGUCAGUCCUUGCGUAUGAGUAAUAGUUUUUCGUGGAGGAUGAGUGUAAAUACAUAGUCAAGCAUAGAUAGCAUCUGAAACGUUAAUUAACCAUUCCUCUUAGGGUGUGUUUGGUUCACACUAUGAAAGAUUACUAGCAAUAAAAAGAUAUCCGAGAAUCUUAUUCUUAUUCAUCCUAUUACUAAGAAUGUGGCAUUCCUGUGUUUGGUUCGUACGGUCAUAUUAUUUAGUCAUGUUAUUUAAAUUUACCAAAAAUAUACAAUUAAUUUAUUUAUUUCUUUAAUUAAUUUUUUAUAAUGCUGUUAAAAUUUCAACAUGUUUAGAAAAAAGGAAGAGAGAACAUAGGUUAGAGAGUGAGAGCAUAAUUAAAGCAUCUGAAACGUUAAUCAACCAUUCCUCUUAGGGUGCGUUUGGUUCGCACUAUGAAAUAUUAUUAGCAAUAAAAAGAUAUCCGGGAAUCUUAUUCCUAUUCAUCCUAUUACUAAGAAUGUGGCAUUCCAAUGUUUGGUUUGCACGGUCAUAUUAUUUAGUCAUGUUAUUUAAAUUUACCAAAAAUAUACAAUUAAUUUAUUUAUUUCUUUAAUUAAUUUUUUAUAAUGCUGUUAAAAUUUCAACAUGUUUAGAAAAAAGGAAGAGAGAACAUAGGUUAGAGAGUGAGAGCAUAAUUAAAGCAUCUGAAACGUUAAUCAACCAUUCCUCUUAGGGUGCGUUUGGUUCGCACUAUGAAAUAUUAUUAGCAAUAAAAAGAUAUCCGGGAAUCUUAUUCCUAUUCAUCCUAUUACUAAGAAUGUGGCAUUCCAAUGUUUGGUUUGCACAGUCAUAUUAUUUAGUCAUGUUAUUUAAAUUUACCAAAAAUAUACAAUUAAUUUAUUUAUUUCUUUAAUUAAUUUUUGAUAAUGCUAUUAAAAAUUUCAACAUGUUUAGAAAAAAGGAAGAGCGAACAUAGGUUAGAGAGUGAGAGCAUAAUUAAAGAAAUAGGAAGAGAAAUAGAGUCGAGGUUAAAAGAAGUGAGAGAUUUGAGAUUUUAGAAAAAGAGGGGGAGAGAGAGCUUAGUUUAGAGAGAGAAAAAGAGUUUAAGUUUAGAAAAAAAAAAAAAAAUAGUUUAAAGAGAGAUAUGAGGUUAGAGUGUAAAGAAAAAUAAUACCAACUAGCCGGUAGGUAAGGAGAAAGAAAGAGAUUAGACAUAUUAUGAUUACCCUAAUCCAUUAAUAUGAAGAUACCCACCCUCGCUCGAGGGAAUGAGAUUAGUACUUUGGAAUGAAUCUCAUUCCCAAGUAAAUCCAAUAUUACCAACUAGAUUAUUUAGUGCAUUUAGCCAAACACCGUCAUAUUUUUUUUAUUCCUAUUGGAUUACUAGGAACCUUAAAAAGAUAGCACGAACCAAACGCACCCUUAACGUAUUUCUUAAAUCUUUAUCCCUUCUGCUACUCACAAACUAGCAACAUUUAUAACUGCAAAGAUACAGCAAAUUUCAUGUUUCAGCAUUAGAACCAUAGGCUAUUACCCAAAGUCCGCGCCAUCAUAAAAAUAAUGAUAAGAUGAUAAGAUGAUAAGAUUAACAAAUUGGAAAAUCUAAUGCGGGUUCACAAAAUUUAAUUGAAAAUCUAAAUCUGUGGGCUCACAAACUAUCUUGAUACAUUUUCCUUGGGCUUUUUUUGCAAAUAGCCCCCUGACAAAAUUUUAUUUUAAAAAUAGCCCUGUCAAAAAUAUAAUUUGCAAAAAUGGCCCUGGGCCUGCCACGUAGGCACCAUGUCAACGCCACGCGGGCAGGGCUGGGACCAGUGUGUUAAGUUGAACGCGGUGAACCAUUCACCGUGUUCAAACACAGUGAAUGGUUCACCGUGUCUAAACACGGUGAACUGUUCACCGUGUCCAAUGUGUUAUACGACUUAGUCUUGAAGCAAGUAAGCAGCAGGGAACCGGGUAAUUACAUAAGACACACGGGAGCAUUCAUCGUGUAUAUUAUCACGUGAAUGGUUGCCCCGUGUCUAAACAGCGGUGAAUGUUCAUCCGUGUUUGAACAUCGUGAUAUGGUUCACCAUGUUUAAUACAACUACUUAGGACUCAGAAAACUAUUUUAGCGAGUAAAAAUCUACAGAAUCACAACAUUACAACGCAACAACAAAUUCAUACAAUAAUACCAGUAAUUCAAUAUUAACAAUACAGCAAACAAAUCCAACAGAAUAUCAAUAAGCAUAAAUACCUAGAUCAUUCACAAUAGAAUAUCAAAUAAAGGGAUCAAUAUGAGAUCAUCCACAGACAGAAUAUCAAAAUUAAAAGGCAAGUUUUCAAUAAUAUACGAAAUAAUAAUAUCAUGUUCUGCUCGCUAGUCCUCGAAACGUCGGCCUACCCACGUGCGACCACGACAACACCAUGCUCUCAAAAGGCCUUUAAGACUCCGAACUGGUGCGAGAUGGCUCGAUAGAAGCCACCGUCUUAAUUAACCGCUGAGUGUCCUGCGUCCCGAUCACCCCCCAUCCGAUCCUGCGUGCUCAUCAUAGCAGGUGUCGGUAGUAUGUUGCCGUGGCAGCUGAAGAGGAGGGCUGAUCUUUGGAGAGAUUGCAUCUGUCGUCGCGCCUAAUGAUAAAUAAUAUCAACUGCGAGGUGAAUCCUCUGUACUGGUGUCCGAUGCCGUGUGCCAUAACAAUAAGGUGCUCCUCUAUCGGUGAUGAUGGUCUCGGUGGACCUAUACACUGGUGUAUGCCUGACAUCGAUGGUCCACCAUAGUCUCUGUCGUGAGGUACAGUGUGUGGAAGUGUAGGUAAAGUCUCCAAAACUCGCUUGCCAUCUGAUCGAACAAUUGUGUGAUAGGGGAUGCUAAUACUCCACUCCUGGAAUAUUCGCAGGACACGUCUGAUCGUGUAAUAUGACAUCUGCACGAUAUCGACUUAAAUAAAAUGCACCAUCAUAAAGAUUAUACAAAAUUUUCUUAUAUAUAUAAAAAUAAAUAUAAAAAGAUAUUAUAUAUUAAGAACCAUACCAAUACUCUCAUCGAGACGUGACCGACGUGGCUAUACAUGAGAGUGACUGUGUCUUGCGUAGAUAUCCCCUCCCGGUGAUCGUUCCAAAUACCACUGCAUGUAAACAGUGGUAGCUCGUAUACGGAUCUGGAUCUACCUCAGGAAUCCACCUCUGCUAUAUUCCACACAAUCUAUCAUUUAGACGCUGCUAUUAUAAGUAUGGUAUGCCGGCCCAACCCCAUCUGCCUACCUCGGAAAUGAUCGCGAGGUAAUGGCAAGGCCACUACUUUCAGGUAUAUGCUGUACUACGACCAAACUGUCGAAGCAAUACGAUCCCGAUGAAUGCACCACUUCAUAUGUGGAAGCAGACUAAGGUGGUCUCGAAUCACCAAAACCUGCGAACCGCGCUAGACAAAGGUGGAGCGUCUCUAAUAUGCUAUCUGUAUAAGCGCCUUCUAUGUAAAUCUAUUGUGAAUAAAUACAUAAAAUCUACAUAUCCAAAUUGGAGAGUAUAUAGUGUUAAUUGUAAAGUCGCUAAUGCUAACUGCUUGAAUAAAAGUAUUAAUGUAGAAUGUUUAAUACAUAGUUUAAAAGUAUGUUUAUAAAGUAUGUAAAGUGCUAAGCUAACUGCCCUACCUGCAUAUGAUUACUAUCAAAAUACUAUGUUUAAAAGUAUUAAUGUAAAGUGUUAAUGUAAAGUGGCUAAUGCUAAUUGUAAUAAUUUGUUCAAACUGCGAAUGCUAACUGCCCUAGCCUGCAUAUGAUUAUUAUCCAAAAUACAUUAUGUUAAAAGUAUUAAUGUAAAGUGUUAAUAGUAUAAGUGCUAUGCUAACUUGUAAAAGUCGUUGUCAAUGCGAGGUUGAUUUCAUUAGUUGGUGAGUGAACGGAAAAAUACCAACAGAUUGAUUUACUUUUAUUUUACUUGAGACUCUAACGGUGAUCCAGCCUGAUCACAUUAAAACUCUAUGUCAGUAGUCUGAUAUAUGUUUCUGAAAAAGCCAGCCCGGUAUUUCACCUGAUUCAUUUAUAUCAUAUUAGUUAUGAAUAAAAUAGUAUAUAGAAAACUUAAAAUAAAAAAUACUUACGCAGACCCUAGGGCAUGUCGACAACGCUCAGGUUGCGGUCCUAGACUAUCUUCAGUGCGGCCAAUGUGGCAGGUGUCCAUGCCCAAUAUUAUACAAAAAGUAGAUAGAAAUAGAAAUAAAAUCAUGAAUCUUAUAUAGUGAGCUAGUAAGGACAAUGCUACUUGAAUGUAAGGGUCCCGAAACAACCAACACUGACUUCCCAUCAUGCAAGGCAUUUUCUAGAGCCCGCGAUAAAGAUGAGCUAUGCCGCCGGUGCCUAUGCCAUAUCCUCACCGCAAGGUCAAAAUUCCUCUAAAGUGGCAACGCAUCUUCAAAAUGCACCUUCCGUUGGUAGGAUUUGGAAACAAACUACUCCUAUCUCAAUAGUAUAUAUGCUCUCCGCUGUAAGUCGAAGACAUAGCGGAGGGUAUUCUAAAGCGAUAUCAUGGAAAUGAUGAUAUAACCAGUCUAUUUUUAUUUCGCCGCCCCUAAUAUCCUGAGGAACCACCCGAGAAGUUAGCGCCGCAUAGCUCUGCCCACUGAUAUGAUCCCCCUCCGGUCACAGCCCCACCAUGGACGCAGAGUUCAGUAAUAAUUGCGACGUCCAAUCAAAGUAAUGGUCAUCUCUCCGUGUCGCAAAUGGAACUCUGGCAUCUCUUUCCGCCACACUUGACUAAUGCUCCCAAUAAUGACUGAUCGAGCUGUAGCUGCCGCAAUCGUGAAACGUAAUAAAAUCUGCCUCGUCGGAAAUAGGUCCAAAACUGCAGGAUGCUCAAUUUGCCAUAUGUUCAUUUUACGCCCAUGCUUCGUGAAUUGAACAGGAGAAUAAUCCUGCAUGAUUGUGAAUGUCAGCUCAAAUUAGACAUAGUUUAUAAAUAAAAUUGAAAUGUUUAUAAUAAAUCACCUCCUCUUCAAUCAGUAGAUCUAUGUUGUUCUGGCUCAGUCAGCACGGAUGUAUCAUCGGCCGGCUCCAUCAUGAUCGUCAAUCCUGAAAUAGUCAAAUAAAUUCAGUGAGAAAUUAAAAGGAUGUACAUUAGUGCGUAAGCAUAAAGAUUAAAAAAGUUAAGUGGCAACUAUUUCAUAUAGAAAAAUCUAGGCCGAUGUCCUCGGUCCUUCUUUGUUGAUUUUCAGAUAAAGUGCUUUUAUAAUGUCUAGAUUUUACACAUACUACAGUUGCCGCUCCUAUUCCAACGCCUUCGUCCAUAACAUUACGGAUACGCGUAGAUCUGGGUCUCUCUUUUCCUUCUCCGCGUGGUGCCGAGUAUAAGGUGAACAUAUGACUCGAUUCAAUAACGGCGAUCGGGAACGGGGUGGAACUGCGGUUCAUAAAGCCUUACAAUAGGAUGCGGCAGUAUAACCAAGGAGAACAUAAGCCAUAAUAAUCUAUGUUCAUGUGUGAAGAACUACACAUGACAAAAUGUGUGAACAAGGGAUUCCUGUGAGUUGCAAACACAAACAUGAAUAUGUAGAAACUGCUUCCAUUGAUAAUCACUUUGGUAUUGAUCAUCCCCGCUAGUAAGUAUGUCAAACUCGUGAAAUUCAAAUCGUCUCGACUUGUAUAUGCUCUAGCACUUUUCAUCGGCUAUUUGACUAUAUCCAUUGGGACGGAAAUUUAGACGUGAACAAUAAUUUACCACGAUAUAUUGGUGGCCAUAAAGAAUUGAUUGCGGUUCGACGCGAUAUCACAUUUCGGGAAUUUGAGAUGGAAAUUUACAAUGUUACUAAUUAUGAUCGAGUGGAAAACCGUCUCCGCAUCACGGUUCGAUGUCCAAUGGGAGGCAACGAAUGGGAGUUAGUUAACGUAUCAAGUAACAAUGCACUAUCUGACGUGAUGAGUAUUUUUCCGUUCCAUGGAGUUAUAAAAUUAUUCGUGGAGAAACAUGUGUCGACGACACACGACCACGACCGUCCAAAUACCAUUAAUUAUACGGAAAUGCGUAGACGCAAUUAUCAAAGGAAUUACGUCAAUCGCGAACGAGUUCGUACAUCAAGGUAUAAAGUAAUGAUCUUUAUAAUUGUUUUUCGUGAUUCCUCAAUUAGUUUAGGUGCGCAAAAUUAAUAACUUUGUCUUGUAAGUGUUACAGAGAGUUUGGAGUUCCAUGUGUGCCAGUUAGUGCAUCAUUGCCAUCUACUAUGAUGGAUCCGUCUCCGUUGGUUGCUCAAAAUGAGUGGCAGGUGAUUGUAUGAUUAGUUACAUGAAAAUUUGACCAAUGCGAAUAGUUAAUCUUAAAUAUCUUUACAGGUCUACUAUCUCUCCUUAUCAAAGUGAAAGUCGAUCAUCUAGUGUUUCAUGAAUGGACGGAUUGGGAAGUGAGAACUACUAUCCCUCCUAAUCAAAGUGAAGGUCCAUCAUCUAAUGUUCGUGAAUGGACCGAUUGGGAAGUGAGAACUACUAUCCCUCAUAAUCAAAGUGAAGGUCCAUCAUCUAGUAUUCGUGAAUGGACUAAUCGGGAAGUGACUACAACUGAUAAUAAGGACGUAAUUGGAAGUGAUGAGGAGUAUGUUAUUGAAACCGAUGAAGAGGAUCAAGGGCGAAAUUGAUGCUGAUUCUACUGAUGACGAGGAAUCCUUUGUUCCGUGUUCUUUGGAUCCUGAUCAUGACGGUGGCUUGAAUGCACUCGCAUGCACCAUUCGAGAUGAAUGUGUUGAAUGAAUUGAAAACUCAAAUGUCAACAACGAAGAUGUACCGUACCCGGUGGAAUUCGAGGAAUUUGAAGAUCAACGACAACGGUUUCUCCUGGGUAAUGAAUUAAUUAAUCAAAGCGUUGUUGAUGCAUAUAGUGAACGAAAUAUUGAUCAGAGUCCUCCAAGUGAUGAAGCACGGGCUAAUCGGACUUUUUCUGAUAAAUCAUCGCUAGUGAACGCUUUGGACGCUUGCCACAUUGCACAUAAUGUGCAGCUUAAAGUUGUUAAGUCAAAUACUACUAGAUAUACUAUGAGAUGUGUGGUCGAUUCUUGCCCAUGGAGAUUACAUGCCUCUCAACCGAAAGGUAGUUCAUUUUUUAAAGUAAAGACUUAUAGAGGUCCACACACAUGUUUGGUUCCAAUUCUGAAUACAAGACAUCGAAGUUGUACAUCAUCUUUCAUAGAUCAAUUUAUACCUACAUUGAAGGCAAGGCUUACUAUGAGUCCUAUGGAAAUUCAAUUUCGAGUUCAGAGUGAAUUACACGUUAGCAUAUCAUAUAACAAGGCUUGGCGGGCUAAGAAUAAAGCACUACAAAUUUUAUAUGGUAGUUGGGAGCAAUCAUACUGCGACCUUCCUCGAUACUUUUUUAUGUUGGAAGCAACAAAUCCUGGAACUAUUACGAAGAUUGAUUUUAUUAGUGUGACGAGCACUACUAGAAUGUUUUCAUGAGCCUUUUGGGCUUUUGGACCGUCGAUUCAUGGUUGGGAGUAUUGCCGCCUAUAACUUAAUAUCGAUGCUACUCAUUUGUAUGGAAAAUAUGGUUGCCACGCAUUAAUUGCCACAGGUGUCGAUGCCAAUGGUGGUUUAUUUCCGCUAGCGUUUGCAAUUUGUGAGGAGGAGAUGGCUCGAGUUGGGAGUGAUUUUUAAGUUGCCUAAGAAGGUAUAUAACAAGAUCUCGAGUUAUUAUACUAAUUUCAUAUCGUUUUAAAGGACUAACGAACCUCGUUGCACUUGUAUUCCCACCAUCCGAAGGUCUUACUCAUUGAUGGUGUUUGCGACAUAUGUAGGCCAAUAUGAAUAUUCAUUUCAAAGCAAAACACUUACUUAAAAUAUUUUGGAGAAUUGGAAAUACUUCAGAAGAACGACAAUAUUACUCAUUAAAAAAAGAAUUGAAGGCUAUGGAUGAAAAAGCUUGGCUUUCGGUUGACAAUCUUCAUACCGAUAGGACAUACUGGGCUAAAGCUUUUGAUGGUAGUCGACGAUUCGGUAUUAUGACAACUAACCGAUCGGAAAGUUUAAAUGGGGUGUUGACGGGAGUUCGCGCCUUACCGAUUACAGCUUUUGUGAUGGCAACGUUUCACCGAGUGGUAGAAUUUUUUCUAAAACAUCGUGCGGAGGGCACUACAAUGUCUACGCAGUUUGUCUCGACUGUUGAAAACACCAUCAAUAGCCGGAUGAGAAGUGCUAGAGCAUAUACAGUUCGACGAUUUGAAUUUCACGAGUUUGACAUACUUACUAGCGGGGAUGAUCAAUACCAAGUGAUUAUCAAUGGAAGCAGUUCUACAUAUUCAUGUUUGUGUUUGCAACUCACAGGAAUCCCUUGUUCACACAUUUUGUCAUGUUGUAGUUCUUCACACAUGAACAUAGAUUAUUAUGGCUUAUGUUCUCCUUGGUAUACUGCCGCAUCCUAUUGUAAGGCUUAUGAACCGCAGUUCCACCCCGUUCCCGAUCGCCGUUAUUGAAUCGAGUCAUAUGAUUCACCUAUACUGGCACCACGCGGGAGAAGGAAAAAGAGACGACCCAGAUCUACGCGUAUCCGUAAUAUUAUGGACGAAGGCGUUGGGAAUAGGAGCGGCAACUGUAGUAUGUGUAAACAGUCUAGACAUUAUAAAAGCACUUGUCCUGAAAAUCAACAAAGAAGGACCGAGAGACAUCGUCGCUAGAUUUUUCUAUAUGAAAUAGUUGCCACUUAACUUUUUUAAUAUUUUAUGCUUACGCACUAAUGUUACAUCCUUUUAUUUCUCACUGAAUUUAUUUGACUAUUUCAGAUGGACGAUCAUGAGGAGCCCGGGCCGAUUGAUACAUCCGUGCUGACUGAGCAGCAACAACAUAGAUCUACUUUGAUUAGAGAGGAGGUGAUUUAUUAUAAACAUUUCAAAUUUACUUAUAAACUAUGUACUAAUUUUGAGCUGACAUUCACAAUCAUGCAGGAUUAUUCUCCUGUUCAAUUCACGAAGCAUGGGCGUAAAAUGAACAUAUGGCAAAUUGAGCAUCCUGCAGUUUUGGACCUAUUGCGACGAGCAGGAUUUUAUUACGUUUCACGAUUGCGGCAGCUACAGCUCGAUCAGUCAUUAUUGGGAGCAUUAGUCAAGAGGUGGCGGAAAGAGAUGCAGAGUUUCCAUUUGCGACACGGAGAGAUGACCAUUACUUUGAUGGACGUCGCAAUUAUUACUGAACUCUGCGUCCAUGGUGGGGCUGUGACCGGAGGGGGAUCAUAUCAGUGGGCAGAGCUAUGCGGGCUACUUCUCGGGGUGGUUCCUCAGGAUAUUAGGGGCGGCGAAAUAAAAAUAGACUGGUUAUAUCAUCAUUUCCAUGAUAUCGCUUUAAAUGCACCUCCCGCUAUUGUUCGAGCUACAACGAGAGCAUAUAUACUAUUUGAGAUAGGAUGUAGUUUGUUUCCAAAUCCAAACGGGAAUAGGGUGCAUUUGAAAUGGUUGCCACUUUUAGAGGAUUUUGACCUUUGCGGUGAGUUGGCAUAGGGUGCAGCCGCGCUAGCUCAUCUUUAUCGGGCUCUAGAAAAUGCUUGCAUGAGGGGGAAGGUCGAGUGUUGUUGUUUCGGGACCUUACUUCAAGUACAUUGCCUUACUAGCACUAUAUAAGUCAUGAUUUUUAUUUCUAUUUCUAUCUAUCUUUUUGUAUAGAUAUGGGCAUGGGAUCACCUGCACAUUGGCCGCCCUGAGAUAGUAGGACCGCAGCCUGAGCUUGUCGACAUGCCACUAGGGUGUCGGUAAGUAUUUUUUUAUUUUAAGUUUUCUAUAUACUAUUUAUUCAUAACUAAUAUGAUAUAAAUGAAUCAGGUGAAAUACCUGGCUGGCUUUUCAGAACAAUAUCAGGACUACUGACAUUGAGUUUUAUCGUGAUCAGCUGGAUCAGCCGUUAGAGUCUCAGGUAAAUAAAAGUAACUCAAUCUGUGGUAUUUUCGUUAUCACCAACUAAUGAAAAAUCAACCUGCAUUUGACAACACUUAUUACAAGUUAGCAUUAGCACUUUACAUUAACACUUUACAUUAAUACUUUUAAACAUAUGUAUUUUUGGAUAAGUAAUCAUAUGCAGGUAGGGCAGUUAGCAUUGCAUUUGACAACACUUAUUACAAGUUAGCAUUAGCACUUUACAUUAACACUUUACAUUAAUACUUUUAAACAUAUGUAUUUUUGGAUAAGUAAUCAUAUGCAGGUAGGGCAGUUAGCAUUAGCACUUUACAUACUUUUAAACAUACUUUUAAACAUAUGUAUUAACACUUUACAUUAAUACUUUUAUUCAGCAGUUAGCAUUAGCACUUUACAUUAACACUUAUACUCUCCAAUUUGGAUAUGUAAUUUUAUGUAUUUUUCACAAUAGAUUACAUAGAGGCCUUAUACAGAUACAGUAUUAGAGACGCUCCCACCUUUUUGUCUAGCGGGGUCGCAGGUUUGGUGAUCGAGGACCACCUUAGUCUGCUUCCACAUUAUUGAGCUGCAUCAUCGGGAUCGUAUGCUUCGACAGUUUGGUCUAUUACAGCAUAUACCUGAAGUAGUGCUUGCCAUACCUCGCAUCAUUUCACGAGGUAGAGCAGAUGAGGAUUGGGCGGCAUACCAUACUUCAUAUAUUCAGCGUUAGAAUGAUAGAUUGGUGGAUAUAGCAGAGGUGGAUCCUGAGGUAGAUCCAGAUCCUAUACGAGCUACCACUGUUUACAUGCAGUGGUAUUGGACGAUCACCGGGAGGUGGAUAUCUACGCAAGUACACAGGCCACCUCUCAUGUAUUAGCCACGUGGUCACGUCGAGAGAGUAUUGGUAUGGUUUUAAUAUAUAAUAUCUUUUUAUAUUUAUUUUUAUAUAUAUAAGAAAAUUUUGUAUAAUCUUUAUGAUGGUGCUUUUAUUUCAAGUCGAUAUCGUGCAGAGAUCAUAUUACACGAUCAGACGUGUCCUGCAGGAUAUUCCAGGAGGUGGAGUAUUAGAUGCCCUAUCACACAUUGUCGAUCAGAUGGAAGCAGUUUUGGAGACUUUACCUACACUUCCACACACUGUACCUCCACGACCAGCAGACUAUGGUGGACCAUCGAUGUCAGGCCAUACACCAGUGUAUAGUCCACCGAGACCAUCAUCACCGAUAGAGGAGCCACCUUAUGUUAUGGACACGGCAUCGACACCAGUACCAGAGGAUCCACCUCGGCCAGUUGAUAUUAUUUAUCAUAGGCGCCGACGACAGAUGCAAUCUCUCCAAACAGAUCAGCCCUCCUCUUCAGCUUCUCCACGGCCAGACAUACUACCGACACCUGCUAUGAUUGAGCACGAGAUCGGACGGGUGAUCGGGACGCAGGACACUCAACUGGUUAUUAAGGGUGCUUCUAUCGAGCAUCUCGACCAGUUGGAGGUCUUAAAGCCUUUUGAUGAGCAUGGUGUUGAUCGUGGUCGCGGACGUGGUAGGCGACGUUGUCGAGGGACUAGGAGGAGAACAUGAUAUUAUAUUUCUAUAUUAUUGAAAAACUUGCUUUAAUUUUUGAUAUUCUGUUGUGAUGAUCUCAUAUUGAUGCUUUAUUGAUAUUCUAUUGUGAUGAUCUAGUAUUUAUGCUUUAUUGAUAUUCUGUUGGAUUUGUUGCUGUAUUGUUAAUGUUGAAUUACUGCUAUUAUUGUAUUGAAUUUGUUGUUGCGUUGUAAUGUUGUAUUCUGUGAUUUUUUACGCUAAAAUAUUUUCUGAGUCCUAGUAGUUGUAUUAAACAUGGUGAACCAUUCACCAUGUUCAAACACGAUGAACAAUUCACCGUGUUUAGACACGGGGAACCAUUCACCGUGUAAUAAUACACGAUGAAUGGCUCCCCGUGUCUCAUGUAUUACCCGGUCUCCCUCUGCUUACUUGUUGCGGGUCCAAGUCUAUGAAUAACACAUUGGACACGGUGAACAGUUCACCGUGUUUAGACACGGUGAACAAUUCACCGUGUUCAAACACGGUGAAUGGUUCAUCGUGUUCAAACACGGUGAAUGGUUCAUCGUGUUCAACUUAACACACUGGCCCCAGCCCUGCCCGCGUGGCGCUAACAUGGCGCUUGCAUGGCAGGAUCAGGGCCAUUUUUGCAAAUUAAAUGUUGAGAGGGCUAUUUUUAAAAUAAAAAUUUCUCAAGAGGCUAAAUGCAAAAAAAGCCCAUUUUCCUUCCAUAAUAUACAUUCUCACUUGAAACAAUUGUAAGAAAUGACUUGUUUUUCUUAGUAUACAGCAACAUGACCCUUCAAAAUAAAACAAGAAAAAGGGUCCAUUUACACAUGAACGAAUGACCAGACGGAUUGAUUAAACCAAUCUGACGAACUCACUGCAUUUUUUCCCUCUCUAGAGUUCCAAAAUUUGCAUGCAGCUUCUUGACAAAACUCCACAUUGAGCUUCAAUUUAAUAGCAAUAUAUCAUUCGUUCUCAAACUUUAGUAAGGCUUGAUAAUUGUCACCAUAAGAAUGACUCACUCCAUAAUAGAUGACUCGUCUGUUGGAGAAUCAACAGAUUGUCUAGCAGAAAGCACCUUGUCUAGGGUUUGGUCUGCAACUUUGAUUCCGCUAGUCUCCAUAUCUGCAACUAUUGCAAUAGCCGCAUCAACUUCCCCAAGAUCGAGGCACAGGAUGAUGACUUCAUCAUAUAAUGGGCUGAAUCCAUCAUAAGACAAAGGGGAAAAGAAAAAGCCAAUCCAAAUCAAAUCACAAACAUAAUGUUCGAGUGAUGUAUCAGUAAUCAAAACAACUCAGUAGGAUAUGAAUCGAAGCAACUCAGUAGGAUAUGAUUCCUACAGACUAGUUUUGUUCAAACAAAUGUUCCAUCUCUAUAAAUCAUUAGACAAGAAAAUUGUCAGAGCUCAUAAGAGCCUAUUUGGCCUGGCUGCAGGGUGCCAUGCUAUUUGAAAGUGCCGUUUGUGCACACUUCUGUUAGAAGCACGACAUUUGCAUCCCCCAACAACUUCCAGCCAGAGGAGAAGCAGAAGCCAUAUUUGAGCCAUUGCUUUUCGCGUCAAUAUCUCAUUUCUACUUUAACAAGCAAGCUCCAAACUUUUCUGACUGCCAAAUGCUCUACUGAAAGUGAUUAUGGCUCAAAGCAGAAGCAGAAGCUAGGCCAAAUGGCCACUAGGGACAACAGGUAUCAAACAACCUCUAAACAAACUAAUACGACAAAAAAGACGUAGAUAUAUAAAUUUCUGUUACCUUCCAAAAACAUAACCAAGACUGUGUGUUGUCUGCAAUAUUGUUAGGAAAGUUGAAGGAAGAGGCGCCCUUAUGGCAGCACGCAGAAUCAUGGCACAGUCUCCAAUGGUUGGCAUCCCACCCAAUUCUAUCACCUGAAAGUUGACCGAGCAUUGCUGUUCAGAUAUUUCCAUUCAGAACCAAACAUAUCCCUUCUGCAGAAUAACAUGAGAAACAUGCAGAAUAACAUGAAGAAACAUGCUGAACAAACAUGGUUCGGAGCUUAAACCAAACUUCGUAAACCGAAACUCAAAAAUCUUAGUAUAAAGUUUCGAUUUAUGUGGGUGCCAAUCCAAACUACUGGCCAAAACUAAACCAAAGUGAGACACUUUGAUCCGGUUCCAACGCAGAUUAAUUCUAUAAUGUGGAUCUAAACGACUAAACGAACCAAAGCUAUCUUAUAGGAACUAAUUGUGUAAUGCUAUCAAUCUUUACACAAUCAAAUGAUUGCCCUUAAUAGAUGAGAAUUAAAAGUAGCUUUUACUUUUACCACUAUGAUAUAUCAAAUUUCUGGAAAAUUAAGCUUAAUUAUGACAUACCAAUGCUUUUCGAAAAUUUGAAAACCUUUAACAGAUAUUCACAACAGGAACCUUGAAACCGCUGAAACAUUAAUUUUUGGUAAAGAACUAAAAUAGAAACCUAUACGAGUUUUGAACCACAAAUUAAAGGAUACUAUUGAAUGGGUUCAGAACAAACUUGUCACUGAAGUUUAACUCCAACCAACUCUGGUUUCGGUUGCAGCGUGGAGCCUCAAUUGUAACACUUUAGGGUUGUUGAAGAUUUAACCCCAACUUCUAUUUCAUCCUCAGAGUUUAACUUGACCCCAGAGUUUUACCUUGAUUCCAUUCCACUACUGAAGUUUGAUUUUCAAGUCAACUUAGUCCUCAGAAGUUCAAUUUUACCAAACCAAAAUCUAAUGAUAGUGCUCCAAGGCACUACUUAGACAAUAAAAUAAAAGGGCAUAAUUGUUUUUCAGAACAAACUUUAGGGACUACAUUGUUAUGAGGACUAAGUUGAAAUCAGGAUCAAGUGUGGGGACCAAACUUGUAUUCCUUGAAAGAGACUAAACAGGAACAGAAACAUGCCUUGUGCAUGAUUUUGAUUGCUAACUCAACCUCCCAUUCUUGUGACCAUUUCCGAGGCAUUUUAUUCUUCAAGUCCCUCUCCCAUGUCCACCCCCAAGCGUCCGCAAUGGUAAACAUAUCUUGUAUGUCGAAAAUCUUUCUCUCUCGCAUGACCUUAAAUGCUUCAUGGACAUCCUCUGGGAACCAAUCUUCAUCAUCAUCAUCCUACAUUAAUAGUAUUUUUCUUCAAGUAUAACAGAAGCUUAACAUCAUGGAUUACCUACGAAAAGACAAAGGACAAAAAACAAGAAAGCAAGAAAUAAUUCAAAGAUACUCUUAGUCAUCGUGGAGGAAUAAAAUAAAAAUUUGUGACAAGUCUAAUAUUAUAGUAACUCUUUGUCGAGACCACCUCUCCGUUAACUCGAUGAUUUGUGAGUUGUGACAACUACAACAUGUAAGUGUAGCUAGCCAACUAUAACUGAAUUCAUUACAAAUAUUUAAUGACCAUUCUCUGGUGAAGUUUAUAACAUAAAUAUGUCUGUUUUCAAGAAUCAGUAAGUGAUUGAUCGAAACACUGUGAAUGAAAUCUUCAACUCCAGGGAGCAAGGAACCUCCAUCCACUGGAUUUGUCAACACUAGUAUGUCACCCUUCGCACCUUAGUCACCCAAAACCCCUGAAAAUCCUCCCAAGGAAUACUUUUUCUCUUCUAAAUGAAUGAACUUACAUGGGCAAAUGCAGCAAUCAGAUACAAGGCCAAAGGUGUGGCUUUGUGUAGAGGCCUGUCUAUAAACAAAAAGCAGAUUGUUCUACAGGAUUAGCAUUAGGAAAAGGCGUUUCAUAUCAGUCGACUUCCAAGCAUAUUAAGGGGAAGAAAGAAAGCUGUGCAUUAACAAUUUUUUCCCCCAGUAGUAAUUAUGGACAAAUUCGACAUCAAGUAUGUUAUCUGUUUUAGUCUUCACUAAUAAUUCUGAGAUUAUUCAUGCACAUAUACACAUAUGAAUAAUAGUUUCCAUUUUCAUACUAUUCCAAAGGAUUGAACUUCAUGUUUCUAUUUUUAUUCAUUGUAAAAAACAUAUUACGCACAUUUUGUACACAAGCUAUGUAAUUUGAUCCAUAUAAAACACAGUUUUACCUCAUUAAACAUAUAAAACUAUAGAAAUUUUCUAGAAACAAUAUGCUAAAGCAUUGUAGAAAAGUAGGUUAUUAACAGGGACAGAAAUCAUUCUGUCAUAAUCUAAUAUAAUUGCUCUUAUUUAUAUUUAAAUACUUUGGCCAAACUUUCAUAGGACCUUUCGGUUAUUAAGGUCUUGUUUAGAUGUGGAAUAAGUUAUCAAGUGAUAACUUGUCCGGUACAAGGAUUUUCUAUUGUGAUUGGAAGCUAGGAGUUUUAAUUUUGACUUUGAAAGGACUUUGGAAGCUAGGAGUUUUAUUUUUUUUUUGACUUUGAAAGGACUUAGCAUCGAUAAUUUGGUAGUAUAGCAUAUUUUACUUAGCAUCGAUAAUUUGGUAGGAUAGCAUAUUUUACUUAUGAAGCGAUAUAUCUUAUUGUGAGACCCCAUAUAGUCCCAUAUAUAAGAUAUAAUACGGCAUACGGCUAGACCUAUUAACCCGGCUUAAACAUUUUGGAUGGUGGCUAGGUCCAAGAGAUUAAGAGAGUUAAGCGUGCUAGGAUGGGAGUAGUCCUAGAAUUGGUGACUCCUUGGGAAGUUGGGGCGUCACAAUUGGUAUCAGAGCCAAUUACCAGCCGGAAGUGUGAGAUGAAUUUCGGCUAAGCUAGGGUCGAAAUGACAAGACCAGCGAGACAAGUCUCACAUCUCUUGGUACUUGUGAAUCUGAGCCUGACGAGAACGUCAAGGCUUAAAGGAGGGGUGACUGUGAGACCCCAUAUAGUCCUAUAUAUAAAAUAUAAUAGAGCUAAAACUCUUAACCCUGCUUAAGCAUUUUGGGUGGUGACUAGGCCUAAGAGGUUAAGAGAGUUAAGCGUGCUAGAAGGGGAGUAAUUCUAGGAUGGGUGACCCCCUGGGAAGUUGGGGCGUCACACUUAUUCUCAUAAAAUGAUUUUGAGGCCUGAAUAUGGCAUGCCAUGCUAGACAUAGAUCACACUUCUCAUCUACCAAAUAAAUACAAGCUUUUGUGUUAAGAAGAUAUGCUGAACAAGCUUUGUUCACGCAUCCAAACAGGGCCUACAUGAAUUAGCAAUUGUACAUAUUUUGUACACUUCUUUUAACCCUUAAUGUAUUUCUAAGACGAUAUUUUGAUCUGCAUUCUGAAAAUGAAAUCCAAGUUAUUCUCGUAUAAUACAUAAAAUAUAUUUUGUUUCCAAUCCGUAUUACCAAUGCAUGUUAAAACAAACAUAAAAUGAUCAUAUAAAAGUUAGAAGUGUCGCGUGUAGUUAGUAAUCAUAGACCUCGACAGAUGCCCGAGCAGCCCUCUGUGAUUUUUUUGUAGUAUUUGUUUCCUCUGAAUCCUUCAAUAGUUGUAUGGCAAUCAUUUGAAGAGGCUUAGCUCGCUCAACUUCUUUGUCCUUACUAAUAUCACCAACUUCAACUUGACUUUCUGUUUGUUCCACAACUUCUUCCUCCUCAUCUGCCUCAUCUUCCUCUGCUUCUUUUGCCACAUCCUCUACCACAUCAUCAUCCAACAUAUCAGGAAUAUCUGGAUCGCCCGCAUCAAUGGUCCUAUCCUGAAUAUUUAAAGUUUCACCCAUAAAACGGCUUUUCCAAAACUCUGUGUUCCCAUCUUCGAGCUUAAUUCGAAAUAUUAGUUCAUCUAACUCUUCAUCAACCUACAAAUAGAACAACAAAGAAAAAAAUAUAGAGAGACUCAGUUCAGAACCUGCAAUAGUUAGCAGGUGUCAACUAAGACAUACUAGGACUUCUCAAGACAACAGUGUUCGCAGAAUUACUAAAUUAGCAGCACCUCUUAAUGUGGGGCAUUACAAAUUCAGCCAUGGAGUUUGAUCACGAUUUCCAUUCGUCCUCAUAUUUGCAAUUUUAAGUACUUAGCCUCCAAGGCUCAAUCUCAAUUUUGAUUUCGUAUUGACGGGCCUCAAUUUUAUCAACUUAGUCCAUGAAGUUUAACCACGAUUUCAAUUUCACCCUCAGAAUUUUAAUUUCACAGAAAGAUCUACUUGUUAGGAAGGACAAACUUGAUGGACUUAGUUAAAAUUGAAGCAAAAGGCAAAAUUGAAAUCAGAGUCAAACUUUAGCAACUGAUUGUAAUUAACCUUGAUCAUGCUAUGUUACCAACUGAACUCAGAACCAGGAGUACACAAAUAAGCAGAACAUACCUCUUCUUCCUCCUCUUCCACUGGAGGAACCCAAAGUGGCCGGCCACGUGAACGGUUAAUUCUUCUUGCUUUUUGUACUCUCUGAUAAAGUACUUGUCUAGUUCCAUCUGUAGGUAAGUCUUGUGCUUCUAGCUCCUCCUUUAAUUCUGAUACUACCAUUUUACUGGCAGCCUUUGGUUUCAACACAUUCUGAUCUGGCCCUUUGAUAAUCUUUUUCAAACGCUCCUCUACUCUAAGAACAUCGGCUUCAGAAACAUCGCCUAAAAUUGCAGGCCCCUCAUUCCUUAAAGUUUUCAGGAGUUUACGAUGAUAGAUCCUCCAUUCCUCUAAACAGAGCCGUUUGAAAGAUGUUUCCACAGGAUUGGAAUAAGCAAACCCCAGGGCAUCCGGAUCCAAAGGAGUUUUCCCCCUGCGCGGCACCCACCGCUUGCGCUCUCCUGUAAGACCUCCCUCCGCUAUAUACCUAAAAUAUGUCAUAAUACAUACGACGUAAAAGUUGUAAGCAAAAGAAGAGAAGAUAUACCAAAUAUAAAUAUAACAACGGAUAUCUAUGAUGCAACCUUAUUCUCUGAUUAGCAACAGAAAAGAGUAAUAAGUAACAAUGUGAUGAUGUUCAAACAACUAAAACUUGACAAACUUCAUAAAGACAAGCUCCCUUAUGUUGCAAUUAAAGCCAGACUCUAACAAAGUAAUGCAAGUGCUACAACCAUCUCGACAAAUUCUACUUGACAACAAUAACAGGACUUACAUUCCCCUCCAAAUAUGCAAAAUUGCACAAGUGCCGCUGCAUGUUAUUUGCAUGCAUGUUCCUGAAAACCAUUUGUAUUAGCAUUCACAUUCUUGCUAGGGGUAUAUAUUCCAAUACAGAUUUUGCCUGCAUACCCCCACAGAGGCACGUGCACACCGAUAAAUAAGUUUUCAGGGGCAGGCAUGCAAAUAUCAACUUUAUAGUGGUAUUUGCACAACUCAUACUUGUAGGGAUAUCUAUCAAAGCAAAAUAAAUAAAUAAAUAAAUACUAGUAUAGUAACCAUUUCUUUGAAUGCUAACACUUGGAUCUCUUAUAUUAGAGCUGUCUACUGUGUGAACAAUGUUUUCUAUAUAGACCAACAGAAGUAAUAUCUUGCACAAAAACUAGAAUUAGAAGGAAUCAUCAGCAAUUAAACACCAGUGCAGUCUUAAGUACCGACUAUGAGGGAAAAACAAUAAAAGUUUUGCAAAAAAAUCUUCUGCAGAAAUUAACAGAUUCUAGUUAACCUAUUAUCUACACGUAUAGUUAAUCAAUAUGCAGAUAUUAACAAAGACAAGAACGUUUAGAUGGCUCCCCAGAUGUUACCACAACUUAGGAGCACAACAGCAAUAUAUAUAUAUAUAUAUAUAUAUAUAUAUAUAGAGAGAGAGAGAGAGAGAGAGAGAGAGAGAGUCCGGCUGGGAUGCUAUCGAUAGCACCAAGGACUUGGUGCUAUCGAGUUUUCCACCAUUAGAUUUAACCCUUUGAUUAGUUUUACCCGUUAGAUUAUACUGUUCAACCAACCACUCACUCAACCCUAAGGGGCCCACAUCAUCCUAACCGCACAUUUCUCAAUCCAAGGGCUAAAAAACUAACAGCACCACUAGCUUGGUGCUAUUGAUAGUAUUCCAGCCUAGUUCUAUAUAUAUAUAUAUAGUUCUAUAUAUAUAUAUAUAUAUAUAUAAUAUAUAAUAUAUAGAACUAGGCUACUAUUAACUAUCGAUAAGCACGGAGCGCUCCGUGCUACCAGUUGUUUUCGAUGAUGCUGGCGGCUUCCAAAUCAACGAUCGGCUCCGUUAAAGAAAUUGAUGCUACACUAAUUGAAAAGUAUUUAUGAAACUAAAUUCAUAAUUUUUCGAUAUCAUUUACCUAAUCAUAACAGAGUAGUCUAAAAUUGGAUGGCUAAAAAAUAAAAAUCUCAUGAAAAAUGAUGAAUAAAGAUUUAAAUUCAAAUGAAUAUACUGAUCAGCUCCGUUAAGAUUUGAUUACACUAUUGAAGAUUUAGAAACUAAAAUUUCAAUAAUUUUCAAUAUCAUUACCUAAUCAAACAAGUAGUCUAAAAUUGAAGCGACUAAAAAAAAAUCUUAUGAAAAAUGAUGAUAAAAAAUUUAAAUUCAAGAUUAGAUAUAGCAUGGAUCUACUUCUAGAAUAGUGAAAAGAAUUUUCUAUAAGAAUUUUCAUCACAUUUAGAUUGUUUUACAACCGUUAAACUCACGAAACACACGCACUCGCCUUAAUAAUGUCAAUUUUGAGAAUCUCUUUGAUCACUAAGUCAGAAUGAAUGUGAAAAUAAAUCUAAAUUAUAGUUUCCAAAUUCCUUUCAAUAGUGUAGAAUCAAGUCUAAGCCCCCCCGGAACCUGAUCGUCUGUUUGGACCCGCACAUCAAACAACUUGUAAGCACGGAGCGCUCCCAGUGCUGCCAUAGCAUAGUAGCCGGACUCUAUUAAAUAUAUACUAUAUAUAUAUAUAUAUAUAAUCUCCUUUCCCCGCUGGCUGACUGGCUUUUGCUUUCAAGUGUUCACAGGUGCGAUUCAAAGGGGUUUCGGAAAGGGAAGGUGAGGGGUGCGGUUGCUACACUGAGCGAAGAGGAUGCUAACGCUACAGAGAGUGACAGCGCCUAUUCAGAUUCCGACUUGAUAAGAAUUCACACUCACCAUACGAAAGGAUCCCGGGAAAGGAUGAGGCAGCAAACUUCUUUCUACGAACCACUGUCGAUUUGGAAACCGACGUCGGAUUUUUAUUCGAAGACGGCUUCCAUAAACCUUGAAACUGAGAAGCGGCAUCAUAUUGACUUUCUAUCAGUCCUUAUGGCCAAUAAUUCUUUUGUAGUCGGUGAUUAUAUAUAUAUAUAUAUAUAUAUAUAUAUAGAUAAGUAGAUAUGAGAGAGAGAGAGAGAGAAGAGAGAGAGAGCUAGUCUCCUAUAACUAUCUAUAGUACCGGGGCCCAGUACUAGUCUCGUUUCGAAUCUUAGGGGUAAUUCAAUCAACCGAUCUACACCGUUAACGAUCUAGGUAUUUAAAGUUUUAGAAAUAGAUUUUAUAUUUUUUUGCGUGGUUUUACUUAUGAUCAACAAUUUCAAAAUUGUCAACUUUCAAUGGCUACUAUGGCGAGUUUAGAGUUUAAUCGGCAGUGAAGAACUAAAUUUCUCAAAUUUAAUAGAAAAUACUUUAAACUAUCUAAUUAAGGUUAACCAUUCUUGAUCUGUAAUUUAAAAGUCCUAGUACUAAAUUUUAAAGAUUAUUCACAAUUUCUAAAACCGUACCAUUUUGACAUAAUUUAUAUACUAAGUAACGAUGUCGACAAAAAACUAAAUUUUCAUUCUAAACUUUAAUACCUAGUCUAUUUAACGGUGUGGAUCGUUUUGAACACUUCGAAGCAAGACUAUAGUUCCGGAGUUCCGGUACUAUGAUUAGUAUAGUAGCCAAUCUAACAUAUAUAUAUAUAUAUAUAUAUAUAUAUAUAUAUAUAUAUUUCAGUACAAGAUAAAUGAAAACAGCAGCCAUGCAAAAAAAAAUAAAUUCAACUUCACCAUGGAGAAAAGGAAUCAAGUUAAAUCAGCAUACAAACAAAAUUUUUCUGAUAAUAAAGCAAACCUUGCAACAUAAUCAAUUUCGAAUCCAACAUCAGCUUCUUCUUGUAAAGGUUCUAUCCAGGAGCUCACUAGCGUGCGAUAUUUCCUGCUCAACAUCAUUGCUCUUCGUACAAUAUGUUGAUUAUCUUUAGCCAUUGCUUCCAAAGCUUCAAGCAACUCAACAGCUCUUCCUGAUUAUAAAAAUAACUUGCUCAGAGAAGUUCUAAUUCACAACAACACAAACCAUUAACAUAACCCAAAAAGGCAACUCUGACAAAUUAUGAUGGAUCAUUUCACAAAGUAGCAAAUAUUUCUCAAUGAUGCUAUAAAAUUAAUAACAGACUGAUAGUUCUUUGCAUCAAAAGCGUAAGACAUAAAGAAAAGGGAUAAGUAAUUUUUCUCAAUGAAUACAAGAACGUUGAGAAGACUUACAAUGAGUUGCAUUUAACAAUCAAUCAAAUAUAGCUAUAAAAAUAUUAUAAAGCACCUUCAAUAACUUCAUUUAUUUUAGAUGUACAACUAUGUUGCUAGGCGCAACAUCAGAAACAACUUCAUCUACAAUAUAAAGAGUUGAGCUAGAAGCCUAGAAUACUAUCGAUAUCACCAAGAUCUUCAUACUAUUACUACAUUCUAGGAUAACGCAUUCAAAUCGACAAUCGAAACUGUUAAAUAUGAACAAAAUGAAGUUUCAAGGAACCAAAUUUUACGAUCUUCUAACAUUAUCUUUUAUUGCAUCAGUUGGUCACAAAAUGAACAGUGCGAUUGAAUAUCCUGAUAAAAAUAGAGGAUGAGGCUCUUCCAUGUAAAGUAAAUUAUGUUGAUCUAGAUUUGGAUAUAACAAAAAAUAAAAAUAUAUAAGAUAUAUAAAAAAGAAGAAACCUAAUUUGUAUUCUUCUACAUCUUUUAAACAACAAAUGCCUUAUAUCAGCAUUAAAAAUUGAAAUUUUCAAAAAAUUUGAUCAUUAGGUACACAACGUCGAAAAAUCCUAAAUGUUGAGUCCAUAAAGUUCAAAUAUUCAAAAUAAUGUUUAACAAUGUGGAUAGUUGAUUCGGAUGCCCUAUCAUCGACAAUGAAGUACCAUGAAGACCUCAGUGUAUGUAUGUAUAUAUAUAUAUAUAUAUAUAUAUAUGAGUUGAGCUAGAAUACUAUCGGUAGCAAACAGGCUCCGUUGCCACCCAUUUGUUUUCGAUGAUGGAGCCUCCAAAUCGCCGAUCGGUACCGUUGAAAAUGAUCUAUACCACUUGGAGUAUUUAGAAAUCAAAUUUCAUGCUUUUCCGAUAUUGUUAUCUUGUCCAUCAAGUGGGCGUAAAAAUGAACGGCUGAAAAUGAAUAUCCUCUAAAGAGUGAUAAUAGGAAUUUUGUAAUCAAGAUCGAGAGUAUAGAUCUUGUUCUAAAUAGUUUAAAGAAUUUUCUAACCAAAAUUCAAUUGAUUUGGAUAGCUUUACACCGUUAAACGAGAAAACAUCUCAUAUCGACCAUUAAAAUUACAAAUUUUGAAAUCCUUUGAUCAUUAGGUCAAUGAUGUCGAAAAGAUUUGAAAUUUGAUUUCUAGAUACUUCAAGUGGUAUAGAUCAUGUUCAACGGUGCCGAUCGUCGAUUUGGAGACUCCAUCAUCGAAAACAAAUUGAUGGCAACGGAGCCCGUUUGCUACCGAUAGUAUUCUAGCUCAACUCUAUAUAUAUAUAUAUAUAUAUAUAUAUAUAUAUAUAUAGAAUUAUCCUACUAUAACUAUCAAUAGUACCAAGCCCUUGGUACUAUUGAGUUUUUCGACGUUGGAUGAAAGGAUGUGCGAUUAGGAUGAUAUGGUCCCCUAGGGUUGAGUGGAUUGUUGUUAAUAGUAUAUAAUCUAACGGGUGGAAAUGAUCAAAUUUCUAGGAUACGGAUACGGCGAUACGGAUACAGGACAUGGAUACGAAACGAUACGAAUAUCAGGUACGGAGAUACGGAUACGGGAUACGGAUACGACACCGAUACGGAUAACGGUGAUACGGCAAUUCUAAAAUUUCUACGGAUACGAUACGCGGGAUAUCUUGAAUAAAAUAUUAUUUUAAUUAUAUUAUAUAUGUUGAUUUUAUAUAAUGAUACAUUGAGACAAUCAGGAUAUUUGGACUAUAUUAAGGAAUAUAUUUUAAUAUGCAUUAAACUCUCGUAUAAUUAAUCUACAUGUGUUCAUAAAAAAAGAUAAUCAAUCAUAUGAAAUAAUAAUAUAAAAAAUAUCAAACCAACUAUCAUCCAACUUGAUCAAAUGACAACAAUAGAUACGUAGUUGCACAAAUUAGAUAAUUUGCCAUUCAAUAUAUAUAUCUGUUUUGUUAGUUCUAUAAUUAAAUUAGUAAUAAAAAAAUAUGCUAACAAUUUAAUAGAGAAGGAAAAAAAAUCAUAUUCUCUAUAGCCUUUGUUCGCUUAAUGCUAAAUUGACAAAUUAGAUGAAAGAGAGUAAAUACUGUGUGAAGAUAGAACGAGAGGAAGUGCCUUCUACCAUUCAAGAGCAAAAAGAUAGAGGAAAUGACAAAUUGAACAAAGAUUGAUGUUUUUCUCACUCUUUUCCUUCUUUCUAAUAGGUUUGGACGUGAGCUUUUAAAAAAAUUUUAAGUUUCGAUCAUUUUAAACCAAAAAAGAACCUGGCUGUGUCCCUCCAGUAUCCCUCACGUAUCCGAGCCAUAUCCGAUAUUUUUUUAUAUUUUAAAAAGAGUUAUUUGCAUACACGUCCCUGCAAACAUAGUGAAUUGCGGAAAUAUCCCUGCAAAACGGAAACUCCAUAAGUUGUCCCUGCAAAAGUCCUAAGUUAUGCAGAUAUGUCCCUCCGGUUAACAUCCGUUAGUGAUCUGUUUAUUUUUUAACAGUGGAUUCGUAAAAUGACCAUUUUACCCUCACAAAUAUAUCCCUCCAUAAGUUUUCCUCUUCUCUUCUCUUUCUCUUCCUAUUCGGACCGUUGAAGCAGACAACGGCGGCGGCGACAUGGGGUCGGGUUCGCCGGCGACGAAGAAGAGGGAAGAACGCCGGGGCACCAGAGCUCUACCCGGAGCUCGUCGCCCUCAACGCCGUCCCCUCCCUCGUCGGCCUCCUCGGCCACGACAUCGCCGACAUCGCAGUCGACGUCGUCUCCCUCCUCACCGACCUCACCGACGCCGACGUCCUCGGCGACCACGACGACCCCGCGCACGCCCUCGUCGCCGCCCUCGUCGACAACAACGCCCCCGAUCUUCUCGUCCAGAAACUCGCCCGCCUUUCCAAGGCCGACCCCGACGAGGUUCUUCUCCCUCGCCGGUGACGAAGAAGAGAGAAGAGGAAAAAGGAAGAAGAAAGAAGAAGGGAAAAGAGGAAGAGGGAAGGGGAAAAGGAAGAGGGUUCGCCGCCGUCGCCGCCACAUCUCCUCACCGGCGACGAAGAAGAAGGAAGAGGAAGAGGAGGAAGAGGAAGAAGGGUAAAUACGUCAAUUCACACUAUAAUUAACUAUGGUUAAGUAUUUUAACCGUGGUUAACGGAAAUUUUCAAACAGAUCUGGACGGCAGGGACAUAUCUGCAUAACUUAGGACUUUUGCAGGGACAACUUAUGGAGUUUCCGUUUUGCAGGGAUAUUUCCGCAAUUCACUAUGUUUGCAGGGACAUGUAUGCAAAUAACCCUUUUAAAAAUGUCGGAUACUUCAUUCCCGUAUUGGACACGUAUCGGGCGCGUAUCGGUAUCCGAUACGGGUACGACAUGAAAUUUGAAGUAUCCGUGCUUCAUAGAUUAUACUAUUCAACCGAUAACUCACUCAACCCUAGAGAGCCCACAUCAUCUUAAUCGUACAUUUUUUCAUCCAAGGGCCAAAAACCUAAUAGCACCAAUGACUUGGUGCUAUUAAUAGUACAGUAGCCCAUUUCUAUAUACAGAGAGAGAGAGAGAGUAGGACUUGUGUGCUAUUAGGAGCACAGGCCAACAUGCUCCUAACCCGUUUUCGAUGAUUAAACUUUCGAAACGACGGCCAACUCUAUUAGACUUGAUCUAGCGUAUUUGAAGUAUCUAGAAAAUAAUUAUUGCUAUUUUUGAGCCCUUUUGAUCAUUAGGUAAAUAAUAUCGAAAAAUUGCGAAAUUUAUUUUCUAGAUACUUCAACUAUUGCAGAUCAAGUUUAAUAAAGUCAAUCGUCGAUUUGGAAGUCCCAGCGUCGAAAACGACUUGAUAGCACGAAGGCCUCUAUGUCGAACUUCAUACAUACAUACAUAUAUAUAUAUAUAUAUAUAUAUAGAGUCCAGCUGGGAUACUAUCAAUAGCACCAAGGAUUUGGUGCUAUCGAGUUUUCCACCGUUAGAUUUAAUCCUUUAAUUAUUUUUACCCAUUAGAUUAUAUUAUUCAACCAAUCACUCACUCAACCCUAGAAGGCCCACAUCAUCCUAACCACACAUUUUUCAAUCCAAGGGUUAGAAAACUAAUAGCACCAAUAGCUCCAAGACCCACAUCAUCCUAACCACACAUUUUUCAAUCUAAGGGUUAAAAAACUAAUAGCACCAAUAGCUUGUAGCUAUUAAUAAUAGUAUUCCAGCCUAGUUCAUGUAUAUGUAUGUAUAUAUAUGUAUAUGUAUGUAUAUGUAUAUGUAUAUGUAUAUAUAUGUAUGUAUAUGUAUGUAUAUGUAUGUAUGUAUAUGUAUAUAUACAUAUGUAUAUGUAUGUAUAUCUAUGUGUAUAUAUAUAUAUAGAGAGAGAGAGAUAGAGAGAGAGAGAGAGAGCUAGUCUCCUAUACUAUCUUACCGGGGCUCCGGUACUAUAGUCUCGUUUUCGAUCUUAGGGUGUUCAAAUCAACGAUCCAUACCGUUAAAACUGAUCGAGGGUAUUUAAAGUUUUUAGAAAUAAAAUUUUAUAUUUUUUCGACAGAGUUUACUUUAUGAUCAAACCAUUUCAAAAUUGUCAAUUUUCAAUGGCUACUAUGACGAGUUUGGAGUUUAAUUUCAAAUUUUGAUAGAAAAUACUUUAAACUAUCUAGAUUAAGGUUAACAUUCUUGAUCUUGAAUUUAAAAGUCCUAUACUCAAAUUUUAAAGAUUAUUCAAUUUCCACCGUCCAUUUUGAUAUAAUUUAUUUACUAAGUAAACGAUGUCGGAAAAAACUAAAAUUUUAUUCCUAAGAACUUCAUAUGCCCUAAAUCAUAUUUAACAGUGUGGAUCGUUAAUUUGAACACAUUAGAUCGAAAACAAGAUUAUAGUACGAAGCUCCGGUACUAUAGAUAGUAUAUAGGCUAAAUUCUAUAUAUAUAUUGUAUAUAUAUAUAUAUAUAUAUAUAUAUCGUAUAUAUAUAAUUUAGAUAGAAGAGAGAGAGAGAGAGCUAGGCUCCUAUGCUUUCGAAAGUACGAAGGCCUCCGUACUUUUAAUUUGGAUACUUCUACACCGUUGAACAUAAAAACGUGCCACAUCGGCCGUUAAAAUAGUCAUUUUUGAGACCUUUUGAUCGCUUGGUAAAUGAUAUCAAAAAAUUAUAAAAUUUGGUUUCUAGAUAGUUCCAAUAGGGUAGAUUAUACUUAACGGAGCCGAUCGUCAAAUCGGAUGUCCUAUCAUCGAAAACAACUUACAAGCACGGAGAUCUCCGUACUUUCGAAAGUACAGGAGACUUACUCUAUAUAUGUAUAUGUAUAUGUAUGUAUAUGUAUGUAUAUGUAUAUGUAUGUAUAUGUAUGUAUAUAUAUGUAUAUGCAUAUAUAUGUAUAUAUACAUAUGUAUAUGUAUGUAUGUAUAUGUAUGUAUAUGUAUAUAUAUGUACAUGUAUAUAUACAUAUGUAUAUAUAUGUAUAUGUAUAUGUAUGUAUAUGUAUAUGUAUAUAUAUGUAUAUGUAGAUAUAUGUAUGUAUAUGUAUAUGUAUGUAUAUGUACAUGUAUGUAUAUGUAUGUAUAUGUAUAUGUAUGUAUAUGUAUGUAUAUGUAUAUGCAUAUGUAUAUGUAUGUAUAUGCAUAUGUAUAUGUAUAUGUAUAUGUAUAUGCAUAUGCAUAUGUAUGUAUAUGUAUAUGUAUAUGUAUGUAUAUGUAUAUGUAUGUAUAAGUAUGUAUAUGCAUAUGUAUCUGUAGAUAUAUGUAUGUAUAUGUAUAUGUAUGUAUAUGCAUAUGUAUAUGUAUGUAUAUGUAUAUAUAUGUAUAUAUAUGUAUAUGUAUAUAUGUAUAAAGAAUUAGGCUACUAUACUAUCUAUAGUACCGGAGCUCUGGUACUAUAGUCUUGUUUUCGAUCUUAGGGUGUUCAAAUUAACGAUCCACACUGUUAAAUAUGAUCUAGGGUAUAUGAAGUUCUUAGGAGUAAAAUUUUAGUUUUUUUCGACAUCAUUUACUUAGUAAAUAAAUUAUGUCAAAAUGAACGGUGGAAAUUGAAUAAUCUUUAAAAUUUGAGCAUAGGACUUUUAAAUUCAAGAUCAAGAAUGUUAACCUUAAUCUAGAUAGUUUAAAAUAUUUUCUAUCAAAAUUUAAAGAAAUUUAGAUUCUUCUACACCGUUAAACUUCAAACUCGUCAUAGUAGCCAUUGAAAAUUGACAAUUUUGAAAUGGUUUGAUCAUAAAGUAAAUUAUGUCGAAAAAAUAUAUAAUUUUAUUUCUAAAAACUUUAAAUACCCUAGAUCAGUUUUAACGAUGUGGAUCGUUGAUUUGAACACCCGAAUAUCGAAAACGGGAUAUAGUACCGGAGCUCCGGUACUAUAGAUAAUAUAGGAGACUAGCUCUAUGUAUAUAUAUGUAUAUGUAUAUGUAUAUGUAUGUAUAUGUAUGUAUAUAUAUGUAUAUGUAUAUGUAUAUAUAUAUAUAUGUAUAUGUAUGUAUAUGCAUAUAUAUGUAUAUGUAUAUGUAUAUGGAGUCCGGCUGGGAUACUAUCGAUAGCACCAAGCGUUUGGUGCUAUCCAGUUUUCCUCCGUUAGAUUUAACCCUUUGACUAUUUUCACCCGUUAGCUUAUACUAUUAAACCAAAAACUCACUCAACCCUAAGGGGGUCCACAUCAUCCUAACCGCACAUUUUUUCACCCAAAGGACGAAAACCUAAUAGCACCAAUAGCUUGGUGCUAUUGGUAGUAUUUCAGCCUAGGUCUAUGUAUAUGUAUAUGUAUAUAUAUAUAUAUAUAUAUAUAGANAAAUGACGGGAGGAAAGUGAAAAAUCGGGUUUUAACAGGAGGGUUUUAUGUAAUUUAGCCUUUUUUUUGGGGGGGGGGGGUCUAGUGCUGAGUAUGCUGUUUAGAUGAAUUAAACGUUUUUAUAAUUUUUCUAAUUAGGUUGUUGGUGGAAUGCUUUACAAAAUAUUGUGUUGUUAAGGAAGCAAUCCGGCAUUUUCGAGCCCUUAAGAGCAUCCCUGGUGGGACAAAAGUUCUAUACAAUGAAGGAAACUUUGGUGAUCCACUCUCUCUUUAUCUUCGAGCGUUAUGUCGGGAAGGUAAAAUACUUUCACUUCCUAGGCACAUAUAUAUAUAUAGAGAGAGAGAGAGAGAGAGAGAGAGAGCUACUAUACUCUUAUAAGUACGGAAGCUUUUGUGCACACAAGUCAUUUUCGAUGAUGUUUCUUCUGAAUCGACAAUUCAUACCGUUAAAUAUGAUAUAGAGCAUUUGAAGUAUCUAGAAACCGAAUUUCAUAAUUUCUCGAGUUUAUUAAUAAAGUCCGUCAAGUAAGUAGAAAAUGAAUGGUCAAAAUUGAGCGAUCUCCUAAAAAUAAGGGUUAGAGUUUUCAAAUUUAAGAUAAGACUUAUUGAUCUUGAUCAAUAUAGUAAAUAAAAUUUUAUAUAAAAAUUUCAACUGAUUUCGAUUCUUCUAUAUUGUUAACUAGGAAAUGCUCCAUACUAACUGUUAAAAAUAUCAAUUUUGAGGCCCUUUGAUUGUAAGGUAUAUGAUGUCAGAGAAUUAUGAAAUUUGAUUUAUAGAUACUUCAAAUGCUCUUCUAAAUUAUUUUAACUUUAUGGAUCGUUGAUUCGGAAAAUCGUACUCAUAAAUAUUAUAUAUAUAGAGAGAGUCCGGCUACUAUAUCAUUAUGAGUACGAUUGCCUUCGCACUUGUAAAUCACUUUUGAUAUUGGAGCUUCUGAAUCGACGAUCCAUAUCGUUAAAAAAUGAUUUAGACAUUUGAAAUAUCUAGAAAUUGAAUUUCAUAAUUUUUUGACAUCAUAUACCUUACUAGCAAAGGGCCUUAAAAUCAACAUUUUUAACUGUUCGUGUGGAGUGUUUUCGAGUUAACGGUGUAGAAGAAUUGAAAUCAGUUGAACUUUUAAUAAAAUAUUCUAUUCACUUCACUGUAUAGAUUAAGAUCAAUAACUCCGAUCUUGAAAUUAAAAAUCCUAUCCCCUAAUUUUGGGAGAUUGUUUGAUUUUGAUUGUUUAUUUUAUACUCACUUGAUAGAAUUUAUUAUAAAUUCGAAAAAUUCUGAAAUUCAAUUUCUAGAUACUUUAAAUGCUCUAGAUCAUAUUUAACGGUAUGAAUCGUCGAUUCGGAAGCUCCGUCAUCGAAACGACUUAUAAAUACGAAGUCCUCUAUACUCAUCCUACUAUAUAUAUACAUGCAUACACACAAACAUACAUACAUACAUACAUACAUACAUAGGAUGAGUAUAGAGGACUUCGUAUUUAUAAGUCGUUUCGAUGACGGAGCUUCCGAAUCGACGAUUCAUACCGUUAAAUAUAGUAUGUAUGUAUGUAUGUAUGUAUGUAUAUACAUGCAUACACACAAACAUACAUACAUACAUACAUACAUACAUACAUACAUAUAUGUAUGUAUGUAUGUAUGUAUGUUUGUGUGUAUGCAUGUAUAUAUAUAGUAGGAUGAGUAUAGAGGACUUCGUAUUUAUAAGUCGUUUCGAUGACGGAGCUUCCGAAUCGACGAUUCAUACCGUUAAAUAUGAUCUAGAGCAUUUAAAGUAUCUAGAAAUUGAAUUUCAGAAUUUUUCGAAUUUAUAAUAAAUUCUAUCAAGUGAGUAUAAAAUAAACAAUCAAAAUCAAACAAUCUCCCAAAAUUAGGGGAUAGGAUUUUUAAUUUCAAGAUCGGAGUUAUUGAUCUUAAUCUAUACAGUGAAGUGAAUAGAAUAUUUUAUUAAAAGUUCAACUGAUUUCAAUUCUUCUACACCGUUAACUCGAAAACACUCCACACGAACAGUUAAAAAUGUUGAUUUUAAGGCCCUUUGCUAGUAAGGUAUAUGAUGUCAAAAAAUUAUGAAAUUCAAUUUCUAGAUAUUUCAAAUGUCUAAAUCAUUUUUUAACGAUAUGGAUCGUCGAUUCAGAAGCUCCAAUAUCAAAAGUGAUUUACAAGUGCGAAGGCAAUCGUACUCAUAAUGAUAUAGUAGCCGGACUCUCUCUAUAUAUAUAAUAUUUAUGAGUACGAUUUUCCGAAUCAACGAUCCAUAAAGUUAAAAUAAUUUAGAAGAGCAUUUGAAGUAUCUAUAAAUCAAAUUUCAUAAUUCUCUGACAUCAUAUACCUUACAAUCAAAGGGCCUCAAAAUUGAUAUUUUUAACAGUUAGUAUGGAGCAUUUCCUAGUUAACAAUAUAGAAGAAUCGAAAUCAGUUGAAAUUUUUAUAUAAAAUUUUAUUUACUAUAUUGAUCAAGAUCAAUAAGUCUUAUCUUAAAUUUGAAAACUCUAACCCUUAUUUUUAGGAGAUCGCUCAAUUUUGACCAUUCAUUUUCUACUUACUUGACGGACUUUAUUAAUAAACUCGAGAAAUUAUGAAAUUCGGUUUCUAGAUACUUCAAAUGCUCUAUAUCAUAUUUAACGGUAUGAAUUGUCGAUUCAGAAGAAACAUCAUCGAAAAUGACUUGUGUGCACAAAAGCUUCCGUACUUAUAAGAGUAUAGUAGCUCUCUCUCUCUCUCUCUCUCUCUCUCUAUAUAUAUAUAUGUGCCUAGGAAGUGAAAGUAUUUUACCUUCCCGACAUAACGCUCGAAGAUAAAGAGAGAGUGGAUCACCAAAGUUUCCUUCAUUGUAUAGAACUUUUGUCCCACCAGGGAUGCUCUUAAGGGCUCGAAAAUGCCGGAUUGCUUCCUUAACAACACAAUAUUUUGUAAAGCAUUCCACCAACAACCUAAUUAGAAAAAUUAUAAAAACGUUUAAUUCAUCUAAACAGCAUACUCAGCACUAGACCUAUUUAAACCAGGUUAAGAGUUUAGCCUUAUUAUAUCUUAUAGGCUAAAUUACAUAAAACCCUCCUGUUAAAACCCGAUUUUUCACUUUCCUCCCCUGUCAUUUAAAAACUUUUGGCCCCUUAUAAAAUAAAAAAUAUUCACAGGGGGGUACGGUGUGAACUGUUAUGACAAAAUGACCAUUUUGCCCCUUACUAUUUCGUCUCCUCCCUCAUCUUGCUCGUCCAUCAUCUCAAUCGGCCACAGUUCGCGCCUCGAUCGGCUGCGGCUCCUCUCCAUUUUCUUCUCCACCUGCUCCCCUUUCUCCUCCUGCACCCCCAUUGCCCCUCCAUUUCGGCGACGGUAGAGNUUUUGGCCCCUUAUAAAAUAAAAAAUAUUCACAGGGGGGUACGGUGUGAACUGUUAUGACAAAAUGACCAUUUUGCCCCUUACUAUUUCGUCUCCUCCUGCAACCCUGUCGCCCCUCCAUUUCGGUGACAGUUGGGAGGAAAUCGAGGUGGGAGUGGAUAGAGAGGUAGGCAACGGCAACGAGGGCGAAGGCGAGGCAGCGGAGGAGGGCGAGGGGUGUUUGUGGGCACGGACGGAGAUGUGGGCGGGGGCGAGGUAGUGGAGGAGGGCGAGGCGACGAGGCGGAGGAGAGUGAAGCAAUAGUACAGAGGGCGGAGGGUAUUUUUGGUAUAAAAAAUAUUUUAUAACGAAACCCUAACGGAUCACUAACGGUAGGUGAUGAAGUGAACAUUUUUUAUUUUAUAAGGGGGCAAAAUGUAGAUUUUUAAAUGACAGGAGAGAAAAGUGAAAAAUCGAAUUUUAACAGAGGGGUUUUCUGUAAUUUGGCCAAAAAAAAACAUCAAUUCAUCACCAAAAGACUAAAAAGCUGAAUAAGCCAGCUAAAGCCACAACACGUAACAAUAGUUGCCUUAAACUGAAAAGAAGAAACUUCAUCUUGAAUAGCCAACUAGAAAGUUGAAUAAUGAAGAUUUCAUAUCCAAAAAUGUUUCAGCAAUUAGUAGAAGAAGACAUAAAAUGAUGUAAUAGUAGCAACUGGACGAAAGAGAUAAAGUUUAUGUGGUAACUAAAAACAAUUAUACGAUUUAUCCUUCACAUUCUAUUUUUCCAGCAUUAUAAAUCAAAUAUAGCAAAAAGAAUAGAAAAUUUUCUCACGCAUAAGUCUUCACAUUGGGUUGUAGACGCUUGUGAUCUUCAACCAUCAUUCCCAAUAAUUCCGCUACAUCUUGCACCCUAUACAUAAAGAGACUAACAUGGUAAAUAACAGAGAAAGAAAAGAUAACAUAAUAACUUGGAAACAACAUACAAAAAACAAAGAUCAAUAGAGUUUCAGAAGCUUUAUCAACAGAUGCUGAAUAUGAGGUAAUAUCAAAAGAUCAGAAACAGUGUAGAAUCAAUAAUGACUGCUAACUAGAGAUAUGACUAAGCCAACAGUAAAAGGAUAAAAGAGGAAAACUACUAAAAAACUGUUGAAUAUGGCAACAGACAUAUAAGAAAUGAAGAGAAUAAAAAAUUAUCCAAAUAUCCCUGCCAAGGGUGUAAAUAGCAUGUAGUAGACACAUAUCUUUUGCAGGUAAUCAAAGCGGAUAGCGAAAAGUGGGCGCCAUAGAGGUCGCUAUGAGCCCAUAGCGAGAUUCACCAUAAAUUAUUUAAAAGUCUUCCUAAUUGUAUUUAAAUUGAACAUGGUAGAAAUGAUGUACCAUCUCCAAACAUAAAGUAUUGCAUUUCAAGUUACACCGUAUUUAUAAUUGCAAAUCUACUUAUUUAAAUAUCUAUUCCUAUUGAUAUUCUUAAUUGUAUUUACAUUGAAAAUAGUAGAAAUACUAUACCAAUUCCAAAUAUAGAAGUAUUGCAUUUCAAGUUUCACCAUAUUUAUAAUGGCAAUUCUACUUAAUAUGGUGACCUUUGAUAAUCUUUGGUGGCCGCCAAAACACCCUCAUGGUCACCAUUUUGCUUUUUUUCUGCACACUAAUAAAACCCUAAUUUUCUCACAUGGUCCUUAAGAUAACACGAUUGAAUAGUUUCCCAAGAACCUUUUAAGUACUUUAUUUCUUACAAUCAAACAAUUUCUCAAGUUUUCCUUGAUUUUAAGCCAAAACUAGCCUACCCAAAUCUUUAGAAAAUUGGGGCUUAAAAUGGCCCUUGCCAGAGCAGCUGCUACGUGCGCUACAACUGCUACAACUGCUAAAGCUGCUAAGCUGCUACAUGCGCUACAAUUGCUACAGCUGCUAAGCUGCUACAUGCGCUACAACUGCUAGCGCUGCUAGAGCUACUAUGUAUUAAGUAGAAUUGCCAUUAUAAAUAUGGUGAAACACAAUGUUUGCCCUCUAGUACAACCAUCGUGGCCGCUAUAGCAACCAUAGCAACCGUUAUUUAGAACACAAAUCCCUGCAAAGUUGUGCAAUUACAAUUUUAUCCCUUAAAAAGUUUUAAUUGGCAAACAUGACCCUCUAAAUUCUUAAAAUUUUGAAAUAUAUCCCUCUCCAUCAGUUGAGCUAUCAAAUUCACCAAUCCGAGUGAAAAUGAGGGAGAAAACGCUUUGAUCAUCAUUUUCCAUCUUUAAUCUUUAAUGUCUAUGUUUACUGUCUCAUAUCAUUCUAUAUGAGUCCUAAAUCCCAAAACCUUAAAAUCCGCAUAUAUUUUCAAUAGCAUAACAGUCCUAAUAGUAGAAGAAAACUAUCUGAUGGUAGUCAACCAGCACGGACAAUUAUGCAACAUUUAGAAAAUUCAGAGGGAUCAUUUACAAUUCAAAAUUUUGAAAGGAUAAAUACAUAUCUUCCAAACUUGCAAUAAAAUUUUGAAAGGACAAAUCGAUAUCUUCCAAACUUGCAAUAAAAUUUUGAAGGACAAAUCCGUAAUUUAUAAAUUUGCAAGGACAUAUGCCUUGACAAAAGAAAAACUAACAUGGAGAUUCUAGGAGAAUAUCUGCAAUGCAAAGAAAAACUAAUACGGAGAAUGUGGGAGAAUACCGGUGACAUGACCUUGCUGCACCAUUCUUUUCGGCAAAAAGUUUGAAUACCCACAUAAAUAUACCAUUCACUCAGAUCCCAAUAUAUUACUAUAUUAACAAGCUUUAAAUGUGCCAAAUAAUAUACAAAGGAACUCUAAACCAAAAGGUAGAAUAGAAUUGUAGCAGAUUUUGAACAUAAUGUCAAAUCAAUGAUUUCAAGUAUAGCAUAGUCCUACCAUGAUAAGUCUGCAAAGCAAAAGAUGAAUAUAAAAUAGAGAAAAAAAUCCAAGGUAAAUCUCUUAUUUAAAUUGGUAGCUCUACCUGUCAUAGGACUCUGCUCUAGUGUAUGCUUGUAUAACCCAAUUAUAUGUUUCAGUGUCAGGUUUCAUGAAAUCUGCAAAACAAGUAUGUAUUUAUGCAAAUAUACAAGCAUGGAGUUUAAGCACCUAGAUAUGACUUCAAAUAUUCAACAAUAGAUGUAUAAUUUCUAUACCUUCACCACCAUAUUCCAUAUUCUCAAAUGUUGCAAAUGCUAUUUCUGGUAUUCCACAAGUUGCCUACAUAAGCUAUUCAAAAUAUGAACUGACCAGCAGGAUACAUACAUAAUAUGUGGCAAUCAUAAGCUAAAAAUAAGCAAAUGAACAACAAACUUUUUAUACUAUGUAAUCUUAAAAAGAUGAACUAACUUUCCUUACCUGUACGCUAAGAAGACAAUUAAAGUGGAAUGUGGUGGCCAUUCUUCCUGCAGCCUCCAUCUCAUAUGCAAUGGUCAGAGCAUUAGAAUGGUCUCCAGCUUUACAGUCUUCUUCAAUGAGGAGAUCGUAAAGUUCAUCAGUCGCUCUUAAUCCACCUUUAGAUCCUUUAAGAAAUACCGUAUUGGCAUGAUCCAAAUAGCGGUUCCUGACCAGCUCCUCUGUGUUCGGAGAGACAAAAUUCUUAGUCAAGUUCAACAAAGACAAAUGGGUCCAAAUGCAUCAAAGUAUAUAACUUCAGUACCAACAAGAACAAGCCAAGCUUUGCGGAUAUCAAAUUUUAAUUUUUCCAUGGCUGCGAGAAUUUCCAUGCCCCUAGUUGCACGGCCUCUGGAACCAAACAAGCGGAUCAGAGCAACAAAUGUUUCGUGUAGCGGACGUAGGCCUGCACUCAAUUCCCUUCUGAGAGUUUGCAUCUGCAUUAAAAAUAUUAGUUGGUCAGCACGAAUGCAUUCUAUUUUUCAGGUACUAUCAGAUUGAGAAUUGGAAAAGAAACACAAGCAACCAAUAACGUAGGUGACUUACCCUGGUCACACGCAGAAUUUACAAGAUGGAAAAUAGUAAUCUAUGGAUGUAACUAGCUGUCAGUCUCCCUUUAUUAUUCCAGCUUUACAAUAUAUUAAAAGAAUAAUACUGCCGCCAAAGUUAUGCGUAAACAAAGGGGGCAAAAAUAUCAACAAAUACCUGUUCUCCUUUCCACCCUUUGAAGAUAUGUUCAAAUCUUUCAUUUCUACUAUUUUCAGAUCAGGUGCGUGUUCUGGUUUGAUGUUAGAACAGAAUGUUUCUUUAAAAUGCUUCACUAUAACAAACAGCUACUGGCGAAAAGAAAGGGCUGCGAGUUCAGAAUUUCGGGACGGAAGAUACGGGCUUACCGCGCCCUCCUCAUCGCCGGAGAGGGUUUGCGAGACGAUGAGGCCGUGGAAGGAGCGGGGGCCGGGGCUGAGGCCGGCGGCGACCAUGUCGUAGAUGACGUCGGUGACGCCGGCGGAGUCGCGCUUACGGGCGCGCUCCAUGAGCUCCUCCAUGAAGGUGAACCUCAGCCCCUUCUCCGCCGUCGACACCGUGGCGCUCGAUGAUGAAGAAAAGGAGGAGGAGGAGGAAGAAGAGGAUUCGUCGUCCUUGGAAGAUUGCUUCUUCCUCCGGCCCUUCCUCUCCGGGGUGGAGACCGCAAAGAGGACGGGGGAUGCUCGGGGCUUCGAAUGGGACAGAGGAGAAGCGUGGGGGAAGUUUCGGCUCAAGGAUAGGGGAAACGCCAUGGAUUUGUAAACCUUGGAGGAGAACGGGUGGUGAGGAGGAAGAGACAUGGAUAAGGGGAGAGAGGAGUAACGAGCGGGGUUUUGGGAGGGAGAAGGAAGUGGGACUGUGGGAGGGUGAUUCUUUUUUUUAAUAAUUCCAAAAAUUUCAAAUUGGCCAAGAUGACUUUUCGAAAAUUUUAUUUGAACAAUUUUAAACUUCUUCCCACCAAUUUAGCAACACAUAAGUGCCUGUUUGGUUUCGAAAAACAAAAAAAAAAAAAAAUUCUAACGAAAAAAAAUUUUAAUUUCUGUUGUUUAAUUUUGCCGAAAAAAAAUAACGUGCUUGGUUGAUAAAAAAAAAAUAAAAAGUAGUUUUUUAUUUUUAUAUUACUUAUUUGAUUCGAUAGAAAAUUUAGUAUAAAAAUACCUUCUAACAAAGAAGCGUAAGAUUACUCACUUUUAAAAAUUUUAUUUAUAAAACUAUAUAGUGUUUCUGAGCUUUGGAUAGGAUUGGCUUCAGUAUUAGUGACUGAUCAACACAUCUGAAGUGUGUCGGAUUGAGUCGGAAUCGUUUCUGCGCGAAAUGGAUGCAGAAAUGGACUCGGCGCACUCAAAUAAACAAAACUGGAGUUUUGCAAGAUUCGGGCCCCCAGAACUGGCUUUGGGUCGUCCAGAAGUUGAGUGCAGAACUGAGCAGAACUGGAAGCCAAUUCGGGUCCAUGUUUCGAGCGCCCGGAUGUGGGUCCGAAAGUUCACCUCGUGAGUAUCGUUUGCGCUUACAUGUGGCUGGUGGUAGGUGAGGCCCGCCGGAGCCGGAUAUGGGCGCAGCACACUACUGGCAAAGACUCCGAGGAGGAAGCCUUGUGUAGCCGGGAGGAUUCGGGUGCCCAUAAUGUGGGUCCAAGCGCCCGGAAGUGCCCGUUUCUGCUGAGUUGCGGGUUUACAGCUGUUGUUCUGAGGCUUAUAGGACCGUUCUAACACCCUAUAAAUAGGUGCUAUUCGACCCCAGUGAGCUCUUUUCACAUGUUCUUUACAGAGAAGCCUCAAAUUGCUUUUCUAACCCUCAGAUUUCCUCAAUUUGCAUCCAAUCUUUCAAUUGGAAGGUGGUGGAGUGCUAGUUCUGCAGUUUUCCAGCAACGACCUUCGGUGUUUUGGCUCGUGUGCGACGUAGAAAGGUCGGAUUGCGGUGAAACUUAGUUUGUUGGAUUCUAGACUUCAAGAGGAAUCCACUAAGUCCAAUAUUGCAGAUUUUGGUGAAGGUUAGCUUGGUCGAACUCAAGUUCUUCUCUGCUGCUGUUGUUUUGGGCAGAUUCUCAAGUUUAUGAGUUUUCUUUGAUGCUAUCUUUGGAGGCAGGAGGAUUUUGGACCUGAGCUUGAUAUCUCAGUAUACUCCACUUGAUUUGAGACCCUCCUCACCAGAUUUGGGGAUUGAUAGGUGAGUUUUGAUAUUGGAGUUGUCGGUUUAAGCUUAAGUGCUAAAAUUUGGGGUUAUUGAUGCAACUUUGAUGUUUUUGUGUUCAGAUCUUCGAAGGAUGUAGAGUUUGGACCAGAGGGUGAUAUUCUAUCUUGGUUUACUAGUUUUGGGACCUUGCUACAGCUGAUUUGGGUUUGGAAAGGUGAAGUUAGCAUUGUAUUUGAGCCAAUUUAAGCUUAGGUGCUGAAAUUAGGUGGAUUUGGAUGGAUUUUGAUGAAUUUUGGUAUUAGAUUGUCACGCCCCAAUCCCCGCCAAUUUGGUCGGGUUCGGGUCACGUCAACAGACGCCGAACGGACAGAGCCUCCCCUGUCCGCCCAAGGCUCUAAUAACAUGUAUAAAUAGGCAACCAACAAGAAAAUUGCAUAUAUAAUAUAAGGCUUGCACGAGGGCAAGCAGCAACGGAAGCGAAAGCUCUAAGCUAUAUAUAUACAUCACACAUGAUAUUUGAUUUCAUUUAAACCAAAUUAAAGUAAACAAAGCUAUUACAUUACAUUCAACCAUCAUAUCUUUUACAUUUAGUCAUCCACCAAAUACAUGAUUGUUUUUACAACUUUACAUCUCUAAAUCAACAAAAUAAAGUUGAUACAUGUAUAACAAAAAGGGAAUGACUACGAAAUGUGUAAAGUCCCGGUGGCCGCUACCUAUGGCGCCAAACCCUUACCUCGGUCCUCCGCCGCCCCGCUCGUGCUAGGACCUGUAGGGUUAGUGGUGUGAGAACUACAACGAAGUUUCCAGUGGGCUCGGCAUCCGAUCUCGCCGACUUACCCACUAGGUCCAUCCAGGCAUAAGUAUUUCAAAGGAAGAAAAGUAACCACUACUAAUGCAACUAAUACUAUGCCUGCAAGAAAGAAGUCAGUGGACAUAUAAUUUCAAUGCGAUAUAGAAAUGCAUGCAUGCUACAAUCAUAAUCAAAUUUUGGCUUUUACCCAAUCUUACCGGUUAACUCUGUUAACCCCAAUAACUCACAACCCAAAUCCCUUAAUAACGGGGGACUCGAACCUCCCUAGGGACCGUCAACUGGUGGGACUUUACCACGCCCAGUGGUGACCAACUCCGGAGCGCACCGCUCGAGGGGGAGCGACCUCCCUCAAGCCAAGACGAAAUGUGAGUAUCGAUCUAAUCCUCAACUUGAGGACUCAUAGCCACUAGUCACAAUGCCAAUGUCACGAUAGGUCUCUACCUAUUCAUUCUUGCCACUCUCAAGGCUUUACCUUUGACGAUGUCAAAAUGGGUUAAACUAUAUUCAACGGUUCAUCUCUCAAUGCAAAUCUUGUUUCUAUGUCAAUGUCACCCUUGUUUUCUAUUGUCCAAGUCCAUUCUCACAUUCACACAACUUGAGGGUCCAAUCACACAUGUCCAUUUUGGUUCUAUCAUCCUCUAUGUUCAACUACGUUAGAAGCAUAUAAAUGAAGUCAAACCAAGUUCCACAUGUAACUACCCUACUAUGCAUGAAUGGGUAUAUAUAUAAAAUAUAUGCUCAAGAAUAGAGAAAACAGACAUAGAAGGGAAUCCAACGAUUCCGGCGUGCACCCCCCACCUCUAUUGGUUGUGUGGGUGUAGAUUAUGAAAGCUCCCGCACUUUACGAAAGCCGAUUCCGCGCCCUAUAAUCAAAAUAGUGCCAUAUUAGGCCUUUUUGUACAUGAACUAUACUCUAUCAUUUUCGCAAUGUUAAACGAAGUUGUCCCACGCGUUUAGGACACCCCCAAUUAGGUUUCUACGGGGUCAAUUUGUCCCCGAAAAAUCCUAGGGCAAAAGCCCCAAAUCCAAGCCCUAAUAUUGUCAUUUAGGGUUUUCCCAUGAAUCGAUCCCAAUCCUAAGCAAACGAUAGCUUAGAAUCAUCUAAGAAGCACUCUAGUAAGGUUUCUAGACCUUUGGUACCAACCCUAGGGCUCCAAACACCACUUCCAAGGAUUCACCAUGAGAGCACUUUGAGCUCUCAUGGGAACCAUGGUGUACAUGGCUCAAAAGAGCCUUUAAAGCCUCUAGGGAGCACAAAGCUCCCAUCUUCUAAGCCAAAAUCCAAACCCUAGGCUCAUUUCUACCAAAAACUCACCUUAGCCCUAGCUCCUCCAAGUCCUUCUUGUAGGAGAGCUUGUAGAACCCUCCAAAGCCUCCAAAUCCUCCUCCUCUUCACUUCUUCUUCUUCUUCUCCAAGCCCUAGAGCAAGAGUUCUAGAGAGAGAAAGAGAGGAAAUGGGUGAGAAGGGUGGAAAUGGCUGUGGGAGAGAGAGGGGAGUCUAUAUAUAGUGUUGUAACAAUUGCAUUUAAGCCCCUCCACUUGUUUCCCCUGAUCUGCCCAGACUGGGCAUUUUUCGCCUUCGGGGACCGGUCUCCCCGACCAGGGACCGGUUCCCGAACGGGAGUUUUCCAGGACUUAGCCAAAUUUUCGAGUUUUUCUGCUGUUGCGCAGCGAGGGACCGGUCUCCCGAGAACCGGUCUCACCACCAAGGACCGGUUGCCUCAGGACUUCCUGGCAGGCUACGCGUACGGGGACCGGUCUCUCCUUCAGGGACCGGUCCCCGAGAGCUCAAAAUCUGGGACUUAGCCAGAUUUCCAAAUUUGCUCUCCGGGUCCCUUUUUGCUCCGUUAGAGAACUCCAAUACACUUUGGGUCCGCUUUAACCCAUUCAAUUUCGCGUUCCGCUCGUGUUGACGGAACUCGACGCGAUUUACGAGGGAUGUGGUAUGUUACAUAGAUCAUUCUAGUAUCUCAGUUGCUAGUUGUGGGUGUUUUCGGCUGAGGCUUCAAGCCAUUCGGACCCUCUUGCUGUUGUGGAGUGUCGCGAAGGUGGGUUUAUCAUCGGUUUUGCCUCCGAAGCAUAUGCAUAGUAGACAUGUAUAAUUUCGGCUUUGAUAUAUCAUGUUUAGCUCGAGUUCAUUGAUAACCAUAUUAAAUGAAAUCUGAAUUUGGAGCAUGCUGUAGUAAUUAGAUAAAUUAUACAUGUUGGACUUGAAAUUUGACUUAGAAGAAAACCAGCGAUUUGACCCGUCAUAUACUUAUACUACCUGAUUUAGCUCUAGGAGCUGGGAUUGGUUUGUAUCACUGCAGUUUUAGCGCGGUGGAUACUCAGGGUAGUUUAGAAUGCAUUUACAUUCGGGCGAGAUGCCGAGCUUGGGUAAUAUUCAAUUGUAGGUUCUGCACUGUCUUUUCUGUUCGCUCCUUAAGCUUUUGUGCUUCGUAUCCACGCUGUUAGUGCGCAUUUGAUACUCAGAUAGCUUCUGAAGCUGUUGUGCUUCGUAUCCUCACUGUUAGUGUGCAUUGGAUACUAAGAUAGAUUCGGGACUUGUCGCGAAUAGUAUCCACACUGUUUUGUGCAUUUGAUACGCUGAAAGCUUAGGAACUGUAGUAGAUCUUUAUCACCGCAGUUUGUUGGUGGUAGAUACCCGGGAUAGUGUAGAAUGCAGUUACGCUCGUGCGGAGAUGCCGAGCUUAUUUUUACAGCAGUGUCUAGGCUGUUUCGGACUGUCGAGUGCUGUCGGGGUUGACGGUGGACCCAGAUUGCGGGCUUUGCAUCAGAUUGUGCCGAUGGCACGUGAGUUUUGGUUGUUAGACCAGUCGGACACUGUUUAUUUGAUUAUAGCCUGUGAGAGCCUGAUUGAGCUCGACAGAGAUACGCUUGCAUACUCGGUUGGGUAGCGCCCACGAGUGCCACUCUAGAGUCGGGCUUUGUGCAUUUGCGAUGUGUAGUGUCCUGGUUGAACUUGCUCUCCACGGACUGAUUAGUGUGGAGGUAUGUAACAUACCGAAUUUUUUUAUUAAAAGUGAAUAUAAAUAAAAAUAGUGUGAGAUACUAUUUUUAUUGGACUUAGACAAGUAAAUUAUACGUCAGGAUUGACUCGUGCGGAAAUCGGAGUGAAAAUAGAAGAUUAAAAAUUUUCUGUGUGAGACCAGGCUGAUAUUUUAGCAAAAAAUACACGGUGUCAGAAAAUUCCGAAAAUUUGGGAAUACGUNAGAUGGAUACUGUAUAACGUUAUGUUUUACUUUUAUUGUUUAGUUAUGUUUUAUCUACUAUAGACUCUAGAUGUAUACUUGCUCUGAUAUCUCUAGAUGUAGUUUAUCUCUUAUCUUAUUCUUCCGCUUUGUUGUAGACGCCUUAUAUGUGUAGGCAUAUGGCGGGUCUGGGCACGCACUGGGCGGGCCUACGCCGGUCCCGGGGCGUGACAAGGUAGCAUUUAGGAUUCAACAGGCGGGACGGGUGCGUUCACAGUCCCUGGAACAGGUGUGUUCACAGUCCCUAUGGAUUUGGGUCUGAGGUUGCGUUACUCUACAGAUAGUAGUGUUGGAUCAUGAUAGGAUAGUGGCAUACAGUUGUAGAUUUGUUCCAGCUUUCUUUUCUAUCACUGAACUUAGAUCUGUAGACUUAGUGGGUGAGCCGAUGAGUUUGAGGGUAGUACCCACUGAGGACUACUUCUUUUGUAGUAGUUCUCCCACCCAGUUGUUACCCCUGUUUUGUAGAGCCUUCUGUUCCGGCUGCUGCUUCUACCGAGACCGAUCGUGGCAAGGGCGUUGUGAGUUAGAGCCCUUCUAGACGAGUCGCCGAGCUAGAGGAGUACCAGCUACAGAUAGUUGUAGUUUUUGGUUCUUUACAUACUGAUAUAGUACCUCGCUGGAGCGAGUGUUUUUGUACCAGGUUGAUAUGUAUGUAUCGAACCACUGUUUUAUUUAUGGUUUAAUUUUCCUAGCAGCUCUAUACUACUGUUUGUGGUAUUGUAUGAUUACAGGUACUUCUACUUUUUCGCUUCGUAUACAGGGGAAUUACAUAUGUAUACGGCGGGUCUAUUAGUGAGCCCGGGGAUCGAGUAAUUCGGGGCGUGACAAACUAACCCUCCUUUCUCCACGUAUGCGUGGGGGAUAUUUCUUAUGAAGGCGGUGAAUCAUUCACCGUCUUUAGUAAGACGGUGAACUAUCAUGCCCUGAGACCCGUCUCUUUGGUUGGAUUUGGGCACGCCGACAGACCACCGAACGGACAGUUUCUCUCAUGUACGUCAAAGGCGUCGCAAACAAUAUAAUUCAAGUGGUUCCAAACAAGGACAGAAUUUACACACCGAUCGCAUAAGGAAGGCAUCACCAUAAUUUCUAAGCUAUUACAAACAUUCGUCACAUUUCACAUUACAUUUACAUUCAUUUUGCUUCCAAAUACAAUCAAGUUCUUACAAUUUUGUUCUUGUCUUUCCUAUACCCUAAGCUAUACCGACCCAGGGUACACUUAUCUGUGGUCUCAAGUGGUAGAGCGCUAUCUACCGAGCUACGCCCUUUCCUCACGUCGCCGCACCGCUCACAUGUGGACCUGAAAAAUAUGGGGGUGAGAACUAUAAUCAUAAUUCCCAGUAGGUACGGCCACCCAAGGAAAAAACUCGACCCACCAGGUCCAGAAGGGGUAACAAAGACAAGUUAGUCCAACAAUUAAACAUAUAGUUUUUAUGCAAGUAAUAAAAUCAUGCUGUUACCUCACAAGAUGCAAUAUGAAAUCCAUGCAAGUAGAUCUACCAUUUCUACUUUCUAUUUCACAAUCCAUUGCAUUUACUAUCCGCUCCUAAGGUUUUUUUUACCUUAGCCAAGCUAUACCACCCGACUCGGUCUUGAGUCAAUCAUCAGCAGACUAUCGCUCAUAUCUAGGCCUGAGGAGAGGAACCUGUCGUGCACCUCAGCCUUGAAUCCACUCAGCGGGUGAGGGAUAUGUUAGAAAAUUGCGUACGGUAAAAACGCAGCGGANUGAGGAGAGGAACCUGUCGUGCACCUCUGCCUUCAAUCCACACACCAAGGCGGCCGACGGGCAGCGAAAGCUGCAUACGCCUGCAGUCAUGGAUCCCCCGGUGGGAGAGAAACAUGCUGCAUACACCCGCAGCCGGGAUCCCCGAUAGGGAGAGGAACAUGCCGCAUACACCCUAGCGCACGAAGAUUCUUCCGGUGGGAGAGGAACAUGUCACAUGCACCCGCAGCCAAGAAUCUUCCACAGUCCACACCCUCGAGGCUCUUGCGGUGGGAGAAGAACAUGCCAUAUGCACCCAUAGCCAAGAACUUCAACGAUCACAAGUCCUAGGAUUCCGAAAUCCACUUUCCAAGUCUCAAUGGUUGAUCACAUACCUAUGUUGUCAACCUCCCUAGGUUCAUAAUCACAUGUCCAAGAGGUCAUCCUACUAUUAUGCCUUAUAACCUAAGUUCAAUUACACUAUGUCCUAUGUUUUCCCCACCUAAGUUCACUUAACUCUAGAUUCAAUUACUAUCCAACACAUGUGGUUUUCCUACCACUACAUUUUCCAACCUAAGUUCAAUGACACUAGGUUUAAUGUCCAAUUAGGUUAUUACUUAUCCUAUUCAUAAUUCUCAUGCCCUCUAGUUUCUUAUUUCAUGCUUGUCAGAUUCUCUAAUUUUCCUAGAGUUCAUCGACCUAUGUUCAUAUCCACACCUAGGCAUACACAUAUCCUAUAUGUUCCACAUGCCUAUGUCCUUAUCUAGCUCUUAUCUAAUAGUAGAUAAUUUACCCUAAGUAGCAUACAAUCUAUGCAUACUCAUUUAACCAAUUAAUUUAUCAUUACAUGCAUGCAUCAAUAAAUAAUACCAUACUUCACACUUUGGCAUAGAAGCGACCUAGUCACUUCGGUGAAGCACAACCCACCUUACAAGCUCCCUAAUUGCUUGUAGACACUUGCAAUUAGGUCAUUCUCUUGGAUCUCCAAGCUUACUUCCAAGCUUCCAUGCCUUAUACACAAGAUCCAUUCGUUACCAAUUUCGAACCACUAAAUGAUUUUUACUUUUAAAAUCAAGUGGCCUCACAUGAUUUCCUAACCCUCAAUUAGGAUUCUAAAAAGGGUUAAAAUAAUUUUUAAACCCUCCACUAGCAAACCCCGCUUUCAACCUAGGGUUUUUUCAAAACUAGAGGAGAAACCCAAAUCUCAUGGUAAAUCCCACUAUUUGUGGCCUAGAUUUAUCUAGGGUUUACCAAAAUCCUAAAUUCAAGGAUCGAACACAAAACCCUAAUCUCAUGAUCCAAAACGAAUCUCAAGUCGAAAGCAUUCCGAGCCACCAAGCGCCCGAGAGCUUGAUUCACCGCUCCGCCAAGCUUCCCGAGUUCGAUCUCCACCAAAAUCUUCAAGUUGGAGAGGAGGAAGAAGAGAGUGAGAGAGAUGAGCUCCCCCCCCCUUCUCUCUCUCUCUCUCUCUCUCUCUACACGCGCGUGCAUGUGUGUGUUCUGCAGAGAAGGGACUGGGGACCCCCUUUGAUAAGGCCCCAAUGAAAUUACCAUAUUACCCUUCAAAAACUACACUCUACUAAGUCGAGUGCCGAUACUUGGUUUAGCGUACUGGUACUCGGGCAGCCAGUAUUGGUACCCGAUUCUCAGUACCUCAGAACCCAAACAUUGGAUUUUCCAUUUUUCACUGUGUAUCGGUACUCGAUUUCCAGUAUCGAUCCAAUACAAUUUCAGUACCGGUACUCAAGUUUGAUUCCUUAAAACCCGAGAGCUCGAAUUCCACAUUUUGUAUUGCGUACCGGUACUCAGAUUCCAGUACCGGUACUCAAUACAAAAUAUGUAAUUUAGGCAAAUUUUAGCUUUUUAAGUCCGUUUUUGCAUUGAGUUUGCACCGAAAAUACUCGAAUGCUCUCCAAAUCUUGUUGGAACUUAUUUAACUAGCUUUUUAAGCUAGUUCCCACCGAAACGUCGUAAUUUUAGAAGUUCGGUAUGUUACAUGAACGAUUCACCGCCUUCUUAAUUUUUUAGGUCACCUAUUCACCGCAUUUCACUUAUUUACUAUUUCUUUCUAUAUCUAUAUAUAAUCCUAACAAGUACAUAAAAAUUUUAACAAAUCACAUAUAAUCUUAACAACCUGAAAAUCAUAAUAAUUUAUCCAUACAAUUUCAUAUAACCAUAACAGCCUGAAAAUACUAAUAGUCUAUCCAUACAAUUUCAUAUAAUCUUAACAGCCUGAAAAUCCUAAUAAUCUAUCCAUACAAUUUCAUAUAAUCUUAACAAUCUAAAAAUUCUAAUAAUUUAUCCACACAAUUUCAUAUAAUCUUAACAGUCUGAAAAUCCUAAGAAUCUAUCCAUAUAAUCUUAACAGCAUGAAAAUCCUAAUAAUCUAUCCAUACAAUCCGAACAAUCAAAUAAAAUUUUAAUGAUCCACAUAUAAUCCAAACAACCUCACUUUUUUCUAUUUCCUAUAUAAUCCACGUACAAUUUUAAUGAAUGCGGCGAACGAUUCACCGUAUUUAAAAAAAAAGAGAGAAGAAAUUGGAAAAAGCGGUGAACGAUUCACCGCCUUUAAAAGAAAUUGGGGAGUGCAGGGAACAAUUCACCGCUUUUCGAAAAAUAAUCCCACGUGGCUCCUAUGUGGCGAAAAGAGAGUUAGUUUGCCAAAUAUAAAUUUGGUAGGGUUAUUUCGCAAAUUAUAAAAUUUUAUAGGGUUAUUUUAUAAAAAAGCCCUAAAUAAAUAAUUAAAUAAAUUUUAAGUAUAUUUUGGUAUAAAUAAAAUCAUUUAACAAAAAAAAUAUGAGUAGAAAUUAUAACAUAAUUAUUUGAAAAAUAAGAAAAAAAGUAACAAACUUUUUCAACUUGAAAACACUUUAUAUAUACCCCAGCUAUACAUCAGUUGUAUGUAGUAACAAAAUUUAAAAUAUUUAAUGUAUUAUCCUAUAAUAUCUCAUCAUAAAUUUCAUAAUAUAAGAAAACAUAGUCUUAAACAUACCAACCUUUAUGUAAAAAAAAUAUAAAGUAUAUCAAGCUUCAUUCCAAAAUGACCCAAAAUGACACCAAAAUGACCUUAAAUUGACCAACUACUAAAUCUCUAAACAUGCAUUACAUCAUUCCACAUUACUCAUUGACCUGCAACACCCAACAUAUUAGCAGUAAAAUCUGUCAACCACACAAAAUGCCUCUCACAACUUUGUGCAAAAAUAUUAUACCUUGAACUUCAUGCAACAAAAGGUGCACAUGAGCAGCUAUAGUGAUUAAUUCUGAGAAAUUAAACUCCUUUAAAUAUUGUAAUAUUUUCUGUUUAUAAGUCUUUCUUGGAUCUUUCAUGACACUAAUCAAUUCCUUUAUCUCAGUCAGCAACAUUAACUGAACGUUAUCAUCAGCGACCUUUUGUUUCUUAGAUUUCGAUGAAGGAGCUUGAUUUGUAUUGCCCGUAGAAGUGCCAACUGUUUCUUUAUGCGUUUGUUGAUGUUAGGAUUCGUCCACAUUGGGACUUAUCUAAAAUAUUCGUAAUCCACAUGGGAUAAAAAAUAAAUUUAAGAGAUAGAUCAUAAUCUGUUUAAAUCUCUACUUAUGUGAGAUUCUGUCACACCCGGGUAUCAGCGGAAGCAUACCCGAUACAUGCACAGACCCGCCAUAUACCUGUAAUAUACAAGGCGUCUACUAAAAUCAUUUCAAAAAAGUAACAAUCAACAGAAGAAUCUAACAUGAUAUCAGAGCAUAAAAUGUACAAAAAGUACUAACGACUAGAGAAUAGCUAGUACAACUCCACUAAACUCAACAGAAAGUAGAAACAGAAAACUGUAAAGUACCACUCUCUAUAACUGAUAUACAUCAUAGGGCCACCAAAAACUGUAUAUACACAAGUGGUAGUCUCUCUAUACACUGGUACACAUCACCCUCGCCGACAAAUCUCAAAAUAGCAAGGAUCACCUAGCAAGACUCCAAGCUACGCCUAGCUAGACGCGACUCCCUUGCCGCGAUCCCUAGCCUCUCCCGUAGUGGAUGGCUCUGUAAUAAACAACAACAAAGAGGUUGUGAGAACUAUUAAACAAUAGUUCUCAGUGGGUAAGCCGCCGAUCUCAGCGAAUUAUACCACUAGGUUCAAGAUGUAUAAGGUAAAGCAUGUAUGUCUAGAACAUGAUAUGAAUCACAAUGAUAUGAACAACUAAAGAGUAGUAAACCACUAUGAUUGUGACUAUUAUGAUGUAACAAAUAAGAUGCUACUCUACACAAGUAAGCAUGAUAUAUAAUUUCAUAUAUGCACCCUAUCUAGUAGUGACCAUUAUAUCAAUACAGUUGGUAUCUCUGUUCAAUUCAUCAGGACCUACAUAUGAUAGUCCGGCUUGCGCCGCGCCUAAUGGUUCCAUAGUAGUAUACACUCUCCACGGCAAUCCACUUCGGCACCCAAUCCAGCACGGGCGAGCAAUCUGUCUCAUAGGCCAACUCCGGAGUGCCGGCUUGUGGGGAGCGACCCUCGUAAGCAUGUGCGAAUGAGCACAAUGGCAAGCAAGCAUGAUCCAUAGUACAAAGUCCUCAAUCGUCAUGUCCCAAACAUGAGAUGUCCUCUACCGACCUAUAGGUCGGAAUCUAAGUACAACAGAAGGUGUUAGUAUCGACUAGAUUAUAAUAAUAACACGAAACUAAUGCUAUUCUAAGCAUACUAUGUUCAUUGGUUUCUUGUCUACACAAGUAUACUAGUUAUUAUAUAAUAGAUGAAUAUCUUUACUCUCUACUUCAUAGGGAUAUGAUAGUAUCACAAGAUAAAAUGCAACUAAUGCGUCGAAUUAUUCCUUCAUUAUGCUAUUGACAUAUGAUUCACAAUUCUAUGGCAUUAUUAAGAACAUAGAGGGAAUUCACUUAUUCCGGUGAGGUCAAACCCACCUAAACCCGUCAACCCUCGUCGAUCCCACUAGCGAAGGUAAUCCGCAGACCCCAAGCACCCUAACAAUAAGUCCAAAAUCAGCUAAGAGCUGGCUUUGCAUACUUACAUUAAAACCUCACAUACUAACAUAGUACAGGCUAGAUUCUCACCUAAGUUUAGAUUAAAGCUAAACCUCCACUUGAACACAGGUUGAAGCACUCCAAAAUCAACUCCCAAAGUCACUAAAUUCAGCUCAAAGAGGUCUAAUCCCAUUGUUGCGAACCUGCUGCGAGUUUACAUAAAAAAGCUACUUCAAAGCUACAACCAAAACAUUAAACUAAAGAGCUAGUAGGUUGUAUAUCUUCCAUUAGCUCAAACUGAGCUUUUCCCCUGGAUUCAAUUGAAGAACCACAGUGAAACCAGCUUCAAGAGUCACCCACAGCUCAGUCACAAGGUUCACACAUCCUACUAUGAACAAUUGCCAAAAUAACACCAAAACUGUUACUAACAUCACUAUUUUCAGCAUCAUAGAAAAGAAAAUAGCUAGUUAGUCACGUUCCCAGUUUCAAUCCAGCUUCUCCUUGGAUCUAGGUUGAAGAAUCACAACAAACAACUCCUCUAAAGCUGUUGGAACCUCCCCCAAAACUCGAUGGUAGCAAAGGGAUCAAACGAUACUUAAAUCCACUACUAUUGUCACGCCUCGAGCCCGCCUAUUUGGUCGGUUUCGGGCACGCCAACAGACCGCCGAACGGACAGGGUUUUCCCUGUACCGCGGACAAAGUUUUCCCUGUACGUCCAAGGAGUCACAAUCCAUACAAUGCGCGAGGUUCCAAUCAGGAACAGCAUACAAACAUAGAUUGCAUAAGGAAAGUAUCGAAAACAUAAACAACUAAGUUAUUACAUGCAUUCAACUCACAUAUUACAUUUUACAUAUUACAUCUUUCAUUCUUUUUAGCUUCGAAAUACAAUCUAGCUUUAACAAGAUUACUACAUUUUUGAUUGAAUGAUUCUAACUCCCAAACACAAUCCAAUUCUUAUUAUUUCAUUACAACUUGGUUCUUUUCUUUUCCUUGACAUUUCUAUGUAGCCGACUCAGGGUAUCGCUAUCUCUGGUCUCGGUGGUAGGGCGCUAACUAUCGAGCUACGCCCUCGCCUUGCGCCGCCGCGCCGCUCACGUGUGAACCUGUACCCCCAAAAAUAAUACCGGGGUGAGAACUAUUGUCCAUAAUUCCCAGUGGGUACGGCCACCCAAGGGAAAAGCAUAACCUACCAGGUCCAAGGAGGCACUGCAAUCAUGUUAGUCCAACAGAUAUCCAUAAGUAUUUUAUGCAACAUUAAAAUACAUGAAUGUGCCUCACAAUAUGCAAUAUGAAAUUCAUGCAACUAUGCAAGUAGAUUAAACGAUUUUACUCUCUAUCAUUGUCAUUCUUUAUUGUUAGACAUUCUUUACUACUUGCCAUUCUUUACUCUUUAUUCUUAGCCACACUUUACUCAAUUGUCAUUCUUUCCUAAGGUUACAUUUACUUUGGCCAACUAUGCCAUUCGACUCGAUCUUGAGUCAAUUCAUGAUGAAUGCAAGAUUUCAUUGCCCAAUCUCUUGGCUAACCCGUAGGUUUCGCUCUCAACAAACUCACUAACCCAAAUCCCUAUUAUCGGGGAGAUACUCGCUACGACCCGACGGGACCGUCCUCUAGGGAGAUACUCGCUACGACCCAGUGAUGACUACUCCGGAGCCCAUCACCCGAGGGGGAGCUACCGCCCUCGAACCAAGACUAUGGGUGAGUACGAUCAAUCCUUAACUUUAAGAAUUCCAAGUUCAAUCCAAUCCUCACAAUGAGGAUGCAAUGCUCAUAUGACCCUUAACUCUAAGGUUGCUAUGUCAUAAUGUUCAACUAUGUCCUUUACUUGCACUCUUUAACUUGUUUUAGUGUCAUCACACUACUCAUUCUUUAUACCCAUUUUCAUGCCACACUAAGUGUUCAUUAAUGCCACACUUGUAUUCUAGCAUCCUUGUCCCAUUGAUGUCAAUAUUGUAACACUAGUAUUCAAGACUCAUCAAUGCCACUCUCUACAUUUAUGUCAACAUAUAACUUUGUUUCUAAGUUCUCAUUAUUAGGUCAAAUGCCACAAUGUCACAAUUGCACAUGCAUACACUUUCUAGCACAUUUUACAACUUGCCAACAUGCAUAAUUUCAUUUAGCAUAUUCCACAAUGUCAACAUGCAUAUUCCAUUUAUCAUAUCCCACAAUAUGUCUAUACACAUAUACCAACUAGCAUAUUUUCAUAAUGUUAACAUUCAUAUGCCAUCCAACAUAUUCCAUGAUUUAUCAACAUGCAUAUUCUAUUUACCAUAUUCCUCAUGAAAGAUAUGAAUCCCGAGGAUCUAAAAGGUAAAUAACACCUAGAGGUGGGUGAAUAGGUGUAAAACGAAAAAAACAAAUAAACCCGAUGCAAAUUAAAAGAGAAUGCGGAAAAUAAAAACAACACACCAAGUUUUAAUGUGGGAAAACUCCAAUUCAGAAAGAAAAACCCACGGGACCGAUCACACGAUGAAAUCCACUAAGAAAACUUGAGUACAAGUGAUUUAACAAAAAUACACGACUCAAUUUACCGAAUCCUCGUCGUAGAUUGUCUUCGCUGGUCCUCGAUCGCUUGGAAUCCUCCAACCGAUCACGCCGCAAGUCCUUGCCGCGUCAACGCCUCGACUCCUCGAUGCGUCCACCGAAUCCUCGGCCUCACACGCGAUCCACGUGCAAAUCCUCCGUCUGGAGCUCGUAGAGAAGAUGAUUUGUGGUGAUUUGAUUACUUGGAAAGCACGUAUAACAUGAGGAAAAACCCUUCUUAGAAUAUCAUUAAUUUGAUCCUCAAGGAACAAUUGAAUUGUAAUCAAAGAAUCAAAUUGAUGAUCUAAGAGCUUGAUAUUUAAAAUAUAGAUCAAAUGGUCCAAAUCAAGUUUUUGAGUUUCUAAAUGAUUAUCUUUCAAAGCAUAUAUCAUAUGGGUACCCUCAUAUCAUAUUUAUAGGUUUAGAAGACUUAGAAGCCGACUAGGAUUGCAAAAAGCCAAGUUUAAAAACUGACGACGUCCUCAGGGACCGGUCCUCUUGAGGAGACUGGUCUUUGGGAGACCGGUCCCUCGUUGCGUGCCUGAAAAAAAAUGGCUUCGGGAACCGGUCUCUCAUUCAGAGACCGGUCCCUCGCUGUGUGACAGAAAAACCAUCGCUUUGGAAUCGGUCUCACUUUUCAGAGACCGGUUGCCUCAACUUUCCACGCAUAGAGGACCCUGGGAGACCGGUCUCUCAUCUCAGGGACCGGUCCCAGAACACUAAAAUGUUCAGAUUUAGCUUUUUAAUGCAAUCUAAGUCUUCUAAACUUAUUUUAAUCAAUUAAAAUCACCAUAAAUGAUCUAUUCUUCAUACCUGAGGUGUCGAACUUUCCGAAUGAGUCUUUGAUCUUCAAAUUGAAUCUUAGUUUCAAAACCCCGUGUUUGACUCUUCAAGACUCCAUUCGACUUUACGAAAUCCGCCAACCUAGAAAAUCCUUAACAAUUUCCCCCUUUGGCGAUUUCGUGACAAAACAUAUUACAACGCUCGUACACAACUCAGAAACAAUAAAAGAAGAUCAUCGCAAUCAUCAAACGACAAUAUCCUGUAUGAUCGAUCCAAUAAAGAAAAAAUUACAAUUUUUUCACAAUCCUAAUCAAACUCUAUACUUAGACAUUGAGUCUUGAAGUCUUGAACAUUCCUGCAAAAAUAUUCUUAAAACACAAUCAAGAUUCAAGAAUACUUAUCAUAUCAAAACAUAGUCAGUCAUAGUCAGUCAUAAUUCAUCUAAGUACAUCCACAAUCAGCAUCAUAUCUAAGUACAUCCAUAAUCAGCAUUAUAUCAAAAAAUCAACAAUCUAAGCAUAAGCAUCAUCAUUAUCUCCCCCUUUUUGUCAGAAAGCACCAAAAAGACAAAAAAAGGAACUCCAUAACACUCAGUCUGAGCCAUCACCCUCCGGAGGAAGAUUAGAACUACAACAACCCAACUUAUCAAAAAUCGCCUUCAUCAACUGUUUUAUCUUGCUCACAUCCUUUCUUAUCCGAGUCUGAUCCGCUGAUAAUUUCUGAAGCUCUUCUGAUAACCGUUGUUGCUCACGAAAAAUAGAUGACACCGAGGCAUCCUCCUCAGAAAACUCUAUAGAAGGACGUGAAGAAGCAGGAGCAGGAGGUGGAGCAGCAGUAGGUGAAGAAGGUCGUUGUGUCUGUAAUACACUGAACUUUUGCAAAUUGUGAAGUUCGAGUGUGAGGAAUGAUAUGUGGAUCUAUCCUACAUAUUUUAAAAGGCUUGGACAAGUUUUUGGACAAGUUGGAGAGUAAUUGGAUGGCUAAAAGUAAGAAAGUGCAUUGAUUUGGCGAAAUCAGCAUUUUUCUGCUUGGUGUACCGGUACAGCCAUCAUUGUGUACCGGUACACAAUGGCAGAAACGUGGCAGCAAGGUUAUUUUGAUAAUUUCACACCUUAUGCUUAUCUUCUUAACCCCAGCACGACUCCAGGAGCUCAGGGAAGGUUGCUGGAGCUCAGGGCAAGCCUCUUCCAUCUUCUCCACUUUCUCUCUCUAGCGUUUCUCUCUCUACGAGUAAAAUUCGCCGUUUCGCGCCGAUUUCGCGCCGCGCUCGAUUCUCGCUGGUUGGAAGAUUCACAGGAAGCUUUUAAAUCGUGGGGAGGAGGAUUUCUACUGAGUUUUCUGUGAUUUCAUCACAGGGGAAAGCCGAAUUUUAGCUUUAGAAAGGUAUUUAGCUCAAAUUCUUCCUAGUUUGUGUACUAAUGUCGGAUUUUGAGCCGUUUCGCUUUUGUUGCUUCAGCUGAGUUGGAGUAGGAUCCCAGCAGCUAUGUCACGCCCCGGGACCGGCGGAGGCCCUCCCGGUAGCGUGCCCAGACCCGCCAUAUGUCUACACAUAUAAGGCGUCUACAACAAAAGCGGAAGUAAAAGCAAGAGAUAGAACAAAUACAAGAAAUGAAAUAACGAGCAACUAAUGAUAUCAGAGCAAGUAAAGUUCUAUCAUCUAUACCAAGGUAAAAAAAUAAAGCUAGUCAUAAGUAGUACAAAAAUGGUGGUCUCUAUACAUAUGCGGGUACAUCUCUCAACCUCUCACAAAAAGAAAACACGAGAGGUNACGGUCAACGACCUACCAGAAAUCUGGAAAGGCUCAGAGCACGACCAAUCACUCGAACCUCGCAAUUUGCAAAGGUCCAGUGCGUUACAAGCUAGAUAGGAGAUAUCCAGCUGUGAUUUACCCAAUUUAAUCCAGGGAAAGGUUGCUUUAAGGCUGGUUAAAGGUAAAUUAUGAUUUAUUAAGCUAUUUCGGAACUAUACGCGAUUUAAUCGAGUAACUUGACGCUGUUUGAGAUUGCUUCUUCGCAGCAGGUUUCUAAAUUUAAUUGAGCUUAUUUGGUGACCUUGGGGACUGGUUUAGAAGGUGUUUUAACCUGAGGUAAGCAGGAAUUUCAGUUCUAAAACUGAUUUAGUAAGAAUUCGACUAUAAUAGCUUAUAUUUGAGCAUUUUGAUGCCGUUUUGGAAAUUGUUCGCAGCCAGCUUGCGACGGACCUUCGGAUUAUCUCCGGCUGAUACGUGAGGGAUUUUGGAGGCUUAACUUGAGGUAUUAAGAUGACCCAAAAUAGGGAUUUACGUUACUACUUCGUAUUAAGUGCACGAGUACCGAAAUUGGACAUUUCGGAUGUAUGUUUGAUACGGUUUUGAUGCAUUAUUUUCAGCAGGGCUGAGGCUUAAUUGAGCUGAAUUUUGGGACUCUUGUGGACUGAUUUGAGCUUAGUAAUAUGUGGCUUUGACCUAACCACAGCAAGUGAAGCUCUCCUAUGUUCUAUAUGUUACUAUAGAAUUGGUGUGGUUGUGUGCUUUUGUGAUUGAUAUAGGACUUGAGACUAGUCACUAUACUAUAGUGUCGAUACAUAAUUGAAUUGAGAUCUCUAUAAGUAGAGAACAUUUAUGCAUACAAGUCUUUAUGUUUAUGUUGAAUUCAAUUGAAUGACAUUCUUAUGACUUUAUUGAUUAUAAAGUAUAGAACAAUGACAUGCUUUGUGACUAUAAUGAUAGUGCCAUGAUAGUGGAAAAGUUUCUAAUGCCAUAUGUAAAUUAGCAUUAUUCUCACAUGUUUAUUAAUCUAGUGGAUACUAGCUAUUGUCAAUAUUCGUUAUAUUGAAAUUCCGAUCAAAGGAUCGAGAGUGAGAACAUUACAAGUUAAAUCGUGAGGAUUAAGACAAAUUGGGCUAUGGACUUUGCUUGCUUGCUAUCGUGCUCAUUCGCACACGCUUGUGAGAGUAGCUUCCUACAAGCCGGCACUCCGGAGUUGGCCUACGCGACAGUUGCUCGCCCGUGCGGGAUUGGAUGCUGAAGUGGAUUGCCGUAGGGAGUGUAUACUACCACGGGGCCAUUAGGCGCGGCGCAAGCUGGACUACCUUGGGUAGGUCCUUAUGAAUGAAAUGAAAGUACUAAAUGACAAAGGACAGUAAUGAAUGCUCAUCAGUUAUAGUGUAUAGUAUUUACUUACACAUCCAUGUUUAUGUUCAUGUUUAUAGUAGUCGCUAUGCUUCUAUUAUUCAGUUGAUUCAUUACUGCAGAAAUCAUGAUUACAUGUUGAUUAUAUGCCUAUUGCCUGUUAGCAUUGCAUAUAUAUAUAUCAUGCAAUUAUCGCUUUUACUUUCAUUUAGUACAUCAUGAGCCUAGUGGUGUAAUUCGCCGAGGCUGACGGCUUACCCACUGGAAACUAUUGUUAAUAGUUCUCACGCCCUUUUAUGGUUGUUUUUUUCAGAGCCAUCUACAGGAGAGGCUAGGGAUCGUGGCAAGGGAGUCGCAUCUAGCUAGACAUUGCUAGGAGCUUGCUAGUCAAUCACCUUGCUACUCGGGCUACGGCCGAGGGUGAUGUCCAGUGUAUAGAGAGACUACCAUUGUACAGAUAUUUUGUGUAGCCUAUGAUGUAUAUGAGUAGUGGAUCCAGAUGUUAUAGUUUUGGUACUUUCAUUUGUACUUUUAUUUUGAGUUGGACACUGUUGUUCUUUUGUUGAUAGUCUUAUUGACUUAUAUAUGCUCUGAUAUCAGGAUAGGAUUCUUCUAUGUUUUUCUCCUAUCGACUUGCUUUCUUGUAGACGCCUUAUAUACUGUAGGUGUAUGGCGGGUCUGUGCCCGUGCCGGAUAUGCUUCCGCUUGUACCCGGACGUGACAGAUUAUAGUGGUAUCAGAGCCUAGGGUUGAGUCUUAGUAGACCUAGCAAACCUUAGGCUGGUUGGACUAUAAGAAUAGGCUCGUGAGAGACGAGGUCUAGUUGAGGUUGUUGUUAGCGAAAGUAUGCUGAUUGGGUAAUUUAUAAACUCCGAAUGGUAGGAGUUUGAUCGAAAUGUGCAAUUACCAACUUUGCAGAGGAUCACGUUGGCGGCCGACAACGUGACAUCGGAAGUUAGUAUAUGUUAUAUUUCAUUACUUUCGCUUGAUUAGCUAGCUUAUAUCUGAAAUAAGGGUACAAUAGUAUAGGUUUUAUUAAUCUAUAUUUGUUUUUGUGCUACAGCUCUAGAUGCCUUUGACUCGCUUGAGAGCCGCCGGGGCGGCUGAGGCGGCGGAUGCGGAGGAAGUGGGGGCCUCCGUUACUUCUGGAUCUAGUGGGAUCCAUUAGUUGUAGGAUCAGCUCGCGAUGCUGACGGAUUUGGUUACUCAGCAGGCUGCGGCAGCGCGACAGUAGAUGAAUGCCGAGCGUCGACAGGAGGACAGGAUGAAGAGGUUAGAGGAUUUACUACUGCGGCAGACGACCGACAGAGAGAUUCCUAAUCCUAUACCUACAGUACCAGACAGGGAUGCGACAGUGAGAGCAUAGUCACCAGUACCAGACACACCCUCCAGUAGCUCCGAGGGUAGAGCCCCGACAGGAGACAGUUGUACCACUCGUGCAUGUGGCUGCGGCAGGGACAGUGUUACCUGAGAUGGUGGGAGUUGAGGAGCGAGAGCGAAUGAUGGAGCAACUGAAUAAAUUUCGUCAUUACACCCCUCGUAUUUUUGACGGGAAAAAAGCUGAUCAUUGGGUGGUCGAGAAAUGGCUAAUGCACAUGGAGAAACUGUUCUAUGAUACUUUUGUUGAGGAGCGAUACAGAGUUUGAUUUGCGACGCACCACCUUGAUGACGAGGCUUACAGGUGGUGGGUGGAUAUCCGUGAGGACCCCCGUGUGGAUUUGUCAGCGAUCACUUGGACGAGAUUCAAGGAAUUACUGUUGACGACCUAUUUCCCGCAGAGUGUGAAGAGGCAGAUGGAAAGGAAUCUAAGAAACCUGAGGCAGGGGGACAGGACAGUAGCAGAGUAUGAGCGAGAGUUCUCCCGAUUACUGCAUUGUUUUCCUUUUGUGGUUCGAGAUGAUGAGGACAAGGCCCGUAUUUUUGAGGUGGGUUUGCGGCCUGCGAUUUUCAGAUUGGUCCAGGCGUCAAACCUUUCUACUUACAGGGAAGUGGUGAACCGGGCCUUGAUUGUUGAAAAAGGGGCGGAAAUUAUGAAGGAAAGAGACAUUGUGGAUCGAAGUAAAGAAAAGAGACCAGCGGCUGAGAGCAGCGGUCAGCAAUCCUUUAGGAGACCACCGAAGUAUCCGAGGGGCCAGUCAGGCCAGUCGAGGGGUCGAGGUUCUUCAGCACCACGUGGAGCACCUGAGCAUCGUCGACAGCCACGUUGUGUCAUUUGUGGUGGGCCUCAUUUUCCACAACAGUGUCCACAACGUGGGGGGCAAGUGUUUUAUCUCCGGCGAGGAGGGCCACUAUCGUUCAGAGUGCCCGAGAGGUUCUUCGCCUGCCCCAUCAUCAGCAUCUGCAGCUGCAUCUUCAACUCCGAGCCAGGGGACCCCGACAGCACCCUCGCAGUACAGACGACCACCGGGACAGCGGCAGUCUGAGAGUCCUCAGCAGGGUUCGAGUGGGCGUAUGUAUGCCGCCCAGACUGAGGAGGCCGUAGCAGCGGAGGAGGCCGUAGCAGCGGAGGAGGUCGUAGCAGUAUCAUUAUGCUUUAUGAUAUUCGUGUUCGUGCAUUAUUUGAUACUGGUGCUUCGCAUUCUUUUAUUGAUCGGCAGUUUGCCGAGUUGCAUAGCAUUCAUUUAGCACCUAUUUUGCAUCCGGGACGAGUGAUCGUGCCCGACCAUACCCUAGAUGUUCGUGAGUUUUGCCCUCGCUGCCCAGUUCGGGUAGGCGACUGGAUUAUGCCAGUAGAUUUACUACCACUACACAAACUAGGUGAGUUUGAUGUAAUAUUGGGUAUGGAUUGGUUGACACAGUAUUAUGCGACUAUUGAUUGCACGAGCAGAACGGUGACCUUUAGGGAACGGGGUCAGCAAGAGUUUGUUUAUAAGGGGUGUCAGAGUUCAUUGUUUGCAAUGACUAUUAGCUCUUCCCGAGCACGACAGUUGAUUCGGAGGGGUUGUGUAGCCUAUUUGGCUAGUAUUUCUGUGAGCAACGGAGAAGCCGUCAAGAUUGAUGAUAUCCCAGUUGUGCGAGAAUUCGGGGAUGUGUUUCCAGCUGAGUUGCCGGAUAUGCCACCUGAUAGGAAAGUUGAGUUUGUGAUAGAUCUUGUCCCUGGGACUACCCCAAUCUCAAAAGCACCCUAUAGGAUGGCACCCGCUGAAUUGAAAGAGCUGAAGGCACAGUUACAAGAUUUAUUGGAUAAGAGUUUCAUUCGACCGAGUGUGUCACCUUGGGGAGCACCGGUGUUGUUUGUUAAGAAAAAGGAUGGAUCUCUUCGAUUGUGUGUGGAUUACCGAGAAAUCAACAAAGUCACAAUCAAGAAUAAAUAUCCAUUACCCAGAAUCGAUAAUUUAUUCGCUCAGCUGCAAGGAUCAAAAGUGUAUUCCAAGAUUGAUUUGCAAUCAGGUUAUCAUCAGCUUAAGAUCAAGCCUGAAGAUGUUUCCAAGACCGUUUUUAGGACACGGUAUAGACAUUAUGAAUUUACAGUUAUGCCUUUUGGACUCACAAAUGCCCCAGCAGCCUUUAUGGAUUUAAUGAACCGUGUCUUUAAGCCCUAUUUGGACAGGUUUGUGGUUGUAUUUAUCGACGAUAUUUUGAUAUAUUCUCGAAGUGAUGAAGAGCAUGAAAAUCAUUUAAGAGUGGUGUUACAAGUACUUUGAGAAAAGAAACUGUUUGCAAAGAGUUAAAGAAAUGCGAAUUUUGGCUUCGAGAAGUAGUAUUUCUGGGACAUGUAAUUACAGAGGCUGGGAUUGCUGUAGAUCCAAAGAAGAUAGAAGCAAUUAAAGAUUGGCCCAGGCCGACAAAUGUUACAAAGAUUCGGAGUUUCCUUGGUUUGGCGGGAUACUAUCGAAGAUUUGUGGAAGGAUUUGCGAAGAUGUCAACUCCUCUCACUCGACUCACUCAUAAAGGAGCUAAGUUUCUGUGGAAUGAAGUCUGUGAAAGAAGCUUUCAGUAGCUGAGAGAACGGUUAACCACUGCUCCGAUUCUAGCAUUACCUGUUGCUGGAGUGGAUUAUGUGAUUUACAGCGAUGCGUCGCUGAAUGGAUUAGGGUGUGUUCUAAUGCAGAAUGGCAAAGUAAUUGCUUAUGCAUCUCACCAAUUAAAGGAUUAUGAAAAGAACUAUCCUACGCAUGAUCUAGAGCUGGCUGCUGUAGUUUUUGCCUUAAAGCUUUGGUGCCACUACCUCUACGGCGAGCGUUGCGAAGUUUAUACAGAUCAUAAAAGUUUAAAGUAUCUGUUUACGCAGAAAGAAUUAAACUUGAGAUAACGUAGAUGGUUCGAGUUGCUCAAGGAUUAUGAUUUAACCAUCCUCUAUCAUCCAGGAAAAGCUAAUGUUGUAGCAGAUGCUUUAAGUCGAAAAUCGACAGAAAAUUUGACGAUGUCGAUAACUUUGCAACCACUGUUGGUAAAAGAAAUGGAGCAGCUGAAUUUGGAGGUUGUAGCUCCUGAUACGCCUUGGAGACUUAUGUCAUUGGUGGUGCAACCUACCCUGAUUGAUCGAAUUAAAGAAAAACAAGCACACGAUAAAUUUCUGCAAAAGAUUCGAGCAAAGAUCACUGUUGAUCAUGUUGGUGAUUUUCGAGUGGAUGAUCAAGGAUUGUUAAAAUUCGGUGAUAGACUUUGUAUUCCAGCCGACUCUGCCAUUAAAGAAUAAAUUUUAAAAGAAGCACAUCAGGCACCAUAUACUUUGCAUCCUAGAAGUACGAAGAUGUAUAAAGAUUUGAAGUUAACUUACUGGUGGCCUGGAAUGAAAAAGGAAGUUGCAUAUUUUGUGGCCAAGUGCUUAACCUGUCAGCAGGUUAAAGCUAAACAUCGACUUCCUGUGGGAAAACUACAAAAUUUACCCAUACCAGUGUGGAAGUGGGAGAGGAUCACUAUGGUUUUAUUAUUGGAUUACCUCGCUCACAGGCAGGUCACGAUGCUAUUUGGGUAAUUGUGGAUAGAUUGACCAAAUCUGCCCACUAUAUUCCGAUUCAUACGUUUUGGUCGGGGCAGAGACUCGCACAAGUAUAUCUUAAUGAAAUUGUGCGAUUACACGGAGUACCUGCUUCUGUUGUUUCAGAUCGAGACACUCGAUUCGUUUCACAUUUAUGGAGGAAUUUAUAGGAGGCUGUGGGUACCCGAUUGGAUUUUAGUACUACUUUUCACUCUCAGAGUGACGGGCAGUCCGAGCGCACCAUCCAGACUCUUGAGGAUAUGUUGCGUGGCUGUGUGAUUGAUUACCAAGGCAGUUGGCCACAAUUCCUACCAAUGGCUGAAUUUGCUUAUAACAAUAGUUAUCAAGCAAGUAUUCAAAUGGCAUCGUUUGAAGCUCUUUAUGGUAGAAAAUGUAAAUCACCACUUCAUUGGAGUGAAGUGGGGGAAAGACUAGUCUUGGGUCCAAAUGUGUUACAGGAAGCCGAAGCUAAAGUUCGACUUGCACGGGAACGUUUACUGACAGCUCAAAGUCGACAAAGGAGCUAUGCGGAUAAACGUCGACGAGAACUGGAAUUUCACGUUUGCGAUCAUGUAUUCCUGAAAGUUUCACCGACAAAGGGAGUUAAGAGAUUUGGAAUUUGAGGAAAACUAAGUCCUCGGUUUAUUGGACCGUACGAAGUGUUGGAGCGGAUAGGCCCCAUAGCGUAUCGGUUUGCUUUGCCGCCGAACCUAUCGGGAGUACAUAAUGUGUUUCAUGUAUCUACACUGCGGAAGUAUGUUUUUGAUCCGACCCACAUAUUGGAAAGUACUCCAGUGGAUUUACGAGAGGAUUUGAGCUUUGAGGAGUAUCCAGUGAGAAUCCUAGCUCAUAAAGUGAAACGGCUUCGAAACCGUGAGAUACCCUAUGUAAAGAUCCUUUGGAGCAAUAAGGAUGAACGAGAAGCCACUUGGGAGCUGGAGAGUACAAUGCAAGAGCAUUAUCCUUAUCUAUUCUCGACGGAAUCUUGAGGUAAAGUAUUUACAAGUUUCGCGGACGAAACUUCUUUUUAGGAGGGGAGAAUGUAAUUGUAACACACUGGACCUUUGCAAAUUGCGAGGUUCGAGUGUUUGAUGUGUACUCCGAACUUUUCCACACUUGGUGGAAGGCCGUAGAUGGUAUUCCGGCCUAAAAGCUCGAUCUCUAGAGUUUUGGCAUGUCCUGAGAGUUUUAACUCUCGGGGACCGGUCCCUGAUGUGAGAGACCGGUCCCCUCAGCUCAGUGUUGCGGCAGCUGGCGAGGCAACCGGUCCCUGGCAUGCGAGACCGGUCCCCGAGCGCGUCUGCGCGGGGAGAGACCGGUCCCGCGCAGGGAGAGACCGGUUCCCGAACGUUGGAUUUUCGGGGCAGGCUGAGAGACCGGUCCCAAGUCGGGGAGACCGGUCCCUCUGGGCGAAAACUGCCCAGAUCGGGCUGAUGUGAAUUUGAGUUUUUGAUGGGCUUUUCUGGAUUUUGUUGCACUAGAUGGUCUAUAUGGCCCUUUCACUCUCUUCCCUCCUCAUUUCUCCCCUUCACACCCAUUCUAGAGAGAGAAGAAGAGAGGGAGAAGGAGAGGAAGAAGAAGGAGAAUGAGAGGUUCUUGCUUGGAGGCCUUGGAGCACUAUCUUCUUCCUCAUUUCUCACCUUUUGGAGGCUUGGAGCUUGCCUUUGGAGCUUGGUGGUGGACCAAUCUUCAACCUAGGAGGAUUUUGGACUUGGUUUGGAGCUUCCUAGAGGUAUGUGACUAGUUCUUCUCCUCUAGAUUCUAAUUUUGGAGCUUUUUGCUUGAAGAAACCCUGAUUGGGAUUCUAGGGUUAGAUUUGGGGCUUUUUGGAUUUGAGGCCUUUGAAAUCUAAUUGAUGGGUUUGGAACCUUUAAUUAGGUUGGAUUUGAAGCACUCUUAACUCCCAUUUGGAGCUUGAGAGGGGAUUUCUUCACCUAGGUGAGUUUUUCUCCACCUUAGCCUAUGUUGCUUAUUGAUUGAGCUUAGGGUUGAUCGUAAGAUUUGUUUGACCCUUGUUCCUACAUCUUUAGGGUGCUGGGAGACUAGUCGACACCUUCGUCGGGGCUUACAAAGGGUUUUGGCAUCAUCGGUGGGUUUGGCUUCAUGAACACGGGGCAAAAUGGCCCAUAAGUUUUCUAUACUUGUCGUAAAGUAUUUUUGAAUGCAAAUCCAUACUAAAUAUGAAUUAUGUGAAUUUUAGAACACUUGAAAUGCAUGCCUUAUGUAUUCAUGAAAUUGCACUCUAUAUAGUAGAGCUAUAUGUGUGACUGCAUGCAUUGUGAAAGGUGGAUAGCUUUGUAAGUUGAGAACAUGUCUCCUAUGUUUGAAAUGAGUAGAAUUAUGUAUUCAUGAACAUAGAUACCAUGCUUGGACUCAUUGAACAAUAGUGUCAUGAAGGGGCACUUGAAACUAGUAAACUAUGAAAAUGCAACAUAGAGACAUAGUGAUAGGCCAUUAUAACGACUAUAUUCCAUGUUAGAGACAUGACGACAUAAUGAUAGGCCUUUGUGACAUUCGAUAUAUUCCAUGUUCUUAGACAUGAGGACUUGAGACUUGAGACAGACUUAUACGCAUGCUUGCCAUUGUGCUAAUUCGCACAUGCUUGUGAGGGUCGCUCCCUACAAGCCGGCACUCCGGAGUUGGCCAUCGCGAUACGUUCGCCGUGCGGGAUUGGGCGCGGAAGUGGAUUGCUGUGGGAAAGGCUCAUCCCUAAGGUGGGGAUGUUGACUACCACGGGGCCAUUAGGCACGGUAAAGCCAGACAGCCGUCGGAUGGGUCUUAUGCCAAAAAGCCUUCGGGUGGGUCUUAUCAAAGUUGAACUGUAAACAAUUAAAGUGACAAGUGACAUUGACUAGAAUAGUAAACAAUGACAUCUUUACUACCUACAUUGUGGACAUUGGAUUAGUUGCAUAUUUAUGCAUUUGCAUGUUGGAUACUCUUGUGCACAUACUUGUAGUAACUGCCUUCUUACUUAUGCAAAUCAUGCUAAGUAGAGAUAUCAUGGUUGAAUAGUAUUCAUAUUUAUUUCCUAGUUGUUCUUAUCGCUUUGGCUUAUACUUGUACACUGACCCACUUUUGUAGUUUUGGGCCUAGUGGCGCAUUUCACUGAAGUCAGUAAUUGCCCACUGGAAACUAUUAUUUAAUAGUUCUCACGCCUCUGUUCCUAUGUUUUCUUUUCAGAGCCUUCGGCACCAGCGGAGGCACGGGAUCGCGGCAAGGGUGUCGCAUAGAUAGCUCGGGAGAGAGUCCGUUUUGCGAUAAGUGGUUACUCCUUCUUUUGUUUGUGUUAGAGAGAGGGAGAGUUUUUGCACCAUGUAUAGAGAGACCACCUUGUAUUCAGAUUAGUACUUGCUUUGGGACUUCUUUUGUAUUAUCUUAUGUUUUACCUAGCGGAUUAUCAGCUUUAUGAUCUUCUUCUUGUUGUAGCACUUCGUAGUAUUUUGCCCUGAUACACUUAGAUGCUUUCCCCUUUAUUGCUUUAUUUACCGCUUUAUUUUAGACGCCUUAUAUGUUUUAGACGUACGGCGGGUCUGGACACGCGCCGGGUGGGCUUCCGCUGGGUGCCGGGGCGUGGUAGAUUAGUUUAGUAUCAGAGCCUAGGGUUGAGUCCUAGUGGACCUAGCAAACCUUAGGCCGGUUGGACUAUAGGAAAUAGGCUCGUGAGAGACGAGGUCUAUUUGACCUGUAAGCGAAAGUAUCUCGAUUGGGUAUUUUGGAUAACUCUAGGAAGUAGAGUUAAAUCGAAGUGUGUAGCUCCUAACUUCACGGAGGGUUACGUUGGCGGUCGACAACGUAACAUCGGGAGUUAGUAGUGAAGCACACUUCCUUUCUUUUUCCUGAUUUGGGUAUUAUCUUUGAGUAGGGAUGCGAUAGCGUAGGUUUGCUAACUUACGCUUUUAUGAUGUUGUAGUGCGAUGCCGACCACACGCUCCCAAUCUGCUGGAGCGAAAAACGCGGCAAAUCUGGAGGAGGUCGAGACCUCCGCUACCUCCGGAUCCAGCGAGGUCCGUGAGCGGAGGAGCCAGCUGGCAACUCUCACCGACUUGGUGACGCAGCAGGCAGAGGCGGCCCGACAGCAGACUGAUGCGGCGCGCCGACAGGAGGCGCGGAUGAAGCGCCUGGAGGACCUUCUUCUACAGCAGGCGGCAGCUUCCAGGAAGACCCAGGCCCCUACACCGCCAGCACCAGUCGUGGAUGUUGCACCGAGAGCACCGUCCCCUGCGCCCAGUUCGUCGCGAGCGGCGCCCGUAGCUGCGCCUCAGGAGGAGGGUUUGGCGGCACCACUUGUUCAGGCACCCCCGAUUGGAGCUGUUUUCCCUGUGUUGGUUGAGGGGGCGGAGUGGGACCGGCUGAUGGAGCGCCUUAAUGAGUUCAGGAUGUGCAGCCCCAGGAUUUUCGAUGGCAAGAAGGUCGACACUGGAUCGUGGAAAAGUGGUUGAUGCAUAUGGAGAAGCUCUUCCGCGAUACCUUCGUGGUUGGAUCUCCAGGAGAACCCCAGCACUGAUUUGGCAGCUAUCGCGUGGAAGAAGUUCAAGGAGCUUCUACUGGCGCACUACUUCCCGAUCAGCGUCAAGCGCAAGAUGGAGCAGGAUCUGCGCAACUUGCGCCAAGGUGAUCGGACUAUGGCCGAGUACGAGCGGGAGUUUUCUCGGCUUCUGCAUUGCGUGCCCUUCGUCGUGCGGGACGACGAGGACAAGGCCCGCAUUUUCGAGCGAGGGUUGCGACCGUCGAUCUACCGAUUCGUUCAAUCGUCUAACCUCCAAACCUACCGGGAGGUGGUGGAUCGCGCGCUCAUAGUGGAGAGCGGCGCAGCAGAGGUCCAGGAGCGACGAGAGGCCAUGGACAAAGUCAAGGCCAAGAGGCCUGUGGCUGAGGGUGCGAGCCAGACGCACUCUAGGAGGCCGCCGAAGCACCCUAAGAGCCAGCAGCGUGGACGUGGCUCAGCAGCGCAGCGAGGUGGAUCUCACCGACGCCGGCCCUCCCCGUGUGUGAUCUGUGGUGGUCUUCAUCACCCACUGCAGUGCCCACAGCGGGCGAGCAGGUGCUUCCAGUGUGGCCAGGAGGGCCACGUGCGGACUGAGUGCCCGAGAGGUUCUUCACCGGCACCGUCGACUGCAUCGGCACCGGCUCUACCAGCCGCCAGCCACGGGACUCCGUCGACACAGUACCAGCCUGGGCGGCCACCCGUCCAGCGGCAAAGUGAGGGAUUUUGGCAGGCCCCAAGUGGGCGUUUGUAUGCCGCUCAGACUGAGGAGGCAGCAGCAGCCGAGGAUGUGGUUGCAGGUAUCAUUUUACUUGAUGGCAUUAGAGUUCGUGUUUUAUUUGAUACCGGUGCAUCGUAUUUAUUUAUAGAUCGGCUGUUUGCCGAGUUGCAUGGCAUCCCUUUGGUUUCUUUGUUGCAUCCGGGACAUGUUGUAGUACCCGACCACACUUUGGAUAUUAGAGAGUAUUGCCCUAGUUGCCCUGUUCGGGUAAGAGAUUGGAUCAUGCCCGUGGAUUUGCUAGCCCUGCGCAAGCUAGGGGAUUUCGAUGUGGUCUUGGGUAUGGAUUGGCUAACCAAGUAUUAUGCCACAAUAGAUUGUAAGAAUCGCACAGUUACUUUUAGAGAACCGGGCCAGACUGAGGUUGUGUUUAGAGGAUGCCGAAGUUCGCUUUUUGCGACGUCGAUCAGCUCGUCUCGAGCUAGGCAGCUGAUCAGUCGAGGAUGUGUAGCCUACUUGGCUAGCGUUGUGUUGAGGGGUGAGGAUGACACCCCUAGGAUUGAGGAUAUCCCGGUGGUACGGGAGUUCCAGGACGUGUUUCCAGCUGAGUUACCGAGUAUACCGCCCGAUAGGGAGAUCGAGUUUGUGGUGGAUCUUAUCCCUGGGACUACCCUAGUCUCGAAGGCACCCUAUAGGAUGGCACCGGCGGAACUGAAGGAGCUGAGGGCACAGCUACAGGAUUUGUUGGACAAAGGCUUCAUUCGACCGAGCGUCUCACCGUGGGGGGCGCCAGCUCUGUUCGUCAAGAAAAAGGACGGAUCACUUCGCCUGUGUGUGGACUAUCGUGAACUUAAUAAAGUCACGAUCAAGAAUAAGUAUCCGUUGCCUAGGAUCGAUUACUUGUUUGACCAGCUCCAGGGAUCUAGUGUGUAUUUCAAGAUCGACUUGUAGUCGGGAUACCACCAGUUAAAGAUUAAACUCGAGGAUGUAUCGAAAACAGCUUUUAGAACACGGUAUGGACAUUAUGAGUUCACAGUAAUGCCGUUCGAGCUUACUAACGCCCCGACAGCUUUUAUGGAUUUGAUGAACCGUGUCUUCAAGCCUUACUUGGAUAGAUUUGUCGUGGUGUUCAUUGACGACAUUUUUGUUUAUUCCCGAAGUGACGCAGAUCACGAGGAGCAUCUGAGGCUUAUACUUCAAAUACUUCGGGAAAAGGAGCUUUAUGCCAAGUUGAGAAAGUGUGAAUUUUGGCUUCGAGAGGUAGCCUUCCUUGGACAUUUGAUAUCGGGAUCAAGUAUAGCCGUGGAUCCUAAGAAGAUUGAAGCAAUCAAGGAUUGGCCGAGACCGACGAGUGUCACGAAAAUAUGGAGUUUCCUUGGAUUGGCCGGUUACUACCGGAGAUUUGUUGAGGGGUUCGCUAAGCUCUCUACUCCCCUCACGAGGCUCACGCACAAAGGUGUCAAGUUCAUUUGGAAUGAUGCAUGCGAGAGAAGCUUCCAAGAGUUGAAGCAAAGAUUGACGACCGCCCCGAUCCUAACCCUGCCGGUGACUGGAGCAGGGUAUGUGAUUUACAGUGAUGCAUCUCUUAAUGGAUUGGGCUGUGUGUUGAUGCAAGAUGGUAAGGUGAUCGCGUAUGCUUCGCGCCAACUGAAGGAAUAUGAAAAGAAUUACCCUACGCAUGAUUUGGAGUUGGCGGCCGUAAUCUUCGCAUUGAAGUAAUGGCGCCACUACUUAUAAGGCGAGCGGUGUAAAGUAUAUACGGAUCACAAGAGCUUGAAAUAUUUGUUCACUCAGAAGGAGUUGAACUUGAGGCAGUGCAGAUGGUUGGAGCUACUCAAGGAUUAUGUAACACACUGGGCCUUUGCAAAUUGCGAGGUUCGAGUGAUAGGUUGUGUUUCGAGCUUUUUCACACUUGGUGGAGGGUCGUAGAAUGUUUCCGACCUAAAAGUUCGAAAACCUGCGUUCUGGAUGAGUCUUGAGAGUUUUUACUCUCGGGGAUCGGUCCCUGAAAGGAGAGACCGGUCCCCCAGUGAGCAGUGCUGCGCAGCCGGCGAGGCAACCGAUCCCUGGCGGGCGAGACCAGUCCCCGAGCGCGUCUUUGCAGUGAGAGACCGGUCCCGCGCAAGGAGAGACCGGUUCCCGAACGUUGGUUUUUCGGGUUCGCAGCGAGAGACCGGUCCCUUGUAGGGAGAGACCGGUCCUUCUGGGCGAAAAUUGCCCAGACCGGGCUGUUGCAAUAUUGGAUUUUUGAGGGGCCUCUUGGGAUUUUGUUACACUAGAUGGCUUAUAUGGUCACACCACCCUCUCCCCUUCUCAUUUCUCUCCUCACACUCUGCCCACACCUUUGUUAGAGAGAGAAGAAGGAGAAGAAGAAGAAGAAGGAGAAGAAGAGGAGGAGGAUCUAGCUUGGACUUGGAGCAUUUCUUUGCCUCUCUUCCUCUCCCCACCUUGUUGGUGCUUGAAGGCUUGGACUUGGAGCUUGCAAAGGAGGAGAUCUUCACCCUUGGAGCUUGGAUUGGAGCUUCUAAGGAGGUUUGUUGCUCUUUUCCUUCUUCUAGACCUUGAUUUGAGGAUUUUUAGUAAAUGGAACCCUAGAAUGGAAUUUUAGGGUUUAUUUUGGGUAUUUUGGAUCUAGGGAUUUUGAGGCUAGAUUUCUCGGAUUAGAACCCUCCUUUGGGUUAAAUUGGAAGGAUCCUAGCCUUCUUUUGGAGCUUGAGAGAGAAUUUCUACUCCCUAGGUGAGUUUUUGCCCUUUUUGUAAGAUUGUUAAUGUUUGAGCCUAGAAUUGCGCGUAAUGCUUGUGUAUCUCUUCGCUUAUCACUUUUAGGGUAUUUUGAGACUCGUGGACAACUUCUUUCGGCGAAACGAAGGACACCGUGACGGUUCGGUGGGUUUGACCUAGCCUGGCACAUGAGAAGUUCUCAUAUCCCCUGUUUUAUGCUUGUAGAGUAAAAUUUCAUGCAUUUCUAUGAUAAAUGUAUUUAUUGUGAAUUUUAGGAUGCUUAACAUGCCUAUAUUAUGUGUAAGAAAUUUCGGGCCCCUAUAUAAUAGAGGGCUACCUUGUGGGGUUUAUACAUGAUUGGCAUCCUAUUGGGACUCGGAAUCAUACUUUCCAUUGUAACAAUAAGCAUUAUCUUCAUGCAUUUUGAGCUAUUCCUAUUUGCGACAUAGAGGAUAUUAGUGAGCCAUAAAGAGGCAUAUGACAAGAUUGACAUGUGGGAUUGCGAGCUAAUGUCAUAAAGCGGCAUUGAGCUCGGGUUGUGGGUGAGCCUAGUGGAUAGGGCCAUUGAGGGAUUUAGAAUUGGAACAUGUUUGUACAUCGAAACGUCUAAGUGUCAUAAAGGGACACUAGACUUAGUGAAUAAUAGGAGCUUCACAUUGUGACUUAGAACUAGAUCCUGGAGAUGCUAGUGAUUAUUACCAUGUUAAAGACAUGAGGAUUGGGUACUUGAGACGUUGACUACGCUUGCUUGCUAUUUGUGCUCAUUUGCACAUGCUUGUGAGGGUCGCUCCCUACAAGCCGGCACUCCGGAGUUAGCCUACGCGACUUAUGUUCGCUCGUGCGGUAUUGAGAAGCCUACGGGGUCGAGUGGGACAGACACAUUCCAAGAGUAGGGAUGUUGGGCUACCACAGGCACUUAGGCGGCACAAGCUGGACUACCUUUGGUAGGUCCUUAAUUGGAAAUGGAAAUCGACAUAGUGUUGAGAAUGAAUAAUCACUACUAGAUAGGCUUAGUAGUUGGAUUACUUGACAUGCUCAUGACAUAGCAUUGGGAUAUAUAUAGUAUACUUGCUUGUUUCAUUCAUUGCAUCAUAGUAUACUGGGUUGCUUUGAUAGAGCGUACUCCUUAUACAUUGACCUAUUGCAUCGUGACGGUUACUUGUUCAUUAUGUUAAGGCAUAUUAGUAUGCAUUGGACAUAUCAUCUUAUGAUAGCGUAGAUGUAUAUCACCAUGACAUCAAGCUUACUUGAGACAUAGUAGUAUAGCAUUUCAUUUAUACUUUCUUUCAGCAGUUUUUAUACUCGCUCUUUAUUGUUUAUUAUUAUUAUUGUCGUUACUUACCCUUUUCUUUUGGGGCCUAGUGGUGCAUUGAGCUGAGGUCAGUAAUUGCCCACUGGGAACUAUAAAUUAUAGUUCUCACGCCCUCUGUUUUAUGUUUCCUUUCAGAGCCUUCCACACCGGGAGAGGCUAGGGACCGCGGGAAGGGAGUUGCUUCGAGCUAGCUUCCUUCGAGGACGAUUUGAUAGGUGGUCUACCUCUCGUUACUUUAUUUUGUGUGAGGUCGAGAGUUGUACCCGUUUAUGUAUAGAGACCCCUAUUUUUGUACUAGAGACAGAUAUUGUACUACUUUAUGUAUUACUUUUACUGUUUUAGUUAUGUUUCCUUCACUCUGGUUAUUGAUGAUAGAACUUUACUUGCUCUGAUAUCUCUGGUUAUAGGUUAUUCUUGCUUUUACUUCCGCUUUUAUUGUAGACGCUUUGUAUGUGUAGACAUAUGGCGGGUCUGGGCACGCCACCAGGAGGGCCUCCGCCGGUCCCGGGGCGUGACAGAUUACGACUUGACUAUUCUUUACCACUCGGGCAAGGCUAACGUGGUGGCGGAUGCGCUAAGUAGGAAAUCAACUGAAAACUUAGCGAUGCAUGUUGUUACUCAACCGCAGUUGAUCGAGCAAAUGAAGUGGUUGGAGUUGGAGGUGGUGACUCCUAACACACCUUUGAGAUUGAUGACCUUGGUUGUGCAACCUAUACUCUUGAAUAAAAUAAAAAAGAAGCAACCUUCCGAUAUGGAGUUACAAAAGAUUAAUGGUAAAAUGGUUAAUGGUUGCACCGGCGACUUCCUUGUAGAUGAUCAAGGACUGAUGCGUUUCUGUGGACGAAUUUGUGUACCGGCGGAUUCGAAAAUUAAAGAGGAUAUUCUUCAAUAAGCGCACCGAGCGCCCUAUGCUAUACAUCCGGGAGGCACCAAGAUGUACAAGGACUUAAAGUUGCUUUAUUGGUGGCUCGGGAUGAAAAAGGACGUUCGCGAGUUUGUAGCUCGUUGUCUAAUUUGCCAACAAGUAAAGGCUGAACAUCGAUUACCCGCGGAAAAACUUUAGAGUUUGCCUAUUCCCGUGUGGAAGUGGGAGAAGAUCACCAUGGAUUUUAUGACAGGAUUGCCUAGCUCUCAGGCCGGGUAUGAUGCUAUAUGGGUGAUCGUGGAUAGGUUGACAAAGUCGGCGCACUUCAUACCUAUUCAUACUACUUGGACCAGAGAGAAGCUCGCGCAAGUGUACCUUGAUGAGAUUGUACGGCUUCAUGGAGUGCCUACAUCGAUAGUAUCUGAUCGGGACACUCGGUUUGUGUCUCAUUUUUGGAGGAGUCUGUAGGACGCAUUGGGCACCCAACUGGACUUCAGCACGGCUUUCCACCCUCAGAGUGACGGACAGUCGGAGCGCACCAUUCAGACUUUAGAGAAUAUGCUCCGAGCUUGUGUGAUAGACUUCUAGGGAGGAUGGUCGCAACAUCUACCGAUGGCGGAAUUUGCUUAUAACAACAGUUAUCAAGCAGGCAUCAAGAUGGCGCCAUUUGAAACACUUUAUGGACGGAAGUGUAGAUCGCCACUUCAUUGGAGUGAAGUUGGCGAGAGAUUGGCAUUAGGCCCUGACGUGCUCCAGGAAGUUGAGGACAAGGUUCAAAUUGCUCGGGAGCGACUUUUGACGGCACAGAGUAGACAAAGGAGCUACGCCGACUGACGACGGCGAGACUUGGAGUUCCAAGUAGGAGACCAUGUUUUCUUGAAGGUCUCGCCGACUAGAAGGAUCAAGAGAUUUAGGAUUCGGGAUAAGUUGAGCCCCCGUUUCAUUGGACCGUAUGAGAUCUUGGAACGGGUAGGUCCGGUAGCGUAUCGACUUGCUCUACCACCGAACCUAUCUGGCGUGCACAAUGUCUUUCAUGUAUCGGUUCUUCGGAAGUAUGUCUUCGACCCGACUCAUGUGUUGGAUGCUACACCUGUGGAGUUGCGGGACAAUUUGAACUUCGAGGAGCAACCCGUGAAGAUUUUGGCUCGCGAGGUGUGGAAACUGCGGAAUCGGGAUAUUCCGUACGUGAAGGUGCUUUGGAGCAACCACGGGGAGCGGGAGGCCACGUGGGAGCUAGAGAGCGCGCUGCAGGAGCGCUAUCCCCAUCUUUUUCAGAUUGAGCCUUGAGGUAUGUGGUUGUUUUGAGUUUCGCGGAUGAAACUCCUUUUUAGGAGGGGUGAAUGUAACACACUAGACCUUUGCAAAUUGCGAGGUUCGAGUGUUUGAUGUGUACUCCGAACUUUUUCACACUUGGUGGAAGGCCGUAGAUGGUAUUACGGCCUAAAAGCUCGAUCUCUAGAGUUUUGGCAUGUCCUGAGAGUUUUCACUCUCGGGGACUGGUCCCUGAUGUGAGAGACCAGUCCCCUCAGCUCAGUGUUGCGGCAGCUGGCGAGGCAACCGGUCCCUGGCAGGCGAGACCGGUCCCCGAGCGCAUCUGUGCGGGGAGAGACCGGUCCUGUGCGGGGAGAGACCGGUUCCCGAACGUUGGAUUUUCGGGAUAGGCUGAGAGACCGGUCCCAAGUCGGGGAGACCGGUCCCUCUGGGCGUAAACUGCCCAGACCGGGCUGAUGUGAAUUUGAGUUUUUGAGGGGCUUUUCUGGAUUUUGUUGCACUAAAUGGUCUAUAUGGCCCUUUCACUCUCUUCUCUCCUCAUUUCUCCCCUUCACACCCAUUCUAGAGAGAGAAGAAGAGAGGGAGAAAGAGAGGAAGAAGAAGGAGAAGGAGAGGUUCUUGCUUGGAGGCCUUGGAGCACCAUCUUCUUCCUCAUUUCUCACCUUUUGGAGGCUUGGAGCUUGCCUUUGGAGCUUGGUGGUGGACCAAUCUUCAACCUAGGAGGAUUUUGGACUUAGUUUGGAGCUUCCUAAAGGUAUAUGACUACUUCUUCUCCUCUAGAUCCUAGUUUUGGAGCUUUUUGGUUGAAGAAACCCUAGAUUGGGAUUCUAGGGUUAGAUUUGGGGCUUUUUGGAUUUGAGGGCUUUGAAACCUAAUUGAUGGGUUUGGAACCUUUAAUUAGGUUGGAUUUGAAGCACUCUAACUCCCAUUUGGAGCUUGAGAGGAAAUUUCUUCACCUAGGUGAGUUUUUCUCCACCCUAGCCUAUAUUGCUUAUUGAUUGAGCUUAGGGUUGAUCGUAAGAUUUGUUUGACCCUUGUUCCUACAUCUUUAGGGUGCUAUGAGACUAGUCGACACCUUCGUCGGGGCUUACGAAGGGUUUUGGCAUCAUCGGUGGGUUUGGCUUCAUGAACACAGGGCAAAAUGGCCCCUAAGUUUUCUAUACUUGUCGUAAAGUAUUUUUGAAUGCAAAUCCAUACUAAAUAUGAAUUAUGUGAAUUUUAGAACACUUGAAAUGCAUGCCUUAUGUAUUCAUGAAAUUGCACUCUAUAUAGUAGAGUUAUAUGUGUAGACUGCAUGUAUUGUGAAAGGUGGAUAGCUUUGUAAGUUGAGAACAUGUCUCCUAUGUUUGAAAUGAGUAGAAUUAUGUAUUCAUGAAUAUAGAUACCAUGGUUGGACUCAUUGAACAAUAGUGUCAUGAAGAGGCACUUGAAACUAGUAAACUAUGAGAAUGCAACAUAGAGACAUAGUGAUAGGCCAUUGGACAUCGACUAUAUUCCAUGUUAGAGACAUGACGACAUAGUGAUAGGCCUUUGUGACAUUCGAUACUUUCCAUGUUCAUAGACAUGAGGACUUGAGACUUGAGACAGACUUAUACGCAUGCUUGCCAUUGUGCUCAUUCGCACAUGCUUGUGAGGGUCGCUCCCUACAAGCCGGCACUCCGGAGUUGGCCAUCGCGAUACGUUCGCCGUGCGGGAUUGGGCGCCGAAGUGGAUUGCUGUGGGAAAGGCUCAUCCCUAGGGUGGGGAUGUUGACUACCACGGGGCCAUUAGGCACGGUAAAGCCAGACAGCCUUCGGGUGGGUCUUAUGCCAGACAGCCUUCGGGUGGGUCUUAUCAAAGUUGAACUGUAAACAAUUAAAGUGACAAGUGACAUUGACUAGAAUAGUAAACAAUGACAUCUUUACUACCUACAUUGUGGACAUUGGAUUAGUUGCGUAUUUAUGCAUUUGCAUGUUGGAUACUCUUGUGCACAUACUUGUAGUAACUGCCUUCUUACUUAUGCAAAUCAUGCUAAGUAGAGAUAUCAUGGUUGAAUAGUAUUCAUAUUUAUUUCCUAGUUGUUCUUAUCGCUUUGGCUUAUACUUGUACACUGACCCACUUUUGUAGUUUUGGGCCUAGUGGCGCAUUUCACUGAAGUCAGUAAUUGCCCACUGAGAGCUAUUAUUUAAUAGUUCUCACGCCCAUAUUCCUAUGUUUUCUUUUCAGAGCCUUCGGCACCGGCGCAGGCACGGGAUCGCGGCAAGGGUGUCGCGUAGAUAGCUCGGGAGAGAGUCCGUUUUGCGAUAGGUGGUUGCUCCUUUUGUUUGUGUUAGAGAGAGGGAGAGUUUUGGCACCAUGUAUAGAGAAACCACCUUAUAUUCAGAUUAGUACUUGCUUUGGGACUUCUUUUGUAUUAUCUUAUGUUUUACCUAGCGGAUUAUCAGUUUUAUGAUCUUCUUCUUGUUGUAGCACUUCGUAGUAUUUUGCUUUGAUACACUUAGAUGCUUUCCCCUUUAUUGCUUUAUUUACCGCUUUAUUUUAGAUGCCUUGUAUGUUUUAGACGUACGGCGGGUCUGGACACGCGCCGGGCGGGCUUCCGCUGGGUCCCGGGGCGUGACAGUAAUACACUGAACUUUUGCAAAUUGCGAAGUUCGAGUGUGAGGAAUGAUAUGUGGAUCUAUCCUACAUAUUUUAAAAGACUUGGACAAGUUUUUGGACAAGUUGGAGAGUAAUUGGAUGGCUAAAAGCAAGAAAAUGCAUUGAUUUGGCGAAAUCAGCAUUUUUCUGCUUGCUGUACCGGUACAGCCAUUACCUUGUACCGGUACAGACUGGCAGAAACGUGGCAGCAAGGGUCUUUUGGUCAUUUCACAUCUUGAUCCCUAUCUACUUGACCGAGCACGACUCCAGGAGCUUAGGGAAGGUUGCUGGAGCUCAGGGCAAGCCUCUUUUAUCUUCUCCACUUUCCUCUCUAGGGUUUCUCUCUCUACGAGUAAAAUUCGCCGUUUCGCGCCGAUUUCACGCCGUGCUCGAUUCUCGCUCGUUGGAAGAUUCAAAGGAAGCUUUUAAAUCGUGGGAAGGAGGAUUUCUGUUGAGUUUUCUGUGAUUUUAUCACAGGGGAAAGCCAAAUUUCAGCUUUAGAAAGGUAUUUAGCUCAAAUUCUUCCUAGUUUGUGUACUAAUGUCGGAUUUUGAGCCGUUUCGCUUUUGUUGCUUCAGCUGAGUUGGAGUAGGAUCCCAGCAGCUAGAUAGGAGAUAUCCAGCUGUAAUUUACCCACUUUAAUCCAGCGAAAUGUUGCCUUAAGGCUGGUUAAAGGUAAAUUAUGAUUUAUUAAGUUAUUUCGGAACUAUACGCGAUUUAAUCGAGUAACUUGACGCUGUUUGAGAUUACUUUUUCGCAGCAGGUUUCUGAAUUUAAUUGAGCUUAUUUGGUGACCUUGGGGACUGGUUUAGAAGUUGUUUUAACCUGAGGUAAGCAGGAAUUUCAGUUCUAAAACUGAUUUAGUAAGAAUUCGACUAUAAUAGCUUAUAUUUGAGCGUUUUGAUGCCGUUUUGGAAAUUGUUCGCAGCCGGCUUGCGACGGACCUUCGGAUUAUCUCCGGCUGAUACAUGAGGGAUUUUGGAGGCUUAACUUGAGGUAUUAAGCUGACCCAAAAUAGGGAUUUACGUUACUACUUUGUAUUAAGUGCACAAGUACCGAAAUUGGACAUUUCGAAUGUAUGUUUGAUACAGUUUUGGUGCAUUAUUUUCAGCAGGGCUGAGGCUUAAUUGAGCUUAAUUUCGGGACUCUUGUGGACUGAUUUGAGCCUAGUAAUAGGUGGGUUUGACCUAACCAGAGCAAGUGAAGCUCCCCUAUGUUCUAUAUGUUACUAUAGAAUUGGUGUGGUUGUGUGCUUUUGUGAUUGAUAUAGGACUUGAGACUAGUCACUAUACUAUAGUGUCGAUACAUAAUUGAAUUGAAAUCUCUAUAAGUAGAGAACAUUCAUGCAUACAAGUCUUUAUGUUUAUAUUGAAUUCAGUUGAAUGACAUUCUUAUGACUUUAUUGAUUAUAAAAUAUCGAACAAUGACCAUGAUAGUGGAAAAGUUUCUAAUGCCAUACGUAAAUUAGCAUUAUUCUUACAUGUUUAUUAAUCUAGUGGAUACUAGCUAUUGUCAAUAUUCGUUAUAUUGAAAUUCCGAUCAAAGGAUCGAGAGUGAGAACAUUACAAGUUAAAUCAUAAGGAUUAAGACAUAUUGGGCUAUGGACUUUGCUUGCUUGCCAUCGUGCUCAUUCGCACACGCUUGUGAGGGUAGCUCCCUACAAGCCGGCACUCCGGAAUUGGCCUACGCGACAGUUGCUAGCCCGUGCGGGAUUGGGUGCCGAAGUGGAUUGCCGUGGGGAGUGUAUACUACCACGGGGCCAUUAGGCGCAGCGCAAGCUGGACUACCUUGGGUAGGUCCUUAUGAAUGAAAUGAAAGUACUAAAUGACAAAGGACAGUAAUGAAUGCUCAUCAAUUAUAGUGUACAGCAUUUACUUACACAUCCAUAUUUAUGUUCAUGUUUAUAGUAGUUGCUAUGCUUCUAUUAUUUAGUUGAGUCAUUACUGCAGAAAUCAUGAUUACAUGUUGAUUACAUGCCUAUUGCCUGUUAACAUUGCAUAUAUAUAUAUAUAUCAUGCAAUUAUCGCUUUUACUUUUAUUUAGUACAUCAUGAGCCUAGUGGUGUAAUUCGCCGAGGCUGGCGGCUUACCCACUAGGAACUAUUGUUAAUAGUUCUCACGCCCUUUUAUAGUUGUUUUUUUUCAGAGCCAUCUACAGGAGAGGCUAGGGAUCGUGGCAAGGGAGUUGCGUCUAGCUAGACAUUACUAGGAGCUUACUAGUCGAUCACCUUGCUACUCGGGCUACGGCCGAGAGUGAUGUCCAGUGUAUAGAGAGACUACCAUUGUACAGAUAUUUUGUAUAGCCUAUGAUGUAUAUGAGUAGUGGAUCCAGAUGUUAUAGUUUUGGUACUUUCAUUUGUACUUAUAUUUUGAGUUGGACACUGUUGUUCUUUUGUUAAUAGUCUUAUUGACUUAUAUAUGCUCUGAUAUCAGGAUAGGAUUCUUCUAUAUUUUUCUCCUAUCGACUUGCUUUCUUGUAGACGCCUUAUAUACUGUAGGUGUAUGGCGGGUCUGUGCACGUACCGGAUAUGCUUUCGCUGGUACCCGGGCGUGACAGUGUUGGAGUUCGAAGCUGCACAAACAAUUUUACAAACGUCGACUCACUGAUCCGUCCCAGACUAUGCUCAUAGGAUGUACAACGCGUAUCCACAUCAUAAUGUCGCAGAAUCCUCAUGAUGAUCAAUGGGAAAGACAACCGCUCAUUCUGACCUAAAGUCUUAACAUCCUUCACCAUUCUCCGCCAAAUCAGAAACAGAAUGUUCAUAUUAAUGUUCCUUGCCUUAACAAUGUCCGGGCUCCCCAACAAUACAUAUAGAGUAUGCGAUCCCAUCUCAAGAUCUUCGUGUUCGCUAGGGGCAAAAUGUUAUAGCACACUACGAAGUUUAAGAACCUGUAUUCCAUUUUGAUAUCUUUAGACAUUACCAUAAAUCCAUUUGAUUCUGUACCCGGCAUACAAAUAGCAUUCACAACACGCUUCCAAUCCCGUAAUGAGUCAAAACCGGCCUGCAAGUAUUCAACUCCAUCAGUACAAGCUUCCACCUCCAGUACAGAUGCUAUCGUAUCGGGCGUGAUAGUCAACUCUUAACCACGUACCGAAGUGGUGAACAUGUACGGGCCGUCGUCAGAUUCAAUCAGAUGUCUCGCUCGCAUAUAGAAUUCUCGAAUAAGCUCCAAACAAUACCCCGUUUGCUCUAGAAAAUUGCAAAUCUCAUGUAAAUUUCCAUAUUCAAAUAGAUCCUGAAACGCCGGAACACGCUCGAUGAUAUCUGUGACUCCAACGUCACGCUCUUCAAUGCAUUGCCUCAAGGAGUACAUAGAGCGACGACGUGAAGGAACAUCCUGAACACUAUGACGCGGAAAUUCAGAGACUGGCUCUCUAAUCUCGAAACCACCUGACUUCCUCCGACCUCUAGUAUCUGUCCCUUGAUCUACGGCUUUUUCUUUUCCCUUUUCUGUGGCUUUGCCUUUUCCUUUUUCAGUAGUUUUUCCUUUUCCUUUUUCUUUGCCUUUUUCUUUAUCCUUUUCAGUGGCUACGGGCGCUUUGCCCUUCUUUUUCGAAAGCACUUCAGGAGUAAGUGCCUCCCAGUGAGGCUCCUCAGAAUCAGAUUCUUCGCCCGGAGCAUACUUGUAACAUAUCACAUCCCUCGUGAAUCGUGUCGAGUUCCAUCGAAAUGUGCGGAAUGCGGAGUGGAACAAGUUGGUAUGGGCUAGUAGUGUUUUGGAGCCUAUAUAUAGUGCAAAGGGACCCAAGAAAGUGAAAUUUCAAAAUCUGGCUAAGUCCCAGAUUUUGUGCUCUCGGGGACCGGUCCCUGAAGGAGAGACCGGUCCCCGUACACAUAGCUUGCCAAGAAUCCUGAGGCAACCGAUCCCUGGCAGUGAGACCGGUCCCCGAGGAACCGGUCCCUGAAGGAGAGACCGGUCCCUCGCUGCGCAGCCAGCCUGAAAACCCGAAAAUCGGCUAAGUCCUGGAAAUCAGCCGUUCGGGAAUCGGUCCCUGGUCGAGGAGACCGGUCCCUGACUGCGAAAAUUGCCCAGUAAGGGCUGAUGCAAAUAUUGAGAGUUGAGGGGUCUUGUUGCUAUUGUUGCAACAUGAUAUAUGGCCCAUCCCUUCUCCUCUCUUCCACAGCCAUUUUUCCCUCAUCUCUUUCUCAUUUUUCCCUUUCUCUCUCUAGAGAUCAUCCCCUGGAGCUUGGAGAACAAGGAGAAGAAGCAAGGAGAAGUGGGAUUUGGAGGCUUUGGUGGAUCUAAGAGCUCUCCUACAAGAAGGAUCUUAGGAGAAGUUUGGGCCAAGGUGAGUUUAAGCAAGUAGGACUCUAGGGUUUGGAUUUUAACCCUAAGAUUUGGAGUUUUGAGGUUGUUUCAAGCUUUAGAAACCUUGUAGGCCUAAGAAACCAUGAAAUCCAUGGUUGUCUUGUAGAGCUCUCAUGGUGGAUCACUAGGGCUCACGGUGCGUCGUGGUGUUCAUUGACGAUGUAUUGGUAUAUUCUCGGACCGAGGAGGAACACAAGGAGCACUUAAGGACCAUGUUGGAAAUACUCUGAAAAGAGAAGUUAUAUGCCAAGUUGAAGAAAUGCGACUUUUGGCUAUCGGAAGUCACUUUCCUUGGUCAUGUAAUUUCGGGCGAUGGUAUCUCGGUGGACCCGAAGAAAAUUGAGGCAAUUAGAGAUUGGCCUCGCCCGACGAGCGUAUCGGAGGUCCACAGUUUCCUUGGGCUAGCGGGCCAUUACCGGCGGUUCGUGGAGGGGUUUACUAAAAUAACUACUCCACUAACGCGCCUCACACACAAAGGGGUGAAGUAUGUUUGGAGCUCCGAAUGCGAGCGGAACUUCGAGGAAUUAAAAAAAAGAUUGACCACGACCCCGAUGCUUGCUCUACCGACGCCGGGGGAGACAUUUGUGGUAUAUAGUGAUGCUUCCUAUGUUGGACUCGGGUGCGUUUUGAUGCAAAACGGCCGAGUUAUAGCAUAUGCUUCGCGCCAAUUGAAGACGUAUGAGAAAAACUACCCAAUCCACGAUCUUGAGUUAGCGGCGGUUAUUUUCACGCUAAAAUUAUAGAGGCAUUACCUGUAUGGGGAACAUUGUGAGAUCUACACGGAUCACAAAAGCCUUAAGUACUUGUUCACCCAAAAGGAGCUAAAUAUGCGACAACGACGAUGGUUAGAAUUGUUGAAGGACUAUGAUGUUACUAUUUUAUACCACCCCGGGAAAGCAAAUGUGGUGGCCGAUGCACUUAGUAGAAAAUCGGGAGAAAAUUUGGCUUCGGUAAUUACACCCUAACCAUUGUUACAAAAGGAGAUGCAACGGCUUGGUUUGGAAGUAGUGGAGCAGGGAGUGCCGGCUACACUCGCCGUGUUAGUAGUGCAACCGACCUUGUUGGAGAGGAUAAAAGAGCUGCAAGCUUCCGAUGAGUAUCUCCAAAAGGUGCGCGGUGAAGUCGAGAGCGGUAGUGCCGAUGAUUUUGGCAUUGGGACAGACAGCGCACUUCGGCUUAGAAACCGUUGGUGUGUGCCUAAGAAUAAGGACAUCCGCAGAGCGAUUAUACAAGAGGCGCAUCAAUCUCCUUAUAGUAUACACCCGGGCGGCACCAAAAUAUACCAAGAUUUGAAAUUGCAUUAUUGGUAGCCAGGCAUGAAGAGAGAUAUUGGGGAGUUUGUUGCGCAAUGUCUUACUUGCCAACAAGUAAAAGCGGAGCAACGGUUUUCGGCGGGAAAGUUGCAAAGUUUACCUAUAUCCGUUUGGAAAUAGGAAAAUAUCGCAAUGGACUUCGUGAUCGGGUUGCCUCAAUCUCAAGGUGGACACGAUGCAAUUUGGGUGAUAGUAGACCGGUUGACGAAGUCGACACAUUUCCUACCGAUUCAUAUUACUUGGUCAGGGCACAAGUUGGCUCAAGUAUAUACUGACAAGGUUGUGAGACUUCAUGGGGUGCCCGUGUCUAUUGUAUCAGAUCGGGACCCAAGAUUCACAUCUCAUUUUUGGAGGAGCCUACAGGAGGCCUUAGGCACACGGCUCGACUUUAGCACGGCAUUUCAUCCUCAAAGUGAUGGUCAGUCGGAGAGAAUGAUACAAAUACUUGAGGAUAUGCUUCAAGCGUGUGUAUUGGACUACAAAGGCAGUUGGCACGAUCAUCUACCGAUCGCAGAGUUCGCGUACAAUAAUAGUUAUCGAGAAAGUAUCGCGAUGGCGCCAUUCAAGGCCCUUUAUGGAAGGAAAUGUCGCUCUUCAAUCCAUUGGAGCGAUGUGGGCGAGAGAGCUACUCUUGGCCCGGAUAUUGUGCGGGAGGCGGAAGAGAAAGUUCGCCUUGCCCGCCAAAGACUCACUACGGCGCAAUCUCGGCAAAAGAGCUAUGCCGACAAACAGAGAAAGGACAUAGAGUUUGCAGUUGGCGACCACGUCUUUCUAAAAGUGUCGCCGAUGCGAGGAAUUAGACGGUUUAGGCUCCGGGGAAAGCUAAGUCUCCGGUACCUUGGACCGUUUGUGUCACGCCCCGGGACCGGCGGAGGCCCUCCCGGUAGCGUGCCCAGACCCGCCAUAUGUCUACACAUAUAAGGCGUCUACAAGAAAAGCGGAAGUAAAAGCAAGAGAUGGAACAAAUAAAAGAAGUGAAAUAACUAGCAACUAAUGAUAUCAGAGCGAGUAAAGUUCUAACAUCUACACCAAUAGUAAUAGAACGUAACUAAAACAUAAAAGUAAACAUAAGUUAUACAGAAUCAGCCUCCAAUACAAAAAUGGUGGUCACUAGUACACGGGUAAAACUCUCAACCUCUCCAAAAUGAAAUACAACGAGAGGUAGACCACCUAGCAAAUCGUCCUCGAAGGAAGCUAGCUCGAAGCAACUCCCUUCCCACGGUCCCUGGCCUCACCCUGAGCGGAAGGCUCUGAAAAACAUCGAGAAAAAUAGGGCGUGAGAACUAUAAUUUAUAGUUCCCAGUGGGCAAUUACUGACCUCAGCUUCUGCUCCACUAGGCCCCAAAACAAGGGUAAGUAACGUUAAUAGCAAUAAGCAAUAAAAAGGAGCAUGUAAAUAAACUGCUGAAAGAGAUAGCGUAAGUAAAAUGCUAUACUACUAUAUCCCUCAUAAACACGAUGUCAAAAUGUUGUACAUCUAUUCUAUCAUAAGGAAAAGUGACCAAUGGCAAUAGUUUACCGUUACAAAUCUUUAUUCAUACAUGAUGUGUAAGUUCUAUCAAGGCAACCAAGUAUAGUGCGAUGAAAUAGGUAACUGUCAAGUAUACUAUAUGUCUCAACCCUAUGCUAUAUGCAUAUAAAUGUAAACCCACUACUAAACCUAUCUAGUAGUGAUUGUUCAUUCUCAAACCGUAUCGAUUUCCAUUUCCAAUUAGGGACCUACCCAAGGUAGUCCAGCUUGUGCCGCCUAAGUGCCUGUGGUAGCCCGACAUUCCUACUCAUGGAAUGUGUCUGUCCCACUCGGCCCCGUAGGCUUCUCGAUACCGCACGAGCGAACAAAAGUCGCGUAGGCUAACUCCGGAGUGCCGGCUUGUAGGGAGCGACCCUCACAAGCAUGUGCGAAUGAGCACAAAUGGCAAGCAAGCAUAGUCCAAGUCUCAAGUAUCCAACCCUCAUGUCUCUAACAUGGUAUAAUCACUAGCAUCCCGAAGAUCUAGUUUAAGUCACAAUGUGAAGUUUUAACAUUUGCUACGCCUAGUGCCCCUUGAUGACACUUAGGCAAUUUGAUGUUCAACAUGUAUUCCAAAUCCCUCAAUGGCCCUAUCCACUAGUUUCACAUGUCCCUGAGCUCAAUCUAGUUCACAUACCUUUUAAGUAGCAAUCUUGUCAACUCUCAUGUCACAAUAAACUUAGGUUUAAAUGCAUGAAUCCAAUCUUAUUUAAUAUAUUAGGAGCAUGAACCACAUCUCGUAUAGAAUGCUAAGUGCAACCAUAGGCCAACCAAGCUACUCUCUACUACAUAGAGGUCCAAAAUUUCAUCAUAUAUAACAUAGGCUUUUUAAGCAUUCUAAAAUUCACAAUAAAUACAUACAAUAAGAAUAUGCAUGCUUUUCCAUUUAACGAUACUUAAUUAAGCAAAUGAGAAUUUCUCAUUGUUGGCUAGGUCAAACCCACUGAACCGUCGCGUAGGGUCUCGAUUCGCCGAACAAAAUUGUCCCGAGUCUCAAAAUACCCUAAAAGUAAUCAGCGAAGAGAUACGAGGCAUUACGACCAUCUUAUAAUAUCAAAUAUUAACCUAGAAGCAAAAAUGGCCAAACUAACCUCAAGAGUAGAAAUCUCUUCCAAAGCUCCAAAAGAGAGCUAGAACCUUCCAAUCCAAGCCCUAGAAGAGGUUCUAACCAAUCAAUCAAGCCUCAAAAAACCUUAGGUUCAAAAAGCCCAAAAUAACCCUAAGUCUCAAAACUAGGUUCCAUCUACUAAAAAUCCUCAAAUCAAGGUCUAGAGGGAGGGAAUGAGCAACAAACCUCCUUAGAAGCUCCAAUCCAAGCUCCAAGGUGAAGAUCUCCCUCUUUGCAAGCUCCAAGUCCAAGCCUUCAAGCACCAAGGAAGAUGAGAAGGUGAGGAAGAUGCCCCAGUCCACUAGUAGCUCCAAACUUCUUCUCCUUCCCUUCCCACUAUCUCCCUCUCUCUCUCUCUCUAGAAGCAAGAGAAAUGGUGAAGUGAGGAAGGAGAGAAGGAGAAGUGGCCAUAUAAGCCUUCUUUGUAACAAAAUCCUGUGAGGCCCCUCAAAAAUCUAAUAUUACAUCAGCCCGGUCUGGGCAGUUUUCGCCAGAGGGACGGUCUCUCCCCAGCAGGACUGGUCUCUCGCUGCGAACCCAAAAAACCAGCGUUCGGGAACCGGUCUCCCCGCCGCAGGACCGGUUGCCUCAGGCUGCCUCAACACUGCUCACUGGGGGACCGGUCUCUCCUUUCAGGGACCGGUCCCCGAGAGUAAAAACUCUCAGGACUUAUCCAGAAUUCCGAUUUUCGAACUUUUUAGGUCAGAAAACAUUCUACAACCUCCACCAAGUGUGGAAAAGCUCGAAAUACAUCCAAACACUCGAACCUCGCAAUUUGCAAAGGACGUGUGUUACAGUUUGAGGUUUGGAGCGGGUCGACGCAGUGGCGGUACAAGAUAGCAUUACCACCGAGGCUUGCGGGAGUACACGACGUGUUCCAUGUAUCGAAUCUCCGCAAGUACGUUCAUGACCCCGAGCAUGUUCUGUCGUUUGAACCGUCCGAGAUCCAAGAGGACAUGACCUAUGAGGAGUUCCCGGCAUACAUCAUCGACCGAGAAGUAAGAAAACUACAAAAUCGUGAGAUUCCGUAUGUUAAGAUCCGUUGGUGCAACCACGAUGAUCGGGAAGCCACUUGGGAGCUCGAGAGCGCAAUGCGAGAACAUUAUCCUCACCUCUUUAACGAGCCGAAUUGAGAUAUGAAUUUAAGUCUAAGUUAAGUAAGUUUCGUGGACAAAACUAAAUUUAAGGGGUGGAGAAUGUAAUAUACCGAAACCUCGGUAAUUAAAUUCGAACCUUGGUCAAAUUGACCAAAGUGUGAGGUUGGUACACUUCGGGGAGACCGAAGACGUCGAGUAAUGCAAAAAUGGAUUGCGGGGGAUCUUCGAGAGCUUUGAAAAUCAAAAUCUGCAAACUGCAUGUUUUGUGCUCUCGGGGACCGGUCCCUGGUGGGAGAGACCGGCCCUCGAUCGCGUAGACAGCGUGGUGGCUGAGAAAUCGGCUAAGUCCUGAAAAAUCAGCUAUCGGGAACCGGUCCUUGCGAGGAGAGACUGGUCCCCAGAGACCGAUUCCAUCAGGGGGAGACUGGUUGCAUCGCGCGUAGCCUGCGUAGUCCGCGGGAGGAGCUCUCGUGGACCGGUCCCAGGUCGGGGAAAUCGGUCCCUCACUGCGAAAAGUACCCAAUCUGGACAGUGCACAGAGAAAGAGUUGGGGGACUUAGUUGCAAAUGUUGCAACAUGUUAUAUGGCCCAUCCCCUCUCCCCUUUUCACAGCAAGCACACACCUCCCUCCCUCUUAUUUUCUCUCCUUUUUCUCUCUAGAAAGCAAGCCCUAGAGCUUGAAGAAGGUGGAGAAGAGCUUAGAGGAGUGGAUUUUGGUGGAUUUGGUGGGUUUGGGAUCUCUCCAACAAGAAGGAUCUUGGAGAGCUUUGGGCGAAGGCAUGGUUUCAUGAAAACCUAGGCUAGGGUUUGGAUUUUUCCCAAGGGAACUUAGGCUUUGGAGCCUCUUUAAUGAUUAGAGCACCUCUUGAGGCUUGGGCUCCAUGAAAAUCCAUGGAAGCCCAAGGUCCUCUCAUGGUGAACUUCUAGGGUUCAUCUUGGAUGCUCUAGAAAUGGCCUAGUUGGCCUUAGGUGAACUCCUAGAGGAUAGACAAGCUUUCUUUUGCUUGUUUUAGAGAUCAAAACUUAGGGUUUAACAAUGGGUUUGGUUAGGGCACCAAAUUUGGGGCUUUUGCCCUAGAAUUUUUCGGGGGCAAAUUGACCUCGUAAAAAUCUAAUUGGGGGUGUCCUCGGCACGUUGGACAACUCCGUUCGACGUUACAAAAAUGUUCAAGUAUUGUUCAUGUACAAAAGGCCUAAAGUGGCACUAUUUUGGUUGUAGGUCACAGUAUCGGCUUUCGUAAAGUUCGGGAAUCAUCAUAUUCUACGCCCACACGACCACUUGAGGUGGGUGAUGCAUUCCAAGGACCUCGAAAAUUCCUUUAUGUCUAAAGUGUCAUGUUUGAACAUAUGUGUAUAUAUUGAGCAUAUUGCAUAGUAAGGUUAAUUGUGAGCUUUAUUGCAUGAUUGUGAAUUUAAUUUCGUAUGAAGUACUUGUAAGAAUGUGAGAAUGAUAACCCUAUUUAUGUAUGACAAGUGAUAAGAACCUAGAAGGGUUAGUAAACAAAAGUGACACAUGGACAUAGAUCUAGUGAGUGACAUUGAUGAGUCUAGAACACCUAGAAAAAUAAGUGUGGCAUUUGGCAUAAGAACAAGAACAUAGCACUUAGAAAACAAGUAUGGCAUGAGUAUAAGAAUUUAAUAGUGCAUAUGACACUAGUGAUAGUAAAGAAUGCAAAGAAAAGAAUGAUUGAGACAUUAUGACAUUUCAACCUUAGAGUUAUGGGAUGUUGAGCAUGGUCUUCCUUAAAGUUAAGGAAUGGAUUGAACUUGGAAUCCUCAAUGUAGGAUUGAUCGUACUUACCUUUAGUCCUUGCUCGAGGGUGGUAGCUCCCCCUCGGGCUAUGUGCUCUGGAGUCGACAUCACUGGGUUGUAGCGAGUAUCUCCCCAGAGGGCGGUCCUAUCGGGUUGUAGCGGGUAUCUCCCCGGUUAAAUAGGAUUUUGGGUUGGUGAGUUUGUUGAGGGCGAAACCUACGGGUUAGCCAAGAGAUUGGGUAAAGAAAUUAUGAUCCUGCAUUCAUCAUGAGUAUUAUAUCGAGCAUCGCAUUUUACAUUGUUCAGGCAUAUUAAUUGCAUUUGUUAGUUGGUUACUUUCUUUCCUCUAUUCUAUUAUGCCUGAUUAGACCUAGUGGGAUAGUCGGCGUGGUUGGUUGCCGAACCCACUGGAAACUUUGUUGUAGUUCUCAUACCCCUAUUUCCACAGAGCCGGGACCGAGCGAGCAGGCAGACGACCGCGGUAAGGGCAUCGCGCCCUAGAUAAAGACCGCCUGAGAUGUUUUAUUUCUUAAUCGCAUACCCUUUUGAUAUAUUAUCUUUUAUACUUCGAUGGUUAUAGUUGUUAAAUGAAAGGACAUGAAUGAUGUAAAAGAAUUUAUUUAAUAUCAAUGUAAUAUUUUGGAAGAAUGGGAUGUGAAAAGAAAUGAUGCAAAAUUGUAAUUAAUUUCCCCAUGUGUAGUUAUUUACUUUCACUAUCGGCUAUCGCUUACCCUCGUGCAAGCCAUUGUGUACGCUUCCGCUUAUGCAACUUUAUACUCUAUUGAUACUUAUUGUGGAGCCUUGGGCGGACAGGGGGGGCUCUGUCCGUUCGGCGUCUGUUCGACGCUCUCGAACCGGCCAAAAGGUUCGGACUCGGGGUGUGACAGAUAAGAUGGCAUCAGAGAGUAAAGAGCCAAAAAGUGAAAGCAUAGGAUGGACCUAAAGACCCUUAGGAAUGGAAAAACCUUAAGGAUCUAGGAAACAUGAGUAACGCUGAAUAAGUUAUAGCGAAGGCAUGGAUUUGGUCGGUGUAAUUAUGUCUCUAAUGUGGUUAGGGACUAAACUUAAGUUGUUAUUUAUUUUCUUUUCCUUGUGUUGUGAUCGGCGGCCGACGACAUGACGCUUUGGAAUGGAAAUGAAUACACUUGUGUGCUUUCGCCGGAUUGGGUAUAAUAGAGUAUGUUGUCUAAGUAACUUACGUGAGUUGCUUCGUUUCAGGAAGCAAUGCUGCCUCGUGGACGACCUAAGUUGCCUCAUGGUCGACCGCGGAAGAGGUCUAUGGCCGAGGAGUCACGUACGGCUCCCGUGCAACCCGGAGCAGGUGGCGAUGGGGAGCUUCGGGAGCAGAUGGCCGCGCUUAUUGGUGUAGUGCGGCAGCAGGCGAAAUCCGUUCAGCGCCAGGCGGAAUCCGUUCAGCGCCAAGGGGAGCAAAUCCAAAGGCUCCAGAAGGCCUUGGACCGAUAGUAGGCGGUGGCGGCGGCGCCCAUGGAGGCUGUGCACCCUGCGCCUCCUGAAGUAGUGCCGAGUGCGGCCGAGGGUGUGGCUGCGGCGGCCGUUCCAGUUACGAUGGUGCCGGCUGGAUCGGGGACCGUGCCGGCUGGAUCGGGGACCUCAACCCCCGAUAGUGCGGCGGAGGACGCAGAGCCGGAGGGCGCGUUGGCGGCUCUCAUUCAGUUCCAGAAGUUCAACCCACCUACUUUCGAAGAGGGAGUGGUGGAACUAGCGGUGGUGGAGUCUUGGAUCGACUCCAUGAAAACACUUUUUGAGGACCUCAACACCUUGGGGAAGGACAAGGUGUACCUUGCCACACAUUGCCUCGAGAAGGCGGCGAAGGUGUGGUCGAAGCGUGUUAGGCGGGAUCGAUUGCCCGAUCUUCCGCCUUUGUUGUGGGAGGAGUUUCGGAGGGCGAUGUUUGCCAACUACUUCCCCGAUACGGUAAAGCAGAAGCUGCAAGAGAAAUUUCGCAAGUUGAGGCAAGGGGAUCGCUCGGUGGCAGACUACGAGCAGGAGUUCUCCCACCUCAUUGACUGCGUCCCUGAGACUGUUAGGGAUGACCGGGACCGGGCGGACUGGUUCCUACGAGGAUUGUGGCAGGGGAUUUAUAGGGCCGUGCAAAUUCUUAAGCUCACGACCUUUGCGGAGGUCUUUGAUCGGGCUUUGUGGGCGGAGCAUGGUUAUGCCCACGAGCGCGAGAAGCGCGAGUCCGCAGCCGAGGCAAAGGAGAAGAGCAUGAAGCGGACAGCGGGCGGUACCGGGGGCCGGCCAAAUGCUAAGAAACCCCCUUGGUAUCCCCGACAGCAGUCGAGGGGUUGGAGGCCAUCUCGUUGUGUCGCCGUCAUGCCCGCAGCGGGAUGGGAAAUGCUUCAAGUGUGGCCAACCUGGGCAUGUGUCGCGAGAGUGCCCUAGCUGGGGAUCGGCUGCAUCGACCUCGACCUCAGUUCCUUAUACACCGAGGCAGCAGGCGAGAUUACCACCGGCUAUGUCGGCUGGACGUUCGUCUUCAUCCCGUCAGUCGGAGGCAUCGAGAGCACCGAGUGGGCGGGUUUUUGCCACUCAGGUGGAGGAGGAGCCGAUUCCUGUCCCCGACGACAUCGUGGCAGGUAUCAUCUUGAUCAGAGGCACUAGAGCUAGAGCUUUAUUCGACACUGGUGCAUCGCAUUCAUUCAUAGAUGCAUCAUUCGCUAGGACUCAUAGCAUUAAGAUUGUGCAUCAUUAUGACUAUUGGACGGUGAAUUCGGUCGAGCAUACUUUCCAUGUUCACGAAGAGUGUGUAGCGUGCCCAGUGCAGAUAGGUGAUUGGGUCAUGCCGAUCGACCUGUUGGUGUUGAAUCAAAUGUGGGAUUUCGACGUGAUCUUGGGGACCAACUGGCUCUCCAAGUAUUAUGCCGUGAUAGAUUGCGAAAGUAAGGUGAUCACAUUUCGUGAGCCUAAUCGAGAGGAGCUAGUGUAUCGGGCAGCUAAAAGCUCGAUCAUUCUUAUCUUUAGUUGCACCAAAAACUAUAUCAUCCACAUAAAUUUGUGCCACAAUAAAAUCAUUUUUCAAGUGUUUUACAAAAAGAGUUCUAUCCACUCCCCCUCGGUUGUAGCCCAUUUCUAAAAGAUAUUUUGUUAAACGUUCAUACCAUGCCUGCGGAGCCUGUUUAGGUCCAUAAAGUGCCUUUUUAAGACGAAAAAUAUAGUUUGGAAAUUUUGAAUCUACAAAACCUUUCGGUUGUUCCACAUAAACUUCCUCUUUUAGAAAAUCAUUUAAAAAUGCACUUUUAACAUCCAUUUGAAAAAGAGUAAUUUUGAAAUGACAGGCUAUCGCAAACAAAAUACGAAUAGAUUCAAGACGUGCAACCGGGGCGAAGGUUUCAUCAAAAUCAAUUCCCUCAAUUUGUGAAUAGCCCUGAGCAACAAGCCUAGCUUUGUUUUGAACAAUUAUACCAUCCUUAUUUUUCUUAUUUUUAAAAAUUCAUUUGGUACCUAAAAUAUGUUGUUGCUCAGGUCGUGGCACUAAUUCCCAUACGUCAUUACGAGUAAAUUGACCAAGUUCUUCUUGCAUGGCAUUUAUCCAAUAUUCAUCACGAAGAGCUUCGUCAAUAUUCUUUGGCUCAACUAAAGAUACAUAACACGCAAAUUCGCACUGAAGUUGACUUCUAGUUCGCACACCCGUAUGAGGAUCUCCUAUGACAUUCGAUAAAGGGUGAUCUCUUGACUCUCUCAAAGAUGUAGCCUCAGAUGACGUACUUGGUAUUUCAGAUGAGUUACUUGGUGUAAGAAAGUGAAUUCUCGAAAUCCGAGGAUUGUACUUCACCCAAGAUCGACUAACUGUCUAGAGAAUACCCUUUGUGGGAGUUGAGGAUGUCCAAAACACAAAAAGUGUUUUGGAGUUGAGUCCGCGAGAGCAAAUAGGCAAAAUCUGGACUCAGCAGAUUUUUUUGCUCUCGGGGACCGGUCCCUGGAGGGGAGGAUCGGUCCCCGUAGCUGAUGGUCGCGGGGGAGGUCGAUGCGACCGGUCCCUGGCUGAGGGGACCGGUCCCCGUGCACGACACCCGCGAGAGGAAGCCUAAAUUUGGCUAAGUCCUGAAAGUUCCCCGUUCGGGAACCGGUCUCUCAGGAAAGACCGGUCUCUUAGGGACCGGUCCCUCGGGGGAGGACCGGUUCCCAUACGCGAAAAGUCCCCAGACUGCAGGGAGAGCUCUCGGGGACCGGUCUCCCCGACCAGGGACCGGUCCCUCUGGGCGAAAACAGCCCAGUGGCAGCUGCGUGAGAGAUGAAAAGUUGGGGGGUUUAAGUGCAAAAUGGCCAUUAUGUGAGGGGUGUAUAUAGGAAAUAACCCUCCCCCUCAGCCCAUCUCAUCUCAUUUCCCUCUCUCUCUCACUUUCUUUCUCUCUUGCUCUCUCUCUCUCUAGAAAGGAAAGGAGAAGAAGAAGAACAAGAAGGAGAGGAAGGAAAAGAAGAAGAAGAACAAGGAGGAGAAGAAGAAGGAGAUCAAGGAGAAGGCUUUGGACACCUUCAUCUCCCUCUCCUCUUCUCUUUGGUGUAGCAUAAGAGGUAGGCUCUUGAACCCUAGCUUCUAGAACUUAGGGUUUUGGGUUUUUAUGCAUUGGAAUGGGUCAAAUGGACCCUAAACAAGCUUCUAAAUAGAUCAAUCCCAAGAAAUCUAGGGAUUUAUUGGUGGUUUGCUAUAGGUGCAAACCUAGGACUCUAAAAUGGAGUUUUUGUGAAAGUAUGAGAUUGAUCUCAUUUGAAGCCUUGGAAACCCUAUUGAUAGGUCACAAAACGCGGGGGCGAAGUCGAUUUUGGCAUUCGGCGAGCCGGCGUGAAGUUCUCGGCAAAAUAGGGCCGGGCUAGCAUUGUCUUGGACAAGGAAGGCUAAAGCCUUUCGUACAGUUCGCCGAGGAGCAUAUCUAAAGCCUCUACAUCGAUUAAAGGUGGGGGGUGCCAUCCCGAAGCUUUCGAACUCCUUUCUAUGUCUUAGAUUGCAUUUAAUCUCAUCUCUUACAUGUUGCAUUGUAGGAUUGCAUAGUAACGCCAUUCCUUAUGCUUUCUAAAUGAUAACCUAGUGUACUUGGAACGCUUGGUAACUUAGAUAGGUGAGGAUUGGGUUGGAACGUGGAUCCUAUGAUGCUAAAGAUAGAGAUGAACCCGAUGGGGGUGUUGAUGACAUAGAAAGUAGUGUUAUUGUCAAAGAACAAACGAGUGGCAUCCGAAUGUUAAAAGAUAACGAGUAGUAUUAAUGUAGUGUAUAUGACACUAGAGGUUUGAGAAUCUAGGGAUAGGUGGAUCCCUUAGAAAAUGCCUUGUGAACAAUGAAUUUAGAAAAGCUAAAUAGCAUUGCAUGAAUGUCGAGAACCAAUGAUCCCGCGAGAGAUGUUGACUCUAGUUGUAGAGCAUCCUCACUUGGAGAGGAUUUGAUUGGGUUGUGACCCUAGUUGUAGGGUGUCCUCACUUGGAGAGGAUAGAUCUAGCUCACAGUCUGCGUUUAGGGUGGUAUAGCCACCCAAUCCCCACAUGGAGGGGAUUGUCGUCGAGUACUCCGGAGUGUCGCGCGACUAGGACCACUUGGAGGUCCGGACCACAUGGAGGUCCGCAGACGGUCCCGGGCUUGGGUGCACUUGGAGCUCCCUCCCCACUUUGGGAUUGAAGGGUGAGUUAUAGGCGAGCCCUAAGGCCUCGCCACAGAUUAGGUAAAUGAAAAGAGUAAAGGUUUAAAAAUGUCAUUGAACAUUACUAUUCGAACAUGGAUCGAAUUUGUUAGCAUGGUAGCAAACCUUUAUUAUAUGAUGCAUAUAUUCAUAUUCAUGAUUAUGGGCAUAGUAGCAUAGUUUUUCCUACUAUCGCAUUUCCUGCUUUCAGAUACAUAUCUAUCUAUCUAUCUGUUGUUACUUGUGCCCACUGGGAACUAUGGAAGAUAGUUCUCACUUCACUCUAUUUCCAGUGGUAGGUUCAGGGCUGUCGAGAGAGGACCGCGGUAAGGGCAUCGUGCCCGAUCGGUGAGACCGUGGUAGUAUGGUAGCUUUCCCUUUUGUGCAUUAGUACACCUAUGUAUUUGAGAGAUGCAUUGUAGGUGAGGAUUUGGAGAGCUAUGUAUUUUGAGAUGCAGAAUGUAUUCAUUUGAAGAAAAUGAUGCAAAUGAAAAUGGUUGAGCUAUUGUAAUAGCUAGUAAAGUACUCUCUUUAUUUCACAUGCUUUAUCUUGUGGAUUACUUGCUCUUUGUUGUUACUGGCACUGUUUGUGCCUUUGUGAAUGUGUAUGUUUAGAAUUUAAAUUUUUGGGUAAAUUCUUGUACACAUUCCUGUUGUUGAGCCUUGGGCGGACAGGGGAGGUGCUGUCCGUUCGGCGGUCCGCCGGCGCGCCCGAAUCGUCCCAAAUUGGUAUUGGUUUCGGGGCGGGGCGUGACACUUGGAGUCUCAGAUGAAUCAUUUGAUGCAAUAAUUUCAGGAGAUGCAGAAAUAUCAGAUGCAGAAAUAUCAUCAUUCACAGGCAAUACAAAAGGAGAAUAUCAUCAUCAUCAUGCAACAAAGCAUUUGGAAAAAUCAUUCACAGAAGAUUUUACAGAAGAAGCUUCAUCUACUUUUAUAUUAAUAGAUUCUAUCACCGUCUUAGUACACAAAUUGUAUGCACGAUAUGCUCGACUUGUAGUAGAAUAACCAAGAAAAAUCCCUUCGUCACUUCGGGAGUCAAAUUUUUCAAGUUUUUCACGAUCCCGAAGGAUAAAACACUUACUCCCAAAGACACGAAAAUAUUUGAUAUUUGGUUUUCUACCGAGCCAUAGUUCAUACGGAGUGUUUAGAGUACCCGGACGCACAUAAAUCCGAUUGAUGACAUAGACGACAGUAUUAACUACUCCAGCCCAAAAAUGUAAAGGAACUUUCUUACUAUGAAGCAUAACACGAGCCAUCUCUUGUACAAUCCGAUUUUUGCGUUCAACUACUCCGUUCUGUUGUGGAGUAUAAGGAGUAUAGAAUUCAUGUUUAAUACCUUUUGAAACACAGAAAUCAACAAAUUUUGAAUUUAUGAAUUCUCUCCCUUAAUCACUUCGAAUGCGCACAAUUUUAUCAUUACGUUCAUUCAUAAGACGAAGACAGAUUUCAGAAAAAGAGUCAAAAGUAUCAGCUUUUUCACGUAAGAAAGCACUCCAUACAAAACGAAUAAAAUCAUCAACAAUAAGCAAGAUAUAUCAUUUUCCACCCAAACUUUGAAUCCUAGAAGGCCCCAUCAAGUCCAUGUGAAGUAACUCUAAAGGUUUAGAUGUCCCUAAGUUGUUCAAAUUCUUAUGUGCGGAUCUAGUUUGCUUUCCCAAUUGACAACCCCACACAUAGUGUUCUCUUUGAAAUCUAUCUUAGGUACACCUCUAACAAUUUCCUUCUUCGAUAAUUUCGAUAGUUCCUUAAAGUUUAUAUGACCUAGACGUUCAUGCCAUAAAGUUUCAGUCUCUAAUGUCGCUAGGUUACACUUUUCAGAUGAACCAUUAGGAACUACAUAACAGUUAUUUUGAGAUCUUACACCUUUUAAGAAGAGAUAAUUAUCACGAGUCACAUUGCAUUCUUUAUUAGAAAAUUUUAUAGAGUACCCAUCAUCACACAAUUGGCUUAUGCUUACGAGAUUUGAUUUAAGCCCCUCAACAUAGAAAACAUCAUUCAAAGUGGGGCCAUCUGAGAUAGUGACAGUUCCUUUUCCAAUAAUUUUAGAUGAUCGACCGUCUCCAAAAACAACAAGUCCUCCGGAGAUUUUAUUCAAAGAAGUAAACCAAUUUUUAUCACCGGUCAUUUGACGGGAACAACCACUAUCCAGAUACCAAGAAGUAUUAUCAUAAGCAUGAGUAAAGUAUGAAUGACAAAGUAAGGAAAGAUUUCACCUUUGCGCACCCAAACCUUACGAGUUUUGGGUUGCGUCGGUCGACUUGAUUGUGGCAUUCGUUGCUUGUCGACGAUUUGAGUUAUUUUCUUCUUAGGAUCAUCCUUCUUUGGUUUCCAUGAUUGUUUCUUUUUAGGAUCAUUCUUCUUCUGCAUCCAUGUUCGUUUCUUCUCAACUUUUGAAUCUUCCUUUGUUGGCUUCCAAGAUGGCCUCCGAUCCAAGGGUGUUGUAGAGCUCUUAUCCUUUUGUUUGCAAAAUCUUUUUAUAUGUCCUACGACACCACAAAGAUGACAAGUUUUGUUAGCAAAAGAAUUCUUAGGAGGAAUAAACUUACCAUAAACCUUAGAAACUGAUUUUGUUGAGUGUUCGUCUACUUUCUUCAUUACUUGAUCAACAUACAUUCGUUCGUAUCCAAGUUCGAAUUUGUUUGUUUGACCAAGUCCUAGUAUCUUGUUAAGUUUACUAGAGCUAGACGAAAAUUGAUUUAAAUCAGAUUUGAGUUGAAUAAUCGUCUUGGUGAACUCCAUAUUGGAUUCUUUAGCUUCCGUGUAUUGCUUGGUAAGGAAGUUGAUAUUUUCUUCAUAUGAUUCCUUUUCCUUUUCAAGCAAUGUACACUUAUCCAUUAAGGAAUUGUAGGACUUUGUCAAACCAACUCUUUCAUGCUCAAGGCUCUUGGUUAGCGAAUGUAAGGAAGUGAAUUCUCGAAAUACGAGAGUUGGACUUCGUUUAGAAUCGACCAAGGGUCGUGUUGGUGAGCUUCGGAAAGGCCGAAGAUGUCUAAAUCACCAAAAGUGCCUUAGAGACGAGUCCACAAGAGCAAAUAGUGCAAAACCUGCACUGGGCAAAAGUUGCUCUCGGGGACCGGUCCCUGGCGGGAGAGACUUGGACAAUGAGGAUUGAGUCUUGUGACAUGGAAAUCCUAUAAUGGCAUAAAGAGCCGAACUUGGACAAUGAUAGCCUAGUAGAGUGGCAUUGAACUAGUGUAGUUGGAACACUAAUUGGACGAGUGGCAUGUCAACUAGUUAAAGAACCUUACUACAAUGAUUGAACAAGUGGCAUCGAGUCUAGUGUAGUAAACAUGACAUGGUCCUUGGGAUAAUAGAGAUCCCGGCAUCUAGGAUGCAUUGUAUAUGGUGCAGCAGAGGCACUCUGACUGUCACGCCCCGAGACCGAUACCAAUUUGGGUCGGCCCGAGCACGUCAAAUAGACGCCGAACGGACAGAGUUUUUCCUGUCCGCCCAAGGCUCAUCACCUGUACAUUUUCAAGUAGAGAACAGCACUAGUGGAAACAUACACAAACGGCUUACACGAGGGUAAGCAAUAGCCAUGAUUGAAAGAAAGGAAACUAAACAUCUACACAAGUACUAUGAUUCUCUUUUGAUCACAUACAUGUAUCCAUUUCAUCCAACUUGUACAUUCAAAAGGUCUUUACAUUUCAUUACAUCACUUGCAUCAUUUCUUUUACAUCACAUUUGCCCAAAAUAAACAUUACAUUCUUUUUCUUUACUUUAAACAUCUUCAAGUACAAAAGAUGACAAUAGGGUGGCUACUAACAAAAUAUGAAAUAACCCAACUCUGGUGGCCUCUGACUAUGGUGCGAUACCUUUACCGCGGUCGCUCGCCGGCUCGCUCGGUCCUGGCUCUGUGGAAUAGUGGAGUGAGAACUACAACAAAGUUUCCAGUGGGUUCGGCCCCAAUCUCAUCGACUUUUUCACUAGGACUAACUCAGGCAUAAUAGAAAGGAUAAGCAAAAUAGUAACCAAACUAUAAUCAUGAUGCUAAAAUGCCUGAAUAAUAAAGCAAGAAGUAUGCUCAACGUAAAUCAUGCAAGUAUGCAAGUUCUUUGUUCUUUACUCUUUAUUCUUUAACCUUUGUUCUUGUUCUUUAAUCUCACGGCUAACCCGGGGGUUUCGCCACAUUAACUUGCCCACAUUAAGUCCAUCAUCGCGGGCCCUCAGCUGCCUCCCGCUAAGACCGUCCUCGGGUUUACUCCAACCCGUGAUGCAAAACUCCGGAGCGCAUCGCUCGAGGGGGAGCGACCGCCCUCGAGCACGGAACUCAUAGCAAGUAUGAUCGAUCCUUAACUCUAAGGAUAUAUAUAUAUAUAUAUAUAUAUAUAUAGUUCAAUCAUUACCUUUACACUAACUCUAGUGUUCUUUACAUCACUUUAUUUUGCUAACUCUAGCAAUCAUUGUUCUUUAACUUUACUCGUUCUUUAUGCCAUACUUUGCAUUAACUUUAACCAUUAUCAUUGUUCUUUUCAUCACAUUGAUUCUUUGAUGCCGCACACUAACUCUAGUGUCGACUAUAUACUUUCGAAUGCCACUCGAUCUAUGCUCUUGUGUCACUUUGUUCUUUUAUCUCAUUAGGUUCUCACAUUACCUCUCAUGCAUAUAUAGGGUAUUAUAGGUUCUCAACCAACUAGAAAUGCACGUGUACUUACAUCAUGCAACAUUUACAUAAUUAUCAUCACAUUUUACACUACAAUGCAUGCAACAACAUAUACAUAAAUGCUCAAUUAAAUGACACAUUAGGCAUAGAGGGAAUUCCAACAAGUUUGGAUAGCACCACCCACCUUGUAGGUUUACUUAGGUGCUCCGGUGAUUUUCUUGGGAUUUUUAGACUCUUAGUUCUUCACUUGCGACAAAACGAAGCCUUAUUAGGCCAUUUUGCUCAUAUCUUUACAUUGGCUUUUCGUAACGUCAAUCCGAACGCACCAACGCGUCAGAAAUACCCCCAAUUAGGUUUCUAGAGAGUCAAUUUUAUUUUAGAACCUUUACAAGCAAAAGCCCUAAAUUUGGGUGCCCUAACUCAACCUAUAUCAAAACUUAGGGUUUGAUCUCAUUAAGAAGCAAAAGAAGUUUCAAUCUACUCUAGAGAUUCCAUAAAAAUCAUCCUUAGCUCAAUCAAAACCCAUUUUAGGGUUUCACCAUGAGAGGGGUUGAAGCUUACCUUCAAGCUUCACCAUCUCCACCCAAUCCAUUGUUUGAUCUCUAAAAGAAGCAAAAGAUAGCUCCAAAUACUCUAAAGGUUCUAUAAAAAUCAUUCUUAGCUUAAUCCAAACCCUAGUUUGGAUUCUACCAUGAACAGGGUUCAAGCUUACCUCUAAGCUUACUCCAAAGAGGAAGAAGAGGAGGUAGCUUCACUCCUUGGCUUCUUCUUCACCUUCCUUCUCUUUUUCUUCUUCUUCUUUUUCCUUCUUUUCCUUUCUUUCUUCUUCUCCUUCUUGUCUUCUAGAGAGAGAAAGAGAGGAGAGAGGGAGUGUGUGUGGGAGAGAAUGAGAGGAAAAGCCCUCAAAGCCCUCCACUUAACCAUUGGGUUGCAUAAAUGCAAAUAAGCCCCUCAAUUUUCAUUUUAUUAAACUGCCCAAACUGGGCAAAUUUUGUGUGCGGGGACCGGUCUCCCCGACUAGGGACCGGUUCCCGUAGCUCCUCCCUGCGGGCAGCGAAGGCUCCCGCGCAAUGCGAUCGGUCUCUCUUUGGGCGACCGGUCUCUCCAGCAGGGACCGGUUCCCGAGAGCCUGAUCUCAGGGACUUAGCCGAUUUUUCCCUUUUUUCAUCUUCUACGCGUACGGGGACCGGUCUCUCCUUCAGGGAUCAGUCCCCGAGAGCACAAAACCUGCAGAAUGCAGAUUUUUGAUUCUUUAGCUCUCGAAACCUCCCAAAAUGCACUUUUACUCAUUUUAACACCUUCAGACUUUUCGAAGUGUAUCAUCCUCGCACUUUGGUCAAUUUGACUAAAGUUCGAUAUUUAUUUUUCGAAUUUUCGGUAUAUUACACUGACCCUUGUAGAUAGGGUAUCCUCUUGUGAGGAUUGGAUCAUAUUCACUAGUCUGUUUUCGCUGUCGGUGGUCGCUCCACCGUGGCACGAGUCUCCGGAGUACUUUACUAGGGGCAGACGUAGUUGUCCCGCAGACGGUCUCGGUGUGGGAGUGCAGCUUCUCCUCACCUAUGAGAUUGAGAGUGAGUCGAGGGCAUAACCUACGGGUUAGCCAAGUAGAUUCGGUAAUAAACAUGAAAUGCAUAAUAGAUUUGUAUUAUUACCUCGAGUAGACAUAGUGUAUGUUGUAGUUUGCAUUGCUAUAUUUUUUUUCUAUACUCACGACAUGAUACUAGCAUGAUAGUAGUUGUUGCAUGCAUUAUUAUCAUUGGUGGCAUGAUAGAGUAGUUGCAGUUUAUUUCUUUAUCUAUCUAUCUAUCUCUCAUCUAUGCCAGUUUAGACCUAGUGGGAAAACCGGCGGAAUCGGCGGCCGAACCCACUGGGAACUAUAUUUAUAUAGUUCUCACCCCGUGUGGUUUUGGGGUACAGGUACACACAGGGGCAAGCCGAGCGAGAAUCGCGGCAAGGGCAUAGCACCCUAAGUGACUAGUUAGUAGCUUUCCUUUUGCAUAUAGAGUACCCUCGUGUACUAGAAGAUGUAUAUUUUGGAUAGGCAUUGGAGAGCUAUGAUGUUUUUUGGGAAAAACAUGUAUUUACAUUUUGGAAGAUGAAAAUGUAAUGUAACCAAAUGAUGUAACUAUUGAAUAGUUGUAAUAAUUAGACUAUCUCUCUUUAUACACUUAUACAUCUACUUGUGGUUCUUGCUCUUAGUUGUAUUGCACUUGUGUGCAUCGUAUUUGAUCAUGUAUGUUAUUUAAGCAAUUUCUGGGUGCUUAAUUUUACUUGAUCAGGUUGUUGGGCCUUGGGCGGACAGGGGAUGUCCGGUCCGUUCGGCGUCCAUCCGCCGCGCCCGAACCGGACCAAAUUGGUAGCGGCCUCGGGGCGGGGGCGGGGGCGUGACAGCGAAUCUAGUUUCGUGUUCUCUUCUUCCAAUUCGAGCAAUCUUCGCCGCAAUUUUUUAUUGUGCUUCGCCAUCUUCUUCGACUCGACAACCAAUUGAUGAUAUGCGGCGACCAUAUCAUCUUCAUCAGAUUCUUCAUCCGAUGAGUUCUCCGACGUAGAUUUUUCAUGCAAAUGAGACAUAGAGAUAGAGUCAGUGGAUGCUAAACACAUAAAAUUAGAAUCAUGUGCAAUAAGCGCCGUAGCGUUUACAUCCUCAUCACUUGAAGAUGACUCAUUUGAAGAUGAAUCAUCCCAAGUGAUGGCAUCGCUUUCUUUUUCAAGGACUUCUUAUUAGGACAAUCCGAAGCGAUAUGACUAAAUCCCCUCUACACUUAUAGCAUUGGAUUUGACUUUCAUUACUUUUCUUCUCUUUAGAAAAAUCUUUUGAAGAGCUUUCGAAUUUUUUAUUCUUAGAAGAGGAAGCUGAAGAAAAACUCCCUUUAGAUUUGCUUGACUUUGAGGAAGUAGACUUUGGAGGAAACUUCUUUCUAAAGUUCCGACGGAACUUCUUCGUUAGAAGCGCUAAUUAUUUUUCAAACUCCUCCAAUGUUUGAUCCGAUUCUGAGUCCGAUGAAGUAGUCGAGUCAUCUCCUUUUGUUGAUUUUAAGGCCAUACUUGAAGCUUUAGAAGAAGACUUAGAAGAAGACGAAUUAGAAGAAAAAGUCAUCUCAUAAGUUUGAAGUACACCAACCAAUUCUUCUAUUUUUAAUUCAUCCGGAUGUUUUACCGUUUCAAUGGCCGCAACCUUUGGACGAAAUCGUUCUGGAAGAGUUCUCAAGAUUUUUCUAACAAUUUUAGAAUCCGGAAUCUUCUCGCCUAAGUUAGCACACGUGUUUACAAUAUCUUGCAAAUGAGGAUAAUACUCGGUAAAGGAUUCAUGUUCUUCCAUACGUAUAGAAUCAAAUCUACUUGUAAGCAUUUGUAAUUUUUGAAUCUUUACCAAGCUUGUACCCUCGUGUGUAACUUGUAAAGUAUCCCAAAUUUCUUUGGCGGUUUCACACGCCGAAACUCGAGAAAAUUCGGUUUGGUUUAAAGCAUUAAAUAAAGCGUUGAUACCCUUUCCGUUGAACGAAGAUAGUUCGCUUUCCUCUUUCGUCCAUUUAUUUCUAGGUUUAGGACCGGUAACAUUCUCGACAACUUCGGUAGGAUGUUUCCACCCGAAUUCAAUGGCUUGCCAAACCCGCUCGUCGAUGGCAAUAAGAAAAGCUCCCAUACGAACUUUCUAAUAAGCGUAAUUAGUGCCAUCGAAAAGUGGGGGUCGAUUAAUGUUACCACCUUCGGCCAUGAUUUACAACCUAUACCCGCUCUGAUACCACUUGAAAGAUAUGAAUCCUGAGGAUCUAAAAGGUAAAUAACACCUAGAGGAGGGUGAAUAGGUGUAAAACAGCAAAAACAAAUAAACCUGAUGCAAAUUAAAAGAGAAUGCGGAAAAUAAAAACAACACACCGAGUUUUAACGUGGGAAAACUCCAAUUCGAGAGAAAAACCCACGGGACCGAUCACACGAUGAAAUCCACUAAGAAAACUUGAGUACAAGUAAUUUAAAAAAAAUACACGACUCAAUUUACCGAAUCCUCGUCGUAGAUUGUCUUCGCCGGUCCUCGAUCGCUUGGAAUCCUCCAACCGAUCAUGCCGCAAGUCCUUACUGCGUCAACGCCUCGACUCCUCGAUGCGUCCACCGAAUCCUCGGCCUCACAUGUGAUCCACGUGCAAAUCCUCCGUCCGGAGCUCAUAGAGAAGAUGAUUUGUGGUGAUUUGAUUACUUGGAAAGCACGUGUAACAUGAGGAAAAACCCUUCUUAGAACAUCAUCAAUUUGAUCCUCAAGGAACAAUUGAAUUGUAAUCAAAGAAUCAAAUUGAUGAUCCAAGAGCUUGAUAUUUAAAAUAUAGAUUAGAAGGUCCAAAUCAAGUUUUUGAGUUUCUAAAUGAUUAUCUUUCAAAGCAUAUAUCAUAUGGGUACCCUCAUAUCAUAUUUAUAGGUUUAGAAGACUUAGAAGCCGGCUAGGAUUGCAAAAAGCCAAGUUUAAAAACUGACGACGUCCUCAGGGACCGGUCCUCUCGAGGAGACCGGUCUUUGGGAGACCGGUCCCUUGAGUGGGAGACCGGUCCCUCGUUGCGUGCCUGAAAAAAAACGGCUUCGGGAACUGGUCUCUCAUCCAGAGACCGGUCCCUCGCUGCGUGAGAGAAAAACCAUCGCUCUGGAACCCGUCUCACUUUUCAGAAACCGGUUGCCUCAACUUUUCACGCAUAGAGGACCCUGGGGGACCGGUCUCUGAUCUCAGGGACCGGUCCCAUAACACUAAAAUGUUCAGAUUUAGCUUUUUAAUGCAAUCUAAGUCUUCUAAACUUAUUUUAAUCAAUUAAAAUCACCAUAAAUGAUCUAUUCUUCAUACCUGAGGUGCCGAACUUUCCGAAUGAGUCUUUGAUCUUCAAAUUGAAUCUUAAUUUCAAAACUCCGUGUUUGACUCUUCAAGACUCCAUUCGACUUUACGAAAUCCGCCAACCUAGAAAAUCCUUAACAAACGGUUGAUUAGUAACCACCGCCGCCAAGUUCUCAACAGAUUUCCUACAUAGCGCAUCGGCAACGACAUUAGCUUUUCCGGGGUGGUAUAGGAUAGUAUGGUCAUAAUCCUUCAACAACUCCAACCACCGCCGCUAUCGAAUGUUCAACUCUUUCUGGGUGAACAAGUACUUGAGGCUCUUGUGAUCGGUAUACACCUCACAAUGCUCACCAUAAAGAUAAUGCCUCCAUAGCUUUAGCGCGAAAAUAACCGCCGCUAACUCGAGAUCGUGUAUCGGGUAGUUCUUCUCAUAGCUCUUCAAUUGGCGCGAAGCAUACGCUAUGACUCGCCCAUUUUGCAUAAGAACACACCCGAGACCACUAUAGGAAGCAUCACUAUACAGCACGAAACUUUCUCCCGGCGUUGGCAACGCAAGUACCAGAGUAGACGUCAACUUUUCUUUCAGUUCUUGGAAGCUUUGGUUGCAACCGUCGCUCCAAUCAAAUCUUAUUCCUUUGUGCGUAAGGCGUGUGAGAGGAGUAGUCAACUUCGCAAACCCCUCCACAAAACGCUGAUAAUAGCCCGCCAAUCCAAGAAAACUGUGGACCUCUGCCACACUCGUCGGACGAGGCCAAUCCCGAAUCGCCUCAAUCUUCCUCGGAUCCAACGAAACUCCGCUCCAGGAAAUCACAUGGCCUAAGAAGGUCACCUCCGAAAGCCAAAACUCGCACUUCUUAAGCUUAGCAUAAAGCUUCUCAUUCCGGAGUAUUUGCAAUGCGGUUCUUAGAUGUUUCUCGUGCUCUUCUUCACUCUGCGAGUACACCAAUACAUCGUCGAUAAACACCACGACGCACUUAUCCAAUAACGGUCGAAAAACCCGAUUCAUUAGGUCCAUAAAUGCUACCGGAGCAUUCGUAAGCCCAAACUGCAUUACUGUAAACUCGUAGUGGCCAUACCGCGUACGGUACGCCGUUUUGUGCACAUCCUCCUGCCGGAUCCUCAACUGGUGAUAUCCCGACUGAAGGUCUAUCUUUGAGUAUACCCGUGACCCCUGCAACUGAUCAAAUAGGUCAUCUAUUCUCGGCAACGGAUAUUUUUUCUUGACCGUUACUUUGUUCAACUCACGAUAAUCAACGCAGAGUCGAAGUGUACCAUCCUUCUUCUUCACAAACAGCACCGGAGCUCCCCACGGUGACACGCUCGUCCUAACAAAGCCUUUGUCGAGCAAGUCCUGUAAUUGGGCCUUUAACUCCUUAAGCUCCGCCGGUGCCAUUCUAUACGGAGCCUUCGAAACUGGCGCCGCUUUGGGAAUCAAGUCAAUGACGAACUCGAUCUCCCGAUUUGGUGGCAAUCCCGGUAACUCCGCCGGAAACACGUCCGAAAAUUCACACGCAACUCGGAUAUUCCCAAGUUCAGGGUGUUCCCUCUGAACCUCUAUCAUGGUUGCCAAAUAGGCCACACAUCCGCCUUUGAUCAUCUUCCUCGCCCUCGCCGCCGACACGAUUGCCGCGAAGCGCGAGCUUUUGCACGCUUGAUACACCAACUCCUCUUGACCAGGCUCAUGAAAAGUGAUCACCUUACUGUCACAGUCAAUGCUGGCAUAAUACUUGGAGAGCCAAUUAACUCCCAAGAUAACAUCAAAUCCCCACAUCUGCUUUAGCACUAACAAGUCCGCCGGCACGAUCCAAUCGCCGAUUUGAACCGGACAAGCUAAACAUUCCUCGUGAACUCUAAACAAAUGCUCUGGUGCGUUAACCCACCAAUAAUCAUAAUUAUGCAAUAUCUCCAUGCCAUGAGUCUUAGCAAAUGAUGCACCAAUGAAUGAAUGUGAUGCACCUGUGUCAAAUAUGUAAGAUAUGGAUCCCGAGGAUCUAAAAGGUAAGUAACACCUAGAGGGGGGUGAAUAGGUGUAAAAACGGCAAACUCGAAAAUCUCGAUGCAAAUAAAACAAAAUAGCGGAAAAUAAAAGAACACACCGAGAAUUUAACGUGGGAAAACUCCAAAUCGGAGUGAAAAACCCACNUGGACAUUGGGUAUACAUACAUACAUGUUGUAUGCUAGGAGACAUUGCUUACUUGCAUUCAUAUAAACAAUGUUGCUAUGAUAAAGGAUAAUCCUCAUAAUUUCAUUAAGCAAACCAUGACAUUAAUUAUGGCUAAGUAGAGACAUAUUCUUCAUGACAAGAUAAUUGUGCAUUACAUAAAUGCCAUGUUUAAUUGCAAGUAAUAUUUUAGCAUUUUCAUUAUGCUUUCAUAAAUGCAAAUUACUCGUUAUUGCUAAUGCUUUUGACUUACCCUUUUUUUUUAGGCCUAGUGGCGCUAUGAGCUGAGGUCAGUAAUUGCCCACUGGAAACUAUAAAUUAUAGUUCUCACGCCCUCUGUUUUAUGUUUUCUUUCAGAGCCUUCCACAUCGGGAGAGGCUAGGGACCGAGGGAAGGGCGUGGCUUCGAGCUAACUCUUCAGCGAGUAACGAGUCGCUAGGUGGUCUACCUCUCGAUGUUUUUAUUUUAGAGAGGUUGAGAGCUGUACCAGUGUACUAGAGACAACCCCUUUUGUGUACCUUUUUGGGAAGAUAUUGUAUAUCUUUGUGUUUCACUUUUUUUGCUUUAGUGUAUCUCUUUUACCUUGUUAUAAACUAUAGAUCCAUCUGUGCUCUGAUAUCUCUAGAUGUAGAUUACCUUUAGUUUUAUUUUUCCGCUGUUGUUGUAGACGCCUUAUAUGUGCUGACAUAUGGCGGGUCUGGGCGCGCUACCGGGAGGGCCUUCGCCGGUCCCGGGGCAUGACACUAGCUUUCCGAAUGAGUCUUUGAUCUUCAAAUUGAAUCUUAGUUUCAAAACCCCAUGUUUGACUCUUCAAGACUCCAUUCGACUUUACGAAAUCCGCCAACCUAGAAAAUCCUUAACACCUCAAUGUAUUAACAUGCACAUCUCAAUGGUAGGUAAUAAACAUCAAACAUAAUAAGGUUCAUGCAUCCAUAAUACCUUAUGCAACCUACCACUAUACAUAUAUGCAUCAAUAAUGAAUAUUACUUUGCUUCGACAUGGAAGCGAGCUAGACAUUUCGGUGAGCACAACCCACCUCAAAUCGCUUUCCGAUUGCUUGUAGUCACUUGCAAUCGGCCUCCCGCGGCACCCGUUGCUCGGUUCAGCCCAAACUCGCACUCGACCACCAAAUGGCCACCAAUCCGCAAUCCGAAAAUUAAAGGUCUAUAACUUGAUGCCACGAUGCUCCGGAUCCAUUCUCGUGAUUUUUGGACGUCAUCUCGGCCCUCCAAGCGGAAACGAAGCCGAAACGUCUAUUUCUUUAAUAUCUUCGCAACGGCUCGACGAAUCGCCGAACCGACUUCGCCUUCGUAUACCUAGCAAUUAAGUUUACAUAGGUUUAAUUUAGAUCAAACCCAAAUAUUUUACAAAAACUCUAUUUAGAACCCUAGAUGUUUACUAUUGUAAGAAUACUCCAAAUCGGAACUUGAUUCAUGCAAUUUACAUUCAUUUAGCAUUCUAGGAUUCAAUUAAACCCAUUUCUAGAGCUUAAAACCUAAACCCUAGAAAUCUACCAUUAAAGGGUUUGAAGCUUACCUCCAAAGCUCUCCUCAAAGUUUAGAAAGAAGAUGAAGAAGAUGAAGAUCCAGCUUCGAGCUUCCUUCUCUAUCAAAUCCUACAAAUUUUGGGAGAGAUCUAUAGAGAGAAAGGGAGGUUUUUCUCUCUCCCUCUCUAUGUGUGUGUGUGGUGUGUUGUGGCUGUUGCGGCUAAGGAAGAAGAAGAAGAAAAGGAUUAAUCCCUUUUUACAAAUUAGCCCUUCAACAUUAACACAAUUACAUUCAGUUUUGCAGCUCCGGUACUGAUUUUUUUGCUUGCCCUUCUGAAUGUCCGUUUGAUUACUUAACUUAACGAAAGAAAUUUUAAUCUUUCAGUUUCGACCACAUUUGGUCACCGAAAGCUCUUCCGAACUGUAAUCUCUAGCAGAUAGCAGUCGGGUUUUAUUUUCCACCUUCUGGGUGUCGGAUUGACUUGAAACUUUAAAUCUAGCCUCAUAAAAAUAAUCCCGACAUAUUUUCAAUUUUCAUAAUUUUCUGACAUUGUGCAUAUUUUGCUAAAAUAUCAGUCUCGUUUCUAACAGAAAAUUCUAAAUCUUCUGUUUUCAUUCCGAUUUCAGCACAAGUCACUUCUGACUUAUAUUUUACUUCUCUAAAUCCAAUAAAAAUAGCAUCUCACACUAUUUUUAUUUAUUUUUACUUUUAUAUCAAAAUCCGGUAUCUUACAACUAUAGCAUAAAACUUGGGGAAAGUUGAAUAGUAUACCCUCUAAAGUUCUCCCUCAGCUAUUCUCCUGUAUUGGGGUUGAAGAAACACUGCCAAGACACUUCCUACACCCUUCAAGAGCUAUUCCCAAGUCUUCCAAACCAGCAAGCUUCAAAAGAGAGGAAGAAAUAAGCUUGAUUCACAUCUUCUCACUUCACAAAGCUUCAAAAACCUAGAGAGAGAAAGGGAAAUGCUCAAACCUCAUCCCCUGAGCUCCAGCAACUUCUAACCAGCUGCUGGAGUCGAGCUCGGCAGAUAAGGAUGGGUUUUGGAGGUGAAAAGACCAAAAUUACCUUGCUGCCACACAACUGUCUGUGCUAGGUACCGGUACCCCGACUUUCUGGUACCAGUACUCCAAUGCAGAAUGCAAAAUUCUGCAUUUUGCAAUGCACUUUUGUACUUCCGGCCUUUUGCUCACUCCAAUAAGGAUAAGGAUGGGUUCAAAAACCUAGAGAGAGAAAGGGAAAUGCUCAAACCUCAUCCCCUGAGCUCCAGUAACUUCUAACCAGCUGCUGGAGUCGAGCUCGGCAGAUAAAGAUGGGUUUUGGAGGUGAAAAGACCAAAAUUACCUUGCUGCCACACAACUGUCUGUGCUAGGUACCGGUACCCCAACUUGCUGGUACCGGUACUCCAAUGCAGAAUGCAAAAUUCUGCAUUUUGCAAUGCACUUUUGCGCUUCCGGCCUUUUGCUCACUCCAAUAACUUGCUGAAACCUCUCUAUAACCCUUUAAAAGAUGUAGAAUGGUUCCAAUUGUCAUUCCCACACUCGAACUUCGCAAUUUGCCAAAGUUUAGUGUACUACAGAUUUAGUUAGAAUAGAAUUAGGAUUAACGUCUCUCAUAUGACCUAUAAAUAUGAGGUAUUGACCACAUAUGAGAGGCAAAAAAAAAUUAGUAUAAUUUCUCUACGAAAUUCUCUCUAUUGGGUUCGCUCUAAGGCACCAUCAGAAACCCUAGGGAUUUGGGCGGCGAGCUGCGAUCAAUUCUGGUAGUCGGUUAGCAACGAGAAAGAACGACACGCGAAAAAUCAAGACAAAUUCUUGGUGGAUCAAAGAGUUCGUAAAACAAGACAAGAUCAGAUCCUGAUAAUCGUAAUAUAAUUCCACAGCGAAAAAGGUAUGUAUAAUUCAGAGUCAUACAAUGCUUGUUUUCGCUUAAAUGAUCCAUAUUUGUUUUUUUCUCGAUGAUUCGUAUCGAACAUUUCUUUUAAUUGUUUUUGGGAAAUAAGUUAGGCAUUGAUUUGUAUAAUGAAAGUAAAACUGGCAUUGUGUUGGGUUGCAAUUGGCGACAAUAUAAGUCACAAUUUUUUGCGAUUUUAGACGUGCUAAAUCAGCAUUGUGGGAUAUUAGACUUGAGCCAUGAGGUUUCAAGGCCUCUCUUUUUGAGUCGAGCUUGGGCUAAAAUCCCAUGUAAGCCCGUACGUGGAACUUCGCAGGGCAACCCGCAAGCUUGGCCGUAAUGGGGCCAGCCCGCGCGAUGGCCCGAGUGGGUGCCGUCGCGCACUAGGCCUAUAGAGGCCAACUAGUGUGCAUCCGCCAACUAGGCAUGCAGGAAGCCGAUCCCAUGCUGGGCCGCACAUAGAACUAGGCGCAAAGAUGGACCGACAGAGGGCCGGCUACACCCUGAUAUGGCCCCAGCCAGUGCUAUCACACUGCUGGGCCCGCAAACUGGGCUGAGCACGAGCCCAGCCCGCAUUUUGGUGUCCUGGCAGGCCCAGCACACUGGGUCGCACACCUUCCCAGUUUCAUAUGUAGGCCCGCAGGUGCGUCUGGGCCAUGCAUAGGCCCGGCCUGCAUGCAUACCCGCCUGCGCAUUGGACCCAACAGCCCUUUAGUACAUUAAAAUAAAAAAAAGAGGGAGAAAUCAUGUUGGAUGAGGGAUUCGAACCCAUAAUCUUAGGCAAAUACCACAACACUUAAAAAAAUUUAUGUAUGUCAUUUACUUAUAUAAUUUUAAGAUUUGUAUUAUUCUUCCUUGAGUAAAUUACAUAUUGUUUAAUUAAUGUGCGACGUGGAUUUAUUCUUGAUCAAUUUGAUAUAUUAUUUUAAAUCUACAUUGGAUGAGAUGAUUAUUAUUCUUUUUUUAAGACGAAAUUUUUUAUUUUGAAGAUACAGUGAGACAUUUUAUUAUCAGAUUGGAUUGAGAAUAAGAUUGUGGAUAUUUGUGCCUAAUUUGAAAUUAUGUGCAUUAUUAUAGUGAUAUAUAGCUUCCAAAAGUUUUUCUAUCGCUAAUUCGCUGAAUCAAGAUAAAUUUGAUGGAACGAAUUAUGAUAUGUGACAUAAAAAAUUCAAUAUCGCCUUAAUGGAGAAAGGAGUACUUAGAUAUUUAGGGCAUCUUUGUUUCACGGAAUCUAGACUUUAGGUUGAAGUGGAGUUCUGCGAAAACUACUUAUUUCUCGUUGUAUGUUUUGUAGUUAUGGAAGUGAAGUUUUGUCAGUUUUGCUAUUUAUUUGGUAGAAAGUAUAUGAUGUAAAACUAUAAUUUAUAUAUAAAUAAUAGAUAAUUUAAAUAAAUAAAAUUAAUAUAAUAAUAUGUUUAUAUAAUUAAAUUUAAUUUAAAAUAAAUAUAUUAUUUUUUAUACAUAAAUUAUAGUAAUACAACAAUAAAAUUAUAAAGUAAAAAAAUAUUAAUACUUAAUUAAGCAUUUUUUAUCAUAUUUUAAUUGCACAAAUUAAAUAAAGAAAAUAUCAAAACUUAACUAAUCAAUUUUUAUCAUAUUUUAAAUAUGCCAACUGUAUAAAAAGUAAGGACAAUUUGCAUAAAAAAUCCACUAGUUUUGCGCUUUUGCAAAAGUGGACCACUUUUUUCGAUUUUGUAGAUUCGGGCCAGAUUUUCAGCGAACUGACCAAAAUACCCUUAUAACUUUUUCUCUCUCCUCUUUUUUUUUCUCUCGUUAUUUUUUUCUCUUUCCGAAGAAGGCAGGGGAGGCGGAGGCGGAAACAGCCCGCCUCGCCUCUGCCCCACACGCCCUCACCCUCGCCUGUGCACCCCCCACUCUCCGCUCCUCCGACCCUGCUGAGGCCACGCCGCGACCUUCCUUCUCCACUUGGGCACGGCGAUGUCAAGGCGCAGGCUCUUCUCCUCCACCCCGCGUCGGAAUGCCGCGACGCCGUCGGAGGCGGCAAGAUCGCCUCCGACGACGCCGCGAUGGUUGCGAUAAAGAGCAAAGGAGAGGUGGUGACAAAAAAAAAUUAUAGAGAAAAAAAUAUAAAUAAUAAAUAAUAAAUAAUAAUAAAAAAUUGCCCAUAAAAAAGAUAAAAAAAUAUAGAAAGAUGAUGAAAUUGCACUGUUAAAAUAAGAUUACACCGUUUUAAAAAAAAUUACAGUGUUUUAAUGAAAAUUGCAUUUGAUAUAAAAAUUACACUCUUUUGGAAUCGAUUUUACACUCUUUAGGCCAAAAUUGCACUAUUUAGUAGAAUUUUGCACUAUUUUUCUUUCUUUUCUUUUUCUCCUUCUCUUCUUCUUCUUCUUCCGCCGCCGCCGCUUCCCACUCGACCCGAGGCCCGCCUCCUUCACAUGCCUCACCCUGACCCGUCCCCGACCCCGCUCCCUAUGCCUCCGUCCUCCUCGCCCUCGCCUGCUCCAUCGCGCCCCAUCGCGCCCUCCUCCUCCACGCCCACCUUCGCCUACUCCGUCGCCGCACCUGCCCCGCCGCCACCUCUGCCCUCCUCAUCAAGUGCAUGCGCUUUGCCGACCCCACGUUCGCCCCGCAGGCCCACGCACACAUCCUCGCCCUCGGCUUCACCCCCAGCGUCGUCGUCUCCGGCGCCCUCCUCACCAUCUACGCCAAAUGCGGCCUCUUGGGCCACACCCGCAAGGUGUUCAACGAAAUGCCCGUGAGGGACGUGCUCGCGUGGACCGCUCUCAUCCACGGCUACUCAACUGAUGCGUGUAAUGUCUUAUCUAGGGGUGGAACUCGAUCAUCUUCCUAUUUAGUUUUCUCCCUGGAUCCUCUUUCAAUUUGAUUACCGUGGAUAGAGGUAAUUGGUUUUUGGCAAAUAUUUAGCUAGUUUGCCCUAGGUAAAAUAUCGUCGUUAUACUUCUUGUUGAUUAAUUGCUCGCAUGGACCGCACUCGGCGAGGUGCACGCACGUGACGAGAAAGGCGAAGGCGGCGGCGGUGCUGGUGCAGCGGCGGCGCAGGCAGGGGAGGGCGCGAUGGGGCGGGCAAGGGCGAGGAGGACGGAGGCGUAUGAGGCGGGGUCGGGGCGGAGCAUGCAGAGGAGGCGGGCAUCGGGCCAGGCGAGAGGCGACGGUGGAAGAAUAAGAAGAAGAAGAAGAGAGAGAGAAAAAGAAAAAAAAAAGAAAUAGUGCAAAAUUUUCCUAAAUAGUUCAACUUUGGCCUAAAGAGUGUAAAAUCCAUUCCAAAAGAGUGUAAUUUCCAUAUCAAAUAGUGUAAUUUCCAUUAAAACAGUGUAAUCUUAUUUUAACAGUACAAUUUUAUCAUCUUUCUAUAUUUUUUGAUCUUUUUUUUGUAGGAAAAAAACUAUUUUUUAUUUUUUUAUGCUUAUUCUUUUUUUUUAUAAUUUUUCUUGUUACCACCUCUCCCUUGCUCUCUAUCGUAACCACCGCGACGUCGUUGGAGGCGAUUUUGCCUCCUCUGACGAUGUCGCGGCGUUUCGACGCGCGGUGGAGGAGAAGAGCCUGCGCCUCGAUGUCGCCGUGCCCUAGUGGAGAAGGAGGGUCGCGGCGGGCCUCACCAGGGUCGGAGACGAGAAGGGUGCGGAGUGCACGGGCGAGGGCGAGGGCAUGCAGGGCAAAGGCGAAGCUGGCUGUUUCCGCCUCCGCUGCCUUCUUUGGAGAGAGAAAAAAAAAACGAGAGAAAAAAAAAGAGGAAAGCAAAAAAGUAAUAAGGGUAUUUUGGUCAGUUCGCUGAAAAUCCGGCUCGAAUCUGCAAAAUCGAAAAAUGUGGCCCACUUUUGCAAAAGCGCAAAACUAGUAGAUUUUUUAUGCAAAUUGGCCAAAAGUAAUUAGUAUCAUAAUUAAAUAUAUUUAAAUAUAACUAUCUUUACCUAGUAUAUUAUUUUAUUAUUUUUUCUUUACCUUUCUUCACCGUAAUUGACUUCGGCCCACGAUGGACCGAAGUCAAUUAUGCCGUUUUUGGUUAACCGAGUUUCGACCAUAACUUUGUUACGUGAAACCAAAUAGUGGAACCAAUCGUUUAUGGCGAAAACAACUUCCCUCCUCUCCACUUCCACCCCAUUUCCACCCCACUUCCACCCAAACAAACAUCCCUUAACCAACAAUAUGGUUCAGCCUGAAGAAGGCACCACGACUCAGCACAGUCGUGAUAUGCAAGCCUAUAAUGAGUGGCUUGAGAAAAAUCGAAGUGCAUGCUCUACAAUGUUGAGCUGUAUGCACGAUGAUUUGAUAAAGGAAUUUGAGAAUUAUGAGACUGCUAAAUGUCUGCCACCACGAAUGACGCACCUCGCACGGUCGAUGGAUUUUGGCCGUGGGGUAGUAUUCAUGAUUCAGAUUAGUAUUUAUAUGUAUAUGGGUAUCAGGUAUUGCGGGUCCAUGGCUUCCAAUAGAUGCAAGCAUCUAUUGUUAAUUACUCCCGUGGCAUUGGGGCACCUUCGAUUAAGAGACCUUUAUGGAUGGGAUUGAAUGAAUCGUAUCUUGGUUUAUUGAAUCCUAAGUAUAUGUAUUAGGAUUCAAUUGAAUUUGAGAUUGACUAGGUCCUAAGUAUAUGUAUUAAGACCUAGUCGAUAUUAAACUCUAUGUAUUAAAGUCUAAUUGGCUCUAAGUAUAUGUCUUAGAGUCUGAUUAUAUUCACCUUGGUUGUAUAUUCCAAGGUAGAGAUUGGACUCGACCCCAAGUAUAUGUAUUGAGGUGGGUCGAGUUACCCGAAAGUAGAGAAUAGCUAAUUCCUGAGUAUAUGUAUCAAGAUUAACCGAGUUUAAUAUAUUUUCCACUCUAGUUAUAUGUGCUAGAGUGAGGAUUUGACUAAGCCCUAAGGUAUUAUGCUAGGGUUCGUCGGAUUUGGUUUCAUGAGCUCUAAGUAUAUGUAUUAGAACUCGAUCAGGUAUGGAUUUCACUCUAGAUAGAUAUGCUAGAGCAAAAGGCUGACUAGACCCAAAGUGUAUGUGUUAGGACCAGUCGAGCUUGGUUUGACUUCGACUCUAGAUAUAUGUGCUAGAGCAAAAGGCUGACUAGACCCUAAAUGUAAGGUACCGGACUUCUAAAAUAAAAAAGUUACGGUUUAUAUUGGUUUGGAAAGCCAUUUGAAUAGUUCCGGUGAAGUUCGGUGAGGAUCGGGAGCAUUCGGGCGUUUCGGUGCGCGUAGAUGCGAAAACGAAAUCCGAAAGGCUAUGUUGGACCAAGGACUAAAUCCGGCAUUAGCGCGGAUGAAAAGAUGAUGAAAAUAAGCUCAAAAACAUGUUUGGAGAGUCUCUGUUCGAUUUGCAAAGAAUCGGAGGUCAAGCGAGCGAAAACGAGCGAAAACGAAGAAGAAACGGUGAAAAAGGCUGAAAUUUGGCUAAGUCCUAAAACUACUGGAAUUUUGGACCUUCGAGGACCGGUCCCUCAAGUCCAGGGACCGGUCCCUUAUACAAAAAAUGGCCCCCCGCGGGGGCACUGCACUAAAAUGAAAGUUGAGGGGCUUAUUUGCACUUUUGGGCAUUAUGUGAGUGUAUAUGAGCUAUAGAGAGCUCAUUUGCUCUCUCCCUCUCACCUUGCAAACCCAAAAACUCCCCCUCUCUCUCUAGAAAAAAAAGAAGGAGAAGAAGAAGAAGAGGUUGGUGGAGAAGAAGAUCAAGAAGAGGAGCUCCAUCCUCUUCAUCUUUUUUUUCAUGUGGGAGCAAGCUUUUGGAGGUAAGAUCUUUGCUCAUUAAUGGUAGAUCUUUAAUGGUUGGUUUAAAUACUCUAAGAAUGAGUUUAGAUGAAUCCUAGGAUGCUAAUUAGAUAGAUUAUGCUUAAAUCUAGAGAUGUAAUGGUGGAUUUUUACCUAGUUGUAAUCUAGGGCUCCAAAAUGGGGUUUUGAGAAAUAGUAGGGUUUGAUCUCAAUUGACACUCUGUUAACCUAAUUGCUAGGCACAUGAACGCGAUGGCAAAGUCGGUUCGACGAUUCGUCAAGCCGUUGUAAAGAUAUUGAAGAAACUGAGGAUUUAGCUUUGUUUCCGCCUGGAUGGCCGAGGCGACGUCCAAAAAUCAUGGAAACGAAUUUGGAGCACCGUAGCAAGAAACCGAAGACCUUUAAUGUAACACACUAGACCUUUGCAAAUUGCGAGGUUCAAGUUUUGAUCUGUGUUCCGAGCUUUACUAGAUAUUCUGGAAGGUCGUUGACAGUAUUUCGACCUAUGGCUCGCAUCUCGAGAAUUGAGGUUUAAAGCUUGAACCAAAAUCCCAAAAGAUGGAUUGUUGGUCCUGCUCUCGGGUCAGCUUCAGCCAGGCUGUGUACCAGUACAGCCUUGAUGGUUGUACCGGUACAGGAUUUGAACCGGUACACCUUGAUGGUUGUACCGGUACACUUUGGGUUUUCUACCAACCCGAGGCUUGGGUUGGGCUGUUUCGUAGGAAGUGUACCGGUACACUUUCCCGUGUACCGGUACACAAUGCAGACUGGGCUGUUUUCGAGGAGGGGUGUAUUUGCAAUUGUUGCAACCUCUUUAAAUACCACCCCGGCCCCCUUAGCUGCUCUUUUGAGCCCUAGACCAGUGGAGAAGAGGUAAGAACUCCUCCUCUUGAGUUCUUUUCCAUUUUUGAUGGAUUUUUGUGGGUUUUGAUCUCUUCCCCUUUGCUUUUUUUGCUUCUUGUUUUAUUCCUCCAUGGGAGAAGCUUGGAUUUCGGGAUUGGAGCUUAUUUGAGAGGUGAUCUUCAACUCCACUUCGUUUGGAGCUUGGUUUAGAGCAUCUUGAGAGGUGAGUAGCACUUUUCUACUCCUUGAUCUGUGUUUUGAUAGGUUUUGUGUGUGGGAACCCUAGGUUUUGAGAAUUAGGGUUAGAAAUGGAGAUUUUUGAGUUGACGCUUUUUGAUCUUGAUUGAUCUUAUUAGAACAUUCCUUUAGGUUGGUUUUGAAGGAUUCUUGCUUCUUUUUGGAGAUCAAGAGAGAUUUUUACCAUUUUCGGUGAGAUUUUAACCCUUUUCUUGAGUUGCUUAAUGUUUGAACUCAUGAAUUAUCGUUUCGAUGUUGUAACUCCCCUAGCCUAUCUUUUAGGGUGCUAGGAGUGAUUAUCAAAGCUUCCUUAGCGUUUCGGACGCCCGCGCGAAGCUUUUGGUGGGUUUGGCUUCACGUGAAUAGGGGGAAAUUCCUCCUAAGUGGUUAAUAUGUGUUGUAUUAUCAUUUUGCAUGCAUUUCCAUGCUAGAUAGGAUUUAUAUGAAUUUUUGAAUACUUAAAAUACAUGUGUUGCGUAUCAUGAAAAUCCUUCUCUACAUAGUAGAGCAUUAUGUGUAUUGUACAUGCAUGUUUAGAGUAUUCUCUUUUUCCAGUUGGAAAACAUGUUGCAUGUGAGAAAAAUGUUUAGAAUUAUGUACUCUUGAACAUAAUCAUCAUGCUUUGACAUAAUGAACAAAAGUGUCAUAAAGGGGCACUUAGAGUAGUAAACUGUGAAACUGCAACAUAGAAACAUAGUGAUAGGCCACUUGGACAUCUGCUAUUAUUCCAUAUUUUUGACAUGACGACGUAGUGGUAGGCCAUCGAGAUACUGGAUAUAUUCCAUAUUUUUUAGACAUGAGGACUUGGUAUUUGAGACGGACUUUUACGCUUGCUUGCCAUUGUGCUCAUUGGCACAGGCUUGUGAGGGUCGCUCCCUACAAGCCGGCACUCCGCAGAUAGCCAUCGCGACAUAUGCUCGCUCGUGCGGGAUUGGGCGCCGAAAUGGGAUGCCGUGGGGGAGGCUCAUUCCUAGAGUGGGGAUGUUGACUACCACGGGGCUAUUAGGCACGGCGCAGGCCAGACAGCCUACGGGUGGGUCUUACAUGAUUGGAACUUAGUGAUAAGCACAUGCUAUUUGGACUUUGACUAGAAUAGUAAACAAUGACAUUUACUAUUUAGCUGUGGACAUUAUGUUAGUGAUACUCGCUUACAUUUACAUUCUUGUUACAGUAGCUUUAUUACUUAUGCAAUUUCAUGCUAAGUAGAGACAUCAUGUUGUAGUAAAUUUUCAUGCUUGCUUACUAGUUGUUCAUAUUGCUUACAUUUACACUUCCCCUUUUUAGUUGUUGGGCCUAGUGGCGCAUUUCACUGAAGUCAGUAAUUGCCCACUGGGAACUAUUUUUAAUAGUUCUCACGCCCCCGUUUCUAUGGUUUUAUUUCAGAGCCCUCUACACAGUGGAGGCACGGGACCGCGGCAAGGGGAUCGCUUAGCUAACUAGCGAGGAGCGUUUCUUUUGCAUUUUGGUAGUUCAUUCUCCUUUUGUUGUAGUUGAGAGAGAGAGAGAGUUAUGUUAGUACCUUGUAUAGAGAGACCACCUAUGUAUCUGGUUUAACAUUGUACUUUGGAUGUUUAUUGUACUACUUUUUGUUUCUACUUAGUGGAUUUAGCUCUAUGUUCAUUUCGGUUAUUAUAGCAUCUAGAUAUACUUGCUCUGAUACUGCUAGAUGUUCUCUUUAUCUUGCUUUAUUUAUCGUUUUAUUUUAGACGCCUUAUAUGUUUUAGAUGUAUGGCGGGUCUGGGCAAGUGCCGGGCGGGCUUCCNCAGACAGCCUACGGGUGGGUCUCAGGGCCAUAGACAGCCUUCGGGUGGGUCUCUUCAGAUUUGACUUUGAGUAUUCAUGAUGACAUGUGGACAGAUGGUGACUUAGUGUACUACUUGGACAUUGACUAGAAUAGUAAACAACGGAACUUUACUAUUUCGCAUUGUGAACAUUAUGAUGGUGGGAGACUUUUACUUCAUGCAUAGUUGUUUCAUAGUUAUGCUAUUUAUGCUAAGUAGAGACAUCAUGUUGUAAUAAGUUACAUUUUACUUACCUUUCGCUCUUCUACUUUUUAGCCACUGACAUCUUUUGUAGCUUUUGGCCUUGUGGUGCAUUCACUGAAGUCAGUAAUUGCCCACUGGGAACUAUUUUUAAUAGUUCUCACGCCCCUGUUUUAUGGUUUAAUUUUCAGAGCCUUCGGCACCGGCGGAGGCACGGGAUCGCGGCAAGGGGAUCGCUUAGUUAGCUAGCGAGGAGCGGUUCUUUGCUUAGAUGGUUUGCUCUUCCUUUUUGUAGUUGGGAGAGUGAGAGAUUUUGUAUCCAUGUGUAGAGACCACCUAUGUACCUACCUUUAGCACUUGUAUUUGGGAUUUCCGUGUAUUACUUUAUGUCUUAUUUAGUGGAUUUACAGUUUUACCUUAUCCUUUGUUGUAGCAUUUAGACCUUUAUCAUGCUCUGAUACUCAUAGAUGUCUUUUAUUAUUGCUUUUACUAUUGUUGUUUCUAGACGCCUUAUACGUUUUAGAUGUAUGGCGGGUCUGGGCAAGUGCCGGGCGGGCUUCCGCUGGGUCCCGGAGCGUGACAUUUAAUUUUCGGAUCACGGAUCGGAGGUCGUUCGGUGGUCGCGCGUGAAUUGGGUCGAGCCGAGCGGCUUGUGCCGCGGGAGGCCGAUUGCAAGUGGCUAUGAGCAAUCGGAACGUGAUAACAGGUAGGUUGUGCUUACCGAAGCGACUAGGUCGCCUACAUGUCGAAGAGAAAUGUGCUUUCUCGUUGAUGCAUAUAUAUGUAUAAUGAUAGUUGAUUGCGUAGAUGAAUGCUUAGGAUAAAUGCAUGAGAUACUAUGUAAUAGCUACCUUGGAUAAAGUAUAAUAUGCAUGUUGGCAUGAUUAGAAUAGGUGCAUGAUGGCAUCAUGAAUGUGUUAAAGCAUAUAGAUAGAAUAUGCAUGAUGAUGUUGUAGAUGUGUUAGAGCAUAUGAAUAUAUGGUAUCCUAGUUGAUAAUUGCAUGUUGUGUAUUGAAAGUACAUGCUAGAUGAUAUUGCAUAUGGACAUGUUAAUCUACAUGCUAGAAGAGGCUAAGUAUAAUAUGUAUGUUGAUAAUGUGGAUAAUUAUAGAAACUCGAUGUGGACAAUUAGGUGUCGAAUAGAUCUAGUGGCAUUAAACCUUGUGCUAAAGAACAUAGGUGGCAUGUGAACCUAGUGUAGUGAACCUAGAAUCAAGAUCUAGGUAGAAUGACAUUAAACCUAGUUUGAGGAACAUAGAUUGAGGAUUGAACCUAGAGUUAGUUAAACCUAGGUUAUGUGAUAAAGGUGUUGAACCUAUUGUUGAUUAAGCCUAGGUGAGUGGCAUUUGAACAUAGUGUAAUAACACUGGCAUUGAGCAUAGGGAAUAGGUGAGUUUCCCUAGUUGUGGCAUAUUGCAGCAAAUCUAGUGUAGUGGAACACUAUGGCAUUUGAACAUAGGGAUAGUAUAUUUUUCCCGAUUAUCAUGUUGUGGACAUUAUGCAUUUGGCAUUAGUGCAGUUGAGGCAUUGUGGUCAUAGUAGAUAGGGUAUCCUCCAGCGUGGGGAUUGGAUCAUACUCACAUAGUCUAUGUAACCUUGGCGUGGUCACUCUACCCAAGUAGCGAGCUCCGAAGUAGUAGUCACGUUAUGGGUAACUUGGUUACCAGCGAGCUCCGGAGUAGUAGUCGCGUUGGGGCAGAUAUAGUUGUCCCGCAGACGGGUCUCGGGUGGUAUAUCCCCACUAGCGAGAUUUGAGAUGUGAGUCGAGGUAGCAACCUUCGGGUUGGCCUUGGGCAAUAACCUUCAGAUUGGCCAUGAGAUUUGAUACUAUCGAGGCAUAGUUGCACAACGCACUAUGUAGUAGCUCGUUCAUUUUGAUUAUCGAGGCAUAGUUGCACGACACACUAUGUAGUAGCUCGUUCAUUCAUGUGAUUAUUGAGGCCUAGUACCAUGUGGUAGAUCAUAUACUAGGUAGUAACUUAUUUAUUAUUCAUUGAGGCAUAGUAUAUGUUGAGCGGAUUUAAGGCUGAGGUGUAUGUGAGGGUUCCUUCACCUCGAGCCGGACAGAGUGCGAUACUCCGCAGUUGAUUGACUCGAGGCAGAGUCGGGUGGCUAGCUUGGACAAGGUAGAGGAAACCUUAAAGGCUAGUGAUAGAUGAAAUGGAUCUAGGGUAAUAGAAACCUUAGAGAGUAGUUUGAUGUGAACUAGAUAAUGAGAUAGAAAGUAGUAUCGGGUGAUCUACUAGUUUUUGCAUUACUUGCAUCAUUGCAUGAGUAUAUUGUUGCACAGCAUGGCAUUGUUGCAUUUGUGAGGCAAAGUAUGGUAUUGUUAGCUGCAUAAUUUAGAUAUCGAAUCUAUCUGUUUAUUAAACUAACCUGCAAUUUGCCUCCUUCGGACCUAUUGGUCGAGCUUUUUUCUUGGGUGGCCGUACCUACUAGGAACCAUGGAGUUGGUUCUCACCUCACGUUGCUUUGGGGUGUUACAGAUUCGCACGUGAACGGCGCGGCGCCGCGAGGCAAGGGCGUAGCUCCGUAGAUAGCGCCCUACUCCAGAGACCAGAGAUAGCAGUACUCCGAGUCGACAUUUCCUAGGGGUAUAGAGAUAAAAAGAACAAAUGUCUCAAGUUGUAAUAAGUAAAUGAUGUAAUAACUUAGAUUGCAUUUGGAUAUUAAAGAGAAUUGUAAUCGAGAUGUGAAAUAAAUCUAAUGGGAAUGCUUGUAAUAACAUAGGAUGUGUUAUGUUAUUUGAUACUCCCUUAUACAAUCUUUGCUUGGAUAUUGUUCUUAUUUGGAACCUCUUGUAAUUGUAUUGAUUGCGACUCCUAGGACAUACAGGAAAAACUCUGUCCGUUCGGCGGUCUGUCGGCGCGCCCGAACCUGACCAAAUAGGUGGGGCUCGAGGCGUGACACUAAAGGAUAUGUAUAAAGGGUUAGUCGGAUGAACUCUAAGUAUAUGUGUUAGAGUUCGAAUAAAUUUGAUAUCAUUUGACUGAAUUCUAAGUGUAUAAUUUGGAACUCUGUCGAUUUGGAGAUGUUUUGCCUUAGUAUAUGUGCUAAGGCGGGUGGGGUUGACUUAACCCUAAGUACAUGUAUUAGGGGUAGUUGAUAUUUGAUUUUUACUCUAGGUAUAUAUGCUAGAGUAAAGAGAUUUAUGAUGAACUUGGUAUGGUUUGGUUUAUGGGGUUUGGUUUAUGGUUCAUGAGAUUCAUGAACUUGGGUAUGGUUCAUGGGAUUUGGAUAUGGAUCAUGAGGUUUGGUAUAUGGUUCAUUGGGUUUGGUAUAUGAGAUUUGGUUUAUGGACUUGGGCAUUGUUCAUGGGAUAUGAUGAAUGGUUCAUGAGAUUUGGUUAAUAGAUAUGGUUCAUAGUUUAUGGUUCAUGAAUUUGGUGUAUGGUUUAUGGUUCAUGGUGUAUGGUUCAUAAACUUGGGUCAUUUGGUUCAUGGUUCAUGGUUCAUAGGGUAUGGUUCAUGAACUUUGUUUAUGAUUUAUGAACUUGGUGUAUAGUUUAUGUGUUUGGUUUAUGGUUCAUGAGACUCGGUUCGUGAACUUGGGUAUGGUUCAUGGUUCAUGGUUCAUAGUUCAUGGUUCAUGAGGUAUGAUUCAUGAACUUGGUUUAUGGGAUUUGGUUUAUGGUUCAUGAGACUUGGUUCAUGAACUUGGCUUAUGGGAUUUGGUUUAUGGUUCAUGAGACUUAGUUCAUGAACUUGGGUAUGGUUCAUAGAAUAUAGUGUAUGGUUCAUGAACUUGGUACAUGGGAUGUGAGAUUUGGUUCAUGGUUUAUGGGAUUUGGUGUAUGGACUUGGUUCACGAACUAGAUUAUAGGAUUUGGAUCAUGAUUCAAGGAAUUUGGGUUCAUGAACUUGGUUCUUAGUUCCUGAUUCAUGGGAUUCAGGUCAUGAAUCCAAGUUGGAGGUCAGGUAUGGGUUCUAUUUAUGAUUAGAUUUGGAUUUAAGGUUAUUUGUGUAUGGACUGGAUUGGAUUUGAGUUUGGGUUUAUUUGUCGGCUUGAUUUGGUUUGGGUUUGAAUUUGAAUUUGAUUUGGGUUUGGGUUUUAUUUGGAUUUUGGAUUUGGGUUUGGUCUGGGUUUUGGUUUUGUUUUGGUUUAGGUUUGGAUUUGAUUUGGUUUGGGUUUGGGUUUGGGUUUAUUUGGGUUCAAGUUUGGGUUUAUUUGUGGACUUGAUUUGGUUUGGGUUUGUAUUUAUUUAUGGACUUGAUUUGGAUUGGAUUUGGGUUUAUUUGGGGACUUGGUUUGGUUUGGGUUUGGGUUUAUUUGGGUUCAAGUUUGGAUUUAUUUGUGGACUUCAUUUGGUUUGGGUUUGGGUUUAUUUGUCGAUUUGAUUUGGAUUGGGUUUGGGUUUAUUUGUCGAUUUGAUUUGGAUUGGGUUUGGGUUUAUUUGUGGACUUGGUUUGGUUUGGGUUUGGUUUGGGUUUAUUUGGAUUUGGAUUUGGGUUUUGGUUUUGGGUUUGGAUUUGGGUUUUGGUUUUGGGUUUGGAUUUGAUUUGGGUUCUGGGUUUGGGUUUAUUUGGGUUCAAGUUUGAUUUUAUUUGUGGACUUGAUUUGGCUUGGGUUUGGGUUUAUUUGUGGACUUGAUUUAGAUUGGGUUUAGGUUUAUUUGUAGACUUGGUUUGGUUUGGGUUUGGGUUUAUUUGGGUUCAAGUUUGGGUUUAUUUAUGGACUUGAUUUGGUUUGGGUUUGGGUUUGGGUUUAUUUGUGGAUUUCGGUUUGGUUUGGUUUUGGGUUUGUUUGUGGAUUUGGGUUUUGGUUUUUUAUUUGUGGACUGGAUUUGAUUUGGUUUGGGUUUAAAUUUGAUUUUCUUUUCAAUUCCAUUUCGGGUCCGAGUAAAUCCUCUUUUGAUUUUGAAAUUCGAUUUGGGGUCCAAAGAAAUUCCCUUUUAAUUUUGCAAUUUGAUUCGGGGUCCGAAAAAAUUCCCUUUUGAUUUUAUAAUUUGAUUCGGGGUCCGAAGAAAUCCCCUUUUGAUUUUGCAAUUUGAUUCGGGGUCCGAAGAAAUUCCCUUUUGAUUUUGCAAUUUGAUUCGGGGUCCGAAGAAAUCCCCUUUUGAUUUUGCAAUUUGAUUCGGGGUCCGAAGAAAUCCCCGUUUAAUUUUGCAAUUUGAUUUGGGGUCCGAAGAAAUCCUCGUUUGAUUUAUGAUUUGGUUUGAUUUGGGGUACGAAGAAAUCCCCGUUUGACCUUGGUUUGAUUUGGGGUUCGAAGAAAUCCCCUUUUGAUUUUGCAAUUUGAUUCGGAGUCCGAAGAAAUCCCCUUUUGAUUUUGCUUUGAUUUGGGGUCCGAUGAAAUCCCCGUUUGAUUUUGGUUUGAUUUGGGGUCCGAAGAAAUCCCCGUUUGAUCUUGAUUUGGGGUCCGAAGAAAUCCCCGUUUGAUCUUGAUUUGAUUUGGAUUUGAACCGGUUUGAGACUUUUGUAGAUCGAUUCAAUGUUCUCGAAAUGGAUCGAAGGGUCCGAAGAAACAGGGAAUCUUUGAUUCCCCUCCCCUCUUCUUUCGAAAACACCGAACUGCUAAGGUUGGAGAUGAUGGCGGCGAAAAUAAUGACGGUAACAUGGAUCUGUUUGGUCGGUGAAUUUGGUUUAAUAUUUUCAAAAGGAAUUGAAGGGUCCGAAGAAACGGGGAAUCUUUGAUUCCCCUCCCCUCUUCUUUCAAAAAUAUUAAACCGGCGAUGUCGUUGGUGAAGAUGAUGACUGUGGCGCGGAUUUGUUCGGCCGGCGAAUUUGGUUUAAUAUUUUCAAAAUGAAUUGAAGGGUCCAAAAAACGGGGAAUCUUUGAUUUCCCUCCCUUUUUUUGAAAAUAUUAAACCGGCGAUGUCCUCGGUGAAGAUAAAUGACUGUGGCGUGGAUUUGGUCGGCCGACGAAUUUGGUUUGACAUUCGAAAGAUGUUGAAGGGUCCGAAGAAACGGGAAAUCAAAGAUUCCCCUCCCCUCUUCUUUCAAAAGUAUCAAAUCGUCGGUGCUGGGGGUAGUCGCGGCAAUGUAGAUCACUCAUUCCAUCAUCAACGACAUCGAAUGGAGUAUUGAGAGGUACGAAAAAACAGGAAGCCAUCGGCUCCCCUCCACUCUCCCAUCGAAGUCGUCUAGAUGAUAUAUAUGACUACGGUAGCAAAACCAAAAAGAAAAAAAAAGGGAAGGGGAAAGAAACGAGAUCUUUUUUCUUUUUCUUUUUUUUCUUUUUUUUUUUAUUAUGUUUUCUUUUUUUCUUCUUCAUUUUUCUUCUUCUUUUUUUUUUUACCUGUUGAUCAGAUGAUGGAUCGGAUGAAGCGGCACGGCGAUCUUUCCUCCUUUUCGCAGCUCAGCAAUCUCUCCUUCUUUCCGCGGCUCGGCGAUCUCUCCUCCUUUCCGCGGCUUGGCGAGCUUUCCUCCUUUCCGUGGCUUGGCGAUCUCUACUCCUUUGAAUUUUUUUUGUACGCCGGAACGUGUGUAGCAAUCUAUUUUUUUUCUCUUUUUCGUCUAUCGUAUCGUCCCCCGUAUUGAUCUCGAUUCUCGUAUUUAUAAUGGGAGGGGUGGUGAGAGAUAUUUUGAGGGAUUCAAAAUUUGAAAUUGAAUUUUGAAUAGGUUGUUAUGGUUGGUUGAAAGAUAUUUGGGAUUGGUUGGAAAUUCAAAAUUCGAAAUCGAAUUUUGAAUGGAUUGUUGGAUGGUUGGAGGAUAUUUUGAGGAUUGAUUCGAAAUUCAAAAUCGAAUUUUGAAUGGGUUGUGGAAGAUAUUUUGGGAGUUGGUUGAAAAUUUGAAAUUCGAAAUCAAAUUUUGAAUGAGUUGUUGGAUGGUUGGAAGAUUUUUUGGGAAUUGAUUCGAAAUUCGAAAUCGAAUUUUGAAUGGGUUGAGGAAAAUAUUUUGGGAGUUGGUUGGAAAUUCGAAAUUCGAAAUUGAAUUUUGAAUGAGUUGUUGGAUGGUUGGAAGAUAUUUUGGGAAUUGAUUCGAAAUUCAAAAUCGAAUUUUGAAUGGGUUGUGAAAAAUAUUUUGGGAGUUGGUUGGAAAUUCGAAAUUCGAAAUCGAAUUUUGAAUAGGUUGUUGGAUGGUUGGAAGAUAUUUUGGGAAUUGGUUAGGGAUUCCAAAUUCGAAAUCGAAUUUUGAAUGGGUUGUUGGAUGGUUGGAAGAUAUUUUGGGAAUUGGUUAGGGAUUCCAAAUUCGAAAUCGAAUUUUGAAUGGGUUGUUGGAUAGUUGGAAGAUAUUUUGGGAAUUGGUUAGGGAUUCGAAAUUCAAAUCGAAUUUUGAAUAGGUUGGGGAGUGGUUGGAAGAUAUUUUGGGAGUUGGUUGGGAAUUCGAAAUUCGAAAUUCGAAAUUCGAAAUUUGAAUUUUGAAUGGGUUGUUGGAGGAUAUUUUGGAAAUUGGUUGGGAAUUCGAAAUUCGAAAUUCGAAAUCGAAUUUUGAAUGGGUUGUGAUUUGAAAUCGAAUUUCGAACAGAUAAUUUAUAGAAUGUGGAUGUGGGUCGUCGUUGAUCAGGCCCGCUUUAAUUUAUUGGACCCAAAUGAUAAUAUUUAAUGGGCUGGAAUGAGGCCCCCUUUUUUUUUUUUGCAUGGACUUUCAUGAGGCCCACCAACUCACAUUUAUGAAUGGACCUAUUGUAUAUUUGAAAUAUAAUUAUUGGCCCAAAAAUUUAAUGGUUAACACGAGAUCUAUUAGGAUUGUAUGAACUCGAAUCUAAUCGUUUUUUUAUUAUGAUUAGGAUUGUUUCAUCCUAUAUAAGUAUUAUUUUACUGCAAACACUAAAAGUAUGUAGGAGCAGCUCAAAGAGAAAUAUAGUAGCACAUCAACUACAAAGCUUUGUGCCUUGAAUCUCAAAUUCAACCAAUACAUGUUGAACCCGAAACAUUUUAUGGCAGAGCACUUAAGGGUGAUGCCUUGCGAUGAUAAGAGAACUUAAAGCAGCCGGUUGCGAGCUCACUGACGAAUAACAGGUUUAGUCAGUUAUAAUGUCCCUACCAGAGUCAUCUUGAAGUCAAGUCAAGUUAGUGCUAACUCUAAUGAGGGUAUUAAGACCUUCAAUGAUAUAGCUUGACAUCUUGAGUUCGUAGCGCACUCAUUGCCCACGGUGGGCAACGCAGAGGCAAGUGGCCUAAGAGCAAACACCGAAAUAGAGAAAAUAAAUAUGGAAAGACUGGGAAUCACACACCGAAUGAAUGCGGAAUUGAUAAGUGUCGCAAAGGUAGGCGUAGGAAGAAAAACUUAAAUAAAGUGAAAUGCUAAACUGUGGAAACAUAGGACACUUCGUUCAUGAUUGCACUGAGCCGAAGAAGGUAAAUCCCAAUCCUGACUAUCUUAUUUAUGUAUGUUUGCAUGUUUUUGUUGCUCAUGCUCUCUCUGAUUGGAUUGUAGACACAAGAGCAACAAAGCAUGUAACGAGAGAUCGAGCAGGAUAUAUGGAUUAUCGUCGGGUGUCUGCAGGCAACUAUUAUGUCGAAAUUGACACUCUGGGGAAUCCGGAUCGGAACGGUUAUUCGAUGAUAAUCGUUUCGAUGUGUGACUUAGUGUUUGCUGAUAGGACAUCCAAAAUAAUGUGUAUUGUGGCAGCGGUUGACUCGUGGCACAAGUCGGUGAGUUUUGGGACACUAAGUGGGUCCCGGCGGUGUCCCGGUGUGAUUUUCGGAACUUCUGGCCGGUUACGGUGAUUGGUUUUAGGGAACCGAUUCCGAGGAAUUGUGUAGGGUUUGUGAGUUGUGUAUUUUGGAUUAGUGGGUUAGACACUGACCCGGUGGACCCUCCGUAGGUCCGGUUGACGAUAUCAUACAAUUCGGAGACAGGCACGACAUUGAUCAUGUAGGUACUUCGACCCGAAGUCGGUCUAGUGGUGCAUGCUUGGUGACAUUCUCUCCUCUCUCUCUCUUUAUGUUUCUCGCAUUAUUCAUAUUUGUUGAGCCUAGAACCAUAUGACUUCCGUACAUAUUACUCUACUCGGUUAUAUCUCUAUACUUGACUAUCAUGGUUUAGGAGUAGAGUGGUUGAUGAAUUAUCUCUACGCAUGAUAUGACAUCAGUGUGACCUAGUUGGUUGGUUUGAGAUUCUGGUUGAUGACCUAUUCAGUCGACACACCCUGAGGGGUUGAUUGUUGGCUACUUGCCGAUGGUUAUUGAUCAUAUUUGCAUCGAUCGCCACUACUCGUACGCAUUUCAUGUACACCAGCUAUUUGGCCACCGCAACGGUGUUUUUUUUCGAAAAAGUGGUUGGUCUUCUGACCUGUAAGCCCAACGGCCCAUUGCUAGGUCAUAUGCCAGGGAGACCCGUGUCUGCCACCAUGAAUGACGCAUCUCGCACGGUCGAUGAAUUUUAUCGUGGGGUAGUAUUCAUGAUUCAGAUUGGUAUUUAUAUGUAUAUGGGUAUGAGGUAUCGCGAGUCCAUGGCUUUCAAUAGAUGCAAGCAUCUACUGUUAUUUACCCCCGUGGCAUUGGGGUACCUUCAAUUAAGAGAUCUUGUAAAGAUAGGAUUGAAUGAAUCGUAUCUUGGUUUAUUGAAUCCUAAGUAUAUGUAUUAGGAUUCAGUUGGAUUUGAAAUUGACCAGGUCUUAAGUAUAUGUGUUAAGACCUAGUCGAUAUUAAACUCUAUAUAUUAGAGUCUAAUUGGCUCUAAGUAUAUGUCUUAGAGUCCGAUUAUAUUCACCUUAGUUGUAUAUUUUAGGUGGAGAUGUGACCAAAUCCCAAGUAUAUAUAUUGAGGUAGGUCGGAUUUGAUAUUACCCGAAAGUAGAGAAUGGCUAAUUCCUGAGUGUAUGUAUCAGGGUUAACCGAGUUUAAUAUAUUUUUCACUCUAGUUAUAGGCUAAGCCCUAUGGUAUUGCGUUAGGGUUCGUCGGAUUUGAUUUCAUGAGCUCUAAGUAUAUGUAUUAGAACUCGAUCGGAUAUGGAUUUCACUCUAGGUAGAUAUACUAGAGCAAAAGGCUGACUAGACCCUAAGUGUAUGUGUCCGGACUAGUCGAGCUUGGUUUGACUUUCACUCUAGGUAUAUGUGCUAGAGCAAAAUGUUGACUAGACCCUAAAGGAUAUGUAUAAAGGGUUAGUCGGAUGAACUCUUGUAAGAUAUGGAUCCUAAGGAUCAAAAAGGUAAAUAACACCUAGAGGGGGGUGAAUAGGUGUAAACGGCAAAAACAAAUCUCUCGAUGCAAAAUAAAACUAAUAGCGGAAAAUAAAAUCAACACACCGAGAUUUAACGUGGAAAAACUCCAACUCGGAGUAAAAAACCCACAGGACCGAUCACAUGAAAAACAAUCCACUAUGAAAAAUCAAGUACAAGUGAUUUACCGAAAAUCUACGACUCAAUUUACCGAAUCCUCGUUGUAGAUCGUCUUCGUCGGUCCUCGAUCGAUCGAAAUCCUUCAACCGAUCACGCUGCAAAUCCUUGCAGCAAACACACCUCGAAUCCACAAAGCGCCCACCGAGUCCACGGCCUUCACGCGAAAUCCACGCUCCAACGCUCCAUCCGAAACUCGAAGAAUUUUAAUGUCUUGUGGUGAUUUAAAAACUUAGAAAGCACAUAUGAUAUGAGGAGAAACUCUAAUUAGAACAUCACCGAUUUGAUCCUUAAAGAACCAUUGAAAUCAAAAACCAAAGAACCGAAUCGGUGAUCAAAGAAAAGAACUUGAUUUGUAAAACAUAGAUCAAAAGCUUUAAAUCAAGCCGUUAGGGUUUUUAAAAGGUUUUCUCUCUAAGCUUACAUCAUAUGGAGCUCCUCAUAUCAUAUUUAUAGGUUUAGGAGACUUCUAGAUAGACUAGGAUUUCAAAAACAUAAUUUUAAAAACAAACGACGGUCUCAGGGUCCGAUCCUCCCGAAGAGACCAGUCCUUGUGGGACCGGUCCUCAAAGCCAGGGACCGGUCCCUCGUUGCGUGGUUGAAAACACAAGCCACGAGAGCCGGUCCUUCAAGAUGAAGACCGGUCUGUUGUUUCAUAGCUGAAAACACAAGUCACGGGAACGGGUCCUUCAUUUCGGGGACCGGUCUUUCUCUGCGUAACUGAUAAUCUUGCGUACGGGGACCGAUCCUCAAUUCAGGGUCCGGUCCCUCAAUGCGCACAUGAAAAACCAGCUUACGGGAACCGAUCCUCAGUUCCGAGACCAGUCCCUCUCUUCGUACCAUAAAAACCAUCCUACGGGAACCGGUCCUUCAAGAACAGAGACCGAUCCCUCGUAGUUUCCACGCAGAGAGAACCUACGGGGUCCGGUCCCCCAAUUCAGGGACCGGUCCCUGAACCCUGAAAAACUUAGUUUUUUAUUAGAAUUGAUUUUAAAAACAUCCUAAGUCUUCCAAACAUGUUUAUAAAUCACUAUUGCACUACAAAUUAUUCUUAUCCAUACCUGGGGUACCGAGCAUCACCGAACGAGUCUUUUGAUCUUGGAUUACUUGAAUCAUCUCUUCAAUCUCCAUCUUCACUUCUUCAAGACUCCAUUCGACUUUACGAAAUUCGCUAACUUAGAAAAAUCCUUAACAACUCUAAGUAUAUGUGUUAGAGUUUGAAUAAAUUUGAUAUCAUUUGACUGAAUUCUAAGUACAUAAUUUAGAACUCUGUCGACUUGGAGAUGAUUUUGCCUUAGUUAUAUGUACUAAGGCAAUUGACUUAACCCUAACUAUAUAUAUUAGGGGUAGUCGAUAUUUAAUUUUCACUCUAGGUAUAUGAGCUAGCGUAAAAAAAGGUUCAUGAUGAACUUUGGGCAUGAGAUUUGGGUAUUGGUUCAUGAGAUUUGGGUAUAUAGGAUUUGAACAUGAUUCAGUUCAUGAUAGUUCAUGUGGUUCAUGAGAUUUGGAUAUAGUUUGGUACAUGGCUCAUAGGAUUUGGUAUUUGGUUCAUGAGGUUUGGUAUAUGGUUCAUAAGGUUUGGCGUAUGGGAUUUGGUUCAUGGGAUGUGGUGUAUAGUUAAUGAGGUUUAUGUCUCGUAGGGUUUGAUGUAUGGUUCAUGAUAUUUAGUUCAUGAACUUAGGUAUGGUUUAUGAGAUUGGAUUCAUGAACUUGGUGUAUGGUUCAUGGGGUUUUGUUUAUGGUUCAUAAACUUGGUGUAUGGUUCAUGAGAUUUGGUUAUGGUUCAUGAACUUGGUACAUGGUUCAUGAGAUUUGAGUCAUGAACUUGGUGUAUGGUUCAUGAGAUUUGGGUAUUGGAUUUGUUUCAUGAACUUGGAUAUGGUUCAUGGGUUUGGUAUAUGAACUUGGUUUAUGGACUUGGUUCAUGAUUCAUGAACUUGGUUUAUUUGGUUCAUGAACUUGGUUUAUGGUUCAUGAGAUUUGGUUCAUGAACUUGGGUAUGGUUUACGGGUUCAUGAACUUGGUGUAUGGUUGUAUGGUUCAUGAGAUUUGGUUCAUGAACUUGGAUAUGGUUUAUGGCAUUUGAUACGGUUCAUGGGAUUUGGUUCAUGAACUUGGAUAUAGUUUAUGGCAUUUGGUUCAUGGUUCAUGAGAUUUGGUUCAUGAACUUGGUGUAUGGUUUAUGGGAUUUUGUUUAUGAACUUGGGUAUGGUUCGUGGUGUUUGGUUCACGAACUUGGCUUAUGGGAUUUGGUUUAUGGUUCAUGAACUUGGUUCAUGAACUUGGGUAUGGUUCGUGGUGUUUGGUUCACGAACUUGGUUUAUGGUUUAUGGGAUUUGGUUCAUAGUAUUUGGUUCACGGUUCAUAAGAUUUGGUUCAUGAACUUGGAUAUGGUUUAUGGCAUUUGAUAUGGUUCAUGGGAUUUGGUUCAUGAACUUUGAUAUAGUUUAUGGCAUUUGGUUCAUGGUUCAUGAGAUUUGGUUCAUGAACUUGUGUAUGGUUUAUAGGGCUUGGGUUAUGGUUUAUGGUUGAUGAGAUUUGGUUCAUGAAUAUGGUUCAUAUUUUAUAGUUCAUGAAUUGGUGUAUGGUUUAUGGUUCAUAGUGUAUGGUUCAUGAACUUAGUUCAUUUGGCUCAUGGUUCAUGGUUCAUAAGGUAUGGUUCAUGAACUUGGUUUAUGAUUCAUGAACUUGAUGUAUGGUUUAUGGGUUUGGUUUAUGGUUCAUGAGACUCGGUUCAUGAACUUCGGUAUGGUUCAUGGUUCAUGGUUUAUGGUUCGUGAACUUGGCUUAUGGGAUUUGGUUUAUGGUUCAUGAGACUUGGUUCAUGAACUUGGGUAUGGUUCAUGGAAUAUGGUGUAUGGUUCAUGAACUUGGUACAUGGGAUGUGGGAUUUGGUUCAUGGUUUAUGGGAUUUGGUGUAUGGACUUGGUUCACGAACUUGAUUAUAGGAUUCGGUUCAUGAACCCAAAUUCCUUGAAUCAUGAACUGGGAUUUGGUUCAUGGUUCAUGAGAUUUGAAUAUGAUAACAGCUAUUUUGAAUGGGUUGUUAGGAUAACAGAUAUUUUCUAGUUGGUUGGAGGUUUAAAAAUUUAAAAUCAAAUUUGAAUAUGAUAUUCGAAAUUGAAUUUUCAAACGUGGGUGAAAAUGUGGGCCGUGAUCCUAUGAAUUGGGCUGAAAUUGGGCCCACUUUGAUGAAACUUGUUGAGCACAAAUAUUCAUUGGGCUGAGAUGAGGCCCGAAUUAUUGUAUAGGCCUAAAAUUUUAAAGGGCUUUCAUGAGGCCCAUUAAUUCACAUUUAUGAAUGGGCCUAUUAUGGAUUUAAAUUAUAAUUAUUUGCCCCAAAAUUUCUCGGUCAACAUGAGACCCAUUGGAAUUGUAUGAGUCCGAACUUAAUCAGUUUUGAUUAGGACUACUUUACCUCAAUUUUCUUUUCUUUUUUUUUUUUUUUUUUACUUCAAACAACCCGGCAGUCUACUGUUAGAGUCAUAUCCCUAUUAGAGCAGUCGUGCCACUUGCCUGAGGUCCUUUGACCGAUACGACGGAUUCUAGAUUGGGUAUUUUGGACUGAUUGUUCGGUUGACGCAUAUUGAUGUACAGUAGUGGUAGUUGCAUUUAUAUACCUUGUUUCCUCACUUUAUUUUGCUACUUUAUUGUUAUUCCUAGCUACUUUUUGGUUAUCAGUGAGUACACUCGUCCUUGUCGGCUUGCGGUAUCCACUGGGGGACCCGUUGUUGGUUUCUCACCCUCCCCCCCCCCCNCUAGUUGGUCGGUUUGAGAUUCUGAUUGAUGACCUAUUAGGUCAGCACACCCUGAGAGGUUGAUUGUUGGCUACUUUCAAACGGCUAUUGAUCAUAUUUAUAUCGAUCGCCACUGCUUGUACACAUUUCACGUACACUAGUGAUUUGGCCACCGUAACAGAGUUCUUUUUCGAAAAAGUGGUCGUGCAUCCGACCCGUGAGCCCAGCGGCCCAUUGCUGGGUCAUAUGUCAGGGAGACCCAGCGGUCUACUGCUAGAGUCAUAUCCCUAUAAGAGUUGUCGUGACACUAGCCUGUGGUCCUUUGAUUGACACGGCGGAUUCUGGAUUGGGUAUUUCGGACUGAUCGUCCGGUUGACGCAUGUUAUUUACAGUAGAGGUAGUUGUAUAUGCAUAUAUCCUACUUUCCUAUUUGACAUUGCUACUGUAUUACUUCUCAUAGCACCAUUUUUGGUUAUCAAUUCGUACACUUGCCCUCGUUGGCUUGCAGUACCCACUGGGAGACCUUUUGUUGGUUUCUCACCCUUGUCCCCCAUUUCAGAUGACAUUGGAGGUCCGAGUCGGGACGAGGAGUGAGGCAUGCGCGUAGCGAGAGUAGAGUUCUUGGCUUGGUUAUCAUCGGUCCUAGACUCAUCCCUCUUUUGCUUUGAAUAAUGAAUUAGACUAUCGUGGUUCAGUUUAUCCUUAAUUAACUUAGCUUGGUUUUUUUUUCAUUCAUAUUAUGGCUUUGAAAAUUGAAUAAAAAUAUUUGUGGUUUUCAUGUGGAUUUAUGAAAAUGAUUUUCUACCCCUCGUGCUAGCUUGCUUUUUUAAAAGAAAAGAUAUCCGUAUGGGAAACAGUUUUAAAAAGAAUUUUUUCCUUUUCGUGAUUUUAGUAUUUCAAAAUGAGUCUUCCGGUGGAAAAUGUUUUAAAUAAUAGAUGUGGAUUUAUGAAUGAAACAUUGUAAUAUUGUGAUGUGGUGAAUGUAUACAUGGUUUGUGCAUAUUUGUGGUUAUAUCUUGUUCUUAUGCGACGUCGUGCAAAUAUAGAGAAGACUCUGUCCCUAUGAAUAGUGGGUUUCCUAUACUUGUGGCGGGUUUGUCAUNUAGGGUCAAGAUUUCAAAAAAAAAAAAAAAAUUGGGCACUUCCACUAUUCUGUUUAGCCAAAAAGGGACCCCAGGGCGUGACAUGAUCACAGCGAAGGUGAGCACAGGACACCACUGUAAGGAAAUGUAUGCAUCUGCAUGUACAUUUAAUGCAACGAAAAUAAUUUAAUUUAUAAAAUAUGAUCCUAUCAUGUAUACUUUAAUAUCAUAACAUUUAUGAUAUUAGUAUAUAUAUGUACCAAGAUCAUCUCCUGUGACACAUAAAAAUUAUUAUUCUAAUCUGAUUAGAAGAAAGGUUCGAAUUUCAACUUGUGUUGAUUACCCAAGUAUUUUAUGGUUGAUUUUGGAUCUGAACUUCUGGUUCUUUGAACUACACUAGUGUUCGGCCUCUAUGUAUAUCCACACAAGACUGCUCCGGAAUCUGUGCUUCACACAAUCACAGUGUAAUCUUGAAACUCCUUUCGUGAUCUCUUGUGUUAAUGUGUAGAAAAAUUAAUCCUCAAAAUUGUGCUAGCAAUUUGAAGAAGAUUAACAAUAGAGACCAAUUAAUAUAAAAGGACCUCUCUCUUAUGAUUAAAAGAGAAUUCUAUAUAUGAUUAAAACUAUCUAUCUUUCUCUCGUACUUUAUUACAAAUCACCCACUUCAUUGAGGAGGAUUACAUCUUUUUUUAUAGGCUUAAAUGCCAUAAAUGAGUGGGAAUCUAACUUCUCUCAUUGUUCGCAAAGAGGAGAGAAAAAACUACCACCAUAAAUGAUAGGAAGUCAAUUCCUCUCAUUUAAUAGGUGGAGUGAAGAGAAAGAGAAAGAGAGAAGAGGAGGUUUUCAUUUUCACCUUAUUAACUAUAUCAUUAAUAGGGUAAGUGAACGUAUGAGUUCAUUUGGUCUUCUCCCUUCCUCGUUUAAUUUCACUUUGUAACUUCCUCAAUUAAUCUUUAUUAAUUGAGGAGUUGAUGAGAGAAAGAUCGUAAACUCCUUUUAGUAACUUCAGCGCAAGUGCACCGUAUGCAACAAUUGCAUUAACUCUAAAAUUUUACAAAUUAGUCCUUCUUACUAUUCAAUUUAGCAAGUAAAUUCUUACUUUGCUACUUUAGCAAAAUAAUCUCUAUUAAUUCUCCAAGCACUAGAUCACACGCAGCCUUUAUUGCGUGUGACCACAUAUGCUCAAUUCUACCUGGUAGUGAGAUGUGACACUAAACUCUUUUAAUGUCACCAUUGGAACUCUUCUCGAUGGCCCAAAAUAUUUUUUGGUUCUCCUAACUGAGUGUAAUUAAUUAUCUUAAUCACUCUCAUGGGUCCCACAAUCCACGAGUGACACCUAGCAGUAUAUCGCGGCAAUCUAAGUAGAAUUAACACUAGACAGAACCUCUAGGUGUAGUUACCGUGUGAUAAAAUCCUUCUAUCAAUUGUCCCGAUUGAGUCGAGAUUAUGGAUAACUCGUCAAACCCCAUUACUCAAUCAUAUGUCUUAUCUGAUUAACAACUAAUAUAGAAACUCAUUUCCAUAAAAUCACACUGCUUGGCCAAGGACUUGUAAAACAGAUAGUAUAGGACAAUUACCUCUCUACCGAGGGUGAUAGAUUCCAUCUUGACACACACCUACUAUCACGCCCCGUGCCCCGCCUAUUUGGUCGGGUUCGGGCACGCCAACAGACCGCUGAACGGAUAGGGUUUCCCUGUACCGCGGACAGAGUCUCCCCUGUACGUCCAAGGCGUCGCAAUCGAUACAAUUCACAAUGUUCCAACCAAGAACCGAAUUCAACCAAAGAUUACAUAAGGAAGUAUCAAAAAUAUAAAACAACUACGUUAUUACAACAUUCAUCUUAGGUGUAUUUUACAUCACAAUUUUCUUUUACAAUCAACUACCAAAAUACAAUCUAGUUAACACAAUUAUUUCAAGUUUGAUACAUUUGUGUUCUUUGUCUUCAAACCCCUAAGCUAGACCACCUCGGGGUACCGCUUUCUCAGCCUCGGGGUAGGGCCACUAUCUACGGUGCUACGCCCUUGCCUCGCGUCGCCGCGCCGCUCAUGUGCGAACCUGUAACACCCCAAAACAACGUGGGGUGAGAACCAAUUCCAUAGUUCCCAGUGGGUACGGCGACCCAAGGGAAAAGCUCGACCAAUAGGUCCAAGGAGACACUGCAAAACGUUAGUCCAACAGAUAUAUAUACGAAUAAGGAAAAACAUGCUAUGCCUCAUAAUAUGCGAUAUGAAAUCCAUGCAACUAUGCAAGUAGAUUACUGAGUCUAUUCUCUAUCAUUUAACAUUCUUUAGCGUUAGCCUUUCUUUACUACUUGCAAUUCUUUAUUCUUGACAUUCUUUAAUAUUAGCCAUUCUUUACUUGUAGCCGUUUUUACUUUAUUAGCUAUUAUGUACUCUUAGCUAUUCUUUAUUCUUAGCUAUUUUUUAUUCUUUACUAAGGAUACUCACACCUUAGUCAUAUUAUGCUCAUUUGUCAUUCUUUCCUAAGGUUACUCUUACCUUAGUCACACUAUGCCACUCGACUCGGUCUUGAGUCAAUUCACUGCGGAUAAUCCGCACUCUGUCCAGCUCGAGGUGAAGGAACUCACACAUGCACCUCAGCCUUCCACAGCUCACCGCGCUCUAUGACCUAGCCACUCGGCGACAAAAUCGUCGCACAUGCCACAUUGAUGGUUCGAGUCAACCAGCGGUAUGAUCCACAAACCGGCUCAACCGGUAUAAACCACAAUUUGGCUCACCCAUCCGGUGGCGAAAUCGUCGCACACGCCACGUCGAUGGUAUAGCCCCGGACGGCGAAAUCGUCGCACACGCCCAACACCACUUUGCGUGUUCCAUAAGCUCUGGGAUUCCGAAAUCCAUUUCACAUAACUCAAGGGUUGGUCUUAACCCUAUAGUAUCGACCUAUCUAGGCCCAAUGUCCUUUCCAUCCUAGGUCCACUUGACUCUAGGUUUAACACUUUUAUCACAUAACCUAGGUUACUUUAACUCUAGGUUCGCUAUCUUUAUCUCACAACCUAGGUUGACUUAACUUUAGGUUUAAUCUCAACCUAUGUUCUCUAACAUUAGGUUUGAUGCCACUCUUGUACGACCUAUGUUUAUUAACACUAGGUUUGAUGCCACACUUGUUCAACCUAUGUUUAUUAACACUAGGUUCGAUGCCACACUUGUUCAACCUAUGUUUAUUAACACUAGGUUCGAUGCCACACUUGUUCAACCUAUGUUUAUUAACACUAGGUUCAAUAUUACUCUUACUCAACUUAUGUCCUUGGCACUAGGUUCAAUGCCACUCGAUCUAUAUAUAUAUAUAUAUGUCCACAUGCACAAGUCAUUUAAUGUAGUUCUAUAUAUGUCAACUUACCCUCACUUAGCAUUCUCGUCAUGUCAUCAUUUAUUUUCUUAGCAUUAACCACAUGCUUAUCAUGUAUUCACAUGGCAUUCUUAUAACAUGCAACAUGCAUUCAACUAGCAUUAAUCAAUGCAUUUAUUUAGCAUUUCUAUACCAUGUCAUUCAUGCAUUCUCUUUAGUAUUUCUACUUUAUGUCAUUAGCAUGCAUUCUCUUUAGCAUUUACUACAUGCAUCCACUUAGCAUUUACAUGCAUCAAUAUGAAACCACAUUACUCUUAGACAUAACGGCGACCUAGUCGCUUUGGUAAACACAACCCACCUCAAUUCGCACUCCGAUUACUUGUCGUCACUUGCAAUCGGCCUCCCGCGGCACCCGUGAUCCGGUUCGGCCCGAACUCUCGCGCAACCACCCGAACGGCCUCCAAUCCACGAUUCAGAAAUUAAAGGUCUACGGUUAGUUGCCACGAGCCCACGAUUCCGUUUUCAUGAUUUUAGGACGUCGCCUCGGCUCCCGAGGCGGAAACGAAGCCGAAACGUCCGUUUCUUUAAUAUCUUCGCACCGGCUAGACGAAUCGCCAAACCGACUUCGCCAACACGUUCGUAUACCUAGCAAUUAGGUUUAUAUAGGUUCAAUUUAGAUCAAACCUAUCUACUAGCAAAAAUGCCAUUUUUGAGCCGUAGCAAGUUAUAUAGCAAGAAGUUACCAUCUAGCCUCAUGAUUCAAGCAUUGGUCCUCUAUCUAGCAUCUAGGAGUUUCAAUAAAUCCAUUUUUAGAGCAUAUAAAUGAAGCCCUAAAGAUCUACCAUCGAUGCUCCAAGAAGCUUACCUCAAAGCUUGCUCCAAGCCAAGGAGAAGAUGAAGAAGAUGAAGAUGAUUCACUUCCAAGCUUCAAUCUCCACCAAAUCCUUCAAUUUUGGAAGAGAUCUAGAGAGAGAAAGGGAGGUUUCUCUGUCCCUCCACGUAUGCGUGUGUGUGUGUGUGUGAGUGUUGUGGCUGCACGGUUGAGGGAGGAGAAGAAGGCUAGUGUUGAUUUUACACAAAGCCCCCACAACAAUACACUAUUCACAUCAGUUUAGCAGAUACAAACUGACGUUUUUCGCCGGAGCCCUUUUGGAUGUCCGUUUGUACUCAAAUUUGAUAGUCAGACUCGGUUUACUUAAUAAGCACAAAGAAAUUUUAAUAUUUCAGUUUCGACCAUAUUUGGUCACGGAAAGCUCCACCGAACUGUAAUCUCUAGCAAAUAGCAGUCGGAUUUUAUUUUUCACCUUUCGGGUGUAAGAAUAAUAUGAAACUUUAAAUCUAGCCUCAUAAAAAUAAUUCCGACAUAUUUUUCAGUUUUCAUAAUUUUCUGACACUGUGCAUUUUCUGCUAAAAUAUCAGUUCCGUUUCUCACAGAAAAUUCUAAAUCUUUUGUUUUAGUUCCGAUUUCAGCACGAGUCGUUUUCGACUUACAUUUACCUCUCUAAAUCCAAUAAAAAUAGUAUCUCACACUAUUUUUAUUUAUUUUUUUACUUUUGUAUCAAAAUCUGAUAUGUUACAAGCAAAAAGUGUACCGGUAUACUUCCUCGUGUCACCGGUAACACGACUGCGCAGAGACAAAAUCUGAGAGCUAUUUCUCGAUUUUGUAGCAUUUGUACCGGUACACUUUCAAUGCUGUACCGGUACACUUUGCUGUACCGGUUACAACUCGAUGGUUGUACCGAUACACUUUGCCCAGACUUGGUUUUUAGCUCCGUUUCGAUUCUAUAUCGCGCCGAACAACGCUAAAACCUUUCCAACUCCUUCUAAACUCACUUUUAACCCUUCCAACCUUGUUGGAAUGUUAAAUAGAACUCGUACAACCAUUUCAUUUGCAUGCUUUAGUGAAUUUGACUAAAGUCCAAUAUUUUCUACCGAAGUUUCAGCAUGUUACACCUACCUCCACGUAUGAUCCACUGCAGCCAACAUGUGUUGACUUAACCCAUGAUUAGGGUAUAAGUAUUUACACAGUCAAACUACAAUAACCCACACGCAAGAUAACCCUGGUGCCUCAGGUCAAAGGAUCACGCACACUACUACAGUAUGGAACAAUUCACUGACGAGUGAGUAGACAUCCAUGUGAUUGUUUAUAGUUUGUCACGCUCGGUAAGAUUGUUCUCCAACAUUCACCUAUAUGCUUACUCUAGUGUCACCACACUAAUGACUUGAGACUCAUCAUCCCAUAAGAAAAGUAUAGCAUACACUGAUCUAUCCAGAUUUACCAUCGCCCUCGUGAUAAUCCUAUGAUCAGGAGCAUUUAAGAAUUAAUUACAGAAGAAUAUAUGUCUCAAAUUUCUAACUUCUUAGAAAGUUAAUUCUUCUACUAUUAAUUCUAUGGACGAUUCAUAAAUAUGCAUUUGGCAAUAAUAUGAAUGAAGAAUGUCAGAUUUAAUCAUAAAAGAAAAGUACACUAAUAUUAUCCUUUUAAGUUAUGACAGAGAUUGACUUAUUAGGCAUAUAACUAACAUCCACAGGAUCUCAGGAGUGCGGUGUUUAUGCUACGGAUGAUCGUCGAGGUCUCUGAUAGCCGAAAAAUGGAGCUCGGCCAAAUCAGCCUCGAUUUUGAGUCUAGGCUGAGCUAGAGCAUCAAGCAAGGAGCUGCCGGAGGCACGACCGCACGAGCUCCGGCCAAGGGGGUGGUCACCGCUCCCAGAGGGAGAGGUCGGGACCCUCGGCCGGCGGUGGGAGGCAGUGGCAGCAGUAGCGAUGGUGCUCCCAAAAGACCCGUGGCUAGAGCAGAGCGGCACGGCGAGGUGGCAGCUCGGGGACAUCUGGGGCAACGCCGGUGGCCUCCCUGGGGCCGACGGCGAUGGCUUGAGGUAGUGCGGCGCCGCGGCGGCGGCCGGGUGGCUCCCCACGGUCUCACGGCUCUGCAGCUAUUCACCUUGGCCUCGGCGGUGCGGGGGAACCUUGAGGACGGCAGCUCGGGUUGCGGUGAUGACUUCGGUGGCAGUCAAGGGCGGCAGUGGCCGGGCACAAGAGGGCUCGGGUCCCUCCUCCACACAACGCUAUUGAAGAAAGCGAGAAAGAGAGACAAAGAGUAAGGAAAGAAGAGUUUCUUCUUCUUCCACAGCCAGCAGCAUCGAUGGCGGCGGCGACAGUUGACCUCUCAGGUGGACAAGGAAGAGAGGAGGAGGGUUGGGUUCUAGGGUUUGGGUUUCAAAAUCCCCAAAUCCUACCUUCAAAACAUAAAAUCCAAUAAUCUUGGAGAAUAAUCACUCCAAGAUCCCCCAACUCUCAAAACUCACAUUCUAGUCCCUUUCUAUUAUGUUUCUAUCAUAGAAAGGUCCUAGCUGCGAGUUUUCGUGCAAAAUAGAGCAUCGAUAGCUUCUAAAAAGCAAGAGCAACACAGAAUAAAAGCCCUCAAAGUGAUAAAAGCUAUUUUUUCUCAAAAAUCGUGCAUCAAACAUAAAAUCUGUUAACGCCAUUAGCUCCGAUACAGUCAGACCAUCGAAAAUGAGCUAUUGAAUCAUCUAAAACAGAGUCUAAUUCGCAUCCGAAGCCCACCUCUCUCCUCGGUCAUCGUCGAAAACGCAGUAUAUUAUUCACUUUCAGUGAAAAGUAAUAAUAACAUAAAAACUUUAUUUUAAAUCAUUUUUUGCUAAAAUUUAACGGGUAAGCUUAAAAUUAAAAUACACGCAAUAAUAUUUAAAAAGAUAUCAAACAUACAAAGGAAAAAAAUUUCAGUCCUCAUAGUACCAAACAACAAUUAUUACAACCUGCUUGGUUUUAAAAUCAGGGAACUAAAGCAAUUAGUAUAUAUGGAAAGAUAAGUGGAAAUGAAAGCAUUUUUUUAAAAAAACUAGACUACUAAUUUUUUUGUAAGAAGAAAACUAUAGAAAUGCUAAAAAUGCACGCCAUCUUAGGAAAAAAUAGGUUAUAAACAAAAAAUAAAGUAAUAAGGUUAAGGAGUGUAGCACACUGAACUUUAGCAAAUUACAAGGUUCUAGUGUUCGAAUGGCAUUUAGAACUAUUGUUGGUGUGUUUGAGGGUCAUGGACUGUGUUCCGACCAUUUACUCGCAUCUUUGGAGGCGAGUGUGUACUUAGCACCAAAACCUCCAAACUGCAGGUUUUGGGGUGCUGGGUACCGGUACCGCAGACGGGUACCAGAACCCCGUCGCGUGACCGAGAGGGGUGCUGUCACGCCCCAGGACCGAGCGGAAGCCCGCCCGGCGCGUGCCCAGACCCGCCAUACGUCUAAAACAUAUAAGGCGUCUAAAAACAACAAUAAAUAAAGCAGUAAUAAAAGACAACUAGGAGUAUCAGAGCAUGAUAAGUGUCUAAGUUCUACGACAAGGAAGUAAGGAUAAGACUGAAAUCUACUAAAGAAGCAUAAAGUAGUACAAAUGGAAAUCCCACAAACAAGUAUUGAAAGUAAAUACAUAGGUGGUCCCUACACAUGGAUACAAAAUCUCUCACUCUCUCAACUACAAAAAGAAAGAGUAAACCACCUAGGCAAAGAACCGCUCCUCGCUAACUAGCUAUGCGAUCCCCUUGCCGCGAUCCCGUGCCUCCGCCGGCGCCAAAGGCUCUGAAAGAAACCACGAAAAAGAGGGCGUGAGAACUAUUAAAAAUAUUUCCCAGUGGGCAAUUACUGACUUCAGUGAACUGCGCCACAAUGCCCAAAAGCUACAAAGAAGAGGUCAGUGACAAAAUGUAAUAAGACAAAAGGGAAGUAAAAUGUAACUUGCUGUAGCAUAAUGUCCCUAUUUAGCAUGAUUUGCAUAAGUAACAAAGCAACCAUAACAUGAAUAUACAUGGAUGGGUAUAACAUGAAUAAGCAUAGGUAUGCAACCGUCACGAAGUCCACAAUGCAAAUAGUAAAGAUGUCAUUGUUUACUAUUCUAGCUAAUGUCCCGUCAAUAUACAAGGUCAUCACCUGUCCACAUGUCUUAGUGAAGUACCCAAAUCAAAAUCCAAAUAGACCCACCCGAAGGCUGUCUAUGGCCCUGACCACCCGUAGGCUAUCUGGCCGGUGCCGAGCCUAAUGGCCCCGUGGUAGUCAUCAUCCCCACCCUAAGAAUGAGCCUGGCCCACGGCAAUCCACUUCGGCGCCCAAUCCCGCACGGCGAAUAUGAAUCGCGAUGGCUAUCUCCGGAGUGCCGGCUUGUAGGGAGCGACCCUCACAAGCAUGUGCGAAUGAGCACAAUGGCAAGUAGCCAUACGUCCUGUCACAAGUACAAAGUCCUCAUGUCUAAAACAUGGAAUGUAUUGAAUGUCCCAAUGGCCUAUCUCUAUGUCAUCAUGUCUCUAACAUGAAAUAUAUAGCAGAUGUUCGAUGGCCUAAUAUUAUGUCUCUAUGUUGCAGUUUAAUAGUUUACUAGUUUCGAGUGCCCCUUGAUGACACCUCAUGCUACUAAGUCAAAGCCUAGUAUAAUGUUCCCAUUAUGCAAAUGUGAGCUAAUUCAGCAUACUAGACGAGAAUCCCAUUCGUCCACACGAACACUCCUCAUAUGCAUGAAAAUAACCCUGAUUGCUCACUAUAUAGAGUAAAAUUUAACUUACACAUAAGACAUGCAUUUUAAGUGUUCUACAAUUUACAUAAAUUCCAUUUAGCAUAGAAAUGCAUUUAAAAAUACUUUACAACAAGUAUAAAAGGUAUAGGGGCCAUUUUGCCCCGUUUCCGCGAAGCCAAACCCACCAAAAUCGACUUCUUCGUUUAGCCGAACGAAGUGAUCCACGAGCUUCCUAGUACCCUAGAAGCAUCAAAAGUAGGGUUACCCGAACGAAACGAAGAGCCAAAAGCUCAAUCAUUAACCAUCUAGCGAAAGGGUUAAAACUCACCUCUUGUGAAGAAAUCCCUAAACAAGCUUCCAAAGAGAGCUAGAAUCCUUCCAAUCCCACCUAAAGGAAGAUUCUAAACCCAUCAAUUAGGUUCCAAAGCCCUCAAAACGAAAAUUCUCAAAUCUAACCCUAAAUCCCAAAAUCUAGGGUUUCAAACAAAAGAACCAUCAAAAACUAGAUCUAGAGGAAAGGAUCUAGUUACUAACCUCGUAUAAGCCUCAAACCAAGCUCCAAGGUCCCAAGGGUUGAAGAUCCUCCCUCCACAAAGCUCCAAUCCCGAGCUCAAGGCUUCUCUCAUAGAGGAAACUCAACAAGAAGCAAGAAAAGUAAGGAGGAGGAGAUCAAAACCUACAAAAAUCCACCAAAAAUAGAAAUUAAACAAGGAGAGGAAGCCUCACCUUGUUUCUCCUCUGGUCUAAGCUCAAGAGAGCUCUCUAAGGGGCAUGGGGUGUUAUAUAAAGGGUUAGCAACAAUUACAAAAACACACCCCCCCCCCACGAAACAGCCCAAUCUGCACUGUGUACCGGUACACGGGAUUGUGUACCGGUACACAACCCACGAAUAGCCAAACCCGAGCCUCGGGUUCGCCGGGAAGUGCUCUGUAUACCGGUACGCGAUCCCGUACCGGUACAGCCAUCAACCCCGUACCGGUACAGCAAGCAAUCCCGUACUGGUACACGGUCUGCUGAUGACUACCCGAGAGCUGACCAAAAAUCCGACUUUUCGAGUUUUGGUGCCAAGCUUAAAACCUCCAUUCUCGGGACUCGAACCAUAGGUCGGAAUACUGUCAACGACCCACCAGAAAGUCUGGAAAAGCUCAGAACACAGUCAAUCACUCGAACCCCUCAAUUUACAAGGUCCAGUGCAUUACAUUCACCCCUCCUAAAAAGGAGUUUCGUCCGCGAAACUCGAAAGCAACGUAUCUCAGGGCUCCAUCAAGAAUAGAUGGGGACAGUGCUCCUGCAAGGCGCUCUCAAGCUCCCACGUGGCCUCACGCUCGUCGUGGUUGCUUCAAAGCACUUUCACGUAGGGAAUUUUCCGGUUCCGCAAUCUUUUCACCUCGCGAGCCAAAAUCCUCAAAGGUUGCUCCUCAAAGCUCAAGUCCUCCCGCAACUCCAAAGAUGUAGCAUCCAAUACAUGAGUCGGGUCGAAGAUGUACUUCCGAAGGACCGAUACAUGAAAGACGUUGUGCACGCCCGAUAGGUUCUGUGGUAGAGCGAGUCGAUACGCUACCGGACCUACCCGCUCUAAGAUCUCAUACGGUCCAAUAAACCUGGGGCUCAACUUAUCCCGAAUCCCAAAUCGCCUGAUCCCCCUAGUCGGCGAGACCUUCAAGAAUACAUAGUCUCCAAUUUGGAAUUCCAAUUCUCGCCGCCGUCGGUCGGCGUAGCUCCUCUGUCUACUUUGCGCCGUCAAAAGUCACUCCCGAGCAAUUCGAACCUUGUCCUCAGCUUCCUGGAGCACAUCAGGGCAUAAAGCCAAUCUCUCGCCAACUUCACUCCAAUAAAGUGGCGAUCUACACUUCCGUCCAUAAAGGGCUUCGAAGGGUGCCAUCUUGAUGCUUGCUUGAUAACUAUUGUUAUAAGCAAACUCCGCCAUAGGUAGAUGCUGCGACCAUCCUCCCUGGAAGUCUAUCACACAUGCCCGAAGCAUAUCCUCUAAAGUCUGUAUAGUGCGCUCCGACUGUCCAUCACUCUGUGGGUGGAAAGCUGUACUGAAAUCCAACCGAGUACCUAAGGCGUCUUGCAGACUCCUCCAAAAGUGAGACACAAAGCGUGUGUCUCAAUCUGAAACAAUCGAUGUAGACACUCCAUGAAGCCGCACAAUCUCAUCAAGGUACACUUGUGCAAGCUUCUCUCCGGUCCAAGUAGUAUGAAUGGGUACGAAGUGCGCCGACUUCGUCAACCUAUCCACGAUCACCCAAAUAGCAUCAUGCCCGGCUGGAGAGCGGGGCAGUCCUGUCAAAAAAUUCAUGGUGAUCUUCUCCCACUUUCACACUGGAAUCGGUAGGCUCUGAAGCUUCCCCGCGGGCACUCGGUGCUCCGCCUUCACUUGCUGGCAAGUUAAACAUCUAGCAACGAACUCGCCAACAUCCUUUUUCAUCCCGGGCCACCAAUAGAGCAACCUUAAGUCCUUGUACAUCUUGGUACCUCUCGGAUGUAUAGCAUAUGUUGCUCGGUGCUCUUCUUGAAGAAUAUCCUCUUUAAUGUCCAAGUCCGCCGGUACACAAAGUCGUCCACGGAAACGCAUCAUUCCAUCACCGUCCAAAGUGAAAUCACCGGUGCAACCAUCAACCAUUUUAGCUCGAAUCUUUUGCAAUUCCACAUCGGGGACUUGCUUUUCUUUAAUUCUUUCCAUAAGUGUAGGUUGCACCACCAAGGUCAUCAGUCUCAAUGGUGUGUCAGGAGUCACCACCUCCAACUCUAGCUGCUUCAUCUGCUCAAUCAACUGCGGUUGAGUCACAACAUGUAUUGCUAAGUUUUCCAUCGAUUUCCUACUUAGCGCAUCCGCCACCACGUUAGCCUUACCCGGGUGGUAGAGAAUAGUAAGAUCAUAAUCCUUGAGUAGCUCCAUCCAGCUGCGCUGCCUCAAGUUCAACUCCUUCUGAGUAAACAGGUACUUUAAGCUCUUGUAAUCCGUGUAUACUUCACACCGCUCGCCAUAAAGGUAGUGGCGCCAUAGCUUUAAUGUGAACACUACGGUCGCCAACUCCAAAUCAUGCGUCGGGUAGUUCUUUUCAUACUCCUUCAGUUGGCGAGAAGCAUACGCGAUCACCUUGCCAUCCUGCAUCAAUACACAGCCCAAUCCAUUAAGUGAAGCAUCACUAUAAACCACAUACUCUGCUCCAGCUACUGGUAGGGUCAAGAUCGGGGCGGUCGUCAAUCUCUGCUUCAACUCUUGGAAGCUUCUCUCACACGCAUCAUUCCAAAUAAACUUGACUCCUUUAUGCGUGAGUCUCGUAAGGGGAGUAGAUAACUUAGCAAAUCCCUCAACAAAUCUCCGGUAGUAGCCGGCCAAUCCAAGGAAACUCCGUAUCUCCGUGACACUCGUCGGUUUCGGCCAAUCCUUGAUUGCUUCAAUUUUCUUAGGAUCCACAGCUAUACAUGAUCCUGAAAUCAAGUGUCCAAGGAAAGCUACCUCCCGAAGCCAAAAUUCACAUUUCUUCAACUUGGCAUAAAGCUCCUUUUCUCGAAGUAUUUGGAGUACAAUCCUCAAGUGUUCCUCGUGAUCCGCAUCGCUUCGGGAGUAGACCAAAAUGUCGUCGAUGAACACCACGACGAACCUGUCUAAAUAAGGCUUGAAAACACGGUUCAUUAGAUCCAUAAAAGCUGCCGGGGCGUUAGUUAGCCCAAACGGCAUAACUGUGAACUCGUAAUGUCCAUACCGUGUUCUAAAAGCCGUCUUCGAUACAUCCUCGGGCUUGAUCUUCAAUUGGUGGUAUCCUGACUGCAAGUCUAUCUUGGAAUACACACACGAUCCCUGAAGCUGAUCAAACAAGUCGUCGAUCCUCGGCAACGGAUACUUGUUCUUAAUCGUGACCUUAUUAAGUUCACGCUAGUCCACGCAAAGACGAAGUGAUCCGUCCUUCUUCUUGACGAACAAAACGGAUGCUCCCCAAGGUGAAACGCUCGGCCGUAUAAAGCCUUUAUCCAACAAAUCCUGCAGCUGUGCCCUCAGCUCCCUCAGCUCUGCCGGUGCCAUCCUAUAAGGUGCCCUUGAGAUUGGGGCAGUCCCUGGAACGAGAUCUAUCACAAACUCAAUCUCCCUAUCAGGAGGCAUACCCGGUAGCUCAGCUGGAAACACGUCCUGGAACUCCCGCAACACCGGGAUAUCCUCGAUCCUAGGGGUGUCAUCCUCGCCCCUCAGCACAACACUAGCCAAAUAGGCUACACAACCUCUGCUGAUCAGCUGCCUAGCUCGAGACGAGCUGAUCGUCAUCGCAAACAGCGAACCCCGGCAUCCACUAAAUACCACCUCGGUCUACCCCGGUUCUCUAAAAGUAACCAUACGAUUCUUGCAAUCAAUCGUGGCAUAAUACUUCGUUAACCAAUCCAUUCCCAAGACCACAUCAAAAUUCCCAAACUUGCGCAAAGCUAGCAAAUCUAUCGGCAUGAUCCAAUCUCCUACCCGAACAGGGCAACUGGGGCUAUACUCUCUAAUAUCCAAAAUGUGGUCGGGUACAACAACAUGUCCCGUAUGCAACAAAGAAACCAACGGGAUGCCAUGCAACUCGGCAAACAGCCGAUCUAUAAAUGAAUGCGAUGCACCGGUAUCAAAUAAAGCACGAACUCUAAUGCCAUCAAGUAAAAUGAUACCUGCAACCACAUCCUCGGCUGCUGCCGCCUCCUCGGUCUGAGCGGCAUACAUGCGCCCACUCGGGGCCUGUUGGGAUCCCUCGCUCUGGCGCUGGACGGGUGGCCGCCUAGGCUGGUACUGCGCCAAUGGAGUUCCCUGGCUGGCGGGUGGUAGAGCCGGUGCCGAUGCAGUAGACGGUGCUAGUGAAGAACCUCUCGGGCACUCAGUACGAACGUGGCCCUCCUGGCCACACUGGAAACACCUGCCCGCCCGCUGUGGACACUGCGGUGGAUAAUGGGAACCACCGCUAAUCACACACGGGGAAGGCCGGCGCUGAUCGGAUCCUCCUCGAGGUGCUGCUGAGCCGCGUCCACGCUGCUGGCUCCUCGGAUGUUUCGGCGGCCUCCUAGAGUGCGUCUGACUCGCACCCUCAGCCGCAGGCCUCUUGGCCUUACCCUUGUCCCUAGCCUCUCGCUGCUCCUGGACAUCCGCCGCACCGCUCUCCACAAUGAGCGCGCGAUCCACCACCUCCCGGUUGGUUUGGAGGUUAGAGAAUUGCACGAACCGAACGAUGGACGGCCUCAAUCCUCGCUCGGAAAUACGGGCCUUGUCCUCGUCGUCCCGCACAACGAAAGGCACGCAAUGCAAAAGCCGAGAAAGCUCCCGCUCUUACUCGGCCACAGUCCUGUCGCCUUGGCGCAAGUUGCGCAGAUCCUGCUCCAUCUUCCGCUUGACGCUGGUCAAGAAGUAAUGGGCCAAAAGAAGCUCCUUGAACCUCGUCCAAGUGAUAGCCGCCAAGUAAGUGCUGGGGUGCUCCUGGAAAUCAAACCACAAGCGGUAGGCCUCGCCGUCCAAGUGGUGAGUGGCGAGCCAAACUCGAUCCCUCUCCUCCACGAAGGUGUCGCGGAAGAGCUUCUCCAUAUGCAUCAACCACUUCUCCACGAUCCAGUGGUCGACCUUCUCGCCGUCGAAGACUCAGGGACUGCACCUUCUGAACUCAUUGAGGCGCUCCAUCAGUCUGUCUCGCUUCGCCCCCUCAACCAAGGUAGGAAAUGCAGCUCCAACGAGGGCCUCUGCACAGGUGGUGCCACCAAAACCUCCUCCUGGGGUGGGGCCUCUCAGUGCGAUGUCCAUAACUGGUGCUGGCGGUGUAGGGGCCUGCGUCUCCCUAGAAGCUACUGCUUGCUGCAGGAGUAAGUCCUCCAAGCGCUUCAUCUGCGCCUCCUGUCGGCGCGCCGCCUCAGUCUGAUGUCGGGCUGCCUCCGCCUGCUGAGUGACUAAAUCAGUGGGGCCGCAAGCUGGCCCCUCAACUCACGGACCUCGCUGGAUCCGAAGAUAGCGGAGGUCUCGACCUCCUCAAAGUUCGCCGCAUUGUCCGCUCCGGCAGAUUGAAAGCGUGUAAUCGGCAUCGCCACUACAAAACAUAAAAGCGCAAGUUAGUAAAACCCGCACUAUCGCAUCCCCUCUCAAUAAGCAAUACACAAAUCAUGCGAAAGUAAAGAAGUGUUCUACACUACUAACUCCCGAUGUUACGUUGUCGGCCGCCAACGUAACCCUCCGCGAAGUUAGAAGCCAUACACUUCGAUCCAACUCUAACUCUUUUAGAGUUAUCAAGAUACCCAAUCAUGGUACUUUCGCUCGCAAAUCAAAUAGACCUCAUCUCUCACGAGCCUAUUUCCUAUAGUCCAACCGGCCUAAGGUUUGCUAGGUCCCCUAAGACUCAACCCUAGGCUCUGAUACCAAAUUAAUCUGUCACGCCCCGGGACCCAGCGGAAGCCCGCCCGGCGCGUGCCCAGACCCGCCAUACGUCUAAAACAUAUAAGGCGUCUAAAAACAACAAUAAAUAAAGCAGUAAUAAAAGACAACUAGGAGUAUCAGAGUAUGAUAAGUGUCUAAGUUCUAUGACAAGAAAGUAAGGAUAAGACUGAAAUCCACUAAAGAAGCAUAAGGUAGUACAAAUGGAAAUCCCACAAACAAGUACUAAAAGUAAAUACAUAGGUGGUCUCUAUACAUGGAUACAAAAUCUCUCACUCUCUCAACUACAAAAAGAAAGAGUAAACCACCUAGGCAAAGAACCGCUCCUCGCUAACUAGCUAUGCGAUCCCCUUGCCGCGAUCCUGUGCCUCCGCCGGCGCCAAAGGCUCUGAAAGAAACCACGAAAAAGAGGGCGUGAGAACUAUUAAAAAUAGUUCCCAGUGGGCAAUUACUGACUUCAGUGAACUGCGCCACAAAGUCCAAAAGCUACAAAGAAGAUGUCAGUGACAAAAUGUAAUAAGACAAAAGGGAAGUAAAAUGUAACUUGCUGUAGCAUAAUGUCCCUACUUAGCAUGAUUUGCAUAAGUAACAAAGCAACUAUAACAUGAAUGUACAUGGAUGGGUAUAACAUGAAUAAGCAUAGGUAUGCAACCCUCACGAUGUCCACAAUGCAAAUAGUAAAGAUGUAAUUGUUUACUAUUCUAGCCAAUGUCCCGUCAAUAUACAAGGUCAACAUCUGUCCACAUGUCUUAGUGAAGUACCCAAAUCAAAAUCCAAAGAGACCCACCCGAAGGCUGUCUAUGACCCUGAGACCUACCCGUAGGCUGUCUGGCCGGUGCCGAGCCUAAUGGCCUCGUGGUAGUCAUCAUCCCCACCCUAAGAAUGAGCCUGGCCCACGGCAAUCCACUUCGGUGCCCAAUCCCGCACGGCGAAUAUGAAUCGCUAUGGCUAUCUCCGGAGUGCCGGCUUGUAGGGAGCGACCCUCACAAGCAUGUAAGAAUGAGCACAAUGGCAAGUAGUCAUACGUCCUGUCACAAGUACCAAGUUCUCAUGUCAAAUAACAUGAAAUGUAUCGAAUGUCCCAAAGGCCUAUCUCUAUGUCAUCAUAUCUCUAACAUGAAAUAUAUAGCAGAUGUUCGAUGCCCUAACAUUAUGUCUCUAUGUUGCAGUUUUAUAGUUUACUAGUUUCGAGUGCCCCUUGAUGACACCUCAUGCUACUAAGUCAAAGCCUAGUAUAAUGUUCCCAUUAUGCAAAUAUGAGCUAAUUCAGCAUACUAGAUGAGAAUCCCAUUCGUCCACACGAACACUCCUCACAUGCAUGAAAAUAACCCUGAUUGCUCUACUAUAUAGAGUAAAAUUUAACUUACACAUAAGACAUGCAUUUUAAGUAUUCUACAAUUCACAUAAAUUUCAUUUAGCAUAGAAAUGCAUUUAAAAAUACUUUACAACAAGUAUAAAGGGUAUAGGGGCCAUUUUGCCCCGUUUCCGCGAAACCAAACCCACCAAAAUCGACUUCUUCGUUUAGCCGAACAAAGUGAUCCACGAGCACGAGCUUCCUAGUACCCUAGAAGCAUCAAAAGUAGGGUUACCCGAACGAAACGAAGAGCCAAAAGCUCAAUCAUUAACCAUCUAGUAAAAGGGUCAAAACUCACCUCUUGUGAAGAAAUCCCUAAACAAGCUUCCAAAGAGAGCUAGAAUCUUUCCAAUCCCACCUAAAGGAAGAUUCUAAACCCAUCAAUUAGGUUCCAAAGCCCUCAAAACGAAAAUCCCCAAAUCUAACCCUAAAUUCCAAAAUCUAGGGUUUUAAACAAAAGAACCAUCAAAAACUAGAUCUAGAGGAAAGGAUCUAGUUACUAACCUCGUAUAAGCCUCAAACCAAGCUCCAAGGUCCCAAGGGUUGAAGAUCCUCCCUCCACAAAGCUUCAAUCCCGAGCUCAAGGCUUCUCUCAUGGAGGAAACCCAACAAGAAGCAAGAAAAGCAAGGAGGAGGAGAUCAAAACCCACAAAAAUCCAUCAAAAAUGGAAAUCAAACAAGGGGAUGAAGCCUCACCUUGUUUCUCCUCUGGUCUAAGCUGAAAAGAGCUCUCUAAAGGGGCUGGGGUGUUAUAUAAAGGGUUAGCAACAAUUACAAAAACACCCUCCCACGAAAUAGCCCAAUCUGCACUGUGUACCGGUGCACAGGAUUGUGUACCGGUACACAACCCACGAAUAGCCAAACCCGAGCCUCGGGUUCGCUGGGAAGUGCUCUGUGUACCGGUACGCGAUCCCAUACCGGUACAGCCAUCAAUCCCGUACUGGUACAGCAAGCAAUCCCGUACCGGUACACGGUCUGCUGAUGACUAUCCGAGAGCUGACAAAAAAUCCGACUUUUUGGGUUUUGGUGCCAAGCUUAAAACCUCCAUUAUCGGGACUCGAACCAUAGGUCGGAACACUGUCAACGACCCACCAGAAAGUCUGGAAAAGCUCAGAAUACAAUCAAUCACUCGAACCCCGCAAUUUGCAAGGUCCAGUGCAUUACAGGUGCUCUCGGGUUUGAGCUGAGGGUUGUUGGGUACUGGUACUGCAUCGGCCGGGUACCGAUACGCCAUAAUUAACCCGCUUGACAGAGGCUCGAGUUGCGCAGGAUUUGAUGCCAGGUACCGGUACUCCUUCCCGAGUACCAGUACGCAGUGUGAUCUGCAGAAUAGUUAUUUUUUAGGGGCUUUUUGGGGAUUGUACACUUCUAUUUAAACCUCAAUACCCCUAUGAGGGUUCUUUUGAGCUAAGAACCAGGGAGAGAGCUUGGUAAGCUUCCCUCUCUUCCUCUCUCUAGAUUUUCUCUCUUGAUUUGUGGAUUUUUGAGGUUUGAUCUUUUUUUUUACUUCUCUUUCAUGGGUGUUGGAUAUUGGACCUUGGAGAAGCUUUGGAGUUGAAGAUUUGAGCUUGGUUGAGGAAUUAUCUCCAACCCUAGCUUUAUCCUAGCUUGGUUUGGAGCUUUAUAAGAGGUUAGUAGUAAUAUUGCUUCCUUGGAUUGUGUUUUGGAGAAGAUUUUUGGAUGUUAACCUAGUUUUUAGAAAACUAGGGCUUAAAUUGGGUUUUCUCUUGGUAGAGCCUAUAAGGCUUAAUUGUCCGUUCCAAUACUUCUAUUUAGGUUGGAAUUAAAGCAUCCUAGUCGUCAUUGGGAUUUUGGGAGAAUUUUUCGCCAUUUAAGGUAUUUUCUUCCUACUUAUGACUUGAUUUUUGAGGUAUUUCAUGGGGUGUUCGUUUGAAGCCCCUAACCCUCUUUGAAUUUUUGUUAGGGAACUAGAAGGCUAGUGGACAACCUCGUUCACGCAAAUGAAGGGGUUUUCAGGGGUAUCCGGUGGGUUUGACCUCACCGAAAUAGGUGAACUCCUCCUAUGUCAUUAUAUUUGUUGUAAAAUAGGAAAUCAUGCAUAUUCACGCUGGAUAGAGCAUAAAUGAAUUUUUGAAUAUCUAAGAUAUACAUGUUAUAUGUCAUGCCUUAUAUCCUCUAUGUAGUAGGGUGAUAGUUGUAUAUGGAACUUGCAUGUGAAAUGAUAACCUUCAUGACAUGUUAGAAAUUAUAUCAUAGUGAAAGGACAAGAUUUACAUGCUCAUGGACAAUGACUUAUGCUUGACACAGUGAACAUGAACGUCGUGUAGUGACACUUGACUUAGUAAAUGGUUAAACCCUUACAAUGUGACAUAGAGAUCGACCGUUGGGUCGCUAGUACUUGUACCAUGUUUGAGACAUGAUGACCGAGGAUUUGAUAUGAGUGAUUAUGCUUGCUUGCUAUUGUGCUCAUUCGCACACGCUGGUGAGGGUCGCUCCCUACAAGCCGGCACUCCGGAGCUGGCCUAUGAGACAUAAGCUCGCCCGUGCGGGAUGGGGCACCGAAAUGGGAUGCCGUGGGGAGGCUCAUUCUUAGAGGAGAAAUGUUGACUACGACGAGGCCAUUGGGCUCGACGCAAGCCGGACUACACUUGUGUAGGUCCCAGUUGGAAUUGAACAAUGACAAUUAAAAGUAUAAUUUGGACAUCACUACUAGAUAGUGUAUAUUAGUUGGACAUGCUCACUCAUGAUAGAAUAGCCUUAUUACUUGUUGAACAUCAUGCUAAUUAGAAGCAUAGUGGCUUAGGAAAUUCAUUACUUGCUUAAUAUUCAUGUUGCUCAUUCAGUUAUGCUUAUAUACUACUCGUGCCUCUAUGACCUAGUGGUGUAUUUCGCUGAUGUCGGCGGCUUACCCACUGGGAACUAUUGAUUGAUAGUUCUCAUUCCCAUUUUGUUAGUGUUUUUGUUUUCAGAGCCAUCCGCAUCGGGAGAGGCUAGGGAGCGCGGCAAGGGGGUCGCGCCUAGCUAGACUUAGCUCGGAGUUUUUACUAGAUGGUCAUCUCUCCUUUUGUUUUAGUUGGAGAGAGAGAUGUUUUGUACCCGAUGUAUAGAGACCACCAUUUAUGUAUCUAGCCUUUAUUCUUGUGGAUUUUCAGGUUGUAUGUAUAACCUUAUGGAUUAUUACAGUUGUUUAGUUUUACUUUCCUAUACUUGUCUUUACAAAGUAGUUUAGGUUCGUGCUCUGAUAUCAAGCUAGAUGUUGUUUUAUCUUGUACAAUUCUAUCUUGUUUUUGUAGACGACUUAUAUGUUGUUAGUAUAUGGCGGGUCUGGAUACGCACCGGGCGGGCUUCUGCUGGGUCUCGGGUGUGACAAGGAGAGAAGGUUGAAAAAAAAAGGAGCAGUCCAUAAAAAACCAAGCUCUACAUCCAUGUACAAAAUGUUGAAAGAUGAGGAGUAGAGAAAACAUGGGUAAAUUAGUAAGAGCAAAAAAUAGCCAGUAGUUACUAUAUCCUUGUUAGACAAAUAUGAAAAAAAAAACUAUACAAAAAAAGAAGAUAAAGAAAAAAAAAGAAUGCACACAUAAAUAGCAAGAAUAUGACAGCAAUUCGACAAUGAAAAAAGAAACAUUUAUAUUAGAAAAUAGUGGGCAAAUACAAUGAACGUCAGGCAAGGAAAUAGCUGGAUAAUCUAUAUCUAUACAUAUACAUUAUUCUCCCUAAAUUUGCUACAUGCCAAUGUUUCCUUCAUUGUUGGGUGUGAGCUCCACCCCGAACAACCUCAAAUCCUCCACAUGUUUUUCUCUUUCUUUGUUUGAACCAAACUAAAUUUUCCUCCUCUUUUGUUUGAACCAAACUGAGUCACACCUUUGUAUUGAAUCGAACUGUUCUUCUUCCAUUUUCUUCAUUUGUUACCUUCCUCCAUUUUCUUCAUUUAUCGUCGUUUCUAAUUCCAUCGUUGUUUUCGCUUCCUUUGCACUGUUUUUUAUUUUUUCCUCUAAUUAUCUACCCAUCGCAUUACACGAAUGACUACACUAGUAAAGCAUGAAAAAACCUUAUUGCAAAUGGCUCGUAGGUAACCUCACUGGCCUAAAAAGGAAUCUUAUAGCCACCUAAGAAAUAGUGACAAUACUUUAAUUCUCUGAAAUUUAGCUAGUCUUUUUACUUAGUACAAAAAUAAAAAGCAAAGCAAAAAGAACCAAAAAAAAUCAAUCUCUAUGAGUAGGCUGUAAAGUUGAAGAAAAAUAUAGGGACCUACAAAACAGUAUAAUAGUUAGCAGGGUGAAGAGAAAGUAAUUGUAUUAUUAAUGAAAGGAAGUUUUGAAGUGAAAAAUAUACCCCUUUGGAUUUGACGAGAAUACCGUACCAUGCAAUAAGUAAUAAAGCGAGCAAUAUUUAUAAUUUAUCUGAGGGAACCUUUCGACUAUCAUAAAAGUAAAGAGGAGAAGAAGAGGGUAAGUAAAAAGUAACAUGGUUAAGAAUAGGGAUUAAUGACGGUGGCGAAUAUUGUCAUUGGCAAGUGGCACAAAGGAAAAUCGUUUAGAAGAUAUUUUCUAAAUGAUUUACAAGAUUUUUUCCCCACUACAAAUUAAGAAUAUAACAAGAUAAGAGAGUAAGAUAGUAAAGAAUUCAACAAAAUCAAUGAAGAUCUUUUUAAACUCUCAGUAGAUAUAUAAAGAAACUCUUAGUGCCUAGAAAUAUGUUAGGUUUAGGUCUAAAUAGCAAGUGGAUGCAUCUGAUCUGUGUCAGCAAUGGGGAGAGGGAUAGAUAAAGGAGAGAGAGAGGAGCACAGAUAAGAUCGGGAAGAAGGGAGAUAGGCUAGGGUAAUGAACCCUCUGAUGCAUAUUACCUGGGUAGGUAGCAGAUAGGUCAAUCAUCAUAACAUCUAACCUCGAUGGCUAUCAUCCCAUCCUCGGUCAAAUCAAGGCGGAGCAAUUUAGAGAGGCAUUGAAGUAGGAGAGAGAGAAAGAGCAGAUACGAUUAGGAAGAAGUAAGAGAGAUCAUAGGUAGGGGGAUCGUCACGCCCCGGGACCCAGUCUAGGCCCGCCCGGUGUGUGCCCAGACCCACCAUAUGCCUACACAUAUAAGGCGUCUACAACAAUAGCAAAUAAAUGAACAAUAAAUAGGGCGUAUCUAGAGAUAUCAGAGCAAGUAUAUAGUUAGGUUCUAACAACAGGUAGAAACAAAAGAAACUAAACCAUUAAGGCAAAAUGUAAAAUAAUACAUCAUAAGUCUCAAGCUACAUAUAGGGGGUGGUCUCUACAAAAAUGGUACAAGUCUCUCAACCUCUCCAAACAAAACUCAGAAGAGAGGUAGACCACCUAUUGUCGAAUUCCUCACUAGCUAACUCGAGGCGAUUCCUUUCCCGCGAUCCCGAGCCUCUCCCGGGGUGGAAGGCUCUAAAAGAAAACAUGAAACAGGGGGCGUGAGAACUAUAAUUUAUAGUUCCCAGUGGGCAAUUAUUGACCUGUGCAAAAUGCACCACUAGGCCCAAAAGCAUAAGUAGAUAAAGGAACUACUAGUAAACUGCAAAUAGGAAAAGCAUGUAAUGAAAUACUAAUCUAUAAUGCCGCAAUAUCACAUGAUGUCAACGUAGUAUACAUCUACCCCAUCAUGAUCCAAUAUACCAAUACAUGAUUAAUAUGCUUUAUCAUGGCCACCAAGUAUACUAUUAUGCGAAAGCAAUAGUACAUGUCCCAAUGUUCACUAAAUCCAACUAUGAUAUACUAUCAAGUAGUGAUUGUCAUAACGUUGUUUAAUGUUCUCGUUCAAUCUCAUUUAGAACCUACACGUGUGUAGUCCAGCUUGUGCCGCCUAGCUACCUGUGGUAGCUCAUCAUUCCACGCUAGGAAUGAGGUUGUCCUACAUGACUCUACAGACGUCUCACCGCCUAGCUGCUUGUGGUAGCUCAUCAUCCUGCGCUGGGAAUGAGGCUGUCCCACACGACCCUACAGGCGUCUCGAUCUCGCACGAGCGAACUGCGUCGCAAAGGCUAACUCCGGAGUGCCGGCUUGUAGGGAGCGACCCUCACAAGCAUGUGCGAAUGAGCACAAAUGGCAAGCAAGCAUAGUCAUCGUCACAACGAUCCGGUCAUCAUGGCUCAACUAUGGAAAUGAUCGUUAGCAACUCGUAGGUCUAGUUUAAUAUCCCCAAGUGAAGGUUUAACCGUUCAAUAAUUUUAAUGUCUCAUGCGACCUUAGAUUUACUAAGUCCAUACGUAUUCCAAGCCUAAUGCCUCUUUAUGGCAUUAGCUUACUACAUCAAUUCCAAGCCCAAUACCUCUUUAUGACAUUAGCUUACUAUACCAAUUCCAAGCCCAAUGUCUCUUUAUGAUAUUAGCUUAUUAUAACAUGCAUCACUCAAGUCUAAUGCCACUUUAUGACAUUAACUGGUCAUCUAUGUCAAGCAUGAGUUUCAAAUCCAAGAGUGUAUAAUACUUGUCAUAUUCACUAGAUGCAACAUGAUCCAAAGCCACAAAUAAGAAUGCUAUCCAUAAGGCCAAGCCCAACACGAAAACUCUCUAUUACAUAGAGGUCCAACAUGCAUUGUAUAUAACAUGUGCAUUUAUACUUGUUAUAUUCACUAGAUGCAACAUGAUCCAAAGCCACAAAUAAGAAUGCUAUCCAUGGGGCCAAGCCCAACACGAAAACUCUCUACUACAUAGAGGUCCAACAUGCAUUGUAUAUAAUAUGUGCAUUUAUACUUGUCAUAUUCACUAGAUGCAAUAUGAUCCAAAGCCACAAAUAAGAAUGCUAUACAUAGGGCCAAGCCCAAUACGAAAACUCUCUACUACAUAGAGGUCCAACAUGCAUUGUAUAUAAUAUGUGCAUUUUAAGCAUUCUAAAAUUUUCAAAUAUUCUAUCUAGCAUGCAUUAUUAUUUUACGAUAAGUGAAAACCAUCUUAAGGAAAAUUUAUCCCAUUUUGGUGGGGCCAAACCCACCGAGAGCUCCACGCGACCCUUCGUUGCGCCGACGAAGGUGCCCACGACCCUCCUAGCACCCUAUGAGUAGAAAAUCUCUCAAACAAGCCUUGCUCCUAGCUCCAAGACACGUACUUUAGGUGAUGUCACGAUGCUACGAUUCCGAUUUCGUGAUUUUAGGAAGCUUACGCCGCGAGUUGCGACAAUCUGUACCGAAAUCGGCCUUUUCUUCAGUAUCUUCGCGUAGCCUCGUCGUAUCGCCGAACCGACUAAACCCCCUUAUAUAGCAAAACCCUCAUUUUGAGCCCUAACAUGCUACUAUUACAAGAAAUCAACAAAUUGGAACUUGAUUCAUGCAAUUAACAUAUUAUUAGCAUCUAGGGAGUCCUCUAAACCCAUUCCUAGAGCAUAUAAUUGAGGCUCUAAGGGCGUGUUUGGUUCGAAAUCGGAAUCGAAAUCGGAAUCGAAAUCGGAAUCGGAAUCAGAAUCGGAAUCGGAAUCAAAAUAAGCUGGAAUUGGAAUCGGAAUGACUCAUUAUCUAAUUCUAUUUGGUUCAUCACCUGAAUCGGAAUCGGAAUAAAUCAUUUCUAUUGUCGGUGUUUGGUUCAGGUGGAUAUAAAAAAUGUAAUCAAAUUAAUAUACUAACAUUAUCUUUAUAAUAUAUUAAUUUAAAUUCAAAUUAAAAAUUAAAUAUAAAAAAUUUACAUCAAAAUUUUGAAAUAAUGUCAAAAUUUUAAAUCUAUUUUUUUUAAAAAAAAUUAAACUUUGAAGUUGAGCGGAUAAUUCAAAAUAUGAAACUAAAUUUUAAUUUAUUCAAAUUCAAACUUAAAAUUACAAUUUAAAUUUUAAUUUGAAUCCAUAAAUUUAAUUUAAGUUUGAAAUAAAAUUUGAAUAAAACUUUAAAUAAAUUAAAAUUUAAUUUAAAUUCAAAUCCAUAAGUUAGAUUCGAAAUACUUGAUUAAAUUUUAAUUUUUAAUUUAAGUUUAAAUUAAAAUUUAAAAUUAUAUAUUUAAUUUUUAAAUUUUAACUCAUAUUCUAAUUAAAAAAGUUGAAAAUAAAUUUAAUCUGAAUAAAUAUCCAUUCCGUCUGAAUUCAACUUUCAAUCCGGCCUCCUAGGCCGGCUUGAAAAAAGAGGUGAUUGGGGAUUCUCAUUCCACUCGGGAAUCGGAAUCGGAAUGGGACUCCUGCGUACCAAACACCCACAAAUGGAUUUACCCAUUCCAAUUCCGAUUUCAGGGUGAAAAAGAAGCGAGCCAAAUACACCCUAAAAUUCUACCAUUAAAGCCCUAUGAAGCUUACAUCUCAAGUUUCCUCUUAGACGAAGAAAGGAGAAGAUGAAGAUGAAGCUUCAACUCCAAGCCUUCUUCUCCACCAAGCUUGCUUCAAUUUUCUUAUCCAAUCCUCUUCUUGGUAGAGAGUGAGAGAUCUUAGAGACAAAGAGAGAAAGGGAGAAAACUCACUCUUUCUCUCUCUCUCUCGGUUUGGAGCUCACAAAUGAAGAAUGCCAUGGGUUCACAUGUAUAUAUAUACCCCCAAAACACUAUUCAUCUAGCAGAUACAAACUGACGUUUUUCGCCGAAGCCCUUCUGAAUGUUCGAUUACGCUCAAAUUUGACAGUCAGGCUCGGUUUUACCUAACUAGAGAAAGAAAUUUAAAUCUUUCCGUUACAACCAUGUUUGGUUACUGAAAGCUCUACCGAACUGUAAUCUCUAACAGAUAGCAGUCGGAUUUUAUUUUCUACCUUCCGGGUGUCGGAUCGACAUGAAACUUUAAAUCUAGCCUAAUAAAAAUAUUCCUGACAUAAAUCCAAGUUUUCAUAAUUUUCUGACACUGUGCAUUUUCUGCUAAAAUAACAGUCUCAAUUCACACAGAAAAUUCAAAAUCUUCUGUUCUCACUCCGAUUUCCGCACGAGUCGGUCCCGACUUAUAUUUUACUUCUAUGAGCCCAAUAAAAAUAGCAUCUCAAACUAUUUUUAUUUAUUUUUACCCUUUUAUUAAAAUCCGGUAUACUACAGGGAUAGUGCACUCAUUAAGAGGGCAUCAGAGGAUUGAGAGAGAAAAGGUAGAGGGAGGCAUCGGCAAAGAAGAGAGAUACAGAGUUAGAGAGAAGACAGAGAAACGUGUAUGAAGGAGAGAAAGCAUGGAAAGAAUGCCUCGAAAGAGGUGUAUAGGCAGGAGAGAUAGGAAAAAGUUAGGAGGCACAUAGGGAGGAGAUAGAGUGAGAUAAUGAUAAGGCAAAUAGGUGCCUAGGGAGGAUAAAAAGACAGAAACAUAGCAGAUAGAGGAAAGUAUGGAGGCGAGAAAUGCUGCCACUUGUAUCUAAGAAACCACCAAUUAAUAUAUUUGUAUAGAUUCCAUUCAUAUUCUUAAAGAUUUUUACAUGCAUUUUAUAAGAGACAAUUUUAUAACUGUUCCUUAAAAUCUUUAAAAAAAUCGCAAAUACUUUUGAAAAUAUUAAAAUAUUAUAAAUACUCUUCCAAUGUAAUAAUUUAUAUUAUAAAUGCCCUGUAAUAUUACCUCACGUUAUAGAGUAUUAUCCUAACCAUAGUUUGAGGCUAGUUUAAUAUUAGUUAAAUUUUAAAAUACCAAUUUUACCCCAAAAUAGUUUCAAAAUUCAUAGAUAGAUUUUUUUUUAAUUCGCAAUUUAAUUUAAUUUUGAUCUUAGAUUUGGAUCUUUUCGUCAUUUUAGGUGCUGGGACUAUUGUGAAACCUCAAUCUUAGACCGUGAUGAAGUUGUGAAUACUAAUGGAGGCAAGUAAAUAACUACUUUUCUACAAACGAUAGAAAAUAUGUACGAUUAUUAUCGGUUUUGUUUACUAAUUGCAGAUACAUUCGAGCGGGUUUUAUAGUUGUUAGUGAUUGCCGUGGCUUAUUUACUUUGCACAUUUUUAUUAUCAUGAUCUAUUGUUAUUUACAAUUGUUGCGGUCGGAUACCUCGGAGGAGAGGGAUUUAUCUUGCAUGCAGUUUUCAAGGUGGAGUGGCGCAUAAUUGCAGCUCUCGUGGUUAGAGCGACGGAGUGGAGAUGCUCCAAAUUAUGACCAUUGUGGUUUCAUAUUUAAAAUUAUCGUUGUCCUUUGAAAUAAAUUUCUUGUUAAGCGUUGUGCUUAUUUUUGUUGUCUACCAUUUCAUAUACCGAGAGUCGGGGCAUGUGAGAUAAUUGGCCGACGAGAACUUGUUAAAUAAAUUUUAUCUUUUUGGCAUAUAGUUUAUUUUGAUUUGAAAUUGAUUAAUUGGAUAUCUACUAGUUAUUGCUCAGUUUUGUUUUAAUUAAUAAAUUAUUUUAUUUAGUCUAUAAUUGAGAGGGUGAUUUUGGAUUGAUUUAAGGCCUUCCAUUUUCGGAUGUUCUUUCUCUGGAUUUGUAGCCGAUUGUUGCGGUUCGGAUCUGAGCAGUCAGAUCUGGGGCGUGAUAGCUUUAGUGGCAUUAGAGCCCGAUAACCAGCCGGAAGUGUGAGAUAGAUCUCGUAUCGCAUGGUGAAUCUGGGACUAUGUAUAUGAUUGGGCUGAAUUGACGAGAACGUCAUGGCCUAAACGAGGGGAAUAUGUGAUAUCCCAACAUCGGAUAAUGUGGGAGAGUGUGAUAGGUUUAUAAGUUACAGACGUACUAGUAAUGAUAACUAGGCUUAACCAUUUUGAGCCGAUAGUUUGGGUCCAACGAGUUAUUAUUGCUAGCGAGUCGAGUUGACGGUCCCCGCUGUAUAACCUGGCUUGAAAAAGUGUAAUUGGCUCUAAUACCAACUGUGACGCCCCUGACUUCUGUUGGGCUAUACCGUAGGAGAUAGAAAACUCUUAACCUGGCUAUACGGGCUAUACGGUUGGGAGAUAGUGAAAAUAAUGGAAGCAUUUGUGAGAGUUUUUUUUUUUCGUUUUUCUAAAAAUAUUUUGAAAUAUAUAUAUAUAUAUAUAUAUAUAUAUAUAUAUAUAUAUAUAUAUAUAUAUAUAUCAUCCCUAAUAUUUGUGCAUUCAAACAAUAUCUAAAUUAUGCUUCUUUUCUUUGUUUGGGCUAAUGCUUAUUUAUCCCUGAUUAUCAUUCAAAAUUUUCAAAUUUAACUUGAAANCUUACAUAAGAAGGAAAGAAAUAAAGAGCUCGGUACGCCUCGACAUUCUGUCUCUCUGCAACAAACAUUCUGGCGGGAAGAACGAAGCGCAAGAGAGGGGUAAGGGCACCGCAGAAACCCUAGACCGCCUCACCGUCUUCUUCCCCUCCCUCUUCUCCGCUCAAGUACCCUGGAGACACUUCAGCAACUCUCUUCCCCGGCAUGCACCGCAUAGUAACGUGCUCUCUCAUGGCUUCCUCGGCUCGGUGGCUGUGUCUGGCUGGGUCGCUCCAACCCUCCGUGCUUCGCAGGCUCAACAAAUUGCCGCUGCCGAUGUAAGAUUUGGGCCCGUCCUAGCUUUACCUUAAUCUUAGGAUCCUUUUUCUGUAUUCAGCGGAAGUUCCACGUGUUGCUAUGAUUAUCUAGCUGCCUCUAUUUUGUUUGUUUGCUAUGAUUGCCUCGGUUGUUUCUGUAGUAAGUUGGAGAAAAUGCUUUUAAUAACGAGUUGAAAUCCACUUUGGACUUACAAAAUGGCCUGAUUAAAGUCGCUGUAAAGAGAGAAUUUUUUGCUUGAUUAGAGACGGGCUGUUAUGCAGUAAUGGCCAAUUUGGCCUGAAUGGGGCUCCUUUUGAAACGAGCUAUCUGGUGAUAACUUAUGAAUUAUGNUGGGGAUUUUCCUUUCUGAUUGCAAACUGGGACUUUGAUUUCUGCUCCUCUCAAGGUCCUGCAAGCCAUGAUUUUCUUAGGGUACCUAUGAGGUAAUUCAUCUUAUUAUGGAAAAUGGCUUGGAGGUCGGAUAUAGUAUGCAUUCCUAGACAUUUAGUCAUAUUCUUCAUAUACCAAAUACUAAAAGCUUCUUGAGCAAUUAAAAGAGUUAAACUGAACAAGAUGUUCGUGCAUCCAAACAGGCCCUUAAGGUGCUUUUGAGCAAGCCUGUUGUGUCCGCAACAGCUUUUUGCUGCUGCAGCAGCAGCGGAAGCUUCGCAGUUCUGAUGUUGGAAAGCUCAUUUCAGAUUUUAUUUAAUUCUAAUCUUGCUAGCGUAUGAAAGCAUAAUAUUGUGGCCGGUCUUGACAUAGUGCAAUUAACUUGUAUUGAGAAUUUUGGUUCAUGUUAACUUUUGGGUAAAUAAUUAAAUUGCACUGUCUAGUCCUCAAAACUAUUGGGCGGGUGACAUUUUAGCCUGUGAGUUUUUAUCUGUUGCAACUUUUUGCUUGAAUUUUAGUAACAGUUUCAACCAUGUUUCAUCCAAUAAACUGAUUCUUGGCAUGGUACCAAGUGUACUAGACGGUCCAUGCACUAAAAGCUUUCUAAGUCAAAAUUUAAUCUGUUGUAGGCAUUUGAGGUGUUUUGGAUCACAUCUAACAGCGAGAACUUGAUUUGAAUACUUUCAUGUGUAGAUUCAGCUUGCAAUGCUCUAUGAUCUGGAGCCUCAUAUAGGAAAUGGAUUUUUUCCUCUCACUCUCCCUCAUGAUAUUGGUAGAUGAUGUGUCAAUGACAUUGUAACGAAUUGGAUGCUUCUUACUGCAAAAGCAGGAAAGUGGUGCAAUAGUGGUAAUGGAAUGCCAUGUUGUUGUUGUGUCCUUGCUGCUCCAUUGAUUUGUUAGUUCUAUUUGGCAGUUUAUGAUGGUGGGACUUGAUUGCAACUAGUAGAGGCUUUGAGCUCGAAAUUGCAACAAACUAAAGUUUGAUGACUUAAUUGGAAACUGCCCUGAUAGCUUGGGGGCUUGUAAUCCCUUGUUAUAUGUUUUUUUUUGUACUUGUUGUUGAAACUCUAUGAAUGGUCAAAGAAUAAGGGCAAAAAAUGAGAAGAAUAAGUGUAUUUGUGGAUAUUCUUCUUGGCUCACUAAUCUUGUGACAUAUUUCAUCCGGGAUAUAGAUGGAUGACAGCGUUGGACUCCUUUUUAGUUUUGAUUCCUAUGCAUUAUUUGGUCCACCUUUCUCAAGGAUCCCAGAAGGACAGGCUUUUUUGAUGCUCUUUUGGUUCAGAAAAACAAGGGAUAAUCACUUAUACUGGGAAUUCUGAACUAUUUUGCUCUUUUCCCUGCCAAAUUAUUGUAUUUAUUCUAUAUAACAAACUCACACCCGAUUGAAAUUUGCCGAUUUAAAUUUCCUUAAUUUUUAGCCUGUCGGAUGAAAUCUUGCUAAAGCAAUUUGUGACGAAGUUGGAUUUUCUUCUCUGAUUCAACAUAAAGCUUUUUUUUUUUUUAUUUUAUAACUAACAAGUAUUGUGCUUUUCAGCUAUUUUAGUUUAUUGAACGAGUUACUUGUGUUAGCUGUUUCAUGAAACAUUUUUUACAUCAUUAUUUGUUUCUACAGGCUAGUUGAAAGGAAAUAUUCUUUCAGACCACAUAGAGUAUUGAACAGAAAUUUUGUGCCACCUAAGAAGGUCAACAGACAAAAGGUUCUUUUUGAAGAAGACAACCAAUCCCAUUUUUUAUGGUGGAAAGAGGUUUGUACAUGUCUGGCCUUUGGAGCAUUUUUUUUUUCUUGUUAUCACUUACUCCUUGCUAAUUCUAGGAUAUUAAUUUUCAGAAGAUGCAGACAUGCAAAAAGCCUUCCGCUAUUCAAUUAACUAAGAGGCUUUCAUAUACAAAUUUAUUAGGAUUAGAUGUCAGUUUAAGGAAUGGAAGGUAAGAUGACAUUUUUGUCUGAUUUUAUUGUCAACAGUAUCUCUCAUUUCAUCUCUCAUCUUGAACUGUGAACUCAUCUUAGUUUCAAAAUACGAUUACUGAAAAAGAUGCUUUUCUUUGAGAAUUCUUUGAUAGUCUCUCUACAUGAUAUUAAGACCACAUAUCUAGACUUAAAAGUUUUAUUCAUUAACAUUGUGGAAUUUGCUGACAAAGAAUUGGUGCGCUAGGUUUCUGCGUUGCUUUUCUUUUUUGGGAUCAUAUGCACUUUUCUCAUGCAUGCCAUUUACAUUUGAAUUUACUUCCCCCCCCACCCCAACCCCCACCACCCCCCCACUUUGGUCUUCUCAUAGUUGCUCAAAUUAAAUAUUCUUUUGGUCAUGUUAAUGCAGUUUGAAAGAAGGAACUCUGAACAUGGAAAUGUUACAGUUCAAAUCAAGGUUCCCUCGUGAAGUACUACUCUGCAGAGUAUGUCUCUAGGCUUACUUGGUUUUGUAGUCUUGUUAUAUUAAUUAUUGAUAGCUUUCAUUUUUUUUCUUAUUAGUUGCAGGGCUUUUUGUUGAUUAUAUUAACUAUUGAUAGCUUUAAUCUUUUCCUCAUUAGUUGCAUAGCUUUUAGUAGACUAAAUAAAAGCAAUUUGUCCUUACCAAAAAAAAAAGGCAAAAUGGAAUCUAUUUUUUUGAAUUAGUUUGAUUAGUCAGGAAUGGACAUUGGACAGCAGCGGAAGAAAAAAAUAAAAACAAGAUAAUAUAUGUACAUUAUGCCAAAAGAGUGCAAUAAAGUAAGAGAAAAAUGUCCUAAGAUAAGAUCGUUAUUGCUGUGAGACCCCAGGUAGUCCUAUAUAUAAGAUAUAAUAGGGCUAAAACUCUUAACACGGUUAUAGCAUUUUGGGUGGUGGAUAGGCCCAAGAGGUUAAGAGAGUUAAGCGUGCUAGGACUGGAGUAGCCCUAGGAUGGGUGAUCCCCUGGGAAGUAGAGCGUCACAGUUGAUAUCAGAUCCAAUUACCAGUCGAAAGUGUUAGAUUAGUCUUUACUGAGUCAGGUUAUACAGUGGGAGAGCGAGGCUCUCAUACUGACGACUGUUGCGGAUAGAGUGCGGCUCUCCUACAAGAUCGGUUAAGGCAAGAGAGAUGAGUUUCGCAUCGCCUGAUAUUUGUGAGUUUGAGCUUGACGAGGACGUCAAGGCUUAAAAGGGGGGAAGAAUGUGAGAUCUCAAGUAGUUUCAUAUAUAAGAUAUACUAGAGCUAAAACUCUUAGUACGGCUAUAGCAUUUUGGUUGGUGGAUAGGCCCAAGAGGUUAAGAGAGUUAAGCCUGUUAGGACUAGAUUAGUCCUAGAAUGGGUGAUCCCCUAGGAAGUGGGGCAUCACAAUUGCUUGAUCUCGUUCAUUAUGGAUGCGAAGUUAGAAUUAGGGUUGUGAAAAGGCCUAGGUUGCUGUAUAUGUUAGGAUGGUUAAGCAUAGGCAUUCCACCUGGGGAACGAAGUGGUUACUUAGGAAGUAAAAUCGCUUAGAACUUGUUUUAUCUUUAUUUUGUUUGUUUUCUAUAUCAAUAGCAAAAAAAUAUGUAUAUUAAAAGAGUGCUUUAUGAAUGUAGAACUGAUAAAAUUGUCAAUUGUAACUGCUUUAAAGAAUUUAAUUAUGGACUUCUUUUUCCAAGAUAAUCCUUAAAAAAUAUAUAAGUUGCCAAAUAACUCUAUCAAAAUUUUAAUUGGCAAAUUAACCCUGUUUUGUGCAACUCAGCGCCAUUGUAGAGAGAGAAGCGAAAGACAGGGAAUCAUUCACCGAAUUUAAUAAAAUUUAGAAAACGGUGAAUCAUUCACCGUUUUUAGGUUGUUACUAUUAUUUGUAGGGCUUUUUUUAGGCUGUCAGGAUUUUUAUGGAGCUGUUAUGAUUCUAUGUAGGUUGUUAGGUUUUUUGUUUGAUUGUUAUGUCACGCCCUGGGGCCUGUUUUGUAAAGCUUUUGUAUAAAAGGUGCCAUUUGAAAACUAGAGUUGCGGAAAAUUACCCAGUUUUUUUUUUUUUUUUUUGAAAUAGCUUUGCCCUCGAGAUGAGCAGACUCACCGCAAAUACAGAUUCCUCUGUCUAAGCAGACAGAGUCUCUCCUAUAUUUGCACGGUGUAUCAACCAUUUACAUCUAAAUAUGCAUACACAACUCACAAUAAACAUUCACCCUAAUCUGCAAACAUUCAAUCAGAUGCAUGUGCAAUACAACUGGCCAUCUUUAUGAAUGAUGCAUGCUUCUCUACACUCCUUAGGCGCUGGACGAUACAAUGCACAACACACCAAGCAUCCUACCACUUGAAAGUGUUUUUCGUCUAGAAAUUUUAUUUUGAAAUUCUAGAUAAACAGUAAGCAAAAAACCGUUUCAAAGCCAUUUGAAAACCGUUUCCUACACGAAAUCAUAUUCCUUUGAAAACCAACUACCACGAGGGAUAAAAAACUAGAUGCCAUACCAUAAAACCACAACAGUCCAUACCUUCGUACAUCCAUGAAAACCAUAUCUAAACCAAUGUCAUGAGUAACCAUAAAUCCAAUGCCUCAAUCAUUUAAAUAUGAUAUAAAUUCAUCUAAUUGAACCACUGAACAUCUACUUAUUGGAUAUAAGAGAAAAACAAGAGAUAAACUAGAGGGGGACUGCUAAUGUGAUCUAACUAAAUUGUAUCCUCGCAUCGUGCCUGACUUGCCUUUCCACCUAAACCACCUGUGGAAAUAGUGGAGUGAGAAACCAAUUUGAGGUUUCCCAGUGGGUACGACAGAGCCACGAAGACAAGUUGUACUCAUCGGAAACGAGUCAAAAGAGAUAUAGAGAUAUAUAUGAUGAACUGAAAGUAAACCUACAGUAGCAAGAGAUAUGUAUAUAAACAGUAAACAAGUCAACAUACCGCUACUGCAAAGAAUCUAUCUCUAUAUGCCUUGAUGGACGAAUGGUCCAAUGCUUGUACCCAAUCCACAACCCGCCAUAUGGUCAGAUGAACAUCAUGCUUACAGUAGCAAGGAGUAUAUAUAUGAAUAGAAAGUAUGAUUGGAAGCCGCUACUGUAGAAGCGAAACUAUCCAACUAAUCUGCCUCAAAGAUGAAAAGUCCAAGUCAGAAGCCAAUCCGUAAUCCGCUGUAUUGGUCUAUCGAUCUCAGGCAAUGCCCGUCACUAUAAUGCACUAGUCUUCAUUCAAUCGUCACAAUGGACGACCUAUCCGGAUAACUACACCUCUUGUCGGUGGCUAAACUGACCCGGUAUUUAGAGUACUCCCCAGCGUGGUGACAAAUCAGUGAGGUGAUCAAUCAAACGACGACGUGAAGUCGACUGCCUUGGCGCAUUGGCGCCGAUAACUGUGGCAUAAAGCCGAAUGCCUUGGCGUAUGAACAUGGGUAACUGUGAUCAAAUGAUCGAAGUAUGAUGCAUAUAAAUGUGCCGUGAUGCCUGGACCUGAUGGUCCCUAAGUAGUCAAGAUGUAUAGAAACCUACUCUACAUGUCAAGUAGCCGCCUACCACUAUGCAAGAUAGUAAAAGUAAAUGCCAAAAAUGAAGAAGAGGUGUCGACAUAUAGAGUUAAGAGGUAAUAAAUACCAAAAAAAUAAUUUAUUCAAAGUAAAAGAAUAGAAAACCGAGUAAAUACUAUCUCAUCGACUACUAGCUCGAAGCACCUACCUCUACCGUAGAAUAAUACUGGGGCGUUAACCAACUGCCGAUGCUUCUCGCUUCAAUCCGGACCUAUGCAAAGUCCUAUUUGAAACUAUAAUUAGCCAAUACCCACUAAUUACAAAAGCCUAUGAUUCUAUGAGAAUCUAAAUAGGCAAACAAUUAGGUUUUCAGAUCUCGUUCAACGGUCAUCGAAUGAUCACCCGAUUGUCGCGUCGACUCAUCGAAAUGUCAUCCCAACUCACGGGCAAGGUUUUAAGUGCCCGUCGGCACGGGUCGUAUCCACCGUGCCGUACCGUGCCAACAAGAUACCGGCACGAUACAGACCCCGUGCCGAUGGCAUAGCUCAAAACUCUCUAUUCUUUAAAUUAGUAAGUAAUUUCCUGAAUAAAGUUCAAAAGAUGUGAUAAAAAGAUAUAAUAAAUAGUUAGAAUAUUUUGUUACUAAAGAAAAUAAAUAUUUCAUGCUAUUAUGUGUCGGCACACAAGAAUUUUUUUGACCGGCACGCAUCGGCACGGCUCGGCACGCACCGUGCCGGCAAGUUUCCGGCACGACCCCGUGCCACGGCACUUAAAUCCUUGCUCACGGGGUGUCCCAAAACAAGCCAAAUACAUAACCUACCUUAUCCGUUGUCCCAAAACGCCAAUAUUUUGCUGUUGGGACAUCCGUACUAAAAGUGCACAAAAAUAAGAAACUGAGAUUCCGAAAAUCACUAGUUUGGCUCCCGAAAUGACCAUUUCGACACCGAAACCACCUGCAUCCCUCUUGUUGAAACCAGAGGUGUCAAACCUUAUUCUACAACCAGCCAAUAAGGCUACAACACCGCUGCAAACAGUAGCAACUUGCGCAACAAAAACCCGCUCCCGAAACCGCUCGAUUCCUGCAUUUUGGGGUCCGGAUUAGUCCCGAAGUGUUUCGAAACGCGCCAAAAGUCAUUUGCCAUCUUUGCUGUCCCAAAACACUCACUUUUGCGUGUCAGGACAGUCGCACACUAAGUGGUGUGAUCCGGGUGCGAAUCCCCAAAAUCCGCCGUACCGAGUUCCCAAAAAUUGCCGUUUUCGGCUCCAAAACUCAUUUAGGAUUGCUCGCUGCUCUGUACUUUGCACCAGCGAGUGCCCAGCUAGUCAACCAUGCCAUUUCGACCGCUGCAACCAGCAGCGAACACUCACUCCAGAAAAAUAGAGCCAAAAUGCAAAGUAAUAAUGUAAAAAGACACCGUUUUGUGUGCCGAUUGCCACGAGAUUCGAACCAAGAGGUUUCUAGGCUUCGAUCACCAUGUUCGAACAUCCAACACUUGAACCAUUGAUGUCCGGGACAACCACAAUGCAAAAAGUGACAUUGCAGCUUUAUGCCAAACACCCGGCGUGCGAUAAUAAUACAAUAAUACAUUGUUUAGAGAUUUAUCACCGAUUCCAUUACCUUGGAAUUCGAGCGAAGGUACCUUCUAGAAGGUUUUGACGUUCUGGACACCGUGCUCGCUGUCCGGAGCAAAUCCGACGAUCGAGGGAGAUUUUGGAGCAAGUUGUCCGUUGAGCCAAAAGCUCUCCGGGGAGCAACGUUGCAAAUACAACAACCAAAAGCUCCUUGAUUGCAAAUGAGGUGAGCACAGUGAUGUACUCGUGCUAUGGAUGACCAUGCUCACUUGCGGUGAAGUCCCUGAUGCCAAGAUCAAUAAGAACCACAACCUUAGCCCAAAAGAACCCCCAGCCUAAGCCCUGCUGGAGCAGUCUAGGGAUAGCAGAGGAGUUUCUUCCAGUUGUCUGACGAAGGGUGGCCAACGUCAGUCUUACAGGGUUGUCUCAACUACAGGGGGCCAUGGAAGGCGACAGCCGACGGCGGAGACGCAACAACAGCGGCUUAGGAGAGCCACGUUGAUGCAAAUCGAGAGGUUGCCAAAAUUGAAUUUUCAAGUUUGCUUUUGUUUUAAGGUAUUUCUUGAAAUAAACAAGGUUCAAUUUACGAUUCCGACGAGCUUUACUAUAAUUAAAGCAAGGAAGCAAAAAUUUCAGCGAGACAAAUUAAAAUCGAAUUGAAGCAAUACUAAGAUGAUGAUAAACCUUCAAUAUAUUAGAUAAUAACAACUAGCUGAAAAUACAUAUAAUAGUUCCAAAAGGUAAAUUUGGCUUUAUCGGAUUUAAAGCUUUUAGAUUUGGUUGUUUGGCAAAUAUGGUUGGUAAUGGUGGAGGGCUGGAUUGAAAGGGAUAAUAGGAUAUCAAGAGAUGAGAGAUACAAAAAGUGUACCGUUCACACGAUUGUGGGGGAUCCACGAUCGACGAGGAGGGCAGUACACUACGGGUGAACUUCGGUAACGGAAAAGAAGAAGAUGAGGCAAGGACUUGGAAGGAGAGGAGGGGUAGAAGUAGACGCGAAUCUUGUCAUGAGGAAGAAGCGACAACGAUCAAGACAUCAAGUUGAGGAAGAAGACGAUCUCGGUGCGAGAAAGAAGCUUCAAUGAUCUCACUGGGAAGAAGAACACCAAGGAUAAAGAACAAGAGUAGAAUUUUCUAUUUAUCAAAAUAUAUCCCCUCAAGGCUUUAAAAACCAUGUAUUUAUAGUAUUGAGAGCCUCCUAUAAUAAAUUUUUGUCCUUUUGUUUUCAACACAACACGGUCACCCAAGAUUCAUGCAUGAAGACGAAGCAAUUUUGGGAAAUUUCAAAUGUCCUUUUUGGAUUGUUUCUUUGUUUCUUUGGAUUAGCCAAAUCAACUAAAAUUAAUUGAUUUAAGUUCGAAUCAAAUACGAACCUACAAAAUAAAAGAAAGUUGCAAUCGAAAAUAAUAUAGAGGUUUAUUUGUUGCAUCAUACGGCCAUGGUCGCCAGCUCGGGUUCCAGUUGGAACCUGAGCACAGGGGUGAUGGGGGUGGCGGCAAUGGCGGUAGGGAGGGUCGCCCGAGCCCUUCCCGACGGAGGCGGCGGCUGUCGCGACCAGAUCCAAGUGAGAGGGAGAGGGAAGGUGUCACGCCCCGAGACCGCUACCAAUUUGGUCCGGUUCGGGCGCGUCGAACAGACGCCGGAUGGACAGCACCUCCCCUGUCCGCCUAAGGCUCGACAACAAAAUCAUGUCCAUAGAAUUGCCCAGGAAUAAUUCAAUUACAUACAUGAUAAGCACGGAGCACCACAAGUGCUAACAAGUAAGAGUAAGAUACAAGUAUAUAAUACAAGUGAAUAAAGAGAGAUACAUCUAGCUAUUACAUCCAUUCAACUAUUCAUUUACAUCAGUUUACAUUUGUAACUCUCCAAAAUGAAUAUAUACAAUGUCCAUCCAAAAUACAUAAGCAACUCCCUCAAAAUACAUCACAACUCUCGGGUACAUCGGUACUCUAAUGCAUAGGGUAGCUGCUACUAAGCUAGGGCGCGAUGCCCUUACCACGGUCCUCGCCGGGAGUACUCGAACUCGGCCCUGCAACAAAGUGGGGUGAGAACUAUUGUCCAUAGUUCCCAGUGGGUUCGGCCGCCGACUCCGCCGAUCUCUCCACUAGGUCUAAGCAGGCAUAAGCAGAUAGAUAGAUAUCUGAAAGUAAAGCUGAUGCAUAUUGAAAGAAUUGCACUAUACUACUAUGCCUUGAAAUUCAGGAAUGAACAAGAUAGCCAUGCAAUUACUAACAUGCUAUAGUACCCACAUCAAGUAUGGAUGCAACUUUACUAAGCUCAACAUGCUCAACGCACAUAAUUCUCAUGAGUUUAUUACCCAAUCCUCUGGCUGGCCCGUAGGCGUGCCCACGACUCACAUCUCAAAUCCGUCUAUGAUAGGGGACUCGAACCACCCGAGGGAUCGUCUACGGGACCCCAAAUAGGCUAUCCCUUGGGACCCCAAAUAGGCUAUCCCAAUCACUCAUGUGCCAAACUCCGGAGCGCACUACUUGUGCGGAGCGACCGCCACAAGCGCUGAACAGAUUAUGUGAGUAUGAUCGAAUCCUCGUCCACUGAGGAUACCCUGUCUCUAGGGUCAACACUGUCGCACCGAUCUCAUGCAAGGUGUCAAGUAGGGAGACUCAUCUAUCCUCUAAUUCCAUCAUGUCACUAGUGUUCUUUUAACACUAAAUUCUAAUGCCACUCGUCAAGUUGUUUACUUGGUUCGCAUACCACUCGUCAUCAUGCAAUGUCUCGACUAUACUAGUCAUAUAUCAUCAAUGCAAGAUCAAGUUUUCAUUUAACUUAUCUCUACAGGGUUCUAUGUCACAAAGCUCAUCCUCAUGCACCCUAUCUCACGUGCCAAGCCUACUAUGCCGCACUACAAAGGGAACAUGCAAGAAUAGUAAUUGCAACAUCUAAACACCCUAUCAUGCAUGAAGUAUACAUAUGGAAUAUGAUCAACAUAGAGAUACUUAGACAUAGGGAGGAGCCCAGUUGGUUCGGGAUGACACCCCCCACCUUUAGGCGAUGUAGCAAGGUUAGGAACUUGACUUCGUGAUCCUUAGUCGCCGCUUCGACUCUUCGGGUCAACACGAAGCCAUGAACACUCGUUUCGGCGAUACCUUCGCACCGGCUCGACGAAUCGACGAACCGACCUUUCCAACGCGUUUAGAUACCUAGUAAUUAGGUUUACAUAUGAUCAAUUUAGAUCAAAACCCUCUAUUUCCAAAAAUUCCAAUUUGGAGCCCUAGGUUUCAACUAAUGCAAGAAUCCCAUCUCAAAUCCCUAGAUUCAAGCAUAAACCAUCUAUUUGGAAAGCUAGGGUUCCAACAAAACCAAUUCUAGAAGAUAAAAAUCCAUCUAGAGGGAUCUACCAUAAAAGCUCUCAAAGCUUACCUCAAGAAGCUUGCUCUAAUGGUGGAGAGGAAGAAGAGGAAGAUGCCAAUCCUUCUCUUUGCUUGCUCCUCCACCAAAAUCCCCUCCUUCUUCACCUUCUAGAGAGAGAGAAAGGAGUUUAGAGAGAGAGAGAGAGAGCUAGGGGUGAGGUUGGGAAAGAAAUGAGAAGAAGAGGGCUCAUUUCCCCUCUAUACCCCUUCACAAGUGCACAUUUGCACAAAACGCCCCUCACUUUCCAAGUUACUCGCUGCCCCAGCCUGGGCAGUUUCGGGCUAUGGGGACCAGUCUGUCCCUGGAGGGAUCGGUCCUCGAGAGCAACUCUCGCAGGUAGAGGACUCUGCCUCCCAUUCUAUGCGUACGGGGACCGGACCUCGCCCGAGGGACCGGACCUUCAGGGAUCGGUCCCCUCCCAAGGGACCGGACCCCGAGAGCAACAUCGCGCGCAGAAUUUUUUUUUCUGCUGCACUUUCUGCUUACGGGAACCGGUCCCUCCCACCAGGGACGGGUCCCCGAGAGCAAAAUCUGCAAAGUUGCAGAUUUUCACAUCUUGCUCUUCGAGGCCCUCGCCAAUGCACUUUUUGGGUUUUUGACGCCUUCGGCCUUUCCGAAGCGUACCCAAUCGACAAUCAGUCGAUUCUAAACGAAGUUCAACUCUCGUAUUUUGAGAAUUCACUUCCUUACAGAAGGAGCUCGAGAGGAGAGAGAUGGAUAGAGAGAGAUCAAGGGAGAGAGACUUGAGCUGGCCACGCCGCCGGCGAUGACCCUAUGUUAAUGAGGGUUCCCAGGGGCGGUGGCUACGGGGUACGGGCUAGGGCUAGGGCUCCAACCGCCUCACACAUAUGUAAUAGUAUACAUAUACAUAGACAUACACACACACACGCAAUAUACAGAGUCCAGCUACUAUACUUUUAUGAGUACACUUUUAUGAGUAUAGGGCCCUUGUACUCAUGAGUUUUCGGCCGUUAGAUCUACACAGUUGAACAUUUCCGUCCGUUAGAUCAUACUAUUCAACCAACCACCCAUUCAACCCUAGGGGACCACUAUCAUCCUAACCGCACAUUCCUUCAUCCAACGGUCGAAAACUUAUUAGUACAAAGGGGUCUAUAUUCAUAAGAGUAUAGUAGCCAUAGCCUAUAUAUAUAUAUAUAUAUAUAUAUAUAUCUCCAUAUAUAUAUAUAUAUGUACACACACAUGUAUACAUACACAUAUAUAAUGUAUAAUGCUGCAGAAAAACCCCUCAAGUCUUCAAUAUUCACAUACAACCCUUGCCAGCAUGCAACAUUAGCAUUUUGGUGCCUCCUUUAGCGCGACAAAAACUUAAAAUUUCACGCCAUGUAACGAAGAUGCCUUCCAACAUUUAAUCCUUUUCAACUUUGUCUCGACACCGUUUUGCACAGAUAACCCUGAGUUUUGCGAAAUUUGAGCCCCACAUUCCCCACUGAGUCCACUUUCAUGUGGAUCCUUCUGCACGCCAAAACUGAAAAUUUUCACAUAAAAUGAUAAUCCCUUCGCGAAGUGCUCCAAAUUUGCACUUUGUAAAAAUUGCAAUUUAACCCUCCAACCUUUGAGUUUCUUACCAAUAAUUCACGAACCCGUGUAUCUUGGCCAAUGGGACCUUUCCAUGGAUUUUCAUGCAAAACGGAGCACCAAAAAAUUCUAAAAAGCAAAAAUAUCAAGUAAUAAAAGGCUAAUCUACGAUAAAAGCAGAUUUUCUUGUAAACCGUGCAUCGAACGUAAAAUCAAACAGUGCCAUCACCUCUGGCACAGCCAAAUGAUCGAAAAUGACCUAUUGGGUUGUCUGAAACGGUGUCCGAUUCACAUUCGAAGCCAUCCUCAAGCCGAGCCUCAAAGUAAAAUGCAGGUUACUAAAUGAAUAGUUCAAGUCACUAUAUACUUUUAAUACUAACUCGUCUUUCGCUGAAAUUAAACCAGUAAUUCCAAAAUUAAAAUACCUAUAAAAACACCACUGAAAAGUAUCAAAUUACACCAUAAAAAUCUCUGUCCUCACAUGUGACGCCCCGACUUCCCAGGGGGUCACCCAUCCUAGGACUACUCCCGUCCUAGCACGCUUAACUCUCUUAACCUCUUGGGUCUAGCCACCACCCAAAAUGCUUAAGCCGGGUUAAGAGUUUAGCCCUAUUAUAUCUCAUAUAUAGGACUAUCUGGGGUCUCACAUCACAUGUUAGGAUUUGUGAGGUUGUUGGGGAUAUUUUAUGGUUAUUUGGAUUAUAUAUGAGGAACAAUGAUAACAGAAAAUUCUAACUAAGAGAGAAACGGUGAAUCGUUCACCAUUUUCUUCCCAAAAGGAAAGAUCAUAAACGAUUCACUGUUUUUUAAAUCUUAUUAAAGACUGAACUAUUUGCCGUCUUUCAGUUAUUGCUCCAUCCAAUCGUUGAGUUGGACAAAAUAUUAGCCAAAUAAAUUUUCAAGAGGGUUAUUUGGCAAAUUAUAAUUUUUUUUAAGGUCUAUUAUGAAAAAAGUCCUCAAUUACCUUAACCUUAUGCAAUGAUAUUAUGAAAGGUUGAUGUUUGAAAGAAUAAUUUUCAUGACCUACAAAAGCACUCUUUAGAAAUUUACAAUCAUUUGUGCUUCCUCUUGGAAAAUUGUUACUUUUAUAUUGAGUGAGAGAAAGUAUCUAUUUGAAUUUUGAUUUCGGGUGUAGUGUAUAUAUAUACAUACACAUACAUAUAUACAUAUAUUUAUCUGUAGUUUCAAACUCGAUAGAGAUUUAAAGCAUCAUUCUUAUGUAGAGAUAUAGGAGCAUUAGCAAGGAGAUAUCAUUCGUAAUCAAAUUCUUUGUUUUUAAAAAUCUUUGAAUAUCUGAUCUAGAAAAUGCUUUUUAGGAAAUUUGUCUAAACAAACAGUCGGCAAGUACCUUCCCAAACGAAAUGCUGUUGUAAGAUUAUUUUAACAUGGAAGCAAACAAAGCCACUUAGGCAAGUCGAGCUGUUUAGAAUAAUGCGUAGAAAUUGCUAUGGUGAUGAUAUAUUUAAUAUAAUUUCCAUUUCUUUUUCACCAUUCCAUUGCCAUUGCUUUUAUCUCAGGUUGGAGAUUUUUACGAAGCUGUUGGUUUUGAUGCUUGUAUUCUUGUUGAAUAUGCGGGCUUAAAUCCUUUCGGAGGUCUGCGUUCAGAUAGCAUUCCUAAAGCUGGCUGCCCUGUCGUGGUAUGUUUUUUAUAUGUUAAUAAAUCAUGAUAAGGUUUAAGUUGUUUUACACUGUAAGAAAUGGAUAUUUCUUCUGUUAUUAUUUCCUUUCAAGUUUAUUUUUCUCCUUUUCUAUUGGAAAUCAAUUUUUUUAUAUGUGAUGCGAAAUGAGUGAAGAAUAUAUGUGCUAGAACAUGAUUUUGGCUCUUUCAAAUGUAGUUUGGUACAGCCUAUGAUUCUCUGAGCAACUUUCUAUCUUCAUCUGUGAAUGCCAGCAAUUUCUGUCAAAUAAAACUGUUGGUUGACAAAUGAUUGUAGAUUAUUAUUUCUUUAUUUAUGUUAAUUGCAUGGAAAUUUCAACUUUCUUGCUUGCUAUUUCUGUCUACUUUUAGUAGCUUCAUUUUAUAACUCUUUAAGCUAAUAAACCAGGAAACUUGCAAAAUUUAUAUCUAUAUGGAAUAACUUGAUUAUGUUGCUUCUAAAAUUUUAAUCACCAACUGAACUUUCAGUUUUUAGCUAGCCCCUCUCUUGUUAACCUUGGCUUGACCUUUGAUUUCACUUCGUAUAUAGUGUCGAUGCCAGUUUAUUAGUCAUGGAUAUAAAUUUGUCGCUUAUUUCAUUGAAAUAUUAAAUUCGAGUGGAAUUGAUGUACUUAUCCAGAGGGUUAGGUUGCAUCUAUCCAUUUCUACAUUCUGUAGUAGUUACCAUCAUCUGCUUUGAUUUGUAAAUAUUGCGGAUUUUCUUUGUUGGAAAAAAAGAGAGCCCAUGGGGAAGAUUUGAGUGUUGUUAUAGUUUUCCUGUAGUUGCUUUUUGAGAUAUUCGUAUGGUUUUUCUCUGCAGAAUUUGCAUCAGACUUUGGAUGACUUGACUCGGUGCGGGUUUUCUGUUGUGAGUUGCUGUUCAAUUUCUGAGUCUUUAAUUUCUGAUACUUCCUAAACAGUAAAUUCAUCUAAUCAAAAAAUCAUGAUUGUAUCACUAGUUAUUACAAGCUACACAUCAAAGAUAAAUGUUGUUGUUUUCCAAUGGCUCUCAUUUUCAGUAACUGCUUUUCUCUUCUAAUAUAUCUAUAAUCUAUAGUAAUUACACAUUAUGGGUAUUCAUGCCUGAGUAUGCUGCUUAAAUCUUCAUUUUAAAUAAUGGCGGAUGCGAUUCCUGUACUGGUGUUGACACUAUUGUCUAUUCUUGUGUAGUGUAUAGUCGAGGAGGUUCAAGGUCCAACUCAGUCUCGUUCUCGCAAAGGUCGAUUUAUCUCUGGGUAAUUAACUUUAAUUAUGUAAAUAAUGCAUCAAUUGGUUUUACACCUGUGCUUUUUUCAUUCAGCUGCUCGCCUGCACUUUUUUCAUUCAGCUGCUUUUUUAGAAAUGUGAUGUUAUAUAGUUUCUUCGGAAUUUUGGAAUGUGGCUCGUAGAUGGAAACAAAGAUAAAGAAAUUUCAGCUCAAACAAUGAUGAUAGGGUUUCCAUUGGUGCCUAUAUCAUUUAAUUAUGGCAGUCACGAUAGUUCUUAUUUUAUCCAAUUAUGAUUCAAUUCAAGGUCUGUUGUAUUAAUCCUGACUACGCAGGAGCAUGCAGCCAGCCAUGUGCCCAUUUAAUCUCAAAUUUUUUUUUGCUUUUAUAAGAAGAUUGCUCUUGAUGUUUUAUAAUUUCUUAAAAGGAGAGAACAGUCAUGAACUCACCCUUGCCAACAAGAGAGUUGCUUGAAUUUUCUGCCAUGAUCCAAAGGAGGUUAUGUCUACUGUAAGAAGGGUAAAAGCGCAUACCCUCUUAGGUUGUAUUAACGAAUAUAUAUAGUACAAGAGAUUGUCUUACUAUGGUAACAAUGACUAUUAUAGUAAGAGUAUAAUUAGGAUUACAUACUAUAUAAUCCUACUUUAUAGAAGGCAAUAAUCCUACUCUAUAGAAGGUAUUAAACACAGUAUCGUAAUAUAGAUAAACUAUACAAAUAUAUUGUAACACCCCCCUGCAAGCUAAGCAUCUGGUGGUCGGAUGCGAAGAUUGAGCCACAAUAUCGAAAACUGAGAGGGUGACAAGGGCUUGGUGAAAAUGUCGGCAAGUUGCUUGUCAGAAGAGAUAUGAAUUAUGGCCAAAUUAUCAGAUUGGACUUCCCCCGCAAGAACUGAUGGUCAAGUUCAAUGUGCUUAGUGCGAGCAUGGAGAACAGGAUUGGCCGCAAAGUAGGUGGCGCUGAGAUUAUCGCAAUAAAUAUUGAUAGAGGAGCGCCAUAAGAAAACACGAAGGUCACGAAGGAGAUGACAAAUCUAGAGAGUCUAAGCAAAUGUGUAGGUGACAGCACGAUACUGCGCUUCAGAACUGGAAUAAGAAAUGGUGGGUUGUUUCUUAACGGACCAGGAGAUAAGAUUUGGCCCGAGAAAAUGCAAUAUCCAGAAGUAGAGUGACGUGUAUCCGGAUAGCCAGCCCAAUUAACAUCAGCAAAGGCCACAAGAGAAGGAUUGUCGCAAUGAGAGAUAGGAAGGCCAUAGGGCAGCGUCCCUUGAAUAUAACGCAGAAUACGCUUGACCGCUUGCAUGUGCGGUUUACGAGGUGCAUGCAGAUACUGGGCAACAGAGUUGACGGCAUAUGAAACGUCCGGUUUGGUGAAAGUAAGAUACUGGAGAGCACCGACUAUUCGACGAUAAGUGUAUGGAUCCUUAAGAAGACACUUCUUAUGAGAAGAGAGACGAGACGUUAGCGAAAGAGGAGUAGAAAUAGGCUUACUGUCAAGAAAGCCAUGUCGUUGAAGUAGUUGAUGCGCAUACUUUUGCUGAGAUAGAUGAAGACCAAAGGGGGAGCGAUGAACCUCAAUCCCCCAAAAAAAAUGCAGCGGUCCGAGAUCCUUCAUGGCAAAUUCGCGUUGUAAAGUGGCAAUAAGAGCAUCGAGAGAGAUAAGGAACUGCCGGUGACAAUAAUAUCAUCAACAUACAAGAGGAGAACAAGAGUGCCAGAGGAGGAACGACAAACAAACAUCGAGGGAUCAGCAGUGUUGCCAACAAAACCAAUCUCAGAAAGAAAGGAAGUGAAGCGUUGAAACCAAGUGCGAGGAGCCUGUUUGAGGCCAUAUAUCGCUUUGCAUAGACGGCAAACAUGACUAGAGAGCAAAGGAUGCACAAAGCCAGGUGGUUGUUUCAUAUAAACCUCCUCAGAGAGAGUGCCAUGAAAAAAGGUAUUCUUUACAUCAAGUUGUCGAAGAGACCAUCCAGAGGAAAGAGCGACCGAAAGAGCAAUACGAAUAGUGGUCGACUUGAAAACCGGAGAAAAAGUCGCAUCAAAAUCAAUGCCUUGUUGCUGUUUGUAACCCUAAGCCACUAGUCGAGCUUUGAGACGCACAAGAGAGCCAUUCGCCUUCUGUUUGACUUUGUUGGCCCAUUUAUAGCCAAUAAGAUUGAUGGAAGGAGGAGCAGGAACAAGCUCCCAAGUAUCAUUGGUGAGUAAUGCAUUAAAUUCUUCAGCCAUGACAGCAUGCUAACCUGCAUCUUGAAAAGCUUCAUGAAAAAUGGUAGGCUCAGUAGGAAGAGUAGUAUGUGCAGAAGCUAGGAAGGAUUGUAUCCAGAAACUGAGGACACAUGUGAUUGCCAUACAUUAGAAUGAAUAAUAUGAAAAGAAAAAACAGACUGAGAUUACGAAUCAUGAAAUAAGAGUUUAACAUGUUUUCCCAUAUUAUAAGCAUUACAGACAGAUAAUUUCAGCGCAGAAGCAAAAGCAAUUUUAUUGUUUGUAAUAAAUGUAGAAAGAAUAGGAAGACUAGGAUGGCCUAACGGUCUAUGCUAGACAUCUCCACUAAAUCUAGAUGCAACAAGAGCUAAUUGUUGCUUAUUCCCUAUACUUGCAAGUUUAGAAGAAAUUUGAUAAAGUGAUGUUCCCGAGUUAGGACAUCGAAGAAGCUUCUUUCCUGUUUCCUUGUCCUUCACAGAAAAACCACUAGAGUCAAAUUCCAAAAAAAUUAUUAUCAUGACAGAAUUUACGCACUGAAAGUAAAUUUCUGUUAAUAGCAGGAACAACAAGAACAUUUUUAAAAGCAAAGGAUUUAGAAGAUGUAUUCAAUUGUCUGAGUAAUAUCAAGUAAAUUUUCAUUACCAAUAAGAAUUUUUUCAUGUUACUAUAAGGUUUAGAAGAUGAGAGAAUACCAGAGCUUGCGGUCAUAUGAUUUGAUGCUCCGAUAUCUGGAUACCAGACCUCCUCACCGGGUUCAUGAAGGUUCAUAGCAGCAAAGGUCUGAGGAACAUCAUCCGCAACGAAAGAAUAAUUAAAGCGUUGUCUGCACUAAGGGGCAGAAUGAUUGAACUUUUCACAGAUCUGACAUUAUAUGCCAGACUUUGGAAUGUACGGUUGUUGAUUUGGAGUGUAAGAUUGUUGAGGAUAGUUGGGUUGAGACUGUGGGUAGGCUCCAGGAGAUCCACGACCAGAGUAGUGUCUACCACGUUGUCCUCGGCCUCCACGAUAUCUACCUCCCUCUAUGGCCUCCACGAUUGGCAUAAAGAGUUUCACCGUCAAUAGUGGGAAUAGCAGAGGACGUCGUCACACUAGUAUGAUGUUGGACUUCUGUUUUUUCUUGCAUCAACAGUGAACGAAGUUGUUCAAAAGUGGGCUUAUUUCUAUGUGUGUUUAGAGCACUAACAAAACCUCGAUAUUCUUUUGGUAGCCCUAGAAGAAUACUCAUGACCAAAUUAUGGUCUAACUCGGUUUCACCAAUCGUCUUGAUCUUUUGCAUGUAAUCACUCAUGCUUAUUGAGCCUUUUUUGAUGCUUAGCAAUUCAGACUUGAGAGAAAAAGCCGUAGAAGUAGUCUUAUCAAGAAAAUAUAUUUCAAUAAUUCUCCAAGCAUCAUAUGUAGUUUUAGGUGAGCUAGAAAUUACCACUUGUAAUAUGCUAAGAGAAAAGGUGGCAUUAAUCCAAAGUAUAGUGGUAUCGUUCCUUUUCCAACUUAAAUAUUUGGGAUUUAUAACCACAUUCUUAUCAGCAGUAUCGAUAGUCUGAGAAAGCACAACACUAGUUUUGUUCACAUGUGAUGUAACACCAAAACUUUCUAGAAUAUUAAGAAAGAUUUGUUUCUACACAAGAUAUGUGGAAUCAGUGAGUUCUAGUGGUAUGAGAGUUUUGAUGUUAACAAUUGGCAAAUUUGAGGUAGAAGAAGAUAUAUUUGCCAUCUUAAGAGAAGGAUCCACCACUAGAUAUGAAGAAAGAUAAAUCGGAAUGUAGCAGAUGAGAACAAAAAAAAGAACCUGAUUUCUAGCACACGAGAGAGGAACCACUUUUCACCAAACAAGAACGACCGCACUAGGGAAAGGACCGAGCGACACGAGCAACUAGCAAGUGGCAGUAGGAUAGUUUGAGCGGCAGCAGAAGAGCAAAGAGGAAUCACAAAGAGGCUGAAAUGACUGCAGCAGAGGCACUGUAGUGCUGGAACUGUAGUAGUACUGUUGCAACACUGUAGCACCAAAUAUAGCAGUAUUGCAUUGUUGGUACUGUAGCAGUAAUGUAUCACCGCUGUAGCAGUGCUAUAGCAAAGAGAUAGAAGCUCAAGGAUAAGGGGAGAUAAAACACCGAAAAGAAAAGAACACCUAUGGAAGAAGGUGGGACUUGUGGUGGCUAUGGAUCGAUAUCCCUAAAUUAGGGUUCCCGCUCUAAUACCUUGUAAGAAGGGUAAAACAGCAUACCCUUUUAGGUUGUAUUAACGAAUACAUAUAGUACAAGAGAUUGUUUUACUAUGGUAACAAUGACUACUAUAGCAAGAGUAUAACUAGGAUUACAUACUAUAUAAUUCUACUCUAUAGAAGGCAAUAAUCCUACUGUAUAGAAGGUAUUGUACACAAUAUCCUAAUAUAGAUAAACUAUACAAAUAUUUCGUAACAUCUUCAAACUCUAUGUAGAGCUGUAAUGGCAAUUUCAUGUUUAAAUGGAUUCAUUUGAUAAUGUAAAUAUGUAAGGCCCCAUAAAACCAUGAUUAUUUAUCACUUUUCACCAUCCUCCUACAAAAUGGAUUGCUGAAUGAAGGUGGUUUGGUUUCCUUGAACAACAAAAUUUUGAUAUACAAAAAACAUGUUCAUUUGAGAAUAUUAAACUUUAGACCACUAGAGGUUCAUGCUGGCAACUAGGCCUUAUAACUGAAGUCUUAGUGGCACUUUUCUGAUGAAAGUAAUUUUCACUUGAUUGCUAUUACACUGGUUUGCUGGUCAUUUCUUCACUUCCAAAGGAAUUUGUGAUUUAAGGGUUAGUAAGCCGCUGAUAUAUAAUUGUAGAUUCACAUAGUGAACAUCGGUAAUUAUUAGCCAAACGUUGUUUCACCGAUUGAUUUUUUUUUCUCUUUUUCAUCCGAAGAAGCAAUUGAUUUCCAUUUCUCCACAUUGGCAGACUUUCUAUUUACUUCAGCCUUUUAAAUUGAUAUCUUAGUUACAAUGUUAAGUUGUAUCUCCAUUGUUACAUGUCAAUUUUUCCAUUUCUUUGUGCUUCCCUAAUCUCCCCAAUCCUUAACCCUUUUAUGCUUUCUUUGUUUUUUCGCAUCUGUCUCUUUUGUGUUCUUCCUGUAAGUUGUAGGUGUUCCGCUUUACACUAACUAAACUUGAUGCAUUAGUUAAAUUUGUAUCUGUAGGAGCAACAUUCACAAUAUUAACAGCGGUAAUGCCAAGAGCUCCAGAAUAUCAAAAGCAAGGAAGAGGAAAAUAAUGCUAAUAAAUUUAUGGCAACAGUUAGAGGGACGACACUAUAAGUGCAAAUUAGGACAGCAUUGAAGACAGUUUGAAUGGACUUUCUAACUCCAAUUUUUUUCGAUCUUUAACAUAAAUAUUUUUGCUUCAGCCAAAUUAGUCUAAAGCUGAUACUGUUCAUUGAUUGGACAAUGUUUGUUACAUCCUGAAUAGCUCCUUACUAGCAGAUAUUGCAAUAGUGAAUAUGUAUUUCUAGGAUCAGAUUGCUGGUAUUUGUACCUUGGGUUUAAGCAUGUUUCAAGCAUGCUUACAUUAAUAUAUGGGUAUUAGCAGGAUGGUUGGGUAGGUGUCUUUUCUACUGUAGUUUCAGCCUUUCAGGACAGUAGUGUUUGCUUUUGAUGCCUCAUUUAUUAUGUAUCAUAUAUUAUAUUUGUCGGUUAUUGUUUUUGCCAGAAAUUUCUUUUAUUUUUUGAUUUUAAUUUUUUAUUAAUUUGCAUUCAUCUGAAAUGUAGUCCUAACACAUUUUGGUGUGGUGGUGUCACAGCCAUGCACAUCCAGGUAGCCCAUAUGUAUUUGGGCUUGCUGGAGUUGACCAUGAUGUUGAGUUUCCUGAUCCAAUGCCUGUGGUUGGUAAGUAUUGACUGUAUAUAACCUUCUUUGGGCUUAUAUGUGAAUAUUAUUCUUUUUUAAGAGGGGCAUUAUGCUUUCUAAAAUGACUAAAUCAUGUCAAUAGGCUCGAUACAGUCUAGUGUCGCUUUUUCAUUCAUUUGACUUACCUUGUAAUUGUGGUGGGUUAUUAGUAACUGUCUUUCCUACAGUUCUUUAAAUGAUAUUUUAUGUUCACAAUUUCCAUAAAAUUCAUAUAGAUAAUUUAAGUAGACUUUGUAUCUAGAGACUCACUAUGUCACGCCUUGAGGCUCUUUUGUAAAACCUUCUGUAACGAAAAUAGCAAAAAACAUAAUUUUUUUUUGAAGCCUAAGCCUGCUCUGAGUGCACGCAGAUCCGUCACAUGGAUGGAGUCUCCCCAGUUCAAACGGACAGUCUCUCCUAUACAUGCACGGUAUAGGGACGUAGAGUACAACAAUCAACCAUACAAUCAACCACAACAACAACAACCGGAGAGACAAAACAAGAAGAUAACAAUAUAACAGCAAAUAAUCAACUAUCACAAUCUCGCAUCUCCACAAGCAACCCAAAUAACCCUCUAAUCUGCACAUGCAACAAAUCAGCUCCAAUCUCUCGAAUCAAAUAAAAAUAUACGAUCAUCAAGACUGAAGAAUACUAACAUAGUGAUGAAAUAUAAAUAUUGAAAACCGAAAACUCCGAAGUGAAGCUACAUGAAAAUGCCAAGAAAUACAAAUCUACAACUACCAAAUGUGCGAUAAACUAAGGUAAGACUUAGAACUCAACACGCUGUUGCUAUGGGGAUUUAUCUAAAUAAUAGAGCGCUCCCUCAUGCAUCGUCUCGAACUUCACAGCCAAUGUCACUUGUAAAAAAAUAGAGGCUGAAAAAUAUUUACAUAUGUUAUCCAGUGGGUACUGUAACUGUAAGCCACCGAAAGCAAGUUGUGCUCACUUGUCAACAAAAGAGAGUGAUAAGGAAAAUAUGGCAGGUAUAAUCAUGUAUAGCUGAUAUAGUAGCAAAAGUAAGGCAACCAAUCCAUGGGUCGAGCACGAGUAACUAACGAUGCCCAAGGCAGCCGACGACGUGUAAUUGCAAAAAGGGCCUAAUAAUUUCAUACAAUUAUGCUAUUACUAUAAAGUGGAGUUUAGGCUUUUCACCAAAGCUUCCGCGAUUUGGAAGCUAACCAACAACACUGGGAGGUGGGCGACGAAGUUUUGGACACCAUGUUCAUGAUCCGGAGCUUCGAAGGCUGUUGAUGAUGAAGUUGGAGCAAAAAUUUUGUUGGAACAAAAAGUCCCCGAGAACAUGCAACUAGUACACGCUCGCUGCAACAACUCGUGUUGUCGCCAAGGUGAGCACGUUUACGGGGAAGGUUGAGAGGGUACAUUGCUCCCUCACCGUGGUGUUGUCGGCGGUGGGAGCGACCGGAACAGGGAUCCUCAGCCAGGGUGAUUCAGCCAAGUAGCAGUGAGGGCAGCAGUGGAGAACUCUACCUCGCACGGCCAGGGCUGGUCGAUACUGGCUGUCAUGCCCCCGGCCUCGGUACCGCUAUCAAUUUGGCAUGGUUCGGGCGCGGCGAGCGGACGCCGAACGGACAGCACCUCCCCUGUCCGCCCAAGGCUCAACAACAGAUUGAGUACAAGAAUUUACCCAGGAGUUUAAAUUCUAAAGGUACACAAUCAACAGGGCACAAACAGUGCCAACAACCACAAGAGCAAGUAAUCCACUAGAUAUACAAGGAAAAUAAAGAGAGUACUUUACUAACUAUUAUAAUAGUUGCUUUCUUUUACAUUUACAUCUUUUCUCAAAAUGAAUACAUUUGAUCGUCCAAAAUACAUAGCUCUCCAAAUCCUCACCUACAUGAAUCUCUAUCAAUACAUAGGUGUGCUAAUGCAAAAAAGGAAAGCCACUAUACUACCACGGUCUCCGCGAUGCCUUUGCCGCGGUCCUCUCUCGGCAACCCUGUACCUACCACUGGAAAUAGAGUGGGGUGAGAACUAUCUUCCAUAGUUUCCAGUGGGCUCGGCCGCCGACUCCGCCGGUCUCCCCACUAGGUCCAAGUGGGCACAAGUAACAACAAGAUAGAUAUAUAGAUUGAUAUCUCAAAGCUGUAAAUGACAUAAUAGGAAAUCUAUACUACUAUGCCCAUAAUCAUGUGUAAUGAAUGCAUGCAUCAUAUAGUAAGGGUUUACUACCAUGCUAACAAGUUCGAUCCAUAUUCGAAUAAUAAUGUUCAAUGACAAUACUUGUUUUCCAUUUACCCAAUCUAUGGCGAGACCCUUGGGUUCGCCCUCAACUCACCUUUCCAUCCCAAUUGGGUAGGGGAGCUUUAUGUGCCCCCAAACCCGGGACUGUCUGUGGACCUCCAUGUGGUCCCUAUCGCCCGACACUCCGGAGUACUCGACGACAAUCCUUUCCAUGUGAGGAUAUGGAUGGCUAUACCAUCCCAAAUAACAGACCGUGAGCUUGAUCUAUCCUCUCCUCGUGAGGAUACCCUACCAUCUAGGGCCAACAACACAAUCAAAACUCGCCUAUGUCCUCUCCAUGUGAGGAUACCCUACGAACUAGGGUCAGCAUCACUCGGAAGUCAUUUAUUCCGACCAUCAUGCAAUUGCACUUAGCUUUACUAAGUUCUUUGUCCACAAGGUAUUUUCUAAGGGACCUACCUAUCCCUAAGUUCUCAAACCUCUAGUGUCAAGUGCACUACUUUAAUGCCACUCAAUAUAUUCUUUAAACACUUAGAUGCUAUUUUCUAUGUCACCAAACACCCAUCGUGUCCAUCUCUUUUCUUUAGCACUAUAGGAUCAACGUUUCGACCCAAUUCUUACCUAUCCAUUUUCACCAAGUAUUCCAUAUACACUAGGUUAACAUUUAGAAGUAUAAGAAAAAGGCAUUACAAUGCAAUCCUAUAAUGCAACAUGCAAGAGAUGAGAUUAUGCUAUUCUAAGACAUAGAAAAGAGCUCGGUUGCUUCGGGAUGACACCCCCCACUUUUUCUUGUUGUAGAGGUUCUAGAAAUGCCUCUCGCCGAACGUUACGACGAGGUCUCGGCUUCCUUGGUCCAAAACGAUGCUCAAUCGGCCUUAUUUUGCCGAUAGCUUUUCUCCCGCUCGACGAAUCGAAAUUCCGACUUCGCCCCCGCGUUUAGACACCUAGCAAUUAGGCUUACAAGGCCUCAAAUGAGAUCAAUCUCAUACUUUACCAAAAAUCCCAUUUUGGGUGCCCUAGGGUUCCAUUUUGCCAUUUGCACCAUGAACCCUAGCCUCUAGCUCUAAUCCACCAUUAAUGGUGCUAGAGGUCCAUUUGACCUCAUUUCAAAAGCUCAAAACCUAAAAACCCUAGAUUCUACAUGUUAGGGUUUAAGAGCUUACCUCUAGGUUAGCUCCAAAGGAAGAGGAGAGGGAGAUGGAGAUGUCCAAAGCCUUCCCUUUGAUCUCCUUCUUCUUCUUCCUCUUCUUCUUCUCCUUCUUCUAUGCUCAAGAGAGGGAGAGAGAGAAAGAGCUUAGAGAGUGUGAGAAAGGGAGAGAAAUGAGAGGCUGAGGGAGAGGGAGGGCCCAUAUGCCUCUCUAAUGUAACAAAAUCCAUUUUAGCCCCUCCACUUUUCAUCCUGUACACAGCCCUCACUGGACAGUUUUCGCCCAGAGGGACCGGUCCCUGGUCGGGAGGACCGGUCCUCUAGGACCCUCCUCAGCAUCACGCGUACGGGAACCGGUCCCUACCCGAGAGACCGGUCCCCGAGAGACCGGUUCCUGCCUAAGAGACCGGUUCCCGUAAGGGGGAUUUUCGGGGACUUAAGCCAAAUUUUGGCUUUUCUCGCGGGUGUCGCAUACGGGGACCGGUCCCUCUGGCCUGGGGACCGGUUGCAUUGAGCAACCCCGCAGCCAACAGCUACGGGGACCGGUCCUUCCCUGCUAGGGACCGGUCCCCGAGAGCAAACUCUGCCAAGUGCAGAUUUUUACCUCUUUUGCUCUCGCGAACUCGACUUCAAAGCACUUUUUGUGUUUUGGACAUCUUUAGCUUUUCCAAAGUUUACUCCCUCGACAAAUAGUCGAUCCUGGAUGAAGUACAACUCUCGGAUUUCGAGAAUUCGCUUCCUUACACUGGCCGGGGGAGGUCAAGCCUGAGAGAGGGUGUCAUGCCCCAAUUCCAUAGUAGAAGUCCAUUGGGACGUCAACAGACCUGCCGAAUGGACAGAGUUUUCCUUAUCCGAACGAAGUGUCAACAAAUCAAAAUAGAAGCAAAGCAAUUCUAAUCUCAGAUUCAUCCAUGACCAUUUUUAGAGUUUACUCUAACAUCCAACAUGUAUCAGAGCACUAUAAAUAACAGUAAAACUACUAUAAAUCACUGUACAUACAAUCACAACUCCAGAAUAUAAAUAUACACAUGAAAGGCCUUGGCCUUGAAAGUCCUAACGUAUAGUAUAUAAUUCGAAAGUUAUCUAGUUUGGGUGCUCCUCUACAACCGGAAGAUAUAGGUAGUAGUCGCUAUCUACGGUGCGAUCUCCUUACUUCGUACAACUACUGGCUCAGAUGACCUUGAAAAGUAAACCACAAGAGGGUGUGAGGACUACUAAACUGUAGUUCCCAGUGGGUACGGUCGAUGACAACCACAGCCUUCCCACUAGGUCUACCUGAGGCAAGGAUAGAGAUAGAGAUGGAAUUGAAUAAAAAAAACAUAAUACCUGAACAGAAUUCAAAUCACAUCUAUCAUGCCUCUACACAAUAAUAUUCUGUCAUGCAAUCAGCUCCAGUACCCAACAGAAAUGCAUAAUGUAAUCCAGUCCUAUUUGUUACUAACCUUGUCAUGCGUCAACUAGAAUACUAAUAAUAAAUGCAAGGUAUCACCCAUUCAUACACAUGCAACCUAAUCAAUACAUUGUAACCCAAUCAUAAACUAACCGACUCAUAAAUCACAUAUAUAAGAAACAGGAGGCAUGGUAACUAAAGUAUGCAUUAAGGCUAAUACUAACAAAUAACUGCAGUAAUAGUACCUAAUCGCAACGAUCGACUCAUAGGUUCGGUCAAGCCUGCGCCUGCCUACUGCCCGGACCGCACUUCCGCAGGUGCGCCGCUAACACGUAGGCUCUGCCCCCAGCCCGAUCACCACUCCCGAAGAUGGGUUGUCAUCCCAAGGGAAAAUAUUUCUGCUAUAGCUGGUCAGCGUCCGGAGCGGCAACGAGUAUCAUAGCAUACCUCCAUCAAGCUCAAUGUGGCUUGCAGGCUGUAGUCUAUGCAAUGAUCAAAAAGAUCAAAAGUAAUCAUCUCGGCGCCCUCAGCACAAUCAUAGAGUAUCUACUAACUCAUAUAUCAACAUAGUAUGGUUAUAUGCCUCGUAACGUCCAGAAAAUGCUAAUCUCAUGGCACCAAUUACAUUUAUUACAGCAUGCAUAAUGCGAUAGCCAAUGUAUGUCAAUGACCAAUAAACCCUUUUGCAUAACAUCAUAUAUGUGGUAUGUCACCUAUAGAAUCAUGAUAUUCUUUAGUAACUAAAUCAGUUGUCCGAUAACACUUUAGUCAUCUCCAUAUGUUUCAUAUCAUAACCAUGCAACAAUUACAGUGCAAGUAUCAUAUAUAGCUUAUCCACUAUGCAUAUAAUGUCAAACGGCUCCUCCUGGCCUAAACUAGUACCUAUAGCAUAAUAUACAAGAAGGGAUUUAAUAUGUUAAAGCAAUUUGACCCCUUGUUCAUGCAAUCUGGCUUAGAUUAAUACUCAUAUGCAUGUCUCAUGGAAUCCAUUUUUUCUACUCAAUUCUGUAAUGUCACUAUUCUCUACCAACGUAUAUAUGCAUAUAAUGUCAAGCUUGUCCAUUAUACCAUAACAUAAAGCCUAUAUCCAUAAUCGAACACCCAUAAUUAGAUAAGCAUGCCUUCCUACUCUUUCUAGCCCGAUUGAUAAAAUUAAAUAAACUCAUGUGCAAGUAACCAAACGACUCCAACAUGCAAGUAACUAAAUGAGUCCAACACUCCAUGCACUAGUACCAAUUAAAACGCUAUAUCAUGUGUAACUUUUUCAUACUUAAAUUUAUUAUCCACCUAUUGUCCAUAGAUUCCAUCAUAGAAGCAUAAUUACAUAAAUUCUAAAUCAUUAUCCUUCUUUGCUACUAACAUUCCAAGACUAUCACAUAAAGCAACAAGUAUAAAUAUAUUAAUAAUUAACCUGCGUCCAAGUGGACAUAGUAGGGAGUACGCCAUUUUUGGCGACACAGAACCCACCUUGGAUGUGAAAUCAAGGAUAGAAAUGAUUGUCGGAACGCCAAGUUGCUCGCUGCUGCUCUCCCUAGUCACGUGGCAGCCACCACACCCCAAAAUGGUUGGAAAAAUCUCUCGUUGAAAAAUUGUGCAAUUUCGGCUCCUAAAUCACAUAGAAUUCGGUUUUAAAAUGCCAAUUUCUACAAACAUUCAUCAAAAUCUCUUUCUCUACAUCACGUUAUCAAGAAUCCCUCAAAAGAAUCAAAACAAAAGAUAAUAAAUAUUGUAAUACUAACCCAAGUGUCGAAACGCUAAAAAUCGUGCGCACAGUGUUUUGAUCGGCUCGUCAAAAGGCACCAAAUCCAUUCCUUUAUUCUUCUUCUUCUCUUUCUUUUCCCUUUUCUCUCUCUAUGCGUGCUGGCUCAAGGGGAGGAGCUUCAAGAAGGCUCCUGAGACUUAGUGGAAUUCCACUAAGUUGUAACAAAUGCUAAAAAGGCCACUAAUCCCAAGUAUUAUGACAUUAGUCCAAUUUUGAUCUGAUACAUUUAAUUGGAGCCCUUCUGAAUAUUCAUUUGCACUCAAAUUUGACAGGUAAACUCAAAUAAAGUUAAUCCGAAGGAAGUAAUCUUAAUUUUUCAGUUUUGGAUCAUUUUAGGUUACCGAAAGUUCUACCGACUAAAAUCUUCAACAAAUUGCAGUUAGGCUCCGUUUUCACUGCUCGAGCCUCCAAAUUACAUAAAACUUUAAAUCUAACCUCAGAAAAAUAGUUUUGACAAAUUUUCAAAUUUUCAGAAUUUUUCGCUACUGUCAAUUUUCCAGCUGCAGCAUAAGCCCUGUUCCUAUUAAAAAAUUCCAACUCUUCUUUUUUAUUCCAAUUUCACCACAAAUCACUUCAGAAUUAUCAUUUUACUCUACAUGCAAUAAAAAUAGUAUUUCAUACUAUUUUUAUUUACACUUGCUUCUAUAUUAAAAAAAUCUGGUAUACUACAUAGAGGAUGUCGGGGAGGUACAGAGAGGAUGUCGGGGAGGCAGUGUUCAGUGGUUGGGAGUGGUGACGGCAAUGGAUUACUCAGAUGCAGCUGAGGGAGCUUUUUCUUCUUCUCUUGCCAGAUCUAGGUUUGGGAGGACCUCGGGACGAUGGGGCGGUGCCGGAGGGGGUUGCCGGAGGUUAGGGAGGCCGGUGGCAGUGGUUGGGUCUGAUGCGGCCAGAGGGAGAAAGAAAGAGAGGUUGGUCGAAAUAGGGUCACCGGAGAUUGGGGAUGUGCCGACGACGCUCAGGAGGGGAUGGGUGGCGGCUAGGGUGAGGAGAGGGAGAGAGAUGAGAGAAAGGGAUUAUAAACCGUAGAUUCCACAUUUUAUACUUUUGUUACAAUUGCGAUUUCGUCCUCCAGGUAUUCAGUUUCUUGCUCAAAACUCCCUGGAAUGUGUAUCUUACAAAGUACUAUGUCUAUUGAAAAUUCUUGCAAUUUGGCACAUAUAAUGUCGCAUUUUUUUAUAGAAGAACCCUUUUUUAUCGGUUGCUCUUUCGCCAUUUUCCUUUCCAAACCACACUUUUAUCGUGCGAAAUCGUAGUAAGGUCCCUCACAUGAUUUACAGCACUAACAGACCUUGAAAAUAACGAUUUUGUUUUAUUGAAAACUAUAAAAUUGCACAGUAAUCCCCAACAUUUCAAAAUUUUAUUUAAUAAAACUUGGUUUCUACAUUUUAUUGAAGGUGCAGUGCAGAACAAAGAAUGUAUACCAGGCGUUAGGUUUCUUAUCUUAAAGAAAUUUUUAGCUUGGAUGUCUAUUUCAUAUUUCACGCCAAAUCUAGUUGUUAAUUUUUGCUUGAAGAGAUGGGGUUAAUGUUUUCUGGUUCAUAUUAUACAUUUAGCAUUUGAUGUUCUCCUGCUCAUAUGCACUGAUCUGUUUUCGUUGAACUUACUUCUUUCGCCUCCUUUUAUUAGUCGUCUUGCUUGUUUCCCUGGAAUGCCUAAUGUGGCAAGUGGCUGGUUGGUUUAUGAACAAACUUCUGCCAUCAAAAUUCUCAUUUUCAAUGUCCCAGAUUAUGUUGAUUAGUCUUACUUUCCACAUGAUGAAGUACACUGUUUUUUCCAGGGAUAUCACAUUCUGCAAAAGGGUAUUGUAUGAUAUCGGUGCUCGAAACAAUGAAAACUUAUUCAGCAGAAGAAGGCCUUACGGAAGAAGCAAUAGUUACGAAGCUUCGUACUUGCCGAUAUCAUCUUUUAUUCCUGCAUUCCUCUUUGCGGCAUAAUAUUUCAGGUUUGGACACUUUCUGACACGGGAAACCAACUUUUUCUGUGAGGUAUUUCUUAUUAUUCUUUGACAGAUGCUUGUGCCCUAACAAUAUUGUAUGUUGAUCUAGGAUGGGAUCCAGUUAGGAUAAAUGCCAUAUUAUAAUUGGACAAGCAUUAGCUUCUAAGAAUCCUAGGAUUAGCAGGAGAAGGGCUAAAUAGAAGUGUUAAUUUAGUAAAAUGCAGAGUGGAGUGAGGUUGUGUAGAACUUGGAAGCAGAGAUCCCUAAAACGAGACACUUUUGGUAGCUUGGUUCAAUACCAAUUGACAUCGUUUUUUAACAUGAUGUUGGCUAUAGAACCAAGAAACGAUGAUGAAGUUGUAGAAAUGUAUUGAGUCUUGGGCAAUGGACAAAUACCUAUAGUGCUGCUAGGGUAUAUUGUUAAUGUUUGUUGAUGUCCUGCUAUAGUUUGUUGUAAUGUUUAUUUGGCUAUUAGGAAACAAUAUGCUGUGGGAAGUGAGAAUUUUGUGACUUAUCUGGACUCUCAAAAAAUGUUUGAAUAUGAAAAAUGUAGUUUGUUGGGUUUUGUAGCAUCAUUUGCAAAAUAUGCCUAAUGUAGGACAAAUUAGGUUUUGUCUAACUGGUUGUGCACAGGUGACUUUCUGGGUGGGCUUUGAUUAAUUUAAAAUAAAUUUGGAAAAUAAGAUUUGUAGUAGAAGCAAAGAAGAAGCAUUGAGUAAUUCAUAUACAAAGAUCACGUGCAAAUGUAGACAAAGAAAUAGAAGACUAAGAGAAAGUUUUUUUUUUUUUGUUUAAUAUCCUGUUAUGAUUGGAUGUUGACAUCAAUUGAGAGGUCUUUGAGAUUCUCCUCCCUAGUGUUUUGGGAAGUACACAGGAACUUGUAGAUCUCAAAAGUCGUUCGUGAGAAGAGACUGGGGAGAAAGACAGGGUAGAGGAAUAUCAAGGCAAUUCUUUACUCUGAGCCAAACUUUUCUUAUUUCCAAAAUAGCCUAAAAAUACGUGAACCCUAGGCUAUAAUUAUAGUCUUCAAACAUAAUACAAGUAGGAGGAGACAAAUUUAUUUAAAACUGAAAAUUUUCUAAAAUUCUAAUCAGACUAGAAUUAGACCAAAAUUAAUGUAACCUAAUUGAAACUAACCUAACUGAACACAAAUUGAACUUGGUAGAUAAAAUUGGCUCAAACAAAACUAAAUAAUUUUCUAAUUAACACUAUGUCGCGAGAUUAAAAAGUGUGUUUUAUAAUUUCAUGCUUUAUGCUCUUGACGACCCCUUUUUGGGGUGAGGUGGUAGUUUUCGUAUUGUGCUGCAUCAAAUUUCUUCAGCUAAGUUUGAUAAUAGUUCGGGUAUGGUCCAAGAAUUCCAUCAUCAGUAGAGAAAAUAGUAUGUUGUAGCAAUAGGCUUAUCUUAUUGAACUUGACUGCAUUAGUAGAUUCGGUGGACAUAUAUGUCAACUCAAUUCCCUUGUGAUCAAAAGUAUAUGUAUUCUUAUAUCUUUUGUUGUGCACUCUAUCAUGAGCUGAACACUGGCGAGCUGGGGCCAGCUUGUGUUCGGCUCGACUCCUUAAUGAGCAAAACAUGAGCUAACUCGAAUAAAUUACGAGCCGAUCGUGAGUUGGGCUUUUCGCGCUCGUCAUGAGCUCGAGCUGAACAUGAGCCAUUGGUGCGUCCAACUUCUUGGCCCUUGGUUCCACAUGCCUUGAGCAUAGAUUGGUUGACACCGCAUUGUUUUGUUAAAAAAAAACACAUUUUCAGCUAAAGGAACGAGGUAAUAAAAAUUUUAAUUUUUAAAGAAAAACUUGAUUGAAUCAUGACGCCUACAUGAAAAAAAAAAUCAAAGAUCACCUCGUAUUUCAUUCUAGAUCUGAUCUAUUGAUCUAAUCAGAGAGGAUAAAAAAUUUGCACCCUUGCACGGGUUGAGAACACUAUGAAAGAGACAAUUGAUGUGGUAGAUCUAUUCGUUUUCCACAGCUGCGCAGUUGGGCCUCUACUUGCUUCCACACAGAAUAAUGAUCAAGAUAGGGCCGUGGCGCCUUGCGAUACGAUCAUGAUUUGGCGAUUUUUGUCGAUUCAAUGGAGAUGGAUCAACCUUUUAGGAUGUGCUAGCAGACUUUGAAGGUUGAUAAUGGUGGAUUUAUGGUGGAGAACUUGAGGAGGAAGAAGAGGGCUACAUUGCUAGCGUUUUCUAGAAACUAUAACUGCUCACUUUUCAAAAAAAACCUUGUGAGAUAUUUAUAGUAAAAGCCCUAAACCUUCCACCAAUCAGAGAAGGGGGGGGCGGGGAGCCCACCCUUUAGGAUUCCUAUUUCGUUUUUUCUUUGCGUGGCGCUGGUUCAAUAUUAUUAGAUGCCCGCUAAUACUUUUUGGCUGGUUUUCUUUUAAGUUUGAAUCGAAUGACAUCUGAGUCACGUGUAACUGUUACAUGUAAGUCCAUGUUAUUGGCUAGCAGCUAGUAAAUACCACCCUGCAACUUUUGCAUUUUAAGACUUCUAAAUUACAACUUCUGGAAAUUAUCCCUCUGCUAAUAACUUAGUAUUCCAGUUAUCUAGCAAUACCAAAUUUGCAUUCAAACCAUCUGAUAAACUCCUUUAUUGUCUCCAUAACCUCAAUCACACGCGAACUCUUAUAUGUGUGACCUCAUAGGCUCUAUUAUGUCUGAUAGUGAGCUACAAUUUGAUCUCUAGCUACAUCAUCUUUCGAUGGAUCGAAACUCUUUCCAAUUCUACCCUUACAGAAUAAUUGAUUGUCUAUAUUAUUUUCGUGGUUCCUAUAAUACACCAGUGAUGCCUAACAAUAUGCAGUGGCAAUCCAAUCAGAAAUGAAUAUCGAACUGAACUUCUAGUUGCAGUUACCUAACACAAUCUUUCCAUCGCAUAGUCCGACCAAGUGGAGGUUAUCGAAUAUUCGUCAAACCCAAUCACUUGUCAUAUGACAAGUCUAAUAGGAUAGACGCUUUUAUGGUUUCUUUUGGAAACUCCUUUCCAUAUACCAUGUAUCCCUGGCCUAGGAUUUCUAAGCCUUGCGCCCUUCCUUACAUAUAGCAUAGGACUAAUAAUCUCUCUAUCCAGAGCGGUAGGUUCCCUAUGGCUUUGUUUGGUUCGGGUGUAAGUAAGAACUGCCUUAUUCCAGGGAUAGGUACAAGUUCAGGUAUAAGCGAGAACUAGAGGAAUUUUGCGGGACUUAUUUUAUAAAACAAUCCUCUAUAAUUUUAAAAUUUGUAAAAUAACCCUCUCAAAAUUAUAGGGUAAAUUACAUUGUUACCCCCUGAACUUUUGGCGAAGUUUUACUUUACCCCUCGAACUCCUAAAAUGGACAUCUAACACCCCAAACUCUAAUAUUUCAUUCAUGUUACCCCUUUCGUCAGUUUUUCGUCAAGCUCUGUUAACUGGAAACUGAUGGAAGGGGUAAAACGAAUGAAAUAUUAGAGUUUAGGAUGUUAGAUGCCUAUUUUAGGAGUUUGGGGGGUUAAGUGAAACUCGCCAAAAGUUCAAGAGGUAGCAGUGCAAUUUAACCAUAAUUUAUCCUACAUUUUAUUAUAAUAAAAUGAAAGGGAGAGAAAUGAAUUAGAGUGGCUUAAAGAUAAGAAAAGAGCUAUACUAACUACCUACGAUACUCGAACACUCUACUGUCUUGGUGUACUUGUUAAUAUGGUUGAUUUACAAUAGGUGUCCUCACUCGGAUAUAGAGAUUUUAAUUCUCAGCUAAUUUUCUGUAGUGCUCGUUUGUCCCUUUUAUCUUUAGAAGCAUUGUUCUAAAGUAUUUGUAGAACGCAGCGGAAGUAUUCGUUCGUACCUUUUUGCGGAAGCGAUUCGCGGUACAACGCGAUGAGCCCGGAUCGUAGAGGUUGAUUCACGUGUCCUUUGAUCGCCCUUUAAGGUCUUCUAACGCUCCGAACCCGCGGUGGAUCGAACUACAAACGAGCACGAUCGCAAAUCCACCGUUCAAGUCCCUUUAGAAUAAUAGGUUAAUGGAGGAUGUGGUUUUUCUUUUUUGUUUUCUUAAUUCUCUUUCUUUUUCCGUUCUUCUUAUUUUAUGUGGGAUCGCCUGUAUAUUUAUAAGGGAUUCCAAAAUCCUAAUAACAUAAGAGAUAAGGCCAAAUCGGUUAUUUAUUGUUAUCCUAAUAUGAUUAGGAUUUAUCUCUAAUUAGCUUUCCAAUUUAAAAGCGAGAUUAAUCCUAAUCCAAUUAGAUAACGUAAUAACCAUCUGAUCGAGCCCAAUCAUGGGCGCACCCGAUUCGUUUUAACCGAAUGCCAACAGUAUUAUAAAAUAUUAUUUUAUAUUUUUAUAUUAAAAUUUUCUAAUUGGCUGAAAUGAAGUACAAUUUUAGGUUAAAAUAAAAUUAAAUUGCAGAGUUUCAUAGGAAAUAAGUGCAUUUUCUAGAAUAAUGCUUCUAAAGAUAAAAGGGACAAACGAGUACUACAGAAAAUUAACUGAGAAUUAAAAUCUCUAUAUCCGAGUGAGGACACUUAUUGUAAAUCAACCAUAUUAGCGAGUACACCAGGACAGUAGUGUGUUUGAGCAUCAUAGGUGGUUAGUAUCGCUCUUUUCUUAUCUUUAAGCUACUCUAAUUCAUUUCUUUCGCUUUUAUUUUAUUACAAUAAAAUGCACGAUAAAUUAUGGUAUAAUUUAUUUUAGGAUAAAAAAUAUAUAUAAAUUCAAAAUCAAGCAUAAUCACUAACUUGAGGGUUAGUAGUCAAUCCAUAAGUAACAUAUUAUAAUAAAAUAAUUUAUAGUCAAGAGUCCUACAGGGUAAAUUGCACUGCUACCUCCUGAACUUUUGGCGGGUUUCACUUAACCCCUAAACUCCUAAAAUAGACAUCUAACACCCUAAACUCUAAUAUUUCAUUCGUUUUACUCCUUCCGUCAGUUUUCGGUUAACGGAGCUUGACGGGAAACUGACGGAAAGGGUAAUAUGAAUGAAAUAUUAGAGUUUAGGGUGUUAGAUGUCCAUUUUAGGAGUUCGAGGGGUAAAGUGAAACUUCGCCAAAAGUUCAGGGGGGUAACAAUGCAAUUUACCCCAAAGUUAUAUUUGUAAAACUAAUCCUCCUUUUACCACGUAGGUGGGAGGGCGAAUAUUUUUUAUGAAAGCGGUGAAUCGUUCACCGCCUUUCUAAUUUUCCACAAAGGCGGUGAAUGAUUCACCACCUUUCGCUUAUUUACUGUUUUUUUUUUUUUAUAUCCCAUAUAUAAUCCUAACAACCAUAUAAAAAUUUUAACAAAUUACAUAUAAUCUUAACAACCUGAAAAUUCUAAUAAUUUAUCUAUAUAAUUUCAUAUAACCUUAACAGCCUGAAAAUCCUAAUAGUCUAUCCAUACAAUUUAAUAUAAUCUUAACAAUCUGAAAAUUCUAAUAAUCUAUCUAUACAAUUUUAUAUAAUCUUAACAGUCUGAAAAUCCUAAGAAUCUAUCCAUACAAUUUAAUAUAAUCUUAACAGCUUGAAAAUCCUAAUAAUAUAUCCAUACAAUCCUAACAAUCAAAUAAAAAUUCUAAUGAUCCACAUAUAAUCCUAACAAUCUCACUUUUUUCUAUUUCCUAUAUAAUUCAUGGACAAUUUUAGUAAAUGCGGCGAACAAUUCACCGCCUUUAAAAGAAAUGAGAGAAAACGGUGAAUGAUUCACUGCCUUUAAAAGAAAUAAGUGAAAGCACUGAAUGAUUCACCGCCUUUAAAAGAAAUUAGAGAACGCGACAAACGAUUCACCGCCUUUAAAAGAUAUGGGAGAAAAUCCCACGUGGCUCCUACAUGGCGAAAAGAGGGUUAGUUUGCCAAAUAUAAAUUUGGCAGGGUUAUUUCGUAAAUUAUAAAAUUUUAGAGGGUUAUUUUAUAAAAAAGUCCAAUUUUGCGUUUGGAUGAAAAUUAGGGUGUUCCCGGGAAUAAGAAAAAUAGCGUUUGGAUAGAUAAGAUAGAAUAAGAAGAAUAAUGGAUAGUAAAUUGAAAAUAAUGAUAUUACCCUCUCAUUAUAUUUGACUUUUAAAUUUUUAAAUUUUGCGUUUAUAAUUUUAAAUUUAAAUUUGAAAUUUGAAAUUAAAAUUUAAAAUUUAAAAUUUAAAAUUUUUAAUUUUAAGAAUUUCAAUUUUAAAUUUAAGACCAAAUUUAAAUUUGAAAGAUAUAAAAUAUCAAAUUUAAAAAUUAAAAAAAUCAAAAUUAAAAUUUAAACUUUAAAAUUUGAAUUUUUAAAUUAUAAAUUUUAAUUUUAAAAUUACAAAUUUUAAAUUUUAAAAAUUUAAAUUGUAAUUUAAAACAUAGUUCUCUCUCUUUCUUUCUCUCUUUCUCUCUCUCUACCAGGGGAACAAGGGGUGGGAACAAUUUCCACCCUAUAUCGGGUUAUACCGGACCCAACUCUUGUUGGGUACAAGAGGGGGGGAUAAGACCUUACCCCUCUCUUGUACCCAAUCCAAACGGUGUGUAUAGGCACACACUCAUUUCUAAUAUGAACCUGCUGCGGGUAGUGUACCUGUUAAGACCCGUGGUUAGAAUUAGUGCUUAUGGCACAGUCAAACUACAAUAGUUGAACAAUCAUGGUGUCUCAUAUCUUAAGGAUUAGUCAUACAAUUGCAACAUCAAACCAAUGAUUUGACGAGUAGACAUUCAUAUAACUGUUCGUAGUGAGUCACGCUCAACAUGUUUGUUUUUUUAACAACCACCUACAUGUUUGCUCCAGUGUCACCAAACUAAUGACUCAAGACUUGUCAUCCCAAAAGGAAAGCGGACACAUACACUAAUCUAACAAGAUCAAUCAUCGUUUCCAUAAUGAUACACUGAUUGGGAGCAUUUGGAAAUUAAUCAUUAAUAAUGUGUCUCAAGUUCUCGAUUCUUGAGAAUACACAUCAUUGUCUUAUUAAUUUCUCGAAUAAGUCAUGAACACAUUAAACGUGAAUGGAAAAAAAUAGCUCAAAUAAUAUAAAUAAUCAAGAUCAAGUGCAAAAUAUCCAAUAAAAAAUGUGCUCAAAUAAUAGCUCAAAUAAUAUAAAAUAUGUGCCAGCCCAAUUGGCUUCUAGGGCAUACAACUAACAUAGUCAACUUCUUUUUUGUACUCGUCCUCUUCUGUUUUAUUUUUACGGAGGUUUUAAGUGCCUGUCGGCACGGGCCGUAUCCACCAUGCCGUACCGUGCCAACAAGAUACCGGCACGAUACAGACCCCGUGCCAAUGGCAUAGCUCAAAACCCUCUAUUCUUCAAAUUAGUAAGUAAUUUCCUCAAUAAAGUUCAAAAGAUGUGAUAGAAAGACAUAAUAAAUAGUUAGAAUAUUUUGUUGCUAAAGAAAAUAAAUAUUUCAUGCUAUUAUGUGUUAGCACACAAGAGUUUUUUUGACUAGCACGCAUCGGCACGGCUCUGCACGUACCGUGCCGUACCGUGCCGGCAAGUUUCCGGCACGACUCCAUGCCACGGCACUUAAAUCCUUGUUUUUACUUUUAUCAAAUACUAGUUCAUCGUCUAGCUCUACUUUUUGGAGCAUAGGUCACGAACAAAUUCUAUUUUAGGCGAGGCCUGGUUUGUCACAUUAAAAACAUCGGCCUGGUUUGUUACAUUAAAAACAUCGGCCUUCUAAACUCUCCUUUGUCGGAUUACUAGUUAAUGGUUUGGAGUAGGUCGACGGGCUCGAUGCUGUAGGCUUUGAUUUCUCAAGAGUUAUGAAAUGGCGCCUUUUCUUGUGUUGAAGCUAUGUUAUGGUGCUGAUGGUGGCGGCUUCUAUUGUUCUUCUAUUUGAUGUGCUGCGUGAACCCCAUUGACUAUAGAAAAUAAUCUAGUAUUCAUGGCGCCAAUUUCGGACUUAAGUCUGGUGUUGUAUUUUAAUCAGCAGAUUCUCAUUCCAAAAAAUUCAAAUCAUGUCGCGUAAUUAUAGAAUUGUGCAAUGUGCUUUUCUAUGGUUUUGGAACCCUUGGUUGGUAGAGUCAAUUGUAAUUGAACAUAUUGACGAUAGUCAUAUGGAAUACAGUGUUGAGACCUUGUUCGCUUCUAUCCUUCCAUGUUUGUGUAGCCGUAUAAUGAUGCUGCUGUUCUUUAGAUCACAAAAUCUUGACUAUGUGUAAAAAUAAAAUAUUUUGUAUGGAACGGUAUUGUAAGUAAGGUUAUAGUCAUUACCUUCUGCUUUAUUUGAUUUAGCUGUACAUGUAAAUAAGAUAUGAUCUGAAAGAACUAGACAUGAAUAGGAGUUAGAUUAUUGUAUUGGCAUAAAAUAGUGCAUGCCAACAUUCCUGAUGCUAUUCAUCUUAAUUGUAUGGUGGUAAAAAUGUAUAGAACUUUCCUCAACUGUCUUCCAUUUUGAUCUGACUACCUGAUCUUUGAAAAUUUAGAUUUUGCUAUGUAACCUUUCAAUUUAUUUAAUUUAAGUCAGUUAAUGACUCUUUGACUUCAAAAUUUGUAUGAGUUGUUUUUUUGUACAGGUUCAAUUAGUAUAUUUUAUGCAGUUCAUGCAACUAUAAUUUCAACAAUCGGCUUAAAUUUUGUAUUGGAAGAGCUAUCAAAUGACUUAAAUCAAACAAAUUGGAGGGUUUGGUAUUAAAAUCAAAAUUUUGAAAGGUUGUCUAGUCAAAUCACAAUGGUUUAUAGUUCAGGUAAGUUUUAUACAUUCUUACCUUGCAAGGUACCAAAAAUGUAAUAAAUUUCUGAACAUUUUGGAACUACAGAUAAAGUGCUAAUAUUGUUCAAUCAAGAUAAACCUAUGCCUAUCUUCUCCCAGUUAGAAGAAUUACAGUUGAGAGGCCUAUUUUACAUUUUUACCAAUUACUAGUGUAAAGUUACAUCAACCUAUGCUGAUCUUGUCGAGUACAUGUUUUCCUAUUGUCCAUCUUCUGAUUCUUCCCAUAAUAUUGCUAUAACUAAUAAUUAAUAUUAAAAUGAACAAAACACUUCUAUUAACAAGUAUUGUCUUUUUCUAAAAUCUACCUAUGUAUAGCAUGACAUGAGAAAAUCUCAUUACUAAAAUUUAAUUACACAUUUCUUCAAACCUUCAUUUGCUUAGCUUACGGACAUGCAAGACAUGGAAAGACAACAACCAGUAACUAAGACAGAAAUAUUGAUCUGACUUUUUUCUUUAUGAAAGAGACAUGAUAGUCCUUGUACCGUGCUGAUAUGGAGACGCCACCACCUAUAGCCCAUUCUGUUCGACUUAGUUUUUUGGAUUAAUGAAUUUUAAACUUUUGCGAUUGAGUGAUUUUUACAACUAAAAAUUAUGGAUUUUAUCAAAUUAUGAGUGAUUUUAUCAAGUUUAAUGAUAUAUCACUUUUAGCCAAUAAAACUAGAAAAAUUACCAAUUAAUAGGUAAUAAAACCUUUGAUUUUAAAACCUUAACUAACUCAGAUAACUCAAAUAGAAAAAAGUUGGGGCAUUAGUGUCAAUCAAAAUAGUAGCUGAAGGGGUCAUUUUAGAAUGACCAAUGGGUGAGGGGGUUUUCAUACGUUUUCACCAGGAGCCUUAUUUCCUAACUUUGUAUACAUCUUCAAAAAGAAAAAAAAAGUAAAAAGUGAAAGAAGGGCAAAAGAGCAUACCCUCUUAGGUUUUAUUGAUGAAAUUAUAUAGUACAAGAAAAGGUUUAAAGUGCUGUGGCACGGGGGCGUGCUGCUGUCUGCUUGGCACGGUACGGCGUCGGCACGUUUUCAUGCCGACACAUGAUGCGCUUGUGUGCCGAUGAAUACGCAUGACCUCCUAGUAGCACACUUUGGCACAGAUUUAUUUUAGUUUUUUUAGUUCCAAUAAGCUCUUAUAAUAUUAUUUUAAAAGAUUUAAUCAAACAAUUAUGAAUAUUUGUUAUGUAUAGCUUACUAUACUCAUCAAUUAAUAUACUUGUAAGCUUUUUUGUAUGUAUAGUACAACUAUACCUGAUGCAGAAUAGAAAUUUUUAUAGGUUAGAAUUUUUAAAAUGCAAAGAUAUCUUUUUUUUUUCUUUUUUCUUUUGACCAUAUUACAGUCUUUCUUUUAUAAAAUACAAAAAAUAAUUUUUAAAAUUAUUUUAAAAAUUAUUUGAAAAAAUUAUUUUUUAAUUAAUUUUUUAAAAUAUUAGUAUAUCUAUUGUCACGCCCCGAAUUACAUGUUUCCCCGAGCAUGCCAACAGACCCGCCGUAUAUAUAGGAAUUUUUUCUGUAUACGAAGCGAUAGCUGUACCUAUAAACAAAACAAGCUACAAUCACAAGGUAAAGAGCUGCUAAACUGCAAACAUAUAUAUAAAACCUCGAGGGGUUCCAGUACAUACAAAAAGUCCACUAUACACGCUCCAGCCAGUACCCCGACAACAUCACAGUAUGUACAAAGAAAGCCUAAAACUACCUCUGGUAGGUACUCCUCUAGCACUACCGCAAAGCUGGAAGGGAUCUAGCUCGCAACUCCCUCUCCACGAUCAGAAUCAGCAACAGCAGCAGCCGCAGACGAAGGCUCUGCCAAAGGGGUCCACAACUGGGUGUGAGAACUACUGUAAAAAGUAGUCCCAGUGGGUACCGUCACCGACCUCAACAGCUCACCCACUAAGUCUACAGAAAAGUGCAUAAAAGAUAGUAAAGAAAGCUGGAAAUCCUACAGCUAUAUGCCACUAUACUAUCGCUAACCAACACUAGCUAUCUGUAGAUAUAGCAAAAAUGCAAUCUUUGAUCCAAACUCACUAGGGACUGUGAACGCACCCGUCCCGCCUGUCGAAGCUACAUCAUACACCACCCCGAGGGAUGCCGGUGGAGAGCAAAGUCCUAACCGGACACUACGACAUCAACGCAAAAGCACAUAACCAGACUCCGGAGCGGCACUCGUGGGCGCUACUCAACCGAGUAUGCAAGCGUGUCUUUGCCGAGCUUAAUCAGGCUCUUAUAGGCUAUAAUCAAAGCAAAUAGGUCUAACGGUUUAACAACCAAAGUUCACGUGCCCUUGACACAAUCUGAGGCAAAACACAGAAUCUGGGUCCACCGUCAACCGCGACGGCACCCGACAGUCCGAAACAGUCUACAUACUACUGUAAAAAUAAGCUCGGCAUUCCAGCACGAGCGUAAACUCAUCCUACACUAAUCUGGGUAUCCACCACAUACAAACAGCGGCGAUACAGACGAACCACAACUCCUAAAGCUAAAUCUUGUAAUUUUCAGAAAUGACAGUGUAGAAUCUAUAUUUUUUCUCCUAAGUCAAAUCCAAGUCCAACAUGUAAAAUUGUAACUCUAGCUUAACUCCAAAUUCAGAUUUUAUACUCUAAUCCAUGAAUUCGAGUACUAGCAAGGAAAUAAACUAAUGAUACAUGUUGACGAUGCUAAAACUUAGGGAGUUCCGACGAUUUCUGUAAACAUUAACCCACAUCGACACGCUAGUCCAACUACGGCGAGAAGUCGAAAGGAGGGAAAACCACGCGCUCGCUCGGCCUCCCAACAAUGCAACCGCAACCUCCCGAGCUCGAGCCGCGACCUCAACAACGUACAAGUCCACCGGCUAGAGAAAGAGAGAGGAAAAGAAGAAGAAGAACCGCUCACAACCCUCUCUCUCUGAAUAUAUAAGCUGGGGAUAACCUUGGGUUGAUCGACACACCAAAAGACCAAAAGGCCCCUCACCAACUCAAAACUCCAGCUAGAGUACCGGUACCCAAUUUGGUUACCGGUACUCGGCCUCUCAUCCCGCAAGCUCGUACACAGGGUACCGGUACCAGCCCGAUUCAGUACCGGUACUCGGCAUCAAAUUGGCGCAACCCGAGAGCAGCAUUUUUGGAAUUCCACUGGAGUAUCGGUAUUCCUCUGCCUGGUACCGGUACUCAACACUGAAAACCUGCACUUUGCAGAUUCCAAUGUCAAAACUCUACUCUCGCGUAGCACUGAGUCCGUUUUACGUCCAUUUGGCGCUAAAACGACUCCGACUUGUCCCGACACUCCAGAUGUGUCGACAAGCCUCAGAUGCUGAGAUCCACGGGUUGCAGAACACCAGGGGCACUACAUCUAUCAAAAAAAAUUAAGCGAUAAAUUAUAUGACAAAUAAAUUAAAUAAAUUUAACUGUUAAUUGAUUUAAUUUAACUUUUAAUUUUAUCAGUAUUUUCAAUAUUCUAACGCAAAAAUAAAAUUUUAUGUUUGAUGUGCCUCAAAAUUUGUUUAUUGAGUUCGAUUUUGUUUUCCUAAUUCGGCAAAAGUUUCGUGGUGCGACAAAUUUUGAUAAAAUAAUUUGUGAAGAAAAAAAAAAAAUGUCUGUGGUAGAAACAGAGGGCUCGGGCCGAUAAAUGGAUCGGAUAUGUAAAUUAAAAAUUUGCCCUAUAUUGAUAAACAAAAAAAUUAAAUUAUAAUUUUUUGACUUGCCUAACAAGUAAAUUUUUAAUUUGCAAUGUUUUUGGGAGGUGUGGGGUACUCAGAAUGCUUUGGGUACCCUAAAAAACAAAACAAAAAGAAAAAAACAAAAAGCAAAAAAAAAGGAGCGUAGUGCCGGCACGGCACUGUGCCGCGGCACGCGUCAUCGUGCUGCUUUGUCCAGUGCAGCACGGCCCCGCGUGCCGCAACACGAGGGGGGGUCGGAGAACCCCCUUGUACCGUGCCAGGGGGCACAAUACGACACAGGGCGGUACUUCAAUCCUUGGUACAAGAGAUAAGUCUAUUAUAGUAACAAUGUCUACUAUAGUAACAAUACAACUAGGAUUACAUACUGUAUAAACCUAUAUCAUAUCAUAUAAUCCUACUCUAAAUAUGUUGUAAUAUACAAUAUCCUAAUAUAGUAGAAGAUACUUAAUAUGUCGUAAGUCGUAACAUCCCCCGCAAGCUAAGUAUUCGGUGGCCGGAUGCGAAGAUUAAGCCGCAACAUUGAAAAUUGGGAGGACGACAAAGGCUUGGUGAAAAUAUUUGCAAGUUGCUUAUCAGAAGAGAUAUGCACAAAGUUCAAAUCACCAGACUGAACUUUCUCACGCAGGAACUGAUAGUCAAGCUCAAUAUGCUUCGUCCGAGCAUAGAGAACCGGAUUAGCCGCAAGAUAAGCCGUGCUGAGAUUAUCAUAAUAGAUGCUGAUGGAGCGCCAUAAGAAAACACCAAGGUCACGGAGUAAACGUCGAAUCCAAACCGUCUUAGCAAGCGUGUACACCACAGCACGAUACUUAGCUUUAGAAUUGGAGCGAGAAAUGGUGGGUUGUUUCUUAGCAGACCAGGAGAUAAGAUUGAGCUCGAGAAAGACGCAAUAGCCAGAAGUAGAGCGACGUGUAUCGGGACAAUCAGCCCAAUCAGCAUCGGCAAAUGCCACAAGAGAAGGCUUGACACAGCGAGAGAGUGGAAGACCAUAAGAUAGGGUCCCUCUGAUAUAAUGUAGAAUAUGCUUGACGGCUUGCAUAUGUGGUUCACGAGGCGUCUGCACAUACUGAGCAACAGAGUUGACAACAUAUGAAAUAUCCGGUCUCGUCAAGGUGAGAUACUGGAGAACACCAACAAGCUGACAAUAGACAUAAGGAUCAUCAAGAAGACGUCCCUUAUGAGACGAGAGGCGAGAGACCGGAGAGAGAGGACUAGAGACAGGCUUACAAUAAAAAAAACCAUGGCGUUGAAGUAGUUGAUGCGCAUAUUUGUGCUGAGUCAGAUGAAGACCAGAAGAAGACGGAGUAACCUCAAUGCCCAAGAAAUAAUAGAACGGCCCGAGAUCCUUCAUAGCAAAUUCACGUUGUAGGGUGACAAUGAGAGCCUCGAAAAAAGAUGAGCUGCCGGUGAUAAUAAUAUCAUCAACGUAUAAAAGAAGAACGAGAGUGCCAGAAGAGGAAUGGGAAACAAACAUAUAGGGAUCCGUGGUAUUGCUGACAAAACCAAGUUCAGAAAAAAUGAAGUGAAUCGCUGAAACCAAGCCCGAAGAGCCUGCUUAAGACCAUAGAUUGCCUUGCCGAGACGACUAACGUGAUGAGAAAAAAAGGGGUCCACAAAACCCGGUGGUUGUGCUAUAUAAACUUCUUUAGAGAGAGUUCCAUGAAGAAACGCAUUCUUAGCAUCAAGUUGUCGAAGAGACCAACUAGAGGAUAAAGCCACUGAGAGAACAGUACGAAUAGUGGUCGCUUUGACAACGGGGGAAAAAGCCUCAUCGAAAUCAAUACCUCGUUGUUGUUUGUAACCCUGAGCAACAAGCCGAGCCUUGAGGCGCUCAAGAGAACCAUCUGCUUUCUGCUUUACCUCGUAUACCCAUUUACAGCCAAUGAGCUUAACGGAAGAAAGAGGAGGAACGAGAUCCCAAGUAGCAUUAGUCAAUAAGGCAUCAAAUUCCUCAGCCAUGGCAGACAUCUUGAAAAGCCUUAUGAAAGGAGGUAGGCUUAGUAGGAAGAGUAGAAUGGGCAGAAGCGAGUAAGGAAAUAGACCCUGUGGAAUCCUUAGUCAUCGAGCGAGUGAGUAUAGAAUGGGUUCGGGUAGGCAGUGGAGCUAUAGAAGAUGAAGGAGAGGAGACAGUAGCAGGCUGAGGAGGUGGAUUAUCAGAGGAGGUAGGUAGCACAUCAGUAGCAUAUGGAGAAGAAGCAACAGGCCGGUUGGCCUGUCGUCUGAUAUAGACCCAGAGCUCAGAUGGACCAACAACAGUGGCAACAUUCUCAGGACCAACCUGUGGAGUGUCAGAAUGCAAGCUGGAAGAAAAUAUUGAUAUGUUCUCAGACGGUGAAACCGAUGUGUGUGAACCAUUGUCAGCAGGAGGACGUGUGAAGGAGAAGCUAGAAAUCGCACCAAGAGUGCUAGGACUUUCACCCAGUAAAGGCGGAUUAGAGAGAAAAUUUUGAAACAUUUGCAAGUUGGAAAAUGAGGAUGAGGAAAAAGAAAAUUUAGACAGACAUGAGUAAGGAAAAAUAUGUUCAACAAACGUAACAUGGUGAGAAAUAAAGACUUUACCGGUGCUUGGAUGUAGACAGCGAAAUCCUUUAUGUUUGUCAUAAAGUCCCAAGAAGACAUAAGGAAGUGAUCGGGGAGCGAGCUUGUGAGGUGCAAUGUCCUGUACAUCGGGAUAACAUAAACAUCCAAAAACUCUAACAAGUUGCAAGUUAGGAGAAGCACAACUAUGAAGAAUGUCCUUUUAAAACAGUGAGAGAUGGAAUUCUAUUCACAAGAAAAACAACAGUUUGAAUGGCUUCAGCCCAGAAUCGAGGAGGUAAGCAAGCUUGAAAAAGUAGGCUUUUAACAACGUUAGAUAAAUGCCUAUGCUUCCUCUCAGCAAGACCAUUUUGUUGAGGAGUAUAAUGACAAGAAAAUCUGUGAAUAAUGCCAUUUUGUGAAAAAAGAGUAGAAAACUUCUUAUUUACAAAUUCAGUGCCAUUGAAGGACUCGAAAAUUUUUAUCGAGCUAUGGAAUAUGUUUUCAGCUAUUCUUUUAAACUCCAAAAAUUUGUCAAAAACUUGGUGUUUAGAUUUUAAAAGAUAAAGCCAAGAGAAUCGAGAGUAAUCAUCAAUAAAAAUAACAUAAUACUUAUAGCUAGAGAGUGAGGGAACAGGUGAUUGCCAUACAUCCGAAUGAACAAUAUGAAAGGGAAAAGUAGACUGAGAUUUUGAAUCAUUAAACGAAAGUUUGACAUGUUUUCCCAUAUUACAAGUAUUGCAAACAUAUAAUUUUAAAAUAGAAUUCGAGACAAUUUUAUUAUUUGUAAGGAAUGUAGAAAAACUAGGGUGACCUAACCGUCUAUGCCAAAUAUCACUAUUAACCCUAGAUGCAACCAGUGUAGCUGUUGCUUAUUUCCAAUACUUGUAACUUUAGAAGAGAGUGAAUAGAGUAAUGUUCUCGAACUAGGGCAUUGAAGGAGCUUCGUCCCUGUUUUCUUGUCUUUCAUAAAAAAACCAGAAGAGCCAACUCAAAAAGGAAAUUAUUAUCAUGACAGAACUGGCGUACGGAAAGUAAAUUUUUCUUAAUAGAAGGAACAAUAAGAACAUUUUUAAGAGCAAAGGAUUUAGAGGAGGAAUGCAACUGAGUUUCACCUGUCUGAGUAAUAUCAAGUAAAUUUCCAUUACCAACAAAAAAUUUUUCGUGCCCUUUAUAAGGUUUAGAGGUUAAGAGAAUACCAGAAUUUGCGGUCAUGUGAUUAGAUAUUUAGAUGCGCCGGUGUCAGGAUACCAUACUUCCUCGCCAGGUUCAUGGAGGUUCAUAGCAGUAAAGGUUUGAGGAAGAUCAUCUGCAACAAAGGAAUGAUUGAAGCGUUGUCUGCACUGAAGAGCCGAAUGAUUAAACUUGCCGCAAAUUUGACAUUGUGUCCUAGAUUUUGGAAUGUAAGGUUGAUAGGUCGGGGUAUAGGGUUGAGAAUUAUUAGGUUGAAAAUGCGAAUAGGCUCCAGGAGAUCCACGACUAGGAUAUGAAUUGAAUCUACUGCGUGGUCCUUGAACACUACGAUAUCUACCUCUACGACCUCUAUGGCUUCAGCGUCCACGAUUUGCAUAAAGAGCUUCAGCAUUGAUAGUGGGACUGGCUGGUGAUGUCGUCAAACUAAUACGAUGUUGAACUUCAGUUUCCUCUUGCAUUAGAAGUGGACGAAGUUGUUCAAAAGUGGGCUUAUGUCGAUGUGUAUUAAGGGCAUUGACAAAAUCCCUAUAUUCUUCCGGUAACCUGAGAAGAACUGUUAUGACCAAGUUAUGGUCUGACUCAGAUUCACCAAUCGCUUGUAGAGCAUCACUAAUCGCCUUAAUCUUUUGCAUGUAAUCGCUCAUGUUUAUUGAACCUUUCUUGAUGCUUCACAAUUCGGACUAUAGAGAGAGCCGUAGAAGCAGUUUUAUCAAGGAAACUAGUGAAGGACCUGCGCAUUGCGGCGGAAUGAUUUCGUAAAAAUAAAUAUAUAAAUAAAAUAAAAAAUAGCAAAAAAGAGCCAAAGAAUUAUAUAAAAAAAGUAACUGAAAAAUAAGCAACUUUUGCUAUAAUAAAAAUAUAAGAAUAAUACCUCUACAGAUUUAGGGAUAAAUCAUAACAGUAUAAUAUUUUCAACUGUUUAUAUUUUCAAUUGUACGAUCACAAAUAUGUCCCUCCAAAACCAUAACAGAAUAAUAUAAGUGGGAUAAAAAUGUCAAAACAUAUCAUAGAAAAAUUUAGGGAUAAACCCUAAACCCACUCAAUUUUAAAUUUAAAUAUUUAAUUUUAAAUAUUUUAUAAAAAGCAAGUUGCCGCAUCCCUGGUUGAAAUGAUUCUAUAAUUUUUUAAAAAUCCGAUCUUUCAAAAUUUUAUUUUGAUUAUCUAAUUUUUCGAUAUAUUAGAUUUCAGUCAGUCGAUGAUAUUUUGACUUUAAAAAUCUGAGUGCAUUGCUUUUUGAUAUAUUAGAUUUGAGUCAGUCGAUGGUAAAAUUAACUUAAAACUCCAAUCUUUUUUUUAUUUUUUAAUGUACAAUCUAUGUCUAAAUACUUAAUAUUAUAAAAUUAAAAUUUAUAUUUAAUACAAACAAUUUAAACUAUUUAAAAAUUAUUUAUAUAUUUAAAAUUUUUAUAAUAAAAAAAAAGUUAGAGUAAACCUUAAAAAAAAUUAUAAAUCUUUUUCUCCAUAUUGGAAAAGAGAAAAAAAAAAAUGGAAGAAAGAGGUAUGAAAUAAAAAAAAAAAAACAAAAGCUCCGCUCUCUCCCCAAACUGGGUCCCCACCCAUCUACGUGCCAGCUCCUGUACGAGCCUGCGUGGGCCCACCCUACGCGAUCUCCCGCUCCCCCUCCUCCCUGCUGCCUUCGCCGCCAUGUGUACAGAAACUGAGGAUUCAUAUAUGUAUAUAGAUAUGCUUCAAUAGUUUUCCAAACAUUAUAUGCAGUUUUAGGAGAACUAGAAACGACCAUAUGUAAUAUGCUAAGAGAAAAGGUGGCAUUAAUCCAUGAGAGUAUAGUGGUGUCUUUCUUUUUCCAGUUUAAUAUUUUGGGUUUGCACUUAUUUUUUUAUCAGAAGUUUUAAUUGUUUGAGGCGGUAUAGUACCAGCUCCGUCCACAUGCGAUGUAAUAUCAAAACUCUCCAAAACAUUAAGAAAAAUUUGUUUCCAUAUCAGAUAUGUGAAAUUCGUGAGUUCAAGUGGUAUAGGAGUUUUGAUGUUAACUACUGGCAGGUUUGAAGAGGAAGACAUAUUACCACCAAGAAAAAAAAAGAUUCACCACGAGAGAGACAAAUUCGAAAAAUAGACCAAGUAAUCACAGAUUCAGAGGAAAGAGAAAAAGGAGUCAGAGUUGAACCCAAGAUGAACCGACUGUACUUGAGAUCAACCGGGCGACAUUAGCAAGCAGCACCAAUGAGAGGCUGGAAUUACUGUAGCACAACCACUGUAGCAGUCUGUAGUAGUACUGUAGCGCCGAUAUUAUAGGGUACAGUAGUGCCGGCACUGUAGCAGUAUCGGGGAGAUAAAAGUCCAAGGAUAAGGGGAAAUAGAACACCACAAGAAAAAGCACCUAUGGAAGAAGGUGAGACUUGUGGUGGAUGGUGGCUAUGGAUCGAUAUCCUCAAAUUAGGGUUUCCGCUCUGAUAGCAUGAAAGAAGGACAAAAGAGCAUACCCUCUUGGGUUCUAUUGAUGAAAUUAUAUAGUACAAGAGAUAACUCUACUAUAGUAACAAUGCCUACUAUAGUAACAAUACAAUUAGGAUUAUAUACCAUAUAAAGCUAUAUCAUAUUAUAUAAUCCUAGGAUUACAUACCAUAUAAACCUAUAUUAUACCAUAUAAUCCUACUCUAAAUAUGUUGUAAUAUAUAAUAUCCUAAUAUAGCAUAAGAUAUUAAAUAUGUCUUAACAAAAAGACAAAUAAAUUAUAUAAUAUACCUAUAGAAAUCUGCCACACACAGCUGUUAGUUUCUUCAUAGUGUAUUUCCAUGUCGCUCUUGGGAUAAUGCGGCCUUUCUUGACUAGAUGAUCCUUCUCAUUUCCUUUUCUAUUGAUUGGAUUAAAAAAAGAGGUGGAUUUAACUAAUUACUAUUUUUUAUAUUAAAUUAGAGUAAUAGAUGCUUUCAGUUGAAAAAAUAGGAAGAGAAACUAGGUGUUUUGUUCAGGAGAAUAAUUGAUGGAGUUGCUGGUAUGUUGUUGGGUCCCUUCUCCUUAGUAGGAGAUGGAAUAAUGGGCCAUUCUUUGUUUUCUUCUGUGCAGACAUGACCAAAGAGGGCGACCAAGUCCCUCCCUUCCGAGAGGAGAGGCGUGAAUAAUGAGAAAUAAAACUAUAAAAAUUAGGGUUAGAAAGUUUAUACUUUGGUGGGGUUUAGGCGGGAAAAGCUGGCGCUUUUAGUCGCUUAAAUUUAGAGAAAAAAAAAAUCUUCGCUAUGGAGUAGUAGCGAAAUGUUAGUUACAAAUGUAAUCCAUUGCAAAACACAAUUCCAUAAUGUCCCCCAAUUUUUAUUUUACAGCGAACAUGAAAAUCCUUUGCUAACACUUAUUUUUAGCAAUGAAAUGUUCCUUUUCACUAAAAUCUGUUCUUCAAAUCACAAUAUUGUUGUAGUGCUUGAUGCUUUUGAGGCGGAGAAGGUAAUUCUUGGCUUGCUCUGGUUCAGUGCCUCUUAUAUGUAUUUGUGACUUAUGCUUUUGGGAUUUUGCAUCUUUUCCUUCCACGGUAAGCAAUUAGUAAUGAUGAACUCAUCUUUUAGGUACAUCUCGCUGGCGAGAAUUUGGUGAUGGGGGGCUUUUGUGGGGAGAAUGUAAUGGAAAAUCUUUUGAUUGGUUCGAUGGUUCUCCUGUUGAAGAGCUUCUGUGCAAGGUCCAUAUCUAAAGUGAUUGUUUUGUUUAUUUACAUUUAGAAUUGUUUCUUUUCUGUACUUUCAUAGUCAUUAAAUGUUAUUAUUUCUUUUUAUUCUUGCUACUGUUCACUUUCAAUAUCAAAGAAUUUAAACGUGCUUAUGAUUUCUCUUUCUCCUCUUAUAAUAUGUUGUGGUCUACAGUCUACUGUCAUAAGCUAGCAGUCCAAGCAUACUUGGGUACACUUGAAUUUGUAUUUGUUGAUCUUGCUCUCAAGUGAAUAUUUCGAUAGCUUUUGCGAAAAACUAAUGAAAACUAAUUUAUAAUUUUUGAUGUCACCAUUAAAUAGGCACUUCACAUGAGUACAAAGUAUCCAUGUGCUAAUGCAGCAAGAGGUGAAAUUUUUGUUUCUGGCAUUGCAGAGUCCACCUUAUUGUUUGUUUGUAACCAUUUAAUGCAAGAAGCUAAUUUGGAAAACAAUUGAGGUCUACAUGCCUUCAUUAGAAUUUACUUUCCUCGCUCUUGUCAUAAGCACAAUGUCUGGUGAGGGACUAAACAGAUUUACGCUUUGCUGCAGAAAAUUGAUAUGUUACGUGAAAAACUCAUAAAAUCAGAAUGGCUCUUUGGAAAACAAAGUUUCUGCUUCUCACAAAUUUGGCAGUUUUAAGGUGACACGGCAAAAGGUUAACUUCAAGUUCUGUUAAUGGAUGUACAUAGCCUUGAGAAGUGCUGGCAUUGUAUAAAACAAUAUCAUGAUAUAAUGUGAGUUAGCUUAUUCAUGUUGUCCUAUUUCAGAUAUAUCAAACUUAAUAUUUUAGGGCAACUUAUAGUCCUUAGUCUAAGUGUUGGUGUAUGACAAGAAUGCUAACGAAAGAAAAUCGUAAAGUUUGGUUGUGUCACGCCCGCUUCCCUAGUGGAAGCCUAUCCGACGCGUGCACAGACCCCGCCGUAUGCACAAGGUACCUCCCAGUGGACACAAGGCGUCUACAAUAAACAUUCAAGAAUUAGAAUGAGGAAAAUAAUCCUAACAUGAUAAUUAGAGCAUAAAUAUGAAGCUAAUUUCUAAAGCAACAAGUGAAGGAAAGUAAAACAACUAAAGAUCAACUAUCUCCACAAGCAUAUACAACAAAAUAUUACUAGAUACAUAUGGUGGUCUUUAUACAAAAUGGUCAAAUACACCUUUCCAAACCAAGACAAAAAGAAAGGUGUCCACCUAUGCAGAUAUCUCCCAGCUAGCUCUAGCUAGAUGCGACUCUCUUGCCUCGGUCCCUAGCCUCUCUCGUAGUGGAUGGCUCUGAAAACAAAAACAACAAAUGCAUGGGGGUGAGAACUAUUAAACAAUAGUUUCCAGUGGGUAAGCCGCCGAGAAAAGCGAAUUACACCACUAGGUCAGCUGAGGCAUAAGUAGGAAACAAAAAUGACUAAUGAUUUAGCAUGAAUAAUAAGGAAGAAUUAAAGUGCUAGUACUACUAUGCCUCCAAUUUGCUGUGUUAUUCAACAUGUAUGAACACUAUUCUAUCAUACGGAUGAGCAUGUAAAUAGCUAAUGUCAUAUCCAAAUGUCAUGCACUAUCUAGUAAUGAUGUCUAAUUAUUAUGUUUAAUUAUCAUUACCCAAAUUAACGAGGACCUACACAAGGUGUAGUCCUGACUUGCACCGUGCUUAAUGGUCCCGCAGGACCACUAUGGUGCCCACGAUCCACUAUCUGUUUUAAUACCCCACAAAUGCUAUGGACCUGCUACCCGCUAUUUACAACCUGAAGAAAGUAUCAGUGUGUUUUGAUCUUUCAGCACUCUUAAGGUGCACUUGUUAAAUUCAGGAUUUCUAUCAUGUACUAAAAGUCUAAAACUAAAGAUGCAAAUCACAAUAUCCAAAAAUUACAUAUAUUAAUUUCUACAUACAUCAUCCUUUUUUAUUUUAUGUGUAACUUAUGAUAGUCUUUUUCUGCACCUUUGAUUUUCCAUGUUCCUUGAUAUUUAUAUAAUAUAUAUUAAUCAGCCAUCUAUCUCAUUGAUAAAUAUAUAAUUUUGACUUACCAAUUUUCAAAAAAUUCUUUAGAAGACGGACCAGAGAAUAGUUCUACAAGCUAUCUGUUGUGAAGCACUAGUACUUUGCUACUUUUUUGUGAAAUUUUAAUUAAAAAAAAAUCCGUGUCAAUGCAUGCCAAUGUGCCAAUGGUGUGUUGGUGGUAUGUGGGGGCAUGCUGAGAUUGGCACAAUCUGUGGCAAGGGUUGUGCCGGCAGCACGGCAAUCUUUGUUACUACAGACAAUGCAUUUUUGGCACUGACUAAUUGACUUAGCAUAACAUUCUGAAUUUGUAAUUAUUGUUCUCUAAUUUCCAAAAAUUGUUCUCUAAUUUCCAAACUUUUUUUUAUUCGUAUGGUAAAAAUCUUUGUAAUUGCUGAAGGUAAGAGAAAUAUAUGGUCUUGAUGAAGAAACCACAUUUCGGAAUGUUACCAUUUUUUCGGAAGGCCGGCCUCAGCCUUUGUAUCUUGGAACUGCAACUCAAAUAGGUUACACUAACUUUUUUUUGAAUUUUGGAUUUUGUUUUAGAAGAUUUUGCUGAACUAAAACUGUAUUACUGACAGUGCUGUACCUUAUUUAGGAGUUAUACCGACUGAUGGAAUUCCGAGUUUGUUGAAGGUGUUGCUUCCAUCAAGCUGUGUUGGACUACCUUUAUUGUAAGUUUGGCUACAUUUACAUUUUUACUAAAAAUCGCUAAAAUAUCUAAGCUAAUAAAUCAAAUAAGAAUUUUCAUGUUGAAUAUGUCUUCGUUGCUGUAUUUGUAGUAAUUUUAGGUUAUAGAGUUGGAAUAUUACCAAAUCUUAAACUAGUUGAUUAUGAGAAAGUUCACUAUUGCAAAUCAAUAAAUCAUCAAGAAUUUUGUGGUGCUUCACUUUGUGUUAGUUGUGUUUUGUUCAGAGUUCUCCAUGCUUUUCCCCUGAUGUUUGUAUGGGUUUACCAUUGAUUCAAUGUGCAAUAGUAAUUCCUGGCAUUUACCUAUUGUUCAGGUAUAUUAGAGAUCUUCUUCUUAACCCUCCCACAUUUGAGAUUGCUUCAGCAAUUCAAGGUAUGCCUUGGCAUUUAGAUGAGAAACCUAUUAUUUACUUUCUUGGAGGAGACAUUAUCGCACCAUAUUUAUCUACUAUAAGCAACUCAAAAUUAACUUGUUGUUCUUGUGCUUUUUCUUGUUUUCGUAGUUUAUGCUUUAUACGCACACACAAUUAAAAUGAGAGCUAGAGUUUUAUGAUCAUUUUAUCUAAUAACAUCUGGUCAUUUUCUUAUAAUAAUCGGAUUUUGAUGAUCAUUUUAUUUUGUUCCCCUGAAAACUCUUGACCUUCUACUUUUAGGUUGCCAACUUUUGAAUUUUACUUUCUUUGAUCUGUUUGAGAUUUGAGGAAAUUUUAUAUCUUCGCUUUUAUUAGUUGAUUUUAAUUUUGAUUUCCUUGUCACAGAGGCUUGCAGGCUUAUGAGCAGUGUAACUUGUUCAAUUCCUGAGUUUACUUGCUUGUCAGCAGCAAAGGUUGUACCAUAUCUUCUUAAUUAGAAAAUUGCACCUUGCAUUUUUAAUCAGAAAACUGCAAAUUAGUUUAUUGAUAUGUUGUCUACUGCAGUACCGUUUUGCAUGUUUUGCUGCUACUUUGUACAUCAAACCAAUUAAUAUAUGUUAAACUGAAAUGGUUCUUUCUAUAAGCUGAACAAUCUAGUGGGGCAAAUAGACUGAAAAUGUUGCACCAGAUCCUUUGGCAUGUGUCUAUGAACUCAAUGGCAUUUGUUGCUAGUGCUUGCCGUGUGUUCUAUGUUCUGUGGUUUGUGUCAAUGAACAUACUGAUACAGUUUGUAAGUUUGUUGGUUCAUGGCUAUGGGUUAGUGUGCAGCCUGUGCCAAUUCCUGUUAGGCAAGUAGUUGUGAUCCUUUUAUGUUUUUAUCACGCCCCGAGCACAACAGAAGCUCCUACUAGGGACAUGACUAGAUCCACCACAAACUUUAGGGCUGCAACUCUUGCAUGUACGAUGUAGAUUUAGAGCACCUAUCAAGAGAGAACAUAGCAUCCCAGGAUAAUACUAUAAAUUUUCUCCAUUUCUAGCAUCAAUUGACUAGUAAGAAACAUUUAAACAUAAACCAGACCUUCUAUUUCCUAUUACAAAAACUUGCCAUUUAUGCUUGCUUGUCAUGUACAUCCCAUAAUAUCACAAUUACAUUUAUUCACCCCAAAAUGUAUCAUCUAGAGCCCGAACUAGGUAUUGUCUACGUGUGACCUUUUUCGGUGGCCUGCUCCUCUUUGCCUGCAUCACCUGAAAAAAUAUAGGGUGAGAAAUCUUGAACAUGUUUUCCAAUGGGAACAGCAGGCCGUAAGAUACAAGCUACACCCAAUGGUUUACUCGGAAGCUGAAAUAGAUGAAUUUUAGAAGUAAAUGUAAGAGCACGAGUAAAAGCUGUAAGGAGUCAAUUGCACUAUGAUAUUGCGGUAACCAUAAGGAAGGAAACUCAUCAUAAUGCUAUGAUGAUAAUAAUCAAGUGUACUCAUGCAUCAAUUCCUUUAAGUACUCCAACUAUUCAACUGUACCCUAUCUAAUCACUGGUCGGUUACGGGGACUCCACUUAGGUUUGCCAACAAAGUAUUGCAGGGAACUCAUUGCCAUGGUUAUUUUGUUCCGUACAAGGCCAACCUAGCCUCUACAGCUCCUUGCCACACAAGUGUGCUGUAACGCCCCGGUAGUCCCACAUUGGAUGGAAAAAUUGUUUAUGAUUGGAAUAUAUAAGACCUCGCAUGCUAAUAAUAAUAACUGCGCUGAAGCAUUUUGGGCCGGUGGUUUGGGCCCAACGAGUUAUUAUUGCUACCGUGUUGGGUCGUUACAAUUGGUAUCAGAGCCGAAAACCGACUGGAAGUGUCAUGCCCCCGCCCCGAGACCCCUACCAAUUUGGCACAAUUCAGGCGCGGCGAACGGACGCCGAACGGACAGCACCUUCCCUGUCCGCCCAAGGCUCAACAACAAAUCGAGUACAAGAAUUUAUCCAGGAAUUUAAAUUCUAUAAGUACACAAUCAACGGAGCACAAACAGUGUCAACAACAAAGAGCAAGUCAUCCACAAGAUACACAAGUGAAAUAAAGAGAGCUUUUACUAACUAUUACAUUAAUUGCAUCACAUUCUUUUACAUUUACAUUUUCCUCAAAAUAAAUACAUACUCUCAAGUACAUAGCUCUCCAAAGUACUCACCUACAUGAAUCUCUCUCAAAUACAUAGGUGUGCUAAUGCAAAAGGAAAGCUACUACUCUACCAAUAAUCCUCACUGGUCGGGCGCGAUGCCCUUGCCGCGGUUCUCGCCCGGCAAACCUGUACCUAGCCCUGGAAGUAAAGUGGGGUGAGAACUAUCUUCCAUAGUUUCCAAUAGGCUCGACCGUCGACUCUGCCGAUCUUCCCACUAGGUCUAAGUGGGCAAAAGUAACAACGAAGCAGAUAGAUACAUAUUUAUUAAAGCUGUAAAGACAUAAUAGAAAAACUAUGCUACUAUGUCCAUAAUCAUGUGUAAUGAAUGUAUGCAUCAUUUAGUAAAAGUUCACUAUCAUGCUAACAAGUUCGAUCCAUGUUCGAUAAGCAAUGUUCGAUGACAAUAUUAACUUUUCAUUUACCCAAUCUGUGGCGAAACCCUUGGGUUUGCCUACGCCUCACAUCUUCAUCCCAUAGGGUAAGGAGGCUCCAUGUGCCCCCGAACCCGGGACUGUCUGCGGACAUCAAUCUGUCCUUAUCGCCCGACACUCCGGAGUACUCGACGACAUGGAUGGCUAUACCACCCCGGAUGGCUAUACCACCCCAAUAACAGACCGUGAGCUUGAUCUAUCCUCUCUACGUGAGGAUACCCUACGAACUAGGGCCAACAUUUCUCUCAGAACUCAACCUAUUCCGACUUUCAUGCGUAGUUACUUAGCUCUACUAAGUUCAUUGUUCACGAGUCAUUUGCUAGGGAAUCCACCUAUCCCUAAGUUCACGAACCUCUAGUGUCAAAUACACUACAUAAUGCCACUCGUUCUGUUCUUUAAACAUUUAGAUGCCACUCACUAUAUAACCAUCGAGUUCAUCUCUUUCCUUUAGCACUAUAGGAUCCAUGUUCCGACCCAAUCCUUACCUAUCUAUUUCACCAAGUAUUCCAUAUACACUAGGUUAAUAUUUAGAAGCAUAAGGAAAAGGUACUACACUGCAAUCCUACAAUGCAACAUGCAAGAGAUGAAAAUCAUGUAUUUCUAAGACAUAGAAAAGAGUUCGGUUGCUUCGGGAUGACACCCCCCACCUUUUGAGGGUACAAAUGUUCUAGAAACGCUCCUCAACGAACGUUAUGACGAUGUCUCGGCCUCGGUCCAAAACGGUGCUCAAUCGGCUAUAUUUCGCCGAUAGCUUUUCACCCGCUCGACGAAUCGAAAAUCCGACUUUGCUCCCGCGUUUAGACACCUAUAAAUUAGGUUUAGAAGCUAUCAAAUGAGAUCAAUCUUAUCAUUUAUUAAAGACCCCAAUUUGGAGCCCUAGGUUUGCACCUAUAGCAAACCACUCCAUCCAAACCCUAGAUUCUAGCAUUGAUCUAUUUAGAGGCAUGCUAGAGGUCCAUUUGACCCAUUUCCAAAGCCAAAAAUCCAAAAAUCCUAAGUUCUACCUUUAGGGCUCAAGAGCUUACCUCAAGGUUAGCUCCAAUGGAGAGGAGAGGAAGAGGAGGAGAUGAUCCAAGCCUUCCCUAGCUUGCUCUCCUUCUUCUUCUCCUUCUUCUCCUUCCUUUUUCUUCUUUUCUUCUCUUUUCUUUUUUUCUAGAGAGAGAGGGAAAGAGAGAGAUGAGAGUUGGGAGGGAAAUGAGAGAGGGAGGGAGAGCCCUUUGCUCUCUAUACUCUCUAACUAAGGUAUAAUUGCAGCCAAGCCCCUCAACUUCUCAUUUCUCAAACUGCUCUGCCUGGGCAGUUUUCGCACGGAGGGACCGGUCCUUCCCUGCCAGGGAUCGGUCCUUGAGGACCUUCCAAAAUUCACGCGUACGGCAACCGGUCCCUGCCCGAGAGACCGGUCCUUGGGAGACCGGUCCUUGCUUAAGAGACCGGUUCCCGAGAGUGGAAUUCUCAGGACUUAGCCAAAUUUUCGCUGUCUCGCUGGUUUCACUUAUGGGGACUGGUCCCUAAGGCCUGGGACCGGUUGCAUCAAGCAUCCACCGCAACCACCAGCUACGGGGACCGGUCCUUCCUGCCAGGGACCGGUCCCCGAGAGCAAACUCCGCCCAGUGCAGACUUUUGCAUUAUUUGCUCUCGCGGACUCGACUCCAAAGAACUUUUUGUGUUUUGGACAUCUCUAGCUUCUCCGAAGCCUACUCACUCGACAAUUAGUCGAUCCUGGACGAAGUAUAACUCUCGGAUUUCGAGAAUUCACUUCCUUACAUCCUCCCCUCCUUAAAAGGAGUUUCGUCCUCGAAACUGAUUCAACUUAAUUUAAACUCAGUUUCUAUACCUUAUUCCUCAAACAAGUGAGGAUGAUGCUUCCUCAUUAGAUACUCGAGUUCCCAGGUGCCUUCACGAUCGUUGUGAUUGCUCCACCGGAUCUUCACGUAGGGAAUCUCGCGAUUUCUCAGCUUCCGCACUUCUCGGGCGAUAACCAUCACCGGAAACUCCUCGUAGCUCAAGUCUUCUUGAAGUUCUGGCUGUUCAUAUAGCAUCGCAUGCUCGGGGUCAUGAAUGUACUUGUGAAGGUUGGAGACAUGGAACACAUUGUGUACAUCCGCGAGCUUCGGCGGCAAGGCGAGUCGAUAAGCCACCGUGCCAACUUGCUCCAAUAUUUCAUAGGGUCCAAUGUACCGGGGACUCAACUUUCCCCGUACUCCAAACCGCUUAACACCUCGCAUUGGCGAAACCUUUAAGAAUACGCGGUCGCCCACCGCGAACUCUAUAUCUCGACGGCGUCUAUCCGCAUAGCUUUUCUGUCCCGACUGCGCCGUGAGCAAUCGCUUGCGAGCAAGACAGACUUUCUCCUCCGCUUCUCGCAGAACAUCAGGGCCGAAUUUUGCACGCUCACCCACAUCGCUCCAGUAUAUAGGAGACCGACAUUUCCGCCCAUAGAGAGCCUCGAAUGGAGCCAUCUCCACACUAGCGUGGUUACUAUUGUUGUAGGUGAACUCGGCCAUCGGCAGAUGUUUACACCAACUCUCUUUAUAGUCGAUGACACACGCUCACAAUAUAUCCUCCAGAGUUUGAAUGGUCCUCUCAGUUUGCCCAUCUGUCUGAGGAUGAAAUACUGUAUUGAAGUCGAGCCGUGUGCCAAGCGCUUCUCGCAGGCUCUUCCAGAAGUGUGAAGUAAACCGGGGGUCACGAUCCGAUACGAUCGACUUCGGCACCCCAUGCAACCUCACUAUCUCGUCAAGGUAUACCUGCGCCAACUUGUCACCUGCCCACGUGGUGUGGAUUGGCAAAAAGUGAGCCGAUUUCGUCAAUCGGUCCACAAUUACCCAUAUCGCAUCGUGGCCGCCCGUUGAGCGAGGCAAGCCGACCACGAAGUCCAUUGAUACGUCUUCCUAUUUCCAAACGUGGAUUGGUAGGCUUUGAAGCUUUCCCGCUGGAAAUCGACGCUCGGCCUUCACUUGUUGGCAUGCUAAGCACUUCGCCACGAAGCGUCCAAUGUCACUUUUCAUUCCCGGCCACCAAUAGUGCAUUUUUAUCCCUGAUACAUCUUGGUGCCGCCCGAGUGAUCAGCAUACGGAGACCGGUGUGCUUCUUGCAAGAUUAGCCUUCGGAUAUCCUCGUUGUUCGGCACACACCAUUGGUUUCGAAACCGAAGUGCACCAUCGGCGUCUACCAUGAAAUCGCCGCCACGACCAUUCUCGAUGUCGCGGGGGUUGCAGAUCUUUGAUCCUCUCCAACAAGGUCGGUUGGACAACGAGUGCCGUUAAUUGAGCCGAAAUCUCGGGAGUAACCACCUCAAGGUUCAUUCGCUCCAUGUCCAGCCACGGGUGUUUGAUUUGUAACCCACGUAGCGAGGUUAUCCGCCGACUUCCUGCUCAGUGCAUCCGCGACCACAUUCGCCUUCCCCGGGUGGUAAAGGAUAUCCACGUCGUAAUCCUUUAACAAUUCUAACCACCGUCGUUGACGCAUGUUGAGCUCUUUCUGUAUGAACAGAUACUUCAGGCUUUUGUGAUCGGUAUAGAUCUCACAAUGGGUACCGUACAGGUAGUGCCUCCACAGCUUCAAGGCGAAGAUUACCGCCGCUAGCUCCAAGUCGUGAAUGAGGUAGUUCUUUUCAUAGCUUUUCAGCUGACGGGAUGCAUAAGCAAUUACUUUCCCGCCUUGCAUCAAAACACACCCCAAUUCUAGAUAGGAAGCAUCACUGUAGACCACGAAGUCUUCGCCCUGCACCGGUAGAGCGAGCACCGGAGUCGAAAUCAAUCGUUCCUUCAAUGCUUUGAAACUCCGGUCGCAUUCCUCGCUCCACAUAAACUUGGUGCCUUUCUGAGUCAGAUGGGUAAGUGGAAUUACUAUCUUCGAGAAGCCCUCCAUGAACCGUCUAUAGUAGCCCGCCAAGCCCACGAAGCUUCGAACCUUCGUGACAUUCGUCGGGCGCUGCCAAUCCUUGAUUGCCUCAACUUUCCUUGGGUCUACCGAAACUCCACCCGCAGAAAUCACAUACCCUAGAAAUGCGACCUCUCGGAGCCAGAAGUCACACUUCUUUAACUUAGCAUAUAGCUUCUCCUUCCGAAGGACUUGAAGCACAAUCCUCAAAUGCUCGGCACGUUCCUCGUCACUACGAGAAUAGACCAAUAUGUUGUCUAUGAAGACUACGACAAAUCGGUCCAAAUACUUUCUGAAGACACGGUUCAUCAAGUCCAUGAACGCCGCUGGAGUAUUCGUGAGUCCAAAUGGCAUGACCGUGAAUUCAUAGUGCCCGUAUCGCGUACGGAACGCAGUUUUCUGCACAUCCUCCGGCUUGAUCUUCAACUGGUGAUAGCCGGACUGUAAAUCUAUCUUUGAGUACACACACGACCCUUGCAACUGAUCGAACAGGUCAUCAAUUCGGGGUAGUGGGUACUUGUUUUUGAUCGUGACUCUGUUCAACUCGAGAUAAUCUACGCAGAGUCGAAACGAUCCGUUCUUCUUCCGCACAAAUAACACCGGGGCUCCCCACGGUGAUACACUUGGCCGGAUAAAUUGCUUGUCGAGGAGGUCCUGUAACUGACUCCUCAAUUCUUUCAGUUCCGCCGGCGCCAUUCGGUACGGAGCCUUCGAAAUCGGUGCGGUACCGGGAAUCAAGUCUAUGACGAACUCGAUCUCCCGAUCCGGCGGUAUCCCCGAUAACUCCGUGGGAAACGCAUCCGGGAACUCCCGUACCACUGAUAACUCCUCCAAUGUUGGAGCUACUCGAUCCACUUCUACAACAGUUGCCAAGAACGUUGCGCAACCACUGUUGACCGACUUCCUUGCUCUCGUUGCUGACACUGUCGCGACGAAGCACGAGCUCUGACAAGCCCGAUAAGUGAACUCCUUCUGUCCUGGCUCAUGAAACGUAAUCACUCUGCUCUUGCAGUCGAUCGAUGCGUGAUACUUUGAGAGCCAGUCUAUGCCCAAUAUGACAUCGAACUCUUUAAGAUUCUUGAGCUCUAACAUCAUAAUGGGCAUUAUCCAGUCGCCUACUUGUACUGGACACGAUGAGCAUUCCGUGUAGGUAUUAAAUGUCGUCCCAGGGCCCUUAACUCGCCACUUGUCACUCGCCUCUUUGAGUAUGUCAUGCAUGCGUGCGUGCGAAUGAUCUACUGAUAAAUAAAUGCGUGGCUCCUGUAUCAAACAUAGCCCUGGAGCGAACUCCGUUAAUUAAAACCAUACCUGCCACUAGGCGAUGCUCCUCCGCCUCCGCAGGCUCCUCGGCUUGGACCUGAGCGGCAAAUACACGUUCGCUCGGGGCCGAUUGCGCCAUCUCGGGCUGGCGCGGCAUCAUCGCACGUCCCGCCGACACGGCCGUCGGUGGAACUCCUCCAUAGUAAGCUGGAACUAUCGGUGCUGAUGCAACAGAUGGAGCAGGCGAAGCUCCUCCUCCCGGGCAAUCACGUAUGAAGUCCCCCGGCUGCCUGCACUUGUAGCACUUGCCUUGGCGCUACUCACAACGUGACACUAGGUGGUCUCCACCACAUAUGACGCACCGUCGCGCUCCUUACAGGAAGUGUAAGAGCUAAGUGCUAUGCGGGGCAAAGUGCUGCACCAACGGGUUUGGUGGGAGCCACCGCUUGAACUCGCAGGAGCUGCCACAUCGCUUGGUAAUUCUGAACUAUAAAUCUGUGGUUUGGGUUUGAACAAUCUAUAUAGUAAUUGGGCUUAAGAAUUUUGGGCCAGUGGUUUGGGCCCAAUGAGUUAUUAUUACUAGCGGGUUGGGUUGUUACACGUGCGAUUGCCACGGUCGCCGCAUAACGACUGCUCACUUUGGAGGGGACUUUGGGGCGGGACUACCCAAAGUGUCUUUCUCAGUAUCACGGUGCUGCAAGCCAUAGUCAUAUACAUAUGUUCAAGAGUCAGUAGCAGAUUUAACAAGUAUACCCAAUCUCGAUGACGCCUACAAGGCGAAUAUGACGUCUCGAUGCCCUACAAGGCGAAGUUUGCUAGUACCUAUACAUAUUUAUAUAAAAAGAUCCCAACUAGCAUGACUCUAAUGUCAAUCAUAUGUACCUUAUAAAGGUGAGUUUAAAUCUUUGAGUUCUCAAUAAUGGUUGCCACUACAAGGCUAAAUUUAAAUCUUGCACCACGUGCCCUUACAAGACGAUCAAGUAUAACUGUCAUGCCCCGGGCCUUUUUUGGAAAGCUAAUUAUGAAAACCCUUCCAUUUAUCAGAGCAGAGUUGUGGGAGAAGCGUAUAAUUUUUUUUUUUUUUUUGAAACCUUGCUCGAGACAUGCACAGAUCCGCCACACGCACUGGGUAUCCUCUAUCCAUGUGGACAAAGUCUUCCCUGUACAUGUACGGCAUAGGAGCAUUGAUACGUAACCACAAGCAAUCAGAACAAGGUAGAAUCAUCGUAUAGCCACUAAUAAUCCAAAGCCAUAAUCUAGAAUCACUAAAUCACUACAUUAGGGAAACCCAGAAUCUCAACUAAAUUUCAAAUCAUAAUAUUGAAAUACGAAAAUAUCCACAAUAUCAAAUGAUAAAGAAGAGUAAAUCCAAGACUACAACAAGGUCCAAAGCACGAACUAUCUAGGCUGUCCUCACAUCGCGCCCCGACCUGCACUGUCAGUAACACUUGUAAAAACAGUGGGUUGAGAAACAUAUAAAUAUGUUUUCCGGUAGGGGCAACCAGUCGACGAGGGCAAGCCGCACUAACUGGCAAACGAAGGGGUACGAUAAGGUAACUGCAAAUAAGGAGUAAUCAACUACAGUAGCAAAAUAAAUAGAUAAAUAUCACGAAGUGGAAAACAAGGUAAUGCUGCUGCUGUAAACACGAGUCAAGAUACUAAACAUGAAGAAUACAACCAACCACAGUAGCAAGGAAAUCGGCGAAUAACUGUGAUGAACAACUAUACUAAGGGGUACUGCUACUGCAAACAAAGUCAUAUGCCAAUACAAUAGGAACACCAACUAUAGUAGCAAGAUGAUGAAUAACAAAAUAUCAUAAUCCACUAAACGAGGGAUGCCGCUACUAUAAGCUAGACAGCUACCAGAUACCAUGCACUACUCAAAUAGAGAUACUAUGUAUAAACUGAACGUGUAGUAGUCCAAAGUAUACCUAAUCACUAUGGCUGGUCAUAAAGAUCCGGCCUAAGCUCGCCCACUAGGUCGCGAAGACUAACAAUCAAGUACCACUCCGGAGGGACAAUCACCUGCACCUAGAGUCGCUAACUCUGUCUAAGCACGGUGUGUAUCAAGUCUAGGGUGGAAAAACUCAGGAUGGCGAACCCUGUAUAUGAAACAACACCUUCGGAACCUGCUGGUUAGGACAGGAGGGUAGGGGGAGGUUGGCUUGGUGGAGGGCAGGUCGGGGUUCACCCUUGCCAGCGGUGGCGACGACAGCGGCAGCUGGAGAUGCAAGCUUGGCCACCACCAAUCCUUACGACUAGCAGCACCAAUACAAUAACCCCAGCUCUAAGACGGAGAGGUCGCAGCUAGGUCUAGGGAGGAUCAAAGGGGGAGGAGAUGUUGGCUGACCAUAAGGGAGCUCUAGUCGACGGGGACGACGGCGACAAAAAGAGCAGUGGCCCGGUUCAGGCCGCACAUUGCCGUGCGGGGGAAGAGCGGCGUGGCUGGGAAGGUGGUCGCAGGGAUCUCCAGCCCAGACGUGGCGACGAUGAUGGCACAGGCGGUGGAGCCGGUUUCAACCUGAGAGAAGGUCUACCUUAUAUAUAUAUAUAUAUACACUUUGAUCAAUUUCAUCCUUUAGAUCAUACUAUUCAACUAACUGCCCACUCAACCUAAGGGAACCACUACUAAACCAUAGGGAACCACUUUUAUCCUAACCAUACAGUUUUUCAUCCAAUGGCAAAAACUCGAUAACAAAAAAAGGCCAAAUACUAUUAAUAGUAUUCUAGCCCAAUUCUACUUAAUAGUAAUAUAUAUUAUAUUUUAUAAAUAAAAUUAAGAACAUACCCAUGCAUCCGCAGCAAAGUGCGAGUACAUCGCUAGUAUAUAUAUAAUAUACAUUAAAUAUACAUGUAUUGUAUAUGUAGGGAGGGAGAGAGAUGGCCUGAGGAGGGAGGUCGCUGGGGUGGCACUCCGGCCGACAACGCAAUACAGGGAGAGAGAUGGUGGCUACUGUGGAGGGGAUGGUAUGUGAAGAAGAGAAUUCAAAUUCUUCUUAUUCUUUCAAUAAUGAAUUACAAAGAUAUAUAUACAUAAAUGUUUCUAUAAUAAGAUAUUUAAUAAGGAAAGAUCUCUUAAGGAAAGAUGCCUAAAACUAUGCUAGCUAAAUAGGAACAUAAUAUAUACAAUUUUGACUUUCCAUAACACUCCCCCUCAAGUUGGAGCAGAGAUAUUAAUCAUGCCCAACUUGUUACAAAUGUAGUCAACCCGAGCUCCAUUCAAAGCUUUUGUGAAGAUAUCCCCCAACUGGUCUCCAGUCUUGAUAUACCCUGUUGAAAUGAUCUUCUGUUGUAUCUUUUCACGAAUAAAAUGACAAUCAAUCUCAAUAUGUUUAGUUCGCUCAUGAAAUACAGGAUUAGAGGCAAUAUGGAGAGCAGCUUGAUUAUCACACCAUAAUUUAAUGGGUUGUGGAUUUUUAAGCCCAACCUCAUCCAAUAAUUGUUGUAUCCACAUUACUUCACACAGAUUGUGCCAUAGCCCUGUAUUCCGAUUCAGCACUAGAACGGGAAACAACACUCUGCUUCUUACUUCUCCACGACACCAAGUUACCUCCAACAAAAACAUAAUAUCCUGUAGGCGAUCUCCUAUCAACCUUUGAACCCGCCCAAUCUGCAUCUGAAAAGCGUUCAAUAUUUGAAUGUCCAUGGUUCUUGUACAAGAUACCACGCCCUGGAGCUCCCUUUAGAUAACACAAAAUUUGUCCCAAAGCUUCCCAAUGAGUAACAGUCGGAGAAGACAUAAACUGACUUAACACACUGACGGAAUAUGCAAUAUCUGGCCGAGUCACUGUAAGAUAGUUAAAUUUGCCAACAAAUCUCCUAUACCUCUUUGGAUCUUCAAACAAUUCAUCAUCAUUAGUUGUAAGUUGGAGAUUAUGAGCCAUUGGUGCACUGCAAGGUUUAGCUCCUAAUUUUUCUGUUUCUACUAGUAAGUCAAGCACAUAUUUUCUUUGAGAUAAGAAGAUGCCUCUUUUGCAUCUUGUAACUUCAAUACCCAAAAAAUACUUCAACAUCCCCAAGUCUUUUGUUUGAAACUGGGUUUGAAGAAAAAGUUUGAGAGGUGAGAUUCCUGCAGUAUCAUUUCCAGUGAUGACAAUAUCAUCCACAUACACUACUAAUAGAAUUAUACCAGUCUCAGAAUGUCUAUAAAACAUAGAAUGAUCACACUUGCUUUUCUUCAUGCCGAACUCUUGAACUACUUCACUGAAUCUGCCAAACCAAGCUCGAGGACUUUGCUUCAGGCCAUAUAAAGAUUUCCAAAGUCUACAAACUCGACCUAACUCCCCCUGAGUAACAAAACCAGGUGGUUGCUCCAUAUAUACCUCUUCUUGAAGAUCACCAUAGAGAAAAGCAUUUUUAAUGUCCAGCUGGUGUAAAACCCAAUGAGAGGUGGCCGCCAACGAAAUAAAAAAGCGAAUAGAAGCAAGUUUAGCCACGGGAGAAAAAUGUCGGAAUAAUUUUGGCAACAAGGAGGGCUUUUAGGCGAGCUACAGAACCAUCUGGAUUCAUUUUCACAGUAAAUACCCAUUUGCAACCAAUAGCUCACUUAUCGGUAGGUAAGGGUACCAGUUCCCAAGUACCAUUAGCGCCUAAAGCCAUCAUUUCCUCUUCCAUUGCAGCACGCUAGCUAGGAUGAGACAAACCUUCCACAACAGAUUUAGGAACAGAAACUGACUCCAGAGAGGUAAUGAAGCAACAUGAAGAGGAUGACAAACAGUCAUAAGAAACAAACGAUGAAAUAGGGUAAGUACACGUACGUUUGCCUUUGCGAAGAGCAAUGGGAAGAUCAGAGUUAGAAGCAAGGUCGGUGAUAGUAGUGACUGGAUCUUUCGACGAAGAAGUUGGUAGAGGAUCUGAAUCAGGAGUCGCCAAUCUCUGAGAAUAGACAUGAACAAUAGUGGGUCGAACAGUUGCCGAUGGAGCAGGAAUAGGUGUUGCAGGACUGGACACUUGUCUGAUAGUGUAAACAAGGAGAUCAUCUUCCUCCCCGACUUUCAUAAAUAGAUGAAAGAGGAAAGAAUGGAGUAGAUUAAAAAAAUGUAACAUCUGCAGACACAAUAUAUUGAUCAAGAGUAGGAGAGAAGCACCGAUACCCCUUUUGCAUACCGAAGGAAGACGCACUUAAGGGACUUUGGAUCCAAUUUAGUUACCUGUGGACGAACAUCUCGUACAAAACACGUACUACCAAAAAGACGAGGUUCAAUAGGAAAUAAAGAUUUAGAUGGAAACAAAACAGUAUGAGGAAUGGCACCAUCCAAGACAGACGAAGGCAUGCGAUUAAUCAGAAAACAAGCUGUGGAAACUGCAUCAGCCUAAAAAUGUUUAGGAACUUUCAUUUGAAAAAGAAGGGCACGAGCUACCUCAAGGAGAUGUAGGUUUUUUCUUUCAGCAACUCCAUUUUGGGAUGGAGUGUCAACACAUGAGGAUUGAUGAAGGAUGCCAUUCUGUGUCAUACAACGGUGAAAAUUUUCUGAAAAAUAUUCUUUCGCAUUGUCACUUCGCAAUAUACGCACAGAAACAUUAAAUUGUGUUUUGAUUUCAGUACAAAAGGCACAAAAAAUUGAGAAUAGUUCUGAACGAUUUUUUAUUAAAUAUUACCAAGUAACACGAGAAUAAUCAUACACAAAGGUAACGAAAUACUUAAAUCCUGAUUUGGAAACAAUAGGACACAUACCCCAAAUAUCAGAAUGAACUAACUCAAAAGGAGACGAUGCUCGUUUAUUGACUCUAGACACAGUAGGGAAACGAUGAUGCUUAGCAAACUGGCAUGACUUACACUCUAGACUGGACAAAGAUUGAAACUGUGGAAACAAUUUCUUCAAGGUGGAUAACGAAGGAUGUCCCAACCGACAAUGGACCUCAAAAGGAGUUAAAUUACUGGAGCAAGCAAGAGACCUCGGCACCUGGUUGUCAAGGAUAUAGAGACCUCCAGACUUUUGUCCUCUACCAAUAAUCUGCUUUGUCGUAAGAUCCUGAAACAAACAAUGAUCGGGAAAAAAUGAGACAACAAUUUAAAGCUCGGGUGAGUUUACUAACAGAUAGUAAAUUGAAAGAAAAUUGAGGCAAACAUAAAAUAGAUGACAAAGAAAUUGAUGACGUUGGGUUUGCAAUGCCAGAACCCAUGACACAAGAGUUAGAUCCAUCAGCUAAAGUAACAGAAGAAGAUGUUAUAUGAGACUGAAAGGCAGAUAAAAGAUUGGAGUUACCUGUCAUAUGGUCUGUAGCACCCGAAUCAAUGACCCAUUUGGAAUAGGAAGACACAAGGCAUGAUGUGGAUUUACCUGACUUGGCGAGUGCAGUGACAGGGGAACCGGUGGACUUUAAGGAUGCCUGAUAUUGGGAGAACUGUGCAAAUUCUUUAGCAGACACCAAAACAGUUCUCUCUGAGGAUGGGGUUUUCUCCGAGGAUGGGGUUGUAUACUCCCCGGCUGCCAUGUUGGCCAUCUGAGAUCGUUGGUUCUUAUUUUGAAGUUUCAAACAUGUGCGCUUUGUAUGACCAGGUUCAUGAAGGUUAUAGCAAACAACUCCAAAAUCUCGAUUAGAGGUAGUCUCUCCAUGACGGUGAUUACCUCUAUUGGUAGUAAUCCCUCUAUUGCCCCCUCUACUAUUAUGCCGUCCAUUAUCAUUGCGACUCACAAGCGCGCUAUUAGUAGAUUGAGAAAAUUGAGGGGUCUCCGUACGAAGUACUCGGGUGAAAGUAUCAUGCAAAGAGGAAAUCUCAGAGCUAGAAAGAAUCUGAGAUUUAGCUGUCUCAAAUUCUGGGGGUAAACCGGCAAGAAAACUCAUAACCGCCAUUUGCUCGCGUUGAACCUGCUGCACUUUUACAUCAGGACUAAAGGGUAACAAAACAUUAAGCUCUUCAUAAACACGUUUAAAGUCCAUAAAAUAAGCUGUGAGAGACCUAUCUUGCUUCUUAGAUCGGUAAAAUGCCUUACGAACAUCAUAUAUGCGGGAGAGGUUCCCUUUGCCAAAGUAUAAAAAAUCUAAAUAAUCCAUCAAUUCUUUCACAAACUCACAAUGAUUAAUUAGACUAAUUCCCUCACUUUGAAUGGAGUUCCUGAGUUGUAAGAACAACCGAACAUCUUCUCUCAACCAAGUUUGCUUUGUAUUAUCGUUCGGUGGAUCGCUAGUUAGGUGAUCAUCCUUAUCAAUGCUUCGUAGAUAAACAAGAACCGUCUUGGCCCAUUCCAGAUAGUUGGAGCCAUUGAGUUUGUGUUCUGUGACUUUGGUCAUUACCGGGAUCACAUCGGCAAUCACAGAUUUUGGCUCACUCUUAGCAAACAGUUUCAGACAUGGCGUCUUGGACAAUGAGACCAAGUCACAAAGCAGCUCGUAGGGCUGCACUUUACACCUCGCUGCCAGGCAUGUCACACCCCGCCCCGAAACCACUACCAAUUUGGCGCGGUUCGGGCUCGGCGAAUGGAUCGCGGAACGGACAGCACCUCCUCUGUCCGCCCAAGGCUCAACAACAGGAAUGUGUACGAAAAUUUACCCAGGAAAUUCAAAUUCUAAACAUACACAUUCAACGGGGCACAAACAGUGCCAACAACAACAAGAGCAAGUAAUCCACAAGUAAAAACAAGUGAAAUAAAGAGAGUACUUUACUAACUAUUACAAUAGUUUGCUUUUAUUUACAUUUACAUCGUUUCUCAAAAUGAAUACAUUUGAUCAUCCAAAAUACAUAGCUCUCCAAAUCCUCAUCUACAUGAAUCUCUCUCAAUACAUAGGUGUGCUAAUGCAAAAAGAAAAGCUACUAUACUACCACGGUCUCACUGAUCGGGCGCGAUGCCCUUGCCGCGGUCCUCACUCGGUAAACCUGUACCUACCACUGGAAAUAGAGUGGGGUGAGAACUAUCUUUCAUAGUUCCCAGUGGGCUCGGCCGCCGACUCCGCCGAUCUCCCCACUAGGUCCAAGUGGGCACAAAUAACAACAAGUAGAUAGAUAGAUAGAUAGAUAGAUAUCUCAAAGCUGUAAAGGCAUAAAGGAAAACUAUGCUACUAUACCCAUAAUCAUGUAUAAUGAAUGCAUGCAUCAUAAAGUAAAUGUUUACUAUCAUGCUAACCAAUUCGAUCCAUGUUCGAAUGAUAAUGUUCCAUGACAUUGUUAACUGUUUAUUUACCCAAUCUGUGGCGAAAUCCUUGGGCUCGCCUACAACUCACAAUUCCAUCCCGUAUUGGGAACUCCAUGUGCCCCCAAAUCCGGGAUUGUCUGCGGACCUCCAUGUGGUCCUAAUCGCCCGACACUCCGGAGUACUCGACGACAAUCCUCUCCAUGUGAGGAUAUGGAUGGCUAUACCACCCCAAAUAACAGACCGUGAGUUAGAUUUAUCCUCUCCAAGUGAGGAUACCCCACGAACUAGGGCCAACAUCUUGAACGAACUCAUCUACAUCCUCUCUAUAUGAGGAUACUUAGCUUUACUAAGUUCUUUGUCCACAAGACAUUUUUUAAGGGAUUCACCUAUCCCUAGGUUCUCAAACCUCUAGUGUCAAGUACACUACUUUAAUGCCACUCAAUAUGUUCUUUAGACACUUAGAUGCCAUUUUCCAUGUCACCAAACACCCAUCGUGUCCAUCUCUUUUCUUUAGCACCAUAGGAUCCACGUUUCGACCUAAUUCUUACCUAUCCAUUUUCACCAAGUAUUCCAUGUACACUAGGUUAACAGUUAGAAGCAUAAGGAAAAGGCAUUAUAAUGCAAUCCUAUAAUGCAACAUGCAAGAGAUGAGAUUAUGCUAUUCUAAGACAUAGAAAAGAGCUCGGUUGCUUCGAGAUGACAGCCCCCACCUUUUUCUCGUUGUAGAGGUUCUAGAAAUGCCUCUCGCCGAAUGUUACGACGAGGUCUCGGCCUUCUUGGUCCAAAACAAUGCGCAAUCGGCCUUAUUUUGCCGAUAGCUUUUCUCCCGCUCGACGAAUCGAAAUUCCGACUUCGUCCCCGCGUUUAGACACCUAGCAAUUAGGUUUAUAAGGCUUCAAAUGAGAUCAAUCUCAUACUUUACAAAAAACCCCAUUUUGGGUACCCUAGGGUUCCAUCUUGCUAUUUGCACUAUGAACCCAAGCCUCUAGCUCUAAUCCACCAACAAUGGUGCUAGAGGUCCUUUUGACCUCAAUUCCAAAGCUCAAAACCCAAAAACCCUAAGUUCUACAAGCUAGGGUUUAGUAGCUUACCUCUAGUGCUACACCAAUGGUGAGGAGAGGAAGAGGAAGAUGCUCCAAGCCUCCUUGAGCUUGAUCUCCUCCUCUUUCUUCUUCUUCUUCUUCUCCUCUUUCUUCUUCUUUUUUCUUCUUCUCCUUCUUUUUUCCUUCUAGAGAGAGAGAGGGAGAGAAAUGAGAGAGUGUGGGAGUGUGAGGGGAAAUAAGAGAGGGAGAGAGAGCUCUUUGCCCUCUAUACCCCUUCACUAAAGCCAUUUUGUAUAAAAGCCCCUCCACUUUGAUCCUCUUAAACAACUCUGCCGGGGCUGUUCUCGUGCGGAGGGAUCGGUCUCCCCGACCUGGGACCGAUCCCCGAGAGCUUCCCCAGAUAUCACGCGUUCGGGAACCGGUCUCUUCCCGGGAGACCGGUCCUCGGGAGACCGGUCCUUGCCUGAGAGACCGGUCCCCGAGAGCUUGAUUUUCAGGACUUAGCCGAUUUUGGCCUUCUCUCGCUGGCGUCGCACACGGGGACCGGUUCCCUCAGCCUGGGACCGGUUGCAUCAAGAAUCCCCAGCAACCACCAGCCUCGGGGACCGGUCUCUCCCUGCCAGGGACCGGUCCACGAGAGCAGAAUCUGCCCAGUGCAGAUUUUCGCAUCAUUGCUCUCGUGGACUCAUUUCCAAUGCACCUUUUGUGUUUUGGACAACUUUAGCUUUCCCGAAGGAUACUCACUCGACAAGUAGUCGAUCCUGGACGAAGUACAACUCUCGGAUUUCGAGAAUUCACUUCCUUACAAGGCAAAUAAAACAACCUUAGGUAUGUCACCUAAGGAUCAAAACAAGAACUUGAUGCACCAAUCUUAGAUUGCAGCAGUAGCACCGAUACUGUAGCACCAACUGUAGCAGCACUGUAGAGCAGUACUGCAGCAGUACUGUAGCGCCGUACUGUAGCGAUGACUGUAGCAGUACGUUGUGGUAGAGAAAAGAAAAAAAAGAACGAGCAACGCCGAUGAGAUCCGGUGAGGGACAACACUGGAUCGCUAUACCCUAGAAUAAGGGUUUGGCUCUGAUACCAUGAAGAAGAGAAUUCAAAUUCUUCUUAUUCAUUCAAUAAUGAAUUACAAAGAUAUAUAUACAUAAAUGUUUCUAUAAUAAGAUAUUUAAUAAGGAAAGAUCUCUUAAGGAAAGAUGCCUAAAACUAUGCUAGCUAAAUAGGAACAUAAUAUAUACAAUUUUGACUUACCAUAACAGUAUGGAUAGAGAGAGAGAGAGAGAGAGAGAGAGAGAGACCAAAAGAGAGAGAGAGAGAGGAGAGAGAGAGAGAGAGAGAGAGAGAGAGAGAGGGGAGGGAGAGAGAUGGCCUGAGGAAGGGGUCGCCGGGGUGGCGCUCCGGCCGAUUUUAGCAGUACAAGGAGAAGGGUGGCGGCUGCUGUGGAGGGAUAUGGCUAGGGUUAGGGUAUACACCUAUAUACAUAUACAAUACAUGUAUAUGUAAUGUAUAUUAUAUAUAUACUAGCGAUGUACUCGCGCUUUGCUGCGGGUGCAUGGGUAUGUUCUUAAUUUUAUUUAUAAAAUAUAAUAUAUAUUACUAUUAAGUAGAAUUGGGCUAGAAUACUAUUAAUAGUAUUUGACCGUUUUUUGUUAUUGAGUUUUUAGCCCUUGGAUGAAAAAUUAUAUGGUUAGGAUGAUAGUGGUUUCCUAUGGUUUAAUAGUAGUUCCCUUAGGUUGAGUGGGCUGUUAGUUGAAUAGUAUGAUCUAAAGGAUGAAAUUGAUCAAAGUGUACAUCUAACGGCUAAAAAAUCAAUAGCAUAAGAGCUCAAAUACUAUUAAUAGUAUUCCAGCUAUUAAGUAUAUAUUUUUAUCAAUAUCUGAUUUCAAACUCUAGAAUUUUGUUACAAAUUUUAUUUGUUGGUAUAUUAGAUCCUUGGGAUUCCAUAAACUUCAAAAUUUUCUGAAGCACACCUACUUUGGAGAAAUUAGAUAUAAUUUUUCUAAAAUUUAGACUUCCAACAGAUAAUUGACAAAAAGUGAAGGAGAUUUUUAAUUGAUUUAAUAGUUGAUAGAUAAUGAGAUUAUUAAAUCUAAUUAAUCUUCCAACCAAUUUUGAAAAAUAACUUACAUUGAAAUAAUUAAAGAUUGGUGAGAUAUUAAUCAAAUUAACAUAGUUGAGGGGUCUAAUUCAAAGUGGCUUUUAGUCGAACUCAUUGACUGCACCUAAUAUACAUAUACAUUUCAUACGCACUAGUAAAUUUGUAUAAUAGGGAUGGCACAAUAAAAGGUUAAUUAAUUCGAUUUAUUUUAUAGUAUUUAGAAUGUCUAUAUGUUAAUAUUUAUAAAUUUUAGAUAUAUUCACUAAAAUAAAACUAUAUUUUUCUUAUUGUGUCCAUGAUGCACCGGGUGCAUUAAUAGAAUGGACAUAUGUCCACAAACAACGUUCCGAUAAAUUUAUAUGAUAGAAAUGUCAAAAAUAAAAUUAAUUAAAUUUGCUCUAUAAUACUUUUAAUUUUUAUAUAUUAAAAAUUAUAAAAUUUAGAUGCAAAUAUUAAAAUAAAUAAUUUUUUCUAUACAAUUUACGGUGCACCGGGUAUACCGAAUUUAUGGAAGGGACAUUUGUCUAGAAAUGGAAGGUGCUCCACAAUGGAUAUGAGGUCUUUAGUGGAGUUUAUUGGCUGCACCUAGUGUACAUAUACUGUCACGCCCUGAGCUCCGCCAAUUUGGUCGGAUUCGAGUACGUAACAGACGCCGAACGGACAGCACCUCCCCUGUCAGCCCAAGGCUCCAACAACAUGUAUAACACAAGCAAACUAACCAGGAGGUUGCAAGAUAUACAAGGUUUGCACGAGGGCAAACAAUAACAACCACAAGUGAAAGCAUCGAAUCUAUCUAAGCAUUCAACAUACAAGUCAUUUGAUUACUUUUGUAUCAAACAAAAGUAAACCAUUGCAUUUACAUUCAUUUACAUCACCUUUGCCUUUAACCAAAAUGAAGUUUGCAUCUUUAUCAUUCUUUACAUUUACAUUUACAUUUACUAGUUCAACAUACAACAGUUGAAUACACCAAAAAUAUAGGGUUUGCCUAUGAACUCCGAGGCCGCUAUCUACGGCGCAAUACCCUUGCCUCGAUCCUCCGCCGCCCCGCUCGUGCACGGAUCUGCAGGGUUAGUGGUAAUGAGAACUAGAACGAAGUUCCCAGUGGGUUCGGCCGUCGACCGCGCCGAUUCGCCCACUAGGUUUAUUUCAGGCAUAUGUAUUUCAAUAAAAGUAGAUGUCAAACCAUUUAAUGCAAUUACUAAUACAAUGCCUGCAAAACAACCGCCAACACAGAUAGAUAAUCAAAUACAUGAUUCUGAUGCAUGCAUGUCCAUUCCUCUUUUUACUCGGCUUUUACCCAAUCUUUCCAGGGUUCAUCAUGUUCAAUCCAACUCAUAUCUCACAUGUCCCAUCUACCGGGAUUAGCAUUUGGAAAUGCCCCCCAGGGAUUUAUCCUAUCUACCGGGGAAGGCACAUGGCACUAUCGCGCGAGGGAUCUUGGCCGGGCACUCUCACCCGUGGUGUCUACACUCUGGAGUACACCGCUUGAGGAGCUAUCUCACUCAAGCCGGAACCAAUAUAUGUGAGUAUGAUCCCAUCCUCAAUUGGAGGAGGUAUAGCCAAACCUGUCUCAUGCCACAAUAUCUCAAUGCCAAUGAUAGGAUUUACCAUAUCAUAUAUAUACCAGCAAUUCUGAGUCACAAUGGUCCUGAUGCCAUAUUAAGCUAAACCUUGUUUAGUCAUUACAUUUUCGGUGCCAAUCUGGUCACUAAUGUCAAUGUCACCUUUGUUUACUAUUGUCAUAGUCCGUUCUCGCAUUCAAUACACAUAGGGUUCUUUCAUACACAGUUGACAUGGUUCUUUAUCAUUUCACAUUUCACAUAUUCUUUAAGCAUCUAAAUGCAUUUCAACCAUGAACACAUAAUAAGCUACCCUACAUGCAUGAAUGCUAACAUCAAUAUGCUCAAAUGGAGUGACAUAGAUAUAGAAAGAGAUCCGGUGUUUCCGGACAGCACCCCCCACUUUUUGGGUACGCUAGGAUGCCGCGAUCCUAUUUUCACUAUUUUUAGAUGCCUUCGCCGCUAGUUGCGGCAAUUUUGUACCAACUUAGCUUCUUCUCCCAAUAUCUUUCCGUACGCUCGUCGUAUCCCCGAAUCGAGCGCACCGAUGCGUUCGUUGACCUACCAAUUAGGUUAAAAUGAGAUCAAUCCCAUGAUUGAACCUCAAAAUUACAAAACUCUAAAGUUAGGUCCUUGUACAAAGUCAUCUUCCCCAAACAAGCCCCUAGCUUGUAUAAUCAUGGAGGAAAUCCUCUAAAUCAUCUCCUAGAUACAUGCUAGAAGAAAUUAAACCCACAACCUAGCUUAAAACCAAGAAAUCUCACCUUUGGUUCAAGCUCUUUCUUGUACACUUGCACAAUAGCAAGCAACACCCUUAUCUUGGUCUUCUUCUCCACCAAAGUCCCUCCAAAUCCCUCCUUGGUCCAAGCCCUAGAGAGAGAGGAAGAGAGAAGAGAAGGUUUUUAGAGAGAGAGAGGGAGAUAUUUUGGUGUAGGGUUGAGAGCAAAUGAGCUCUCACACUUGCCCUAACCCACAUAUAACCCUUCACCAAGUCACAUUUGCACUUAAGGCCCUCUCAAUUCCACUUUUCACCACAGCCCUCACUGGGCAUUUCUCGCAUACGGGGUUUGGACCCUGCAGCUAGGGUUCGGACCCCGAGAGCAAAACUUCAGCCAGACAGCCCACUCUGGGCAGAUUUCGCGUACGGGGUCCGGACCUUCCCGCUAGGGUCCGGACCCCGAGAGCACAACCCUACCAGCCUGCCCGCGCAGGGCAUUUCACGCGUACGGGGUCCGGACCCUAGCAGGGGUCCGGACCCCGAGAGCACAAAUUCUGGUACUUAGCCAGAUUUUCACAGGUCUGCUCCCAUGGGUCCAUAUACCCUAUACAAUGGCCCUAAGCUCUUAGAACCCAUUGUAACAUGUUCUAACUCGUCAAACUCCGCGUUCCGCUCAUUUCGACGGAACUCGACACAUCUUUACGGGGAGAUGAUACGUUACAUAUACAUCUCAUAUGCACCAGUAAAUUUUUACAGUGAUGUCAAAACUAAAAAUUUAAUUAAUUCAAUUUAUUUUGUAAAUUUUAAAAUGUUUAUAUGUUAAUAUUUAUACAUUUUAAAUUAUAUUCACUAAAAUAAAUUUAUAUUUUCUUAUUGGGUCCAUAGUGCACUGAGUGCGCCUAUGGAAUGGACGCAUGUCCACAAACACUACUCUCCAUUGCAAAUUAUUGCGUGCACUUAGUGUAUGUGAUUCACACCGGCAAAUUUAUAUGAUAAAAAUGUCAAAAUAAAAUUUCAGAUAAAAUUGUCAAAACCAAAAUUUUAGAAUAAAUUUUCAUUAAUUAAAUUUAUGUUAUAGUAUUUUAAAUGUCUUUGUAGUAAAAUAAAAUAAAAAUUAUUAUAGGAUCUAUGGUACACCGGGUGCAGUGUAAAUAUAGACGGGACACGUGUCAACACAGAGAUAUUACUCCACGCACUUUAGUAUAUAGUAAUAGAUAUAUACAACUAUUCGUAACAAUUGCAUCUUACUCCCCUUUUUGCACACAACUCCAUAGCACAACCCAAUUUACGUCGAAGCCCUCCAAGUGAGGAAAUUUCAGAGUCUCUUGCAAUUAAGGUCGCAACUUCAUAAAAAGAUCCUCUUUUUGGUUUCUCUCUCUAACUUCAACUGCGUGCCAAUUUUCAUAGAAAUCUCAGAAUUUCGUAAAACUUGAAUGCACACGUUCCUCUAUGAGUCUAGUUUCACAUGAGUCCUUUUGCUCAUGAAAAUUCUAGAAAUACUCACAUGAAAUGAUAGCCCCUUAGCGCAUUGUACCUUUUUUGCAAAUCACAAAAAUUGCAAUUUAGCCCAUUCUGGAUCACAAUUUCAAAUCCAAAACUCACCCAUAGUUGUGUUUUGCUCACAAGUUCCUCCACCUCAAGAAUCAUGCAAUUUGACACAUAAAAUGCUACUCUUUAGAAUAAAUGCUCCGUUUCAUCUAUUUUGCACUUCUGCAACUUCGUCCCAAAACAUUAGUUAUUCACAUGGAAAUUCACCGAAGCCUCUCACAUGACCUAUAGCAUUGAGAGGCCAUGUAAGUAAUAGUUUUCAUUUAGUAUAAAAUCACUUCGAAUUGCAUGAUCGAACACCCUCUUUAGAGAAUUCAUUGUAAAAAUAUCUCGGUUACUACAUAAAGAUGAUAAAUUGUGGAUAUCACUUAGUGUCAAUGCUCGGCAUGCUAGUUAACAAUUGAAAUACAAUAUCUAUAUUAUCCUUAUAUAAGCAUUAAUCAACGGCACCAUGACCAUAUCAAGAGUGAAGAAGAAUAAAGGAUAGGAAUAGGCGAACCAAAUGGUGGAGUAGGACCAUUUUGGGCUAAGUAUCCACCUUGAAUCACAAACUCGACGUCUUCCGCGCGUCGCCAGCUUCUUGUCAUUCACUCGGUCCUAAAGAGAAAUACAAGAACAUCACAAACUCCUUUAUGGUUCCAAAAACUCAUUAUACUAGUCGUACCCUACCAUGAGGCCUCAAGGCUUCAAUCCAUCAACCCUAGGUCAAUCACCAAAAAUUACACAUUUUUGUAUAUAGAGGGCCUGAGGUUUCCGCCUUAGCUCAAGCUUUUACCAAUUUUGGGGAAUCUCCAAAUACAACCAAGAAAACCCUAAGCUUUUCCAUAUGAUGCCAACAUCAUGCCUUCAGUACAAAGAAACCCCAAAUCAACUCCAAAAUCCUAAAAACAUGAAAUUAACGACAACUAACCAAGGAUUUGAGAGUUCAAGAGCAACUCACCUUGAUUCACAAACUUUUUCCUUUCAUCCAAGAAAAGCUUGCCUGGGCAGAGAUUGUCGUUUCCUUCUCGUCGUUUCCUUCUCGUGAAGCUUCUACUCUCACUUGUGCAUCUCGAGGAGCGAGAAUUUGGCCUCUGUUUGCUUCGAAGCUAGAAGGAGAGGGAGAUAGUGAGGAGAGAGUGAUAGAGGGUUGGAGAGGUAAAGAGAGCAAGAAAGAGAGAGUAGGCAUAGGUUGGCUUCUCUAACUUGAGGGAUCCCCUAUAUAAAGAUGGGUUGUAACUGUCAUGCCUUGGGCCCUAGCGAAAGCGUACUCGGGCACGUGCACAGACCCUUCGUGUGUGCAAGGACACCCUCCUGGUACACACAUGGUGUCUACAAUCACAACAUCCACCAAGAAGAUACAUCCUAUGUAUGGUGAUCAGGGCAGGUAAACAUAAGCUAAGCUAGUUUAAAUAUUUCAAAGGACUAUAUAUGAUUCAAAUGUGUAGCUCAUUACUCCACCGACAUGACCUCAAAUAUGACACAUAACCAUCACAUAAAAACAUAACUCCAAGCUCAUCAUCUACAAAAAGUACAACUUAAAAUAUACAUACCACUCUACCAUAUAGAGAUCUCUCAAUGGUCUAUCUAUAUAAGAACAUCCACAUCUCUCUCAUACACCUCAAAACGAAAGAUGUAAGGGUCCACCUCUAGAUGGUCUUAGUCGGGAUGGCUGUAGCUAGAGCAACGUUGUUGCUGCGGUCCCGAGUCUCUCCUGCGAUAGAAGGCUCUGAAAUAAAAACAAAUAAUCAAUAGGGGUGAAAACUACAAAAAUAUAGUUUCCAGUGGCUAGCUGCUAAAAAAGGCAUACUCUUCUACUACGUCAACUGAGGCAUAGAUAAUAAACUGCUGGGAUGUAAAUAGCAGGAAAAAAAUUAGAGUUGAACUGAAAAGUAAAUCUACUACUAUCAUGCUUCUAUAUAAUGAUAUAAUGAAGUACUAUCAUGAAUGUCCAACUACUAUGAUUGCAUCAACUAUGUUGUGAUGUUUAAGUGCCAAGUUUUAUUAACUUUUAUCCAUUCUUUUGAGGACUUACAUAAGGUAAAGUUCUAGCUUGCACCAUGCCUCAUGGUCCUGUGGUAGUCAACAUCUCCACCCUAGAGAUGAGACGCUCUCACGAAGUCCCAAUUGAAGCUCAAUCAAGUAUGGGCGAGGAUGGUGUCGUGAUGGCUAUACCUUUGGAGGGUUGAGCUUGUAGGGAGCAACUCUACCAAGCAUAUGCGAAUGAGCAUAUAUGGCUCUUGCAAGCUUUGGUCUCAUCCAACAUGUCUAAAGACAACCUCCAUCUUUGACCCCUUUGGUCACGUACAUUGUUUGUUUUACUAUUUCUUGUCUCAACUUGUAUUCAAGAAGAAAUAACUAGUGUCAUGAUCAUGUAUCAACUAUAAAAGGAACAAACAUUUCAACUCAACUAUAACAUGUAUAGGAGCCAAACUGCUUAUGUCACACAUAGAUGAGUUGUACUACAAACAAUAAGCUUCAUGUACAAUGAAGUGCAUGCAUCAUGUAUCAUAUGGCCUUUACUAUAGAUUAAUUUCCUAACAUGCAAAUAACCAUGGAACCACAUGCUAAUUCAUUCUUAAAUAUUCUAGUUAGCAAGCUAGAAUAUAGAAUAAGCUCAACAACGGAGUAGAAGACAUAACGGGGAGUUCACCGAUUUCAGUUUGGUCGAGCCCACUGGAUAGUUAUCGAAGCUCUUUCGCUUCCUCAAUCAAAAUUGCCCCCUCUUCUUUCCUAGUACAAAGAAAACUUUUCAAGGGGUACAACCUUUUAUAAAUUUUAUCCCAAAAUUCACCAAAAUCACAUAAAAAAUAGGUGAAAAAUACCUCAAAACAAGAAAUCCUUAGUAAUCCUUCAAACCAAGGCAAUGGGGCUUCAAAGAAGGUUCUAAACAUAACCAAUUUCAUCCCAAAAGCCCUUAGUUGAGAAUUUGCAAAAUAGUAGUAGUUUUUUAAAAACUAGAAAUUCUACCAAUUACUUUUCAUUUUUGCAAAUUAGAGAGUUUAGGAAGGUUACCAACCUUAAUUUAAGCUCUAAACCCAAGCUCAAGUGUUGAGGUUGAAGAUUGAAAGCUCCAAACAAUUCCCUUUCCAAGUCGCUUGCUCCACACUUAGCUCAAAAUGCUCCUAAUCCCAUAGAGAAGGAAGAAAAAGAAGGAAGCUAAGUGGAAUUGGAAGAAAAGAGAAAGAAUAAGAAGAAAAGAUGAAGAAAUAAGCAAAACUCACCUUUUGCCAAGCUUGUUGCGUUCAAAGGGAUGAAGUGAAGGGAGAAUUUAUAGGCUGCUACAAAAUCCCCAUGAGCCCUCCAUGUUUUAGAAAUUACAACCUGCGAAAUUUCAUGUUUUAUAGCGUUGAGUACUGGUAUUCGAACCAGAGUACCGGUGCACCACCAUUGUGUUUCGGUACUCAGGGCUAGUUCCGUAAAAUCCAAACCCUGUAUGCAGUUGAUCUUUCCUGCGUACUGGUAUUUGAAGCAUUCGUAUCGAUACUCACAAAAAUCAGUACUGGUACACUUUCUAGUUCCGCAAAACUCGAGAGCUUAUCCAACCCAUUCACCACUAGGUACCGGUAUACCAUCUCCAGUAUCGGUACUCCAUGUCAAAACUGCAGUUUGCAGAUUUUGGCCGCCGGAGUUCGUUUUUGCGUCGAAAACACUUGCGUGAACGUCAAACUCAACCGAAAUUAGCUGAAUAGUAUUAAAUACUGUUUCUCUCAGUAGAAAUCCGUAAUUUGCAAAUGUUUAGUGUACUGUAGUAACAAUUGCAUAUAAAGCCCCCUUCUCCCAAACAGCUCUAGCAGCGGAAAGUUCGGGCCUCUAUGGAAGUCUGAAUCCUAAAUGUCCAAUAGGGCAUCUCGUAGCUAAAGUCCGGACCUCUCUCCCCGAAGUUCGGACUUCUCUUCCAAGGUUUGGAUCCCGAAUGCUAUUCUGCACGAAGCCUGCUCAGUGUCCGGACUUCCUUGGCAAGGUUUCAAUUUUGAAGCAACUUCAAGGUCUAAGUUCUGAUGAUUCAGCAACUUCAAGGUCCAGACUUCUCCAUCAAGGUUUGGACUUUGAAGUUUCAAUUUUCAAAAACUUGCUCUAGAAACUUCCGUUUUCAAUCUUUUUUUAUCCAAACUUGGUCCCAAGCUAUCUUUUAGCCAUUCAAUUCAAACACGCACAAAUCAUUUUGUGGCAAAUUCAUCUGUACUUUGCCUUAUUUGGAUAGGUUUCAGUAUACUAAAACUGAAAUUCGUAUAUUACAGUUUGUGCUCUUGUCACCUGUAUUUUGAUUUGUUAAACUUUCAUUCAAAAGUGGAAAGUUGUGAUCUAAUUAUUGUUGCCUAAGGUUAUGCCUUUCAAAACCAAGAAUGAAUGCCAAUAAGAUGAUUGCUAACAAAGCCUAGGAGACUCGACUGGCUAAAUUAUUAUUUCAACUAAUGUACUGAACCAGAAAGGGGAUGCAAUUUUUUUUGUCUUGGUGAAUCUUUGGGCAGCACAUUCUCAUUAUCUCCCUUUUUUUUUUAUUUCAGUUUUUCUGUCUCUUGUCACUUUUUGUUUCUCAACUGAAUUUAAUUAUGUCAAUUCUUCUUCAUAUGUUUCUUACUCUUUCUUGCGAUUAUUUUCUAUGGCUUUCUUUAACAGAUUUUCAUAUAUGUUUUAAUCAUCCGAUUAAUCCUUUUCCAAAGUUUGUUGGUCCAUAUCUUACAUAACAACCAUUUAAAAUCUCCAUAAUUAUAUUUUUAGGGUAUGCGUGUUGGACUAUUUGAAAGACAUUAUGACUACUUUUUAUCCAUGUGGAAAAAAUGGCAAUAUAGAGAAAUUUAAACGUUGUUGUUAAUUUUAACAAGGAUUGCAAUGCCGCAGUGCGGCACAACACAACAGAGCGGCACCAGGUGUGCCAAUGUCAUUGCACCUUCCAUGCCCAUGGCACGCCACUGGUGCAUUGGCGCGAAUUUUUUUAAUUAAAGUUUCAUGAAAAAGUAGUUUUUUAAAAUGUUUUCCUAUUUGUAGAGGUCAUAAAAAUGGCUUAUUUAUUACAAUUCACACACCUAAGUAAGAAUAUAGUCAUAACAUCUUACUAACUUUAAAAACAGAAUCAUCUUUUAUAUGUUAUGAAAGUGUAUGUAUGAAACCAAAACCAAAGUCAUAAUUAGAUAAAAUUUAUAGGAAAACACUACCAUGGAUAAAAUCAAUAGAUGUAAAAUGAUAAAAGAAAUUUUAGGAAAUCUUUUUAUUUAUAUUUUUUCACUAAAAGUUGGUCUUAUAAUGCACAGGAACUUACUAAUUGCUUUUAAUGUUAGUAAGAUUUUACAAGAUUUUCAUAUUUUAAAGUAUGAAAAAAUUUUUUGUAAAAGUUUUUUCCUCAAAAAUUCAAAGAUCUGAAAGUGUAAAAAAACCUAUUUUGUCGAUAAGUUGGCACGAUUUUGUGCCACGUGUCGGCAUGGCCUCAGCACGGUACGAGAUGGGCGGCAUGGGCAAUCCUUGACCUUUAGUCAUAAUGAAUAGAUGUAAUACAGCCAUUUGUAAUUGAUGUUAAAUGUUGUAGCUUAAUUUUGUAUAUUUACUAUACUCAUCUACUUAAAGGGCGAGAAAAGGGUUUCUGCUUUCUGCUUUUUCAGUAUGUUAUUUCUCUGUUUGCAAUUUUGAGCAUUAAGAUUUACUUAUAUUUAGAUCACGAGUUUUCUCUGCAUUGUGUAAUAUUGACCUAUAAAUUCUACUUGAUUUUUGCAGCUUGUGAAGUUGCUCGAGUCAAAGGAGGCUAAUCACAUUGAAUUUUGUAGAAUAAAGAACGUUGUUGAUGAAAUUAUGCACAUGAAUAGAAACUCCGAGCUCUCAGGUAUCCUAAGUAUAUUGCUUGAACCUGCUUGGGCGGCCACUGGUUUAAAAGUUGAAUAUGAUGUGCUAGUAAGUUAUACCUUUUUAGUACAGUAUACUGCUACUUAAAUAUCUAACUUUUACUAUUUUAUUUUGUUUAUGAACUUAAUAUAUUUUUACUUUGUUCGUCUUCAAUUAUAUUUUUGGGGGACUGUUUGUUGGAAAUAUAAUAUGGUGCCAUUUCAUUUUUAGGUGGAUGAAUGCAGUUUGAUCUCUCAAAGAAUAGCCGAAAUUAUAUCUCUGGGUGAUGAAAGUGAUCAGCAAAUAAGUUCAUUUGAAUUUAUUCCUGGUGAUUUCUUUGAGGAUAUGGAGUCCUCAUGGAAAGGUCGUGUGAAAAGGAUGCAUGCUGAGGACGCAUUUGCUGAAGUGGAGAGAGCUGGCAAGGCAUUGUCGAUUGCGGUCAGUUUUGGAACCAUGUCCCCACCUGCUAUGUCCUGUUAUUUUUCUGUUAAUUGCUUGUUUUUCCCCAGCUGUUAUUCCCUGUUAUUUUUCGGUUAAUUCCUUGUUUUACCAGGGAAAAAAAAACCCCCUUUGAUUUUCAAGGGUAUGUCACCAUUGUUUGUUGUUGAUUGUGACUGUUGUAGCUUUUAUUUGGGUAUUGUUGUAAAAAUUCAAGGCAUGGAUUUACUUGCUGCAGCAUGCCUUUGAGUAGAUUAGCCAUCAUCACAGUAGGUGCUGACACUCAUCAUGUUGACAUGGGCUUGCGCACGGAGACCCUUUAACGGGGUAGUAUACAUUGGCAUGGUCAGCACAUGCAAUUAUGCCAUUGAUGGUGGAAUCAUUCUACUUACUACCUGCACCUAAUAAAAGGUGCUAAUUGGCAAAUGAUAAUUGCUGCAUUGUGUAUUUUCCUGUAUUGGUGAAUUCAACAUUUUUGGCACGACAAGACCGGAAUGCAUACUGUGAAAAGUUGUGUGAGAACAUUACUAGCUUGAUUAGAAAAAGGAGAACUUGAAUCAUCGUACCUUGUAUUUCAUUAGGUCUUAACUUAGAACAAGGUUUAAAGUGCCAUGGCACGGAGGAAUGCCGUGGCACGGGGGCGUGCCGUUAUGUCCCUGGCAUGGUACGGCACAGGGACGCUUGUGUGUCGAUAAAUACGCAUGACCUUCUAUUGGCAUGUUUUGACACGGACUUAUUUCAGUUUUUUUGGUUCCAAUAAACUCUUAUAAUAUUAUUUUGAAAGAUUUAAAUAAAUAAUUAUGAAUAUUUACUAUAUAUAUCUUACUAUACUCAUCAAUUAAUAUGCAUCUAAGUUUUUUGUAAGUAAAGUACAACUAUACCUGAUGAAGAAUAGAAAUUAAAAUACAAUAAUAAAAUUCAUAAGUACAAUAAUUAUUUAAAGGGAUAAUUGCCUAUAUACCCCUCAUACGUUUGAAAAUAUUCGAUUUACCCCUAUUUUUUUUUUCUUUCUAAAAUACCUCUCAUAUGUUCCACCGUUAUUGCAAAAUACCCGCGCAGUUAUCUCCUGUUAAGUUAACUUGGGUUAAACGUGAGUUAAACAUCUACCACAGUUAAAAAAAAAAUAAAAUGCCAAUUUUGUCCUUAACUUAAGGGCAAAUAAGAAAUGUUGGUGACGGUAUAUGGGUAUAUUGGAAAAGAUCAAAAGUCAAAAUACUUUUUAUGCCCUUGACUUUAAGGGCAAAUAAGAAAGUCAGUGAUGGUGGAAGGGUAUAUUUGAAAGGGCAAAAUAGUAAUUUUACAGAGAUAACAGAGUUUAUUAACAGAUUUGAACUCUAGGGGUAUAUUAGAAAUAGGUUGGAACGUAGAAAGGGUAUUUUCAAUAUUAGCCUUCUAAGAGGGGUAAAUCGAAAAGUCGGAUACUUUUCAGUGGUACAUAAGCAAUUGCCCCUUAUUUAAAUUUACAUCUUUACAUAGAGAUGACUACUUAAUUCCACAUAGAUUGUCGCGCUUGAUCAUAUGGCAUAUUGUUAUCUGCAGAUACAAGAUUUAUUUGACAAUGUUGAUAUAAGUAUUGCUGGUAUUGUGAGAAAGUCAUAUAUUCCCGAUAUUACAUCCAUAUUUUUUGUUCUUUUUAAAAAUAUCUGAUCAAAAUUUGUUUAGGAGAUCGAUUUUUGUUCCCCUGAUUCACUUAAAGCUUCGCUGUGCGACAAAUUUUGACAAAAUAUUUUGCGAAAAAAAAAGGAUGUCUGUGGUGGAAGCAGAGGGCUCGGGUCGUCAAUUAAAAAUUUGCUCGUAUAUUGAUAAAUAAGAAGUAAAAAAAAGGCAUCCGCCAGAAAGCAAAAAAAAAGUUGGGGCUCGAUUCCCCAGAGAACAAAAGAAAAAGCCAAAAAAAAGCCAAAAAGGAAAAAAAAAAUGGGCGGCACGCACAGUACGUGCCGCCGGCAUGCACCUGCGUGACGCUCGAGACCAUGUGCUUGCCGCGAGACGGGGGGUCCGAGAACCCCCCUGUACCGUGCCCCUAUCUUGGGGGCACGGUACGGCACGCCUCCCGUGCCGUACGGCAUGGGCGGCACUUUAAAGCUUGCUUAGAAGCAUGCCAUUACAUUCCAAUUAAUUGUUUAAUUUAAGGUACAAAAUAUCACAUGCAAAACUAGCAUUGCCAUCUCAAUUAUGUAUAUUUCCAUGCCUUUGUUCAAAUAUCCUUUUUUAUAAUUACAACUUCGUUUGUUAUUAUUAUCAUUAUUAUUUUUUUUCGUAGAAGCAUGUCAUUACGUUCCAAUUUAAUUGUUUACUUUUAAGGUACAAAAUAUCACAUGGAAAAUUAACAUUGCCAUCUCAAUUAUGUAUAUUUACAGUGGCCUUUGUUCAAUUAUCCUUUUUAUCAUUACAACUUUGUUUAUCUUUUUUUUUUUUUGUUUGUUAUUUUGUCCUGUUAUGUUCUUAGAUCAUGGAAGAUUUUGUUCCAAUUAUUGAAAGACUAAAGUCUGUAAUGUCUCCUCUGGGUGGUCCAAGAGGUGAAAUAUGCUAUUCAAGAGAGCAUGAAGCAGUGUGGUUUAAGGGAAAGCGUUUUAUGCCAAAAGUGUGGGCUAACACCCCUGGUGAGGAACAGAUAAAGCUACUCAGGCCUGCUACUGAUUCAAAAGGGAGGAAGGUUGGGGAGGACUGGUUUACUACAGUGAAGGUCGAGAAUGCUAUGAGCAGGUAUUCAAUUAAAGUGGAAAUAUCUACGUGUAUAUUCCUGCAAAAUCUGAGGUUCAUAGUUGUGCUUUUAAAACCUAAUUCCUAUGUACUCAUGUUCUGAGAAAACCAAAUUCCCCCAUGAAUUGGAUGAUUUCACAACUUGAAGAGUAGGAUAUUUUUCUAGGAAGCUGCACUGUUGAGCGCCUAUUGCUAUAUUAAUGUUUUAUCAGAUAUUUGUAUGUAGAAACCUCUUUUACUUGGAACUGUAUCCAACUUCCUAAGUGAUUGUAUUCGGAUGAAACUUAAAAUCAUAAUAAGCCGUAGUUUAUUUUUUUUUAACCUUCAGUUUUCAUUAUUGACUUUGUACAUAUGUUGGGCUUUGUUUUUUGGUUUCAGGUAUCACGAAGCUAGUGAUAAGGCAAGGAGUAAAGUUCUGGAGCUGUUAAGAGGACUUUCCAGUGAAUUGCAGGAUAAGAUAAACAUUCUUGUCUUCUCUUCAAUGUUACUCAUCAUAUCAAAGGCACUGUUUAGUCAUGUUAGGUGGAGCCUUUUAUGCCCUGCUUGUGGAGCCUUUUGUAUUACUCUUUUCUUGCUUAGUUUUUCCAAGGAAACAAUUAAAAAAUACAUAUACAAAAAGUAUGUGGUUGACAUAAUCUUACAUUAUUUGUUUAGUUUAGCUCAAUAUUUGAGUAAUAGUCUUGCAAACAUGCUUUCUAUACUUUAAUCUGUAGGAAAAGCUUACUUUUUAUGUAAAAUGAACUAGAUGAAGGGGUCUGGUGCUUGUACUUGACAUGAUAUUUGUCUUUUCAUCGCAUCAGUAAAACAAAUUGAAAGUUGCUUUGAUCAAUACUACAUUGGAUCCAAGUAAACUAAUUGAUAAUGUUCACAGUGAUACGUGAAAUAUCUUUUCAAUAUCUUCACACUAAUGUGAUAAAUAUGUGAUUUAUUCUGAUGAUUCCUGCACUAUUGUUAUCUUGUGAUUAAGUGGUUUGGCAGCCAUAUAUACGUGUUCUUAUUUUAGUUUCGUACAUAUGAUCCUGCCAUAAUUAUGUUCUGCAGUGAAGGUCGACGGAGGAGAUGGGUAUUCCCUAAGAUAAGUGAGUCUUUCUACUCUAAGGUAUUAAUUCUGAAGCCUUAUUGUGUUGAGAAAAGGAGCUGUUAUUUACUGUGCUGAUGCUAUUAAUUUUUAUUGAUUAUGAUGUUACAUAUUUCAUAACAGAUUUGGUUUUAGACUUUUAGUUCAACCUAGUAAUUGCACCUUUCUACACAUUCCAAGAAAGUAUAAUUUAAGUUUUCACAUUUGAUGCAGGAUAAAAUGGAUGCAGAAAUUACAAAAGAAAUGGCUCUGUUGGGUUUAUCUCCUUAUUGGCUUGAUGUUGCUCAAGGCAAUGCGAUACUAAACAAUAUUAAAAUGCGCUCGCUGUUCCUUCUGACUGGACCAAAUGGUGGUGGUAAAUCCAGCAUUCUCCGAUCAAUAUGUGCUGCUGCAUUACUUGGAAUCUGUGGGCUUAUGGUGCCAGCUGAGUCAGCCGUCAUUCCACAUUUUGACUCUAUUAUGCUACAUAUGAAAACUUAUGAUAGUCCUGCAGAUGGGAAAAGCUCAUUUCAGGUACCAAAUUGUCACAUCCCUGGGCUCUUUUGUAAAACCUUUUAUAGGGAAAACAGUAAAAAAUGUACAUUUUUUUUUUACCAACACCAAAACCAAAGACUGCCCCAAAUGUGCACAGAUCUGCUACAUGGACAGAGUCUUCCCUGUAAAAAUUGACAGUCUUUCCUGUACAUUAAUGGCGUGGGAAUUUAGAGUACAACAUCAACCAACACAUCAACCAGAAUAUAGCAAUAGGGACAACAGAUAGGUAAUAUACAUAACAAGAUGAAUAACAAUUGCCGUAAACCAAAAGAAUCUAUAAGAAAUUACUAAGAAGCAUAAAACCUCAAUUGCUGAAUGAUAACUAAAACAGGAGUUGUCUAAACAAAAAGGCAUAACUAGAACACAAAGCUAUUGUCACAGGGACACGGCUAGCGAAUCGCGCCCUCACGCACCGUCCCUGAACCUGACCUCCAAUGUUACAUGAGGAAAAUAGAGGGUGACAAAUAUAUACACAUUUUUCAGUGGGUAACGCAAGCCGCCGAAGGUAAGUUGUACUCACUAGUUAAUAAAAGAGAGCUAUAAGAUAGGUAUGACUGGUAUAAACAGAUAUAAAUGAUACAAUAGCAAAAAGUAAAGCAAAAAAGGAAGUAUGCAACUACAUAAUUGGAAUAGUACCGCCACUGUAACAAAGACAAUCAAACAUGCGUAUGCAUCAAGCGGAUGAACAGUCCAAUAUCCAAACCCAAUCCAACUACCAUCAUGUUGGUCUAAAGACCUUUGGCAAUGUCAUACUUGUGCUCAGUCACUGGGCAUAUAAUCCCACUGCAAAAGAUACUGCAUAGAGUUCACGGAUUGGAUCACGACAACUUCCGAAAAGAAUACUGUUGUGAUGGCCAAACCGCUGAUGUAUGUGAAAUACUCCAUGAGCGGUAAUGAUCGAUGCUAUAUGUUCAAUAGCCAAACCAGUGACAAAUAACCGUGAGAGAUAAUGGGUAAACAAUCGACAAACAAGGUCAAAACAAUAUCUCAAAAAUAACAUGAAUAACACUGGGCGAUUAGGUCAAAUAACUAUCAUAUAAUAGUGCAACGAAAUAGCAACCUAGGUGAUCCACCGACCAACGUUGGUCAGAAUGAUGUCAUGUGUUAGUAUAAUACUAACUGACCAGGUCAACUAACUGUCAUAUAAUCGACUAAUGAUAUAUCUACUGAUGUUUAACUCUGACCAACUAGGUCAACAUUUGUCAUAUAAUCAUGCAAUAGUAUAACAACCGCUCUACAACUCAAAAGAUGAAACAAAUAUACAAUAACUGAAGUAGAGGAACCACAAUGAUAAGGCAAAUGGUGCGAAAGAUAUACUAAACCAUAAAAGAGAACAGAAAGAUAAGGGAAGGUAACUAGGUAGGCACCACUUUACCGACUUCAGAUCGAAACACCCACCUAUAAACCAAAUAUCUGAUUCCGCGACUCCACCAAUGUCUCUAGGCACCAUGUGAAUCUAGACAUAAACACCAAGUGUCAAUAUAAACCGCUACAUGUCCACUAUACCAACCGACACAUUAUAUCAUACCGAAGUGCACCACAACAUAUUUGGAACAUCGCUUCCGCAAAUCCGACUUUCAAAACUAGACCAACCCCUCAGCCAACUCUAUAAAAUUCCAACUGGCUCCCUACAUCUAACCGACCAUAAUCCGCGACAUGAAGUCGCCAAUAACAUGACCUGGUGCAAUUGGAAUUUCGGUUUCUUUAACCAAUUUCCGAACUUUGCCCAAAGAAUCACUUAUCAUGUACAUAUCAAGGAUUAUGGUUGGUUUUGUUAAGUUAGUUUAUUGUUAUUCAACAUAGAUAAGGUAGCCGAAUCAUGCUUUGUAGGCUUUUGUUACUGAGGGUUCUAAUCCUUUAAUUCACCAACGUUAUGGACCACAAUGUAUCAAAUCAAAUAACAAUUGAAACCAUUAUUCCACCAAUAAGACCUUUAUUUGAUAUAAAUUCUCUAUCAAACAUCUAGGAAUUUUAGAUGACACUCGCAUCAAGCAUCCAUGAUUGGUAAAGCUCAGGAUAACUAUUAGUCAGAAAAUUUUGUUUAUUCUUUUAUGAACAUAGCUCAACCACAUAUAUUAUUACGUCUUGGCAUAAUUUAGUGAUUUUGUUGCUUGAUGGUAUCUAAUCAGCUAAAUCAUUUAAAAUUUUUUUAAAGCAUAUUGUCACACAUAAUAAUUAUGUGUUUAUUGUAUCCCUACCUGUGCGGCGUAAUAUACGGGGCUAGGAAAUAUCAACCUAAUUUGCAUACUGGAUACACAUCUGGAUUCAGAUUUAGGGCAGAUCAGAAAACCUAAAACCAUUUCUGACAAAAACAAGGUUACAAAGCUGGACAGUUUAUUAACAGUUGGCCUGUUUUCGCCUCUAUGGUGCAUUUUGAAAUGGGCAUCUGAAUUUUUUUUUAUUUUGAUUUUACUAUCUGGCAUAGCAGUGUGUUUGACUUGGUGAUUCUGUAUCGCACUAACAGUAUUUGUAACUUCUUUAAUGGAAUCUUCCUACCUAAAAGGAAAAUUCUGUAACCUAAUGGAAUUUUCAUCUACUCAAAGCAAUGUAUUGUCGCUCUUUCUGCGGAAACUGGCAGAACUUGGCGCCUUGGUGGGAUUCUCUGAAAUUACAAGUAAAUGAACAGUUUGGUCCUAAAAUCAAAAUUAAUUUCAUGAACCUCUUCGAAAUGUUCUAUAGCUCUGAUAAAGCCUAUUUGUUUUGACCAGUCAUAAUUCCUUUUUUUUUUUUUGGCUGUCUCAGGUCUAUUUCUCUCAUGUGCUAUUCUGUGAAAAUCUGCAUUUUUUUCUUGCAUCGCUUUCACUAAUACUCUGACAUUUUUUGGACCGAUUAAUGUGAUGAUCUCAGAUUGAAAUGUCCGAAAUUCGUGCUCUUGUCACGCGAGCUACUGCAAAGAGUCUUGUUCUUGUUGAUGAAAUAUGCAAAGGCACGGAAACCAUAAAAGGAACCUGCAUAGCUGGUAGUGUUAUUGAGACUCUUGAUCAAAUCGGGUGUCUUGGUAUUAUAUCAACCCACUUACAUGGCAUUUUCGAUUUGCCUUUAGCUACAAAAAAUGUUGUUCCCAAAGCUAUGGGAAUAGAAAUUAUAGAUGGGUACAUAAAACCAACUUGGAAGUUAAUAGAUGGAACUUGCAAAGAGAGCCUCGCCUUUCAAACUGCCGAGAAGGAAGGCAUGCCUGAAUCGAUAAUUAGGAGAGCUGAAGAGCUAUAUGCAGCUGCGAAUGCAACUGAUAAGUCGACAAUUUCCAGCAUAAACGAGAAGCACUUUAUUUCCAAGUCCACUGUAAAUGGUGUUGGUGAAUUAUUUGACUCGUCGAGAAAUGCCUUGGAAAUUUCAUGGAGUCCCUUAAAGCUAUUGCUGAAAGAAGUUGAGAGUGCCAUUACUAUAAUUUGCCAACAGAAACUGAUAGAGCUUUACAAUAAGAAAAUCAUUUCAGACCUUGCUGAGGUGACGUGUGUUGCUGUUGGAGCCAGGGAGCAGCCGCCACCCUCAACCGUGGGUACCUCUAGCAUCUAUGUACUCUUCAGGCCAGACAAGAAAUUAUAUGUUGGACAGGUAUUUAUUUAUUUUUAACCCAAAGAGCUGAGUAGAAAUUUAAUCCCAAAAGUUUCUUUCCGAUUUCUUUUACAUCCUUAAGAGAAUCAACUACUUUAACAUUUUAGUCCCUAAAGUUUGUUGUGUAACAAUUAAUUCCUUCCCUGGGGCUUCUUGUGGUUAUGCUUCUGUUCUUUUGGUUAUGCAUCCAAACUAACAAACAAUACCAGAAAGAAGCAGCCCAUUCGCUGGUGCAUUUCAAUCACAUUGAAUACAAGCUAAAAAUAGAGAGUAAAAUGGAAGCACAACCCUGAGACUGUAGACUACCGUAGUUAAUUGUCAUGUAGGCAAAAUGUAGGUGACUAAAUUAUCCAAAAUCAAAAGUCCCAAGAGUGUAAUUGAAAUUGGGAUCAAACUACAAGUUUGUAAUUGUCCCAAGUUUUUUAUAAACUGUUUCUUGUGUUUUAGACAGCAUCAAUCUAAUAAGAUCAACUUCUUAAAUUGCAGACGGAUGAUCUUGUGGGUCGACUUCGUGCGCACCGGUCCAAGGAAGGCAUGCAGGAUGCUGCUGCUUUAUAUGUUAUAGUUCCGGGAAAGAGCAUAGCGAGCCAAUUGGAGACUCUGCUCAUUAACCAACUCCCAUUGAAGGGAUUCCAACUCAUCAGUAAGGCUGAUGGGAAGCAUCGGAAUUUUGGUACAUCGAGUCUUUCUGCCGAAGCUCUUACCAUGCACUAAUGAAGCAAUUUCAUUGAUGUGACUCGGGAGACCCCACNNNNNNNNNNNNNNNNNNNNNNNNNNNNNNNNNNNNNNNNNNNNNNNNNNNNNNNNNNNNNNNNNNNNNNNNNNNNNNNNNNNNNNNNNNNNNNNNNNNNCCGCGUACAAACCUAAUUGGGGUAAAAGAAACGCGCUGGCCGAAGUUCGGGUUCGGCAAUCCGCGCUCCUACCACGAAAUAUCGCCAAAGAAGAUUUCGGCGUCGCAUAGUCGACGAGCGCGGGUCGCGGUCUCGGGAAAGCGCUAGAAGCGCAUUCUCUUCCCUUUCCGCAUCAAAAAAGGGGGGGUGCCUAUCCGAGUCUUGAAUCACCUUUUAUGUGCUAUGAAUAUUCGUUGAGCCAUAUACUUGUAGUCAUGCAUUAUAGGAGUGCAUUUGAUGAAAGUGAUAUUUGAAAUAGUGAACUUAGAAUGCUGGGAAUAGACCCUAUGAAUGCAUGGGGUGGACCACAAGAACAAUGUAAUACUUUGCAUCAUGACAGAGAUUUGGUUAGCAUUCGAGAAAUGCAUAUGAAACUAGUAUAAAGGAACUUAGUUAGAGUUAAAUUGUGACAUUGUUUGUCAGUUGAAUCCUCUAAGUGGGAUCAGCAUCUUACUCACAUAGUCUGUUUCUUAGCUUGUGGCUGUCGCCCCCCCCAGGCAGUGAGCUCCGAGUAGUCACUUGGUUGGUGCUUUAACGUACUCUGCCCAGGACUAACGUACUUGUCCACAGACGUCCAUCGGGGAGCCAGCCUUAGGGCCCUGAGGAUUUUCGUUGGUGAGUUAUUGUUAACCCAAAGGCGUUAACCACUGAAUUGGUGUAAAUUGAUGGGCUAAACUACUUGCCCCAGACUAACGUACUUGUCAGCUGUUAAACCAGAGGGUAACCAAAAGAUUGGGUUAAAGUUAAUGAAAAGCAUUGCAUUGCAUAUUUACAGUUUUUAUAUCUGUUACUUCUGUUCAGCUUGUACAGCAUGUUAGUAGUACAUGUUAUAGUGGUUACUAUCUGUUUACUUUCUUGCCCUACAUAUGCCUGAGUUAGACCUAGAUUGGGUGACGUCGGCGAUCAGCGGAUCCGAACCCACUGGGGAACUUUCUUGUAGGGUCUCACACCACUAACCAUACAGGUUCCGUUGCGAAGUAUUGUGGCCAGAACGAGGCAGACCAGAGCCUAGUAGUGGACACCUGAGUACUAGGUGGAUAUCCAUUUGGCUCAUGUAUCAUCUAUUAUCGAUGUACAGAGAUAUUGUAAAUUGAAUGUAUAAUAAUAGCAUGUGAAUAACUAAAUGUUUCAUUAUGUAAAGUUUUAAAAUUUACAGUGAAUUUAUUGUACAGUUAGCGUUUACUAUCACUGUGUCUGUGCUUUGCCAUCGUGCAAGCCAUGUAUAUUGAAAUGUGAUCCUGGGAAUUGUUUAAUUUCUUUAUACAUGUAUCCGUUGUUGUUGAGCCUUGGACGAACAGAGGAGGUGCUGUUCGUUCGGCGUCUGUGUACGGGCCCGGAUCGACCAAAUUGGCGAUAGCGGGACGUGACAGUGCGAGCUUCGAUUUCGAGCUCGAACCACAUAUUUAUCUCCAAUAGGUCCCAUUCGAACCAAUUCUAAACAAUAAAACCCAAUCCUAAGAAAUCCACCAUGGAUGGGUUUGGAGCUUACCCCUAAGCCAAGCUCCAAGCUUGCCUUAGCUUGAAGGAGAGAGGGAAGAAGAUGAUCUUCUUCUUCUUCUUGAUCUUCUCUUUCUCUUUUCUCUUGUUUUCCUUCUUCUUCUUCUUCUCCUUCUUCUUCUUCAUCUCUUUCUUUUCUUUCUAGAAAGAGAGGGAAAAAGUGUGAGAUGGAGAGAGAGCAAAUGAGAGAGAAGAGAGGUCCCCAACCUCUAAUAAAGGCCAUUUUGCAGAUAGCCUCCUCAACUUUUCAUCUUUAGAACCAUCCCUCUCUAGGCAUUUUCGCAGUGAGGGAUCGGUCCCAGCUCGGGGAGACCGGUCCCCGAAAGCUGCAAUUCCGAGCAGAGGGGAUUUCGCGUUCGGGAACCGGUCUUUGCCUGAGAGACCAGUCCCCGGGAGACCGGUCCUUGUCCGAAAGACCGGUUCCUGAGAGCUACAUUCUCGAGACUUAGCCAAAUUUCGGCUAGUCUCGCUGGGCCAACAUUCGGGAACCGGCCCCUGCCUGCCAAGGACCGGCCUCAUCAGAGACCUCCGCAGCCCAGCCUGAUGGGACCGGUCCCUCCCUGCCAAGAACCGUCCGAGAGCAUUUUGCUCCCAGUGCAUGUUUUGCACGGGCGUCGUCUCUGCGGACUUUCCUUAAUGCAUAUGCUUAUUAGCACCUUCGCGACUUUCAAGCCUUACCCAACGCUCGACAAAUAGUCGAUUUCUAAACCGAAAAAGUCGAAUCCCUUCGGAUUUCAAGAUUCACUUCCUUGACGAGUAGUACUAUCAGUUCGCGCCCUAAUAGUAUUAAAUUUGUUACGAGUACUUUUUCUACAUCAAAUCGAACAAAAUUAGUACAAACCUAAUUAUAUUUAUUCUAUUAUGCCCCGAGAUGUAAAUUUGGAACAAAUUAUUCAACCUCACAGGAACCAAAAUCGGAACAACAUCUAGACCACCUCAGUUCCGCUCCUAACAAUAUAAACUUUUGCAACGAGUAUUUUCUAAAUCAAUCGAACAAAAGAGUAAAAGCUAAUUUAUAUUGUUCAUUAUGCCACUGAGAAUCGUAAAUUUGAGGAACGAAUCGAUAUCUAUGUUUAGAAGGAUAAGAAAACUGGAACAACAUUAGACUACUCGAGUUCGGGCCUAAACAGUAUAAAUUUGCACGAUACUUUUUCUCCAUUCAAUCGAACAAAGGAAGUAAAAAGGCCAGAUUAUAUUGUUCUUUAUGCCCUGAGAGUGUAAAUUUGGAAACAAUUGAUGUCAACCUUUACAAGAACAUAAAACCGCGCAACAACAAAGGACUACCUAGUUCCCGCACCUAACAGUAUAACUUUCAACGAGGUACAUUUUUUCAUUCAAUCGAACAAGAGCUAAGUAAUUAUAUUGUUUCUAUGUAUUACCCCGAGAUUGUUAAUUUAGCAACGAAAUCGGAUAUCAACGUUUACAAGACCAAAACCGGAACAAACAUUGACUACUCAGUUGCCGCCUAACAAUAAAACUUUGCAACAAGUACCUUUCUCGUUCAAUCGAACAAGACUAAGCUAAUUAUAUCUUCUAUUAUACCGCCGAGCGAUGUUAAUUUGAAUGAAUCGAUGUAACAUGACAGAAACAAAACCGGAAAAACAUUAGACUACUCAGUUGCGCGCCUAACAGUAUACUUUCUGCAACGAGUACUUUUGUCAUUCAAUCGAAGCAAAGAGUAAAAAGCUAUUAUAUUGGUCUAUUAUGCCCCGAGAAGUCGUUUAUUUAGACGAAUCAGACAGAUGUCAACUGUUGACACAAGAACCAAAACUACGGAACAACAUAGACUACUCAGUGCGCCCUGACAGUAUAACUUGCAACGAGUACUUUUUUUCAUUUCAAUCGGAAAGAAGAGUAAGCUAAUUAUAUCGUUCAUAUCCCCUUGGAGUUAGUAAUUUGGAACAAACUGUUGUCAACCUCAAAAGAACAAAACGGAACAACAUUAGACUACUCAUUGCACUUAACAGCAUGAAAUUGCAACGAGUACUUUUACAUAUCAAUUCGAACAAAGAUAAACGCUAAUUAAAUAUUCUAUAUGCCCGAGAGUUGUAAAUUGGACGAAUCGAUGUCAACGUUGACAAGAACCACAAUCCGGAAACAACAUUAGAUUACUCGAGUGUCGCCCAACAAUAUAACUUUGCACGAAGUACUUUUUUCUCAUUCAAUCGAACAAAGAGUAAAAGCUAAUUAUAUUGGUCUAUUAUACCCCGAGAGUGUUAAUUUAGAACGAAUCGAUGUCAACAUUCACACGAACCAAAACCGGAACAACAUUAGACUACUCAGUUGCGCCCUAACAGUAUAAAUUUGCAACGGGUACUUUUUCUCAUUCAAUCGAACAAUGAGUAAAAACUAAUUAUAUUGUUCUAUUAUGCCUCGAGAGGGUAAAUUUGGAACAAAUCGUUGUCGACCGUUACAAGAAGCAAAACCGAAACAACAUUAGACUACUCAGUUGCGCCCUAACAGUAUAACUUUGCAACAAGUACUUUUUCUCAUUCAAUCGAACAAAGAAUAAAAGCUAAUUAUAUUGUUCUAUUAAGCCCCGAGAUUGUUAAUUUAGAACGAAUCGAUGUCAGCGUUCACACGUACCAAAACCGGAACAACAUUAGACUACUUAGUUGUGCCUUAACAGUAUAAAUUUGUUACGAGUACUUUUUCUCAUUCAAUCGAACAAAGAGCAAAAACUAAUUAUAUUGUUCUAUUAUGCCCCGAGAGUGUAAAUUUGGAACGAGUCGAUGUCUACGUUCACAAGAUCCAAAACUGGAACAAUAUUAGACUACUCAGUUGCGCCCUAACAGUAUAAAUUUGCAAAUAGUACUUUUUCUCAUUCAAUCGAACAAAGAGUAAAACCUAAUUAUGUUGUUCAAUUAUGCCCCGAGAGUGUGAAUUUGAAAUGAAUCGAUGUCAACGUUCACAAGAACCAAUACCGAAACAACAUUAGACUACUCAGUUCCGCCCUAACAGUAUAACUUUGCAACCAGUACUUUUUCUCAUUCAAUCAAACAAAGAGUAAAAGCUAAUUAUAUUGUUCUAUUAUGCCUCUAGGGUGUAAAUUUGGAACGAAUCGUUGUCAACCUUCACAAGAACCAAAACCGGAACAACAUUAGUGUCACACCCCGAGACCGCUACCAAUUUGGUCCGAUCCGGGAGCGUCGAACAGACGCCGAACGGACAGGACCUCCCCUGUCCACCCAAGGCUAACCAACUGAUCAUGUAUAAGAAUUUACCCAGGAAUCAAUUCAUAAAUACACGAUCACGAGGUGCACUACUAGUGCCAACCAAACAAGAGCAAGAUACAAGUAUGAGACAUACAAGUAUAUAAAGAGAGAAAGUUCUAUCUAUUACUUUCAUUCAACUUUAUACAUUUAAUUCCAUCUUUUACAUUCUUCCAAAACAUGUGUACAAGCACUCUCAAACCUCACCCUAUACAACAUCUACUCUCAAACAUAAAUACAUGGUAGAGCCAAUGCAAAAUGGGUGGAUAGCUAAUGCAACUAGGGCGCUAAUCCCUUACCACGAUCCUCGCUCUCGCCGGGGAUACCCGAGCUCGAACCUGAAAAGAGUGGGGUGAGAACUAUCUUCCAUAGUUCCCAGUGGGUUCGGCCGUCGACUCCGCCGGUCUCCCCACUAGGUCCAAGUGGGCACAAAUAGAUAAACAGAUAGAUAGAUAUAGAAAGCUAUGGAAACAGAUAGUACAAUUACGCUACGGUGCCCGAAUCAUGUAUAUGAAAAUGCAUGCACAAUGAAAUAGAUAAUCAACUAGCUCUUCAUAUGUCCAAGAAGUAAGGCUAUUUACUUAUUAAUUAAUCUCGUGGUUCAUUCAAGGAUCUGCCUACUACUCACAUAGCCAUCUCGAUACUACGAAUCCGAGACCGUCUGCAGGACCCCACAUAGGCCAUCCCUCGGGACCCCAAAUAGGCCAUCCCUAUCCCACGGGACCCCAAAUAGGCCAUCCCUCGUGACUGACUCCGGAGCGCACUACUUGUGUGGAGCGACCAUCACAAGUUGGGAACAGACAAUGAGUAUGAUCCAAUUCUCUCACCUCAAGGGCACCCUAUCCUCUAGGGCUACUAUCACCAUAGUCAAUGGGUUUCAUAUAUGCUACGACUCACAUAUGCCACUCGUUCUUUGUUUAUUACAACUAGAUGCCACUCGUUCUUUUGUUUAUUAACAACUAGAUGCCACUCGUUCUUUUGUUUCAUCUCUGCACUAUAGGAUUACAAGUCUCGACCCAAUCCUCAUCAAUCCCCUAUAUCCAGCAACUAAUGCAUAAUAUGAUAUCAGCUAGGAAAGCAUAAGGAAAGGCAAUGCACAAUUAUCCUACAAUGCAUGUGAACACAGGAUGUAAGGUCUCAAAAUACUAAGACAUAAAAGGGAGCCCGAUUGCUUCGGGAUGGUCACCACCCACCUCUUGGUGAUGCCCGGAGGGUAGAACACUCGAUCUCGCAGCCCUUGAUCGGCGCUUCGACUCCUCGGGUCGAUCUGAACCCUUAAGCGCUUAGUUCGGCGAUAUCUUCGCACUCGCUCGUCGUAUCGACGAGCCAUCUUUGCCGACGCGUUCCGAGACCUAGCAAUUAGGUUUACGACCUAUUAAAAUAGAUCAAAACCCUAGAUUUCCAAAAAAUCCCAAAUCCGUGCCCUAGAAUGGCAACGAGUGAGAAAUCCGUGGUGCAAGCUUCAAUUGCGAGCCCGAACCAUCUAUUUAUCUCCUCUAAGUUCCAUUCAAACCAUUUCUAGGCAAUAAAACCCAAUCUCAAGAAAUCCACCAUGGAUGGGUUUGAGGUUUACCUCUAAACCAAGCUCCAAGCUUGCUCUAGCUUGAAGGAGAGAGGGAAGAAGAUGAUCUUCUUCUUCUUCUUGAUCUUCUCCUUCCUCUUCUUCUUCUUUUCCUUCCUCUUCUUCCUCUCCUUCUUCUUCUCCUUCUUUUCUUUCUAGAGAAAGAGAGGAAAAGAGUGUGAGAAGGUUUGAGAGCAAAUGAGAGAAACAGAGGGGUCCCCCACCUCUCAUAUAGGCCAUUUUAUAAAUAGGCCCCUCAACUUUCCAUGUAUUAAACAGCCUUCAUUGGGCUGAUUUCGUAGUGAGGGACCGGUCCCAGCUCGGGGAGACCGGUCCCCGAUAGCCUUCCAUCUCGGGCAGAAGGGAUUUCGCGUUCGGGAACCGGUCCCUGCCUGAGAGACCGGUCCCCGGGAGACCAGUCCUUGUCCGAGAGACUGGCUCCCGAGAGUUGGAUUUUCAGGACUUAGCCAAAUUUCGGCUUUUCUCGCUGGGCUAACGUUCGGGGACCGGUCUUCCCCUACCAUGGACCGGUCGCCUCAAGGAUCCCCGCAGCCCAGCCUGAUGGGACCGGUCCCUCCCUGCCAGGGAUCGGUCCCCGAGAGCAAUUCUGCUCCAGUGCAGAUUUUGCACUGCUGCUCUCGCGGACCUUUCCUUAAUGCACUUCAUGCAUUAUAAUCACCUUCGGACUUUCCGAAGCCUACACACUCGACAAUCAGUCGAUUCUAAGCGAAGUCUAAUCCUCGGAUUUCGAGAAUUCACUUCCUUACAGCCGGCUUGUAGGGAGCGACCCUCACAAGCAUGUGCGAAUGAGCACAAAUGGCAAGCAAGCAAAGUCAUCGUCUCAAGUAUCCAAUCAUCAUGUCUCUAACAUGGUAAUAGCCACUAGUAACCCAACGGUCUAGUUCUAUGUUCCAAUGUGAAGUUCCAACACUCACUAUGUUUAGUGCCUCUUUAUGACACUUAAACAUUGCUAUAUCUCAAUUACAUCUCACAUUCAAUGCCUCUUUAUGGCACUACUUUACUAGAUUCACAAAUAACUCGAGCUCAAUGCCGCUUUAUGACAUCAGCUCCAUAGUUUGCGAAUAUUACAAGUCCCAAGCCUCUUUAUGGCUUACUAAAAUCCCUUAUGUCUCAUUUAGGCAUAGGUUUAAAUGCAUAAUACAAGUUUCAUUUUCAUCAUAGGAAAACAAGGUUCCAAGUUCAACUAGAAUGCCCAAACACAUGCAUGAGUCCCUUAUGCAGCUCUCUACUACAUAGAGGUCCAAAAUUUCAUUGUACAUACCAUGGGCAUUCUAAACAUUCUAAAUUUCACAAAUAAUACAUCUAACAUGAAAAUGCAUGAUUUUUCAUUUUACGAUACAUAAAUCACCAAUAAUGAGAGUUUCUCAUAUUUUUGGCUAGGUCAAGCCCACCGAACUUCGCGCAACCCUUCGUUUGCUCCAACGAAGAAGUCCACUAAGCUCCUAGCACCCUAGAAGCAUAAAAAAAGUGAGCUACAAGAAGUAAACGAACAACUACUAGCUCAAUCAUUAACCAUCUAGGCAUAAGGGCUAAACUCUCACCUAUAGUGUAGAAAUCCCUCUCCAAAGCUCAAAUGGAAGCUAAAAUCCCUUCCAAAGCAACCUAACCCAAGGUUCUAAUCCAAUUAGAUUAGCUCCAAAAGCUCCAAAUCAAAAAGCCCCAAAUAAACCCUAGAUUUUCCAUUCUUAGGUUUCAUGUCCCAAAAACCAACAAAACUAGGUCUAGAGGGAAGAUAUGAGCAACUAACCUUCUUAGAAGCUCCUAACCAAGCUCCAAGAAUGAUGAUCUCCUCUCUAGCAAGCUCCAAGUCCAAGCCCUCAAGCAUCAACAAGGUGGGAAGAGAGGGAGAGGGAGAUGUCCAAAGGCCUCCAAGCUUGAUCCACUUCCUCUUCUUCUUCUUCUUCUUCUUCUUCUUCUUCUUUUUGGGAGAGAAAGAGAGAAAGAGAUGAGAUGGAGUGAGGGAAAUGAGAGAGGGAGAGAGCCCUGGCCCCCUCUACAACACUAAGGGAUGUAACAAAUGCAGAAAAACCCCUCAACUUUGCAACCUGUGCACUGCCCUAACUGGGCAGUUUUCGGGUGGAGGGACCGGUCUCUCCCCACAGGGGACCGGUCCCUCAGGACCUUCCCGCGAAACCAACGUUCGGGAAUCGGUCUCUCUCCCACUAUGGACCGGUCCCCGAGAGUGAAACUCUCAGGACUUAGCCAAAAAAUCCAGAAUUUCGAACUACAGGUCGGAACACCGUCUACGACCCUCCACAAGGUGUGGAAAAGCUCGGAACUCAAAUCAAACACUCGAACCUCGCAACUUGUACAGGUCUAGUGUGUUACAUAAGGUUUCCUCUAUCUUAGAUUCUUGUCAUUUACCAUUUUGAUCAUAAAGUUUCAUCUACCUUUACAAAGCUAACCACCUAACCCGGUCUUGAGUCAAUCAUCCGCGGAAUACCGCGCAAAGCCAAGCUCGAGGCGAAGGACGUCUCACUUGCACCUCAGCCUAAUGUCCACUCUACUAGGACUCAGCUACCGCUCAUAUGCCUGAUUUGCACAAUUCUCAUGAGUAUAUUACCCAAUCCACUGGCUGGCCUAUAGGCGCGCCCUCAACUCACAUCUCAAAUCCGUCUUUAAUGGGAAACUCGAACCACACGAGGGAUUGUCUGCUGGACCCCACAUAGGCUAUCCCAAUCGAUUCACGUGCCAAAAUCCGGAGCCGCACUACUUGUGCGGAGCGACCGCCACAAGUGCUGAACAGACAUUAUGAGUAUGAUCAAAUCUGUGUACAGUGAGAAUAUCUUGUCACUAGGACCAUCAUGCACAAGUGUUCUUUUAACACUAAGUUCUAAUGCCACUCGUCAAGUUGUUUACUUUGUUUACAUGCCACUCGCCAAGUUAUUUACUUGGUUCACAUGCCACUCGUCAAGUUAUAUACUUGGUUUACAUGCCACUCGUCAAGUUAUUUACUUGGUUUACAUGCCACUCGUCACAAUGUAAUACCUCGACUAUUUUAGUCAUAUAUCAUCAUAUUCAACAAUGCAAGAUCAAGUUAUCAUUUAACUUAGAUCUAUAGGGUUCUAGAUCACCAUUCCUCUAUUCUCAUGCAUCCUAACUCAAGUGUCAACUCAUGUUGCUACACUACUAAGGAUCAUGCAAGAACAGAAAUGCGACUAUCCAAUACCCUAUCGUGUAUAUAUAUCAACUAUCAUCUCAUGAUAUGUCAACAUCAUCUAGUAUAUGCCUCAUGUCAUCAUGCAUUUACAUUAUAUGCAUCAUCUAGCAUUUACAUUAUAUGAAUCAAUGAGAAUUACACUUUCGCUUCGACAUGGAAGCGAGCUAAUAACUUCGGUGAGCACAACCCACCUCGAUUCGCUCUCCGAUUGCUUGUAGUCACUUGCAAUCAGCCUCUCACGGCACCCGUACCCGGCAUGGCCCGAUCUUGCCGUUGAGCAAAAAUCGUGCGUCGAAUCGCUGCCCCGAAAAUUAUAGGUCUUCGGUUUACUGCAAUGGUGCUCGAGAUCCGAUCUCGUGAUUUUUGGACGUCGCCUCGGCCCUCCAGGCGGAAAUGAAGCUCCGAACGUCCGUUUUUCUUAUAACUUCGCGUAGACUCGACGAAUCGCCGAACCGACUUCGCCAACACGUCAGAAUACCUAGCAAUUAGGUUUACGUAGGGUUAAUUGAGAUCAAACCCUCAUAUAUACCAAAACUCCAUUUUUGAUGCCCUAGAUGCUACUAUUGCAAAAUACUCCAAAUCGAUCUCCGAUUCAUGCAAUAAACAUCUAUCUAGCAUCAAAGGAGUCUAUUAAAUCCACUUCUAGAGCAUUUAGACCUAUCUCUAGAGAUCUACCAUGAGAGGGUAUCGAAGCUUACCUCUCCAAGCUCGCUCCAAGCACAAGGAAGAAGAUGGAGAUGAUGAAGAUCUCCUUCUUGAUCUUCUUCUCCUUCUUCCUCUUCUUCUUCUUUCUCUCUUUCUUCUUUCUCUUCUUCUUCUUCACAUUAAGAGAGAGAGAGAGAGAGAGAGAGAGAGCCGUGAGGGGGAGGGUGAGGGAAUGAGAGAAAGAGAGAGAGAAGCCCUCUCUUAACUCUUCUCCUUUUGUAACAAUAUGCUAAUAAGCCCCUCAACUUCUCCAACCUUGCAAUAGCCCGAACUGGGCGUUUUUCGCUCUCGAGGUCCGGACCUUGGAGUCAGGGUCCGGACCCCGAGGGUCCCGAAAACUGCAAAUUUCAGCUUUCGCCGAUUUGCUCCGUUUUGGUCCGUUUUCGCUCCGUGGGUCUCCGAUUCACUUCUAAUCAUACUGAGACCCCCAAAACAUGCUUUCGAGUGUAUUUACAUCAUAUUUUCAUCCGCACUAAUGCUGGAUUUAGUUCACGUUCCAACAUAGCUUUUUGGGUUCUGUUUUCGCGCCUACAUGCACCGAAACGCCCGAAUGCACCCGGACUUCACCGAACCUCACCGGAACCAUUCAAAUGGCUCUCCAAAUCAAUACACGCCGUAACUUCAUAAAUUUAGGAGUCCGAUACCUUACAUACUUGCUACUUAUACCACUACUACAUAGAGACUGAAUUUCAUCAUGCAAAAGGUGACAAUUUAUAUGUCCAAAAAUUCGAUGAUGCCAUGAAUUGCAUGUUUAACCAUCUCUUGAGUUCUAGAAUCGAGUAGGACACAUAGAUGAAGUUCAUCCAUUUCGGUGAAGUUGAACAUACCAGAUAACUACCGAAACCUCGUUCGUUUCUCCGAUGAAGUUGCCCCCUAAACUUCUUAUGCCCUAGAAAAAAAUUUCAAGGGGUUACAAGCUUCUAAAAAACUUACCACGAAAUUCACCAAAAAAACAUAUAGAAAAUAGAUGGAAAAUAUAUUAGUCCAAGAAAAACUUGCUCAAAGUCCAAAUUGAAGUAAUAGAGCUUCAAAUCCAACCUACAAGAGUGUUCUACACUCAUCAAUUUCAUUCCAAAAACUCCCAAUCAAAAAGUCCCAGAAUAAACCCUACUUUCAUCAAAACUUGGUCUCUACCAAAAAAAAUCCUUGCAAAUUUUGCAAUUAGAAAGUGCAAGAAUGCUACUAACCUCAAUUCUAGCUCCAAUCCUUGAAAUGGAGGGGUUGAAGCCCAAAUCCUCAAACCACUCUUUUCUCCAAGCUUGAGCUCCACUCCAAGUCCAAAAAGCAAGCUUCCAUGGUGAAGAUGAAGAAAAGAGAAGCAAAUCCAAGGAUUAGAGGAAUCCUAGGGGAAGAAAUCCAAGAAUUAGGAGAUGGGGACCUGCCUUGUUACACCCCGAGACCACCACUUUGGUCGGUUCAGGCGCGCACAUAGACCGCCGGACAGACUGAGUUUCCCUGGUCCACUCAAGGCGUCACAAUCAGUACAAUUCAAGACAUUCCAACCGGGAACAAAAUUCAUACAUAGAUUAUAUAAAGAAGGCAUCAGGAACAUAAACCACUACACUAUUACAAGCAUUUGUAUCAUUCACAUUACAUUUAUAUUCUUUUUCAUCCAAAUACAAUCAACUUUAUUACAAUUUUGUUUCUUUCUUCUCUAUACCUCUAAGCUAUGCUGACCUAGGGUACAUCUAUCUCUCUAAUCACAAGUGGUAGGGCAUUCACCAUCUAUCGAGCUAUGCCAUUUUCUCUCGCCACCGCGUCACUCACGUGUGGACCUGAAAAACAUGGGGAUGAGAACUAUAAAUAUAGUUCCCAGUGGGUACAGCCACUCAAGGGAAGANAUGCCAUUUUCUCUCGCCACCGCGUCACUCACGUGUGGACCUGAAAAACAUGGGGAUGAGAACUAUAAAUAUAGUUCCCAGUGGGUACAGCCACUAAGGGAAGAGCUCGACCCGCCAAGUCCGAAUGAGGCAACAUAAGCAGGUUAGUCCAAUUUAUAAACAUAUGAAUCAACUAAGUGCAAGCAAGCAAUAAAAACAUCCAUACAUAUGUCUCAACUAAAUGUAAUAAUGAAAUCAAUGCAAGUAGGUAUUUCUUUUCUACUUUCUAUUUCACUAUCCAUUACAUAGUCCAAUCCGCUCUUAAGGUUCUUUUACCUUAGCCAAAAUAUACCACCCGACUUGGUCUCGAGUCAAUCACCGGCAGACUACCACUCAUGUCUAGGCCUGAGGAGAGGAACAUGCCGUGCACCUCAGCCUUGAAUCCACUCAGCGGGUGAGGGAUAUGUUAGAAAAUUGCGUACGGUAAAAACGCAGCGGAAAAAGAAAAUCAAACAAAUUUGAUUUUUGAAAACUCUCGAGAUCCAAUCUCAAAAACCACGCAAUUAGGAUCCCUCAUGUUCUUAAGAUUAAAGAAGAAAAAUAAGAUUGAAUCUUUACCUUUUUCGCGGAUAGAUCUUCACCUCAAUUUGAUGACCGUGAAAUCGGGUUCUCUUAAAGCCGCACACGCGUCCGGCCUCUAUAGGUAUCCACACGAGGUUCUUGAUUUGAUCGAUAUCCUCACCGGGGUGCUAGCUCCCUUGCAAAGGACGUCUUUUUUGCUAGAAUAUGGAAGAGAGAGGAGAAGAGAGAUGACGGCUACGGUUUUCUAAAAACUCCCGUAUAUUAUAUAUAGAAAUAUAAUCCUAUUCCUAACAAUAUAAUGACAAUUAAGGAUAAGUAUAAAUCUAGAUUAAAUUUAUCCUUUCCUUAAUUGGUUAGAUCGAUCAAAUCCUAAUUUGAUUCGAUUUUUAUAUUAAUUUGAUCAUAUCAAAUUAAUAAUACAAUAUUUGCACAUAAGUCCUCUUAUAAUUUACUAACUAUUAGUAAGUCCUCUCUUGUAACAUUUACACCUUAAUACCACUAAUUUGUAACAAUUACAAAUUAGUCUAAUUAUCNGGUGGCUAGGCCCAAGAGGUUAAGAGAGUUAAGCGUGCUAGGACGGAAGUAGUCCUAGGAUGGGUGACCUCCUGGGAAGUCGGGGCGUCACAGUACACCCGCGGUCAGGGAUCCCCUCGUGGGAGAGGACCAUGUCACAUACACCUGCAGCCGGGAUCCCCGAUAGGGAGAGGAACAUGCCACAUAUACCCUAGCGUACAAAGAUUCUUCCGGUGGGAGAAGAACAUGCCAUAUGCACCCGCGGCCAAGAAUCUUCCAUAGUUACAAGCCUCGAAGUUCUUGCGAUGAGAGAGGAACCUGUUAGGGAUUUUGUAUUGGCAAGUUUCGUGAUUUGAAUCGGAGUCUUGAAGGGUUUGGUGCGUGGUUGUCAAAGAUCAAAGAAUCCGAGAUUUCGAGAACUCAGAAACAUCUUACUGCAUGAAUCACGACGCUCAGGUAAGCUUUUAAAUGUCUUUAUGGUAAUUCAUACUUAUUUAUGACAUUAGAAUCAUAUGAAUUAAUGAUUAAAGGAUUAGAAGUGGGUUUUGGAACUUUUACAAUGAAUAUAACAAUAUUUGAUAUUGUGUACCGGUACUAGAUUCUAGUUCCUCAAAACAAUACUGGAAAAACCAAGUUCUAUUACUGAGUACUGGUACCUCACAUUGGUACCUCAAAACCCGAGAGCUGCAAUUCUGAGAAUUGCAUUGCGUACCAGUACCAAAGCCGAGUACCGAUGCUACAUUGGCAGAGUACCGGUACCAAAGCCGAGUACCGAUACUACAUCAGCAGGGUACCGGUACUGCAUCGGCCGCGUACCGGUACUCAGCCUCAGGAUAUUUCUGAAUCGUCCUAGUGUACCGGUACCAACUUCCCGAGUACUGGUACUCAAUAUAAAAUUUUCUUAUUUGGCUUCUAAUCCGACUCUAAUUGAUUCUAAAGUCUAUAAAUAAGCUAUUGGGGUUCUCUAAUUGAUAUAGAAGCACGAGAUUACAUGAUAGAGUAACCCUAGAGGCUAGGUUUUCGUUCUAAACCCAUUCUCCACAAAAUAGCCUCUUUUAGUUCAAUUUGAGGUAUUGAAUUCAAUAUCUAUAUGUCGAAUGAUCUAAGUUUUGCUUAGAGUUAUUUCUCUGGUUCUUCAACGACUCUCUAAGCAAAGGAUCACCAUAGAAACAUGAUACUCGUCAUGUGCGUUGUCGUGGAUUUGGCGUGAUCAAAGGCGGUUCGUGGAUUCGGAUCGUGAGCUCGUGGAUUCGAGUGACGUUCGAGGAUUCGAAUGUGAGGCGUGGCGUUCGUGAAUCGGAACGUGAGGGCAUGGACAACCCGGAGGCUUGCGCGAGAUCCAUAGGAGGUUAAGAGAGGUCGAGUCCAUGGAGUCGGUAAUCACCUUGUAAUUCUUUUUUCUUAGUGGAUUAUUUUUUCGCGUGUUGGUCCCAUGGAUUUUUCUCCAAAUUAGAGUUUUCCCACAUAAAUCUCAGUGUGCUAUUUUUAUUUUCUGCAUUUAUUUUUUAUUGCAUUGAGAUUUGCGAAUUUGGGCUAUCCACCUAUUAUCUAGAUAGAUCCUAGGGUUUCAUAACUUACAGAACCCACCACAUACAUCCACGGCCAAGAACUUUCAACGAUCACAAGUCCUGGGAUUUCAAAAUCUACUUUCCAAGUCUCAAGGGUUCGUCACACACCUUAUAUUGUCAACUUUUCUAGGUUCAAGUCAUUCAUGUCCAAGUGGCCAUCCUACUACUACAUUUUCAACCUAUGUUCAAUGACACUAAGUUCAAUGACAUUUCAAUCCAAGUGGUCUUCCUACCACUACAUUUUUCAAUCUAUGUUCAAUGACACUAAGUUCAAUACCCAAUCAUAUUCUUUCUUAUCCUAGUUGUCCAUAUCUAGGAUUCAUAAUUCAUAUGACAUCUAGUCCUUGAUUUCUCACAUGUCGAAUCUUCUAAUUUUUCUAGAGUUCAUCGACCUAUGUUCAUUAUCCACACCUAGGCAUACAUAUAUGUCCAUCCUAUAUAUUUUCACAUUUCUAUUGUUCUUGUCCAAUGGUAGGUAAUUCCAUCUAGUAACACAUAAUUCAUACAUUCAUAUUUACCAUAAACAACCUACCAUUAUAUACAUGCAUCAACAAUAAUACCAUACUUUACUCUUUGGCAUGGAAGUGACCUAAUCACUUCGGUGAAGCACAACCCACCUCGUGGUACUCCCAAUUGCUUGUAGACACUUGCAAUUGGGCCAAUUCCUUGGAUCUUCAAGCUUGCUCCAAGCUUCUCUUGCCCUAUACAAGAGAGCCCUUCGUUACCAAUUUCGACUACUCAAAUGAUUUUUCCUCUAGAAAUUAAGUUGCCCCACUUGAUUUUCUAACCCUUAAUUAGAGUUUUAAAGUGUUAGAACAUUUUUAAACCCUUCAUUACAAAAAUCCCUAAAUUCUACUAGGGUUUUCCAAAAACAAGGGCAAAACCCCAAAUCACAUGCUAAUCCCUACAAUUUGUAGUCUAGAUUAGCCAAGAGCCUCCAAAAUUACAUCUCCUAGCUCAAAUCCAAAACCCUAGCUUCCAAUUCCAAAAGCUCAUCUCGAAUCCACGAGCUCACCAGGCCUCAACGCAUGGACGAGCUCGAUUCACCAUUCUCUACAUAUUCCCGCGCUCAAUCUCCACUAAAACCCUAAGUUUGGGAGAGAUCUAGAGAGAGAAAGUGGGAAGAAGAAAGAGUAAGAAAGAGAGAGUGAUGGAGUCGAUGGACGUGAAAAAGAACCCUAGCUCUUUUAACCUAUUUCCCUCCAUCAAAAUUAUCAAAAUGCCCUCAAUUUGGGCUAUCGGCGUGCGCAGGUUCAGGACCUAAGAGGUUCCAAACCUUGGCUUCAGGUUCCGGAACCUGUAGCUUGUCUAUCGCACAGUCAGUCAAGGUCCGGACCUUGGAUCAAGGUCCGGAACCCAAAGAUCCAAAGCUCAAAAAUCGACAUUUUUCGCAAAUUCUCGUUUUCGCUCCUUGAGCCUCUAAUCCACUUCUAAUCAUUCCAAAGCCCUCAAAUCUCAUUUUUGAGCAUGUUUAAAUUACUUCUCAAUUGUAUCUUGUCCAAUUGGCCCAAGUUUAGUAUAGUGCUUCAAAACUCGGUAUCUUAUGUACCUCCUCUUUCUCCUUCUCAACCCAAAUGAGAGGACUAAAUAAGGGUGAUGUGGGUUAUAAUUCCACUAGCACAAUCCCACUUAGGUCCCUCAAAACAUAGAAAAUUAUAAACUGCACGAAACAGUUUCUACAACAUUGAGUACCAGUACACGAAAUUGAGUACUGGUACCCCGGGCAGUUCCAAUACCAGGGGCUCAGUUCUACAAAAUUCGAAUGUUGAAAAUUUCUGUUUCUAUUGCAUUCUGGUACCCAUCCGAUGCAGUACUGGUAAACUCCAAUUAGUAUCGGUACCUCAGCUGGGUUUCGCAAAAACCCGAGAGUAGUCUAAACCUGCACUCUAUUGAGUAUCUCAUCCUAGUACCGGUACUCAACACACAAAAACUGCAGUUUGUAGAUUCUGAUGUCAAAAUCUAUUCUCACCCCUAUUAAGCUCCGAAAACGGAUCAACACUCAUGAGACAUCAACCAAAACUUUCAGAAUAGCUCGAAAUGCUAUUCUCAUACUAGAACUCUACAAUUUGCUAAAAUUCAGUACUCUACAUAAUGGUGAUCCGGCCCUCGUCUCAUUUUGAUCUAGUUAGCAAGUGAAACAAUAGAAAUGUUCGUGUUUAUUUUGAGAGUUGGAUUUAUUGUUGCUGUCACGCCCCAACGCCCCGAGGCCGCUACCAAUUUGGCACGGUUCGGGCGCGGCGGGCGGACCGCCGAACGGACAGCACCUCCCCUGUCCGCCCAAGGCUCAACAACGAGAUCAUGUACAACAAGUCCCCAGGAAAUUAACUUGAAUACAUACAUGAUCAUGCAACAACAGCGAGAGCACAAACAGUGCUGAACAUUACAAGAGCAAGCGUCACGAGUAGCAAACAUACAAGUGAAAUAAAAGAGAGAUACUUAACUAUUCUAUUACAACCAUUCAACUUGAUACAUUUAAUUACAACUUAGCUUUCUUUACCAAAAUAUGAAUAUAAGCUUACAUUCUUCCAAAGAUAAACAUUAGCUUUACAUUUAUCUCGAUACCUCAUAUCCUAUACAUCAUCUACUCUCAAUACAUGUAUAGGGUAACUCUAAUGCAAAAUAGGAAAGUAAACUACCAACUAGCACUAGGGCACUAAGCCCAUACCGCGAUCCUCUGCCGAUCCGCUCUCGUGUGUACCUGUACCCCAAAACCACACGGGGUGAGAACUAUAUAAAUAUAGUUCCCAGUGGGUUCGGCCGCCGACUCCGCCGAUCUUCCCACUAGGUCUAAGCUGGCACAGAUAGAUAGAUAGAAAGAUAUAUGGAAAUAAACUGCUACUAUAUCUACUAUGCCAUCAAUGUAAAAAAUGCAUGGAACAUCAUCUAGCAACAAUCUACUAUCAUGCUAAUAUGCCUCAACAGUGAAAUGAAUACAACUAUAACAUAGUUAUGCAAUGCACUAUGUCUAUUCAUAGUAUGAAUGCAAUCCUCUUAUGCUAUUCAUGUUAUUACCCAAUCCGCUAGGCUAACUCGCCUAAGAUCUCAAAUCCAGGAGGUGAAGAGCUACCCCGCUCUUUUCCCGCCUAACUCAUAACUCAAAGGUCCUAGACAAAGAGUUACCCCGCUCCUUGCCCGACUCAUAUCUUGUAGGUCCGACCCAAUCUCGAAAGUCCUAGGUAAAGAGCUACCCCGCUCCUCACCCGACUCACAUCUCGACGGUCCGACUCAAUCUCGACUAGGUACAGGCUACCUCGCUCAAAUCUCAUAGGUGAAGGAAUAGUAUGUCACUCACUGUAUGUAGGCAAAUCCACUACUCUGACUACCAAGCGACUAUACUCAAUGUCGAUGCAACUCAUAGUGGAGGCUAAUUAUCAUACUACUAGGUUCAUCAAUAAGGCUAAGGCUAAGUGCCAGGCUGUUAUACACAAUGUAACUCAUCAGGUUACCCAAUCUCUCAGCGAACUCGAGGCUCGUGCACAGUCUCACGUCUGUAAGUCUCCUAGGGAGGUGGCUAGCUAUUCACCUACCCCGAGACCGCCUGCGGACACUACACUGGUCCAAGGGCAACUACACUGGCCCCCUCGCGUGCCAAACUCCGGAGUGCACUACCUGUGAGGAGCUACCUCCACAGGUGCAGACAGGCUAAGUGAGCUCGAUCCAAUCUCAUAAACUGGGAACAUCAUAAACUGGGAACAUCCUAUCAACUAAGGAUAAUGUCAUCAACUGGAAACACCCUAUCAUCUAGGGGUAACAACUCAUCAACUCAAUGCCAGUCUAAUACUCAACCUUCAGUGUUUCAACUACACUAAGGUUCUCAUAUGUGCUAUCAACUAGAUGCCACUCGUCAUAGGUUAACAUUAACUAGAUGCCACUCGUCAUAGGUUAACAUUAACUAGAUGCCACUCGUCCUUUACAAGUUUCCAAGACUCUAGUUCACACUUUACUAGGUUCUUCGUUCACACAACACAAACACUAGGUUAUCAUUUGCCUAGGUUCCAAUCCGUCACAUAUCAUCUCAUAUAGGGUUAAGGUGCACAUACUAACUUCAUGCAUACUAGAUUCAAGUGUUAUAUCUACCAAGCUACAUUAACACUAGCAUGCAAAUAUAGAUACAAGUUUCUAAACACCCUAUAUGCAACACCAUAAUAUGCAACUUGAUCAAUGACAGUUUAGAGUUUCCAAUGCAAUAGCCAAUACAUUACUAAGUUCUCAUCCACACCUAUCAUCUCAUUAUAGGGUUUCACAUCACAUAUAUAAACCUCAAGCAUGCUAGAUAUAAGCACUAAGCCAAAUACAUUACUCUUUCAAGAAGCAUGCAAUAUAUAUAUAUAUAUAACCAACCAUCAACUAUCACCCUAUAAUGCAUCAUGCUCAAUAUGCAUAAUUGAUCAACAUAGAAAUACUUAGACAUAAGGAGAAGCCCGAUUGCUUCGGGAUGGCACUCCCCCAC
rnacentral:lncRNA from 1 species